CAGAUUCUUGUGCCUAUUGCAAAUGGUUCAGAGGAGAUGGAAGCUGUUAUGAUAAUUGAUAUUCUGCGACGAGCUAAAGCAAAUGUUGCAGUUGCAUCAGUUGAGGAUAAACUAGAAAUUCUGGCUUCGUCAAAUUAAAUUAGUGGUAGAUGUGCUCAUUGAUGAGGCGGCUAAACUUUCGUAUGAUUUAGUUGUCUUGCCAGUGAGUUGGGGUGCUUACUCUUGCUUCAUAGUCUUUACCACAUUAUUGACUUACUAACUACAAUUUAUCCAUGCACAUUGCACAGGGUGGACUUGGUGGCGCUCAAGCAUUUGCGAAGUCAGAUAAAUUGGUGAAUAUGCUAAAGAAGCAAAAGGAAUCAAAUAGACCUUACGAUGCUAUAUGUGCAUCCCCAGCUUUAGUGUUGGAGCCCCGUGGCUUACUCAAGGUACGACCAUUUCUGCUUAAAUUAUUUACUCAGAUUUGGAUCACCUAAUCUGAACUUGAUGAGAGAUUAUGAUGUUGUAUGAUUUUAUGAAUGUGGUCUUAUCUCAUGUAAGUCAGUGAUGAAUUAAUUGGAGUUUGUUGACAAAUUAGAAGCUGAAAAACUGCUGCUGCUUCGUUAGUUACAUUACCCAAAGAGUUAAAAUUAACAUCACAAAUUUGUUAUCCCAAAUGAUAUGGCAUUUAUUGAGUGAUUGGUAUUAAUUGUAUUAUCUAACCCACCAACAGAUGAAUGCCGCACCAUUUGAGACGAUCUUUUGGGAUAAAAAAUUUGGGAAGUGCAGCAAAUUUUUAUGCCGAUUUUUUUUGGCUUCAUUCAUGUAAACUCCUCCCCCCCCCCCCCCAAAAAAAAAGGAAAACCAGCAAACACCAAAAAAAAAAAAUUCUGAAGUACUUCCCUUAAUAUCAUUCCUGUGUAUUUCUUUUCCCCUCAAGACAUAUUUAACUUUGGUUCAGGGUAAAAAAGCUACAGCUUUUCCUGCCAUGUGCAACAAGCUGUCAGAUCAGAGUGAAAUCGAAAACAGAGUUGUGGUUGAUGGCAACCUCAUCACCAGUAGAGGGCCAGGAACUUCAAUGGAGUUUGCACUGGCAGUUGUGGAGAAGUUUUUUGGCCGCAACAAGGCACUUGAGCUUGCAAAGAUAAUGCUUUUCACUCGCGCCUAACGUUUGUACCGGGACCUGACUACUAUUAAACUAGUGUGUUUAUUUCUGUAUUACUACUGCUUGUAGAGAGGGGAAACGGAAACUUGAAUUCAUGUUUGAAUAUGGAUUCACUGUGUCGGUUUGUACAGCAGUUUGGUUUAUAAAUAAAUGAGUUCAUAGAGUCAUUUCAAAUAUUUGGAAUAAACCUGAGUUUAGUUCUGUUAUCAAUGGUCGGAGUCCAAUUGCGAUCGACUCACUGGGAAUUUUAAUUAUGACCACCUUUCUCAUAUAUAUAUAUAUAUAUAUCAAAUGUUAACUCGAUUUACAGGAUAAGAAGGAAAAGAAAGACGUUAAGAGAGGAGCAGAGACCCAAAAAGAGUUGACCACUUUGUUGGAGCAUAAAUCUCUAGAAUAUUGAAAUAAAACACAUACCAUAUCUAGUAUUAAGUAUGUAUAUGCAAGAAGAUACAAAUUUGAAGAUCAGAUUUCUCAUUUCAAUUUAUGUUCUGCUUAGAGCAAUGGCUCUCAUUCCACAAGCACAAACAGGAAAGAGUACGCAUGAAGUUAGGAAACAAACAUAGCAAAAUUUGCAUUAACUACUUGCAGCAACAUCAUCCAAGAACUUGACUUUAAUCUUCUUGAGCUUCGCUGCAGCAUCUGUCAUAUGCAUUCUCUUGUCAGGUGACUCCAUACAACAAUCCAAAGCCAAAUCCAUGAUGCUUAAUAAACAAUCCAUUUUGGCAGAAAAAGCUUGCUCUUCUCGCACCAAAUUUGUGUCAACAACUUCACUCAAUCUGUGAGGUAAUGACUCCUUUACCCAUCUCCUUAAACUCAUUUCUCCUGUGAACAUUUCAUCGGUGGGCCUCUUUCUCGUGAAAGUUUCCAUCAAUAACACACCAUAGCUGUAGACAUCGCAUUUGGCUGAAACAAUUCCUUCUGAUCCAUACUCUGCAUUUUUUAAUUUUAAUUAUGAAAAAAAUGAUAAAACAAAUAAUUUUUUGAUAAUUAAGGUAACCCAAACUUUGCUCGUGCUUGAAAAAAGAGUAAAAAUUUUAAUUACAAUUGAAACUUUACCUGGUGCCAUAUAACCAAUUGUAGCCAUUGUCGUGGUUUGUGUCACAGAAUCUUCUCCUUCACCUAAGAGUUUGGAAAUGUGCCACCAUAUUUUCAUCCAAGAGAAUGUUGGUAGGCUUCAAAUCACAGUGAAUUAUAGGUGCCGACGAAUGACCAUGACGGAGAUAUUCAAGAGCCGACCCCACAUCUAUCAUUAUAUUCAACCUCUCUAGAAUGUCUAAGAAAUAGUUGUGAGAAUACAACCACUUCUCUAGACUACCAUUCGGCAUGAACUCAAGUACCAAUGCUUUGAAAUCUGGAUUAGAACAACUGCUAAUGAUCUUUAUGAGAUUUCGAUGACGAACAUUCCGUAAAACUUCACAUUCAGAAUCAAAACUCCUAAAUGCUCUCUCUAGUUGCAGAUUGAAAAUCUUUAUCGCAACAUAAGUCCCGUUGGAAAUGGUUCCUUUAUAAACUGAUCCAAAGCUACCUGUACCCAGCAAGUUACAUUCAUUAAAUUCAUCAGUUGCUCGUUGAAUGUCUAGGUACGAUGUUCUUCUCCAUGUUGCAAGAGGUAGGAAAUCUUCGUGAUCUGAUUUUUUUGUACUCCUCUUUCGGCAUCUUAUGUACAUAAUGAUGAUAAUUACUAUAAGUACAGAGGAUACUAUCGGAGGCAAAAUAUAUUUAAGGACAAUUAGAGCAACGUUCUUGGUGCUUUUGCUGUCACCUUGUUUGCAAGGUGGGACUCGGAGUUUAGGUGGACCACAGAGUGCAUAAUUUUUGAAAAAUGAUUCAACUGACAAGUUUUUAAAAGAUCCCUUAACAGGAAUUUACCCUUCUAGCCUAUUAUGAGACACAUUAAAUUGUUUGAGAUGUGAAAGUGUCUCCAAUGACUUGGGAAUUUUUCCAGAGAGAUUGUUGCCGGAGAGAUCUAAGGAUUCUAAGCUUAUCAAACUGCCAACUGAUUCAGGAAUAGGUCCUUGAAAUUGAUUACUAGCCAAGGAUAGAAUUUCUAGAUCUACGAGGGCACCAAUAGUUGAUGGAAUAUCACCUGAUAAUUGAUUCCUUGAUAAAUCUAAAACUCUCAAGACCUUUAACUUUUGUAUAUUGGAAGGGAGAGAAUCAUUUAAUGAAUUUGACGACAAGUUUAUCAUCAGGAUGUACUCAAGGCUCCACAAGGAUGACGGUAUACUAGAACUGAGCUUGUUGGAGCCUAAGUGGAGUUCUCUUAGAGAUGUCAAACUCGCCAGGCACGGUGGUAUAUGUCCAGAGAGCUUAUUUCCACUUAAGUUUAAUAUAUUCAACCUCUCCAAAUGGCAAAGAUCAUGAGGAACGUAUCCUUGCAAAUUAUUCUCAGGGACAUAAAAACCUUGUAGCUGCUGUAGUGUGCCUAUGGAUGUUGGAAUAGUUCCAUUCAAGUCAUUGAAGCCGAGUCUUAAGGCGAUCAAGCCACGUAAAUUACCAAUUUCUUAUGGAAUGCUGCCCCCGAGCCUGCACUCGAAUGCAUAAAUAUUCUGAAGAGAAGCAGAGAAAUUUCCAAUUAAUUGUGGAAGGAUGCCACCUAAUGGAUUAGAAGCUAAGGCUAAAUUGGAUAGAUUUCUGCAAUUAGUCAAAGAAGAGAGAAAACUCCACUGAUCUGCUGAAGAGGAUUCUGUCGUCAAGUUAUUCAUCAUAACGUUGAGCACGCUGAGGUGUCUCAAGUUGCCAAAUGUAUUUGGAAUAUGGCCCGAGAAUGAGUUAAAGCCCAAGUCUAGGCCAAUGAGUUUAGUAGCAUUGGUAAUAGAGUUGGGAAUUUUCCCUAUAAGAUUAUUGGUCGACAAGGCUAGAUACUCUAUGUUCCGAAGCGAGUGGCCAAUCGUUGACGGUAAGCGGCCUGAGAGUUGAUUGCUCUCUAGAGUAAGGAUUCUCAUGGUUGAAAUAUUGAAGAUCGUGGGUGGAAUGAGGCCACUUAAUUUAUUAUCAGCAAGAUCAAGAUUCUUCAAAUUUUGUAGACUGCCAAUCUCGGUUGGAAUUUGACCUGCCAUCAGGCCAACAUUGAGAAGUCAUUGAGCUUUUAACUUAAGGUGAAUUGAGUUUGACAAUGUUACCCUUCAAAAUGUAAAAUGAUCAAAUUAAAUUUAUUACAUAAUAAUUUCAGCCAAUAAUGUUCUUUAAAAUAUUUCAUAGAUAACUCUGCAAAAUAUGCACGCAAAUGGAAAAUUAUGCUUUAAUUACAAGAGGUGGUGGAACGUACCUUGAAGAUUGCAAGACCAAAGACCCAGAUUCACGAGUUUUCUCAAAUUUCCAAUCCUUGAAGGAAUAGUUCCACCAAUAAUAUUGAACUCUGCACGCAGCAUCUCUAGCCUUGAUAAGUUGAAGAGAGAAUUAGGGAUGGGACCUGUGAAAUUGUUAUAAUCAAGUCUCAAUAUUCGAAGUUUAGAUAAGACACCAAUCCAUGAUGGAAAGCUUCCGCUCAAUUUAUUGUAAGCGAGACUCAUGACUCUGAGUCGACGUAAUUGCCCCAAUUCUUUCGGCAGAUGGCCAUGAAAAUUGUUCUCACUGAUGUCAAGAGACACUAGAAAUGAGAGAUUUCCGAAGUGUAGUGGAAUCGUGCCUCCGAGACCCAUAUCUGAAAGAUUCAAGGCAGUGACUCUUUGAUGGCGUGAACCACAAGAGAUACCAGCCCAGCUACAUAUUGGAUAAGAUAUAGACCAAUUAUUUGCCAGGGCACUCCGAUAAUCAAAAGCAUGGGCUUUGAAUGCUAGAAGAGAUGAUUGAUCUGUUGUUAAAUCGUUUAAAGUCGUCAUAGCUAAGCUGGCAAUGAGAUAUUGUAACACCAACAUAGGAACAAACAAGAAUAUAAACGCAUAUUGGUCGUUUUUAAUAGUAGUUGCAAGGCGAGAUUGAUACAAGUUUUAAGUGAAGGAAAUUAGCAUAUACUUAUAAUGAGACAUAUGAAUUUGAAAAUAAGAGCAGAAAAAAAAUACAGGAGACUUGCGAAUUGUUAUAUUCUCUCAUUGAGCGAGCCGUCCAAGAAAACGCAUUUAUACUUGAACCCUAAAUAAAGGCCUUAUGGCACUUUAAUUGCCAAAAGGAAGAAGAUGUUCUUUUUCUAAGGCUUAUGGCAACCAUAAUAUGUUCUUUUUCUUUUCUCUAAAAAGAAAAAAAAAAAAAAAAGGCAACCUUCACUUGACUUGGUCUAAUAAUUAUCACUAAACAAUUAAUAAUACUAAGGGUCAGUGGCAUCCAGCUUUAAAAUAACGACAUAAUUGGGGUAAGUUGUGUUUUAGAAAUAAAGAAAAUAGAUAACUAUACCUCCAUAAUUUGAUGAAAUAAUCAUAUAGACUUUCAAAUUUUUAAGAAUGGAUACUAAAACCCUGUUAUGUUACUUUCUACAGUUUAUUUAGAUGUCAAAUGCCUUUUUUUUUUUUCUCCUUUUUUCCACUGUGGAUGUCAAAUGUAAAAUUUAUUGUUAUUCCAAUAUCAUGUCAUCACUUGCUUCUAUACAUGGAACGAUAUAUUGACUGUUUUUCCAAAGUUUUAAAUUGAAUUAAAAACAUUCUAAUUAACCUUUAAAAAAAAGUCAUCCAACCAAAUAUAAAUCUUCUAAUUAACCUAAAAAUAGCUACGCCCCCUAUUAAUUUGAAUUAAAUAAAUCUUCAUUUUUGUCAUGAUUUUGGAUCGCCAAUGGGGUGGAUAUAUCCAACCAGAUCCGCCUCAUUGGCAUUCCUAUAUAUUCUGGAAUUGGAAGAGUAUCAACGACUUAAUGUGUAAUUCUAAAUUUGUAACGUUUAAUUCUAAUUUGAGGAUUCAAAUGAAUUUAUGAUGAUCUAAAAGGGGACUGAAGAUUGGCAUGCAUACACACAUACACACAUACAUAUAUGUAUAUAUAUAUAGAGAGAGAGAGAGAGGGGUAAUAUAAUAACAUUCUUCUUGAUGAAGAUUUUUGUGCCAUACGAAUUAAAUAAAGUGUUGUGUCGACGUUCGAGGCUAGAUUGGUUACAUUGCUUCAGAGGUGUUUAGUAGAAACUUUGUUGAGGCAUCACAUAAUUGAAAUUACUAGAUUUAGCGAGAUGUAUAUAUUUUCCACAUCUUCGAGCAGGUGUUUAGCAGGAUAAGCAUCGAGGAAAGUGAAAUUGCUAAGAAGAUGAAUAUUGUUGUUUUGUGGUGUAUACGGACUCGUCCAUCGGAUAGGUCGCCCAUGAACAGAGUGAUAGAAAUGUUAUUGCAAAGAAGCAGACUGACUAGCAGUGACGCUUUGAAAAGUCCACCGGACAUCUUCUCCUCCAAGACCACCAAUAUAUUCUUCCACCAUUCAACGUCGUGACGUGGGGAUCGGAAUUAAAUUAUAGGAUGCUUGUAAGUUUCCUUUGUGGAACUUGUGAAUUUGUGAUGGCAAAAGUCGAUGAUGUAUGCAACUAGCCGGCCCGUGUAGAGUCCGUUUGACUCAUAAAUAUUUGUCACUUUCACUCUUUUUCAAAACCCAAAAGCACGCUAAAUCUUAAUCUUAAAACAAUUUUUGAUUGAGUGCUGACAUUUUGGGCUUAUCUUUAAGUAAUCUUAUACCACGCAUGCAUUUUUGUCGUUGUGCGGUCAUCGUUACUUCUAAAGAUCGUAAUCUUUAAGAAAAAAAUUACUUCUCUUGAAAGUGAAAGCAGGGCAGCUAUUGGCGUAUUGCAAUGCAGCUGCUAUGUAUAGUAGUCAAUUCUUGAAAAGAACUAGUUUUCUUAAAUUGUAAAUGGUCCCCUUUAUGACUGGGAGAUUUUGAACAAAAUGAAUAUGAUGAAUUCUUUCCUUGAAGUCUCAUCUUUCAUAAUGAUUUGGAAAUAAAGAUAUUACCAUCUCUGGCUAAAUGUUUACUCUUGAUUUGGACCACCUAAUCUGAACUUGAUGAAAGAUUAUGAUCUUGCCUUAUUUUAUGGAUGUGGUCUUAUCUCACUAAGUCAGUAAUGAAUUAAUUAAAGUUUACUGUCAAAUUACGAACUCAAAAACUGCUGCUGCUUCAUUAUUCACAAUACCCAAAUUCAGUGCAGAACUUAUUAUAAGUUUUCCGAAAGUUUUAUGCUUUCUUUCCCCCAAAUCCCAAGUGCUUCCUGUAAUAUCAUUCCCCUGUAGAUGUCUUCUCCUAAGACAUGUUUAACUUUGGUUCAGGGUAACAAAGCUAUAGCUUUUCCUGCCAUGUGCAACAAGCUACUAAAUUGGAGUAUUUAUGAGUUGAUAACAAGCCAUUUUAAAUAUUUGCACCAAAAAAAAAAAAAAAGGUGAGUGAUGUCGAGUUCUAAUUUCAAUGUUCAGAGUAGAAUUUUGAUUACUGGAAAUUUUAAUUUAUGAAGUUGAACUAAGAAUUUGUUAUAAUAUAUUCCACCUUCCUAUACAGUCAUCUGGAAUAAUAAUAUAUCAAAAACAGUAAUAAGUCGAUUUGCAGGGUAAGAAAGAAAAGAAAGACGCUACGAGAGAAGCAGAGAUUCAAAGACUUCACCACUUUGUUGGAGGAAAAAUUUCAUAAGUCUCCAGAAUAUUGACAUAAAACACAUACCAUAUCUAGCAUUAAGUGUAUUUAUAUAUGUCCAAAGAUAAAAAUCGAAGAUUAGAUUUGUCAUUUCAAUUUAUGUUCUGCUCAAAGCAAUGGCUUUUAUUCCACAAGCACAAACAAGAAAGAGUACGCACAAAGUUAACAAGCACACAUAGCAAACAUGACAUCAACUACUUGCAGCAGCAUCAUCCAGAAACGUCACUAUAAUCUUCGUAGAUGCCCCCUGUUCUGGUGAUUCCAUGCAAAAAUCCAAUGCCGAAUGCAUGCUGCUUAAUAAACAACUCAUUUUAGCAGAAAAAGCUUGCUCUUCUCUCACCAAGUUUGCAUCGACAACAUCACUCAAUGCAUGAGUUAAUGACUCCCUUACCCAGUCUCUUAAACUUAUUUCUCCCGUAAAUAUUUCAUUUGUCGGCUUGUUUCUGGUGAAAGUUUCCAUCAAUAAAACACCAUAACUGUAGACAUCACCUUUGGCCGAAAUCAUUCCUUCUAAUCCGUACUCUGCAUUUUUUUGUUUCAAUUGAUCAAAUAGAUGUGACAUCAUAAAACAAAUGAUAAACAAAUAAUCUUUUGACAGUCAAGAUGGCCCAAACUUUGACUGUGCUUAGAAAAGAGCGGAAAUUUGAAAUUAUAAUUGAAACCUUACCUGGUGCCAUAUAACCAGUUGUAGCUACUGUCAUGAUUUGGGUCACAGAAUUUUCUUCAUCACCUAAGAGUUGGGAAAUGCCAAACUCACAUGUGCCACCAUAUUUUCAUCCAAGAGAAUGUUGCUAGGCUUCAAAUCACAAUGAAUUACAGGUGCUGAUGAAUGAUCGUGAUGGAGAUAUUCAAGUGCCAGCUGCACAUCUAUCAUUGUAUUCAUCCUCUCUAGGAUAUCUAGGAAAUAGUUGUGAGAACACAACCAUUUCUCAAGACUACAAUUGAGCAUGAACUCAAGCACCAGUACUUUAGAAUCUGGAUCGCAACAGCUGCUAGUGAUCUUUAUGAGAUCUUGAUGACGAACAUUCCACAGUACUUCACAUUCAGAAUCAAACCUCCUAAAAGCUCCCUCUAGCUGCAGAUUGAAAACCUUUAUUACAAUGAUAGUCACAUCAUAAAGUGUGCCUUUAUAAACAUAUCCGAAGCUAUCCGUACCUAGCAGGAUACAUUCAUCAAGGGUGCGUUUGGGAUUGGGGUUGGGCAGCUGUAGCUUAAAAGCUACAGCACUAAAGUGUUUGGUAAACACUAACUGCUGUAGCUUUAAAGCUAUGUUGAUAUGAUUUUUCACUUGUAUAAUAUAAAAUUUAUUAUAUCUUUAAUAAUCUUAUCAAAAUUAGUAUUUAAAAUUUAUAUUUACUAUAUAUUAUUAACUUUUGUUUCAUAAUUACAGCUUUUUUUUCACAACAGCUGUAGCUUAAAAGCUACAGCACCUCAAUCCCAAACACACCCUAAAUCCAUCAGUUGCUCGUUGAAUAUCAUGAUAGGAUAUUCUUCUCCAUGUUGUCGAAGAGAACAAAUCUUCUUUAUCUGGAGUUCUUGUUUUCCUAUUUUGAAAUAUUAUGAAGAAUCAUAACAAUUGUUAUUAGUACAUUGGAUAUAAUUGAAGGCAAAGUAUAUUUCCGGACAAGCAGAGUAGCAUUCUUGGAUCCUUUGCUAUUAUCUUCUUUGCAAGGUGGGACUUGAAGUCUUGGUGGACCGCAUAGUGCAUAAUUCUCAAAAAAACGAUUGAGCUGAAAUGUUUUUAAAAGGUCCUUUGAUAGGAAUUCCCCCUUCUAGCUUGUUGUGAAAAUUUUAAUAUACUCGCAAGCACACGAAUUUAGAAAUAUAAUAAUGGUAACGAGGGCGAUCCCACGUGGAUUGUUAUAAAUUGAAAAGUUUAAUUUAAAUCUAAAAUUAAUAUUAAUCAUAACCUAGUUGAGCGAAUUGAGUUUUAAAAGAAAUUAAACUAAUUAAACUAAGAAAACAAUUAAAGUAAAUGAGAUUUCAAUAAGAUAAAAAUUACCAAGGUUUCAGAAUCCACCACUAUUCAACUAGUAAUUAUCUAAUUAUUAAUUAAUCCCUAAUUUUAGAGUGACAACUCGAAAUCAAUUUAUGUCAUCUCAUGGAUACAACAAUUAAGUCAAAUAAAAUUAAUCUUGUGUAGGUUCUUUUUCUGCUUAAUAGUAUGAUAUCUAAGUAUUCCAUGUAAACAUAUUGAGUAACAAAGAGUCAAAGUUUUCCUAAGUACUCUGUGUAAAUAAUUUAAUAAAAGACAUAGAAUCAAAGAUAAUCAUAUAUAAACUUUAUAGAUUCAAGCAUAGAUUUAAUCGAAUAUUAAUCGUAACAAUCAAUAAUACAUGACAGAAUUAAUGAAAAGAUUUUAAUAACAUCUAAUUAAUCAUGUAAAAUAAAAACCAUAAUCAUCAAAGAAUAUCUAUAGGGAAUUAAAUAAAUAAAAAGAUAAUUAUUUCAUUGAAUAGAGUUUCAUCCUUAAGCUCAGUAUAAGAAAAUUAACUAGACGUACUUAAAUAGGGAGCAACAAAAAAAAUAAAAUCAGCCAUGAAAAGCCGAACUGUUGCAGUCGGAUUUCUCCCUAAUCGCGUCUGCGCUUUUCUUUUCUUUUCCUCUGGCGGCUGCCCCUCCUCUCCAAAAGCCAAAAGCUUGCUUUUAUAUUUAGUCUUUAAAAUGGGCCCCACCUCUUAAAUUCUAAAAAGGGCUUGGCCCUUUUAUUUGCUUCGUCUUGCACGUGCACUCCACUUGGAAUUUUCACUCUUUUUUUUAACGCCAUACAAUUGCUUCUCACGUGAUGGCCAUAAUCUUCUUUAUCUUCAUGUGCAUGGAUGAAUGAACUUGUCUUGAAUUCACAUGCAUAUUUGCCUAAUUGCUCCUAAAAUCAAUCAAUUAAUACCUCCAAAAUUUAGCUCUUUUAUGUCCUUUUUUAUCCAUAAUCUCCAAUUAAUCCCCUACUCAAUAAAAUAAUUCAAUUAAUUAAAAAUAACAAAUAAAAAUAACUAGCAAUUAUAUAAUUAAGGGUAAAAUAUGUAUGUAUUAUAUACUCAUCAUAGCUUAUUGUGAGACACAUUACGUUGUUUAAGAUAUGAGAGUGCCUCCAUUGACUUUGGAAUUUCUCUAGAGAGAUUGUUGCUAGGGAGAUCCAAAGAUUCCAACCUUAUCAAACUACCAAAUGAUUCAGGGAUCAGACCAUAAAAUUGGUUUCUAGCCAAGGAUAAAGUUGCUAGAUCUUUGAGGCCACCAAUACUUACUGGUAUAUCAACUGAUAAUUGAUUUCUUGAUAAAUCAACUCUAUUAAGACCUUUAAGUUUUGUAUAUCUGAAGAUAGAGGACCACUUAGAGAAUUUGUUGACAAGUUUGCAUACAAGAUGUACUCAAGACUCCACAAGGAUGAUGGGAUACUAGAAGUGAGCGUGUUGGAGCUUAAAAAGAGUGUUCUUAGAGAAGUCAAACUACCCAAGCAUUGCAGUAUAUGCCCGAAGAGCAUAUUUUGAUUUAAAAAUAAACCAGUCAACCACUCCAAGCGGCAAAGAGUUAAAAGAUAAAAUGCUCUGUAGAUUUUGUUUGUUUACUUAGAAAACAGGAGAGAAAGUUUAUUGACUUAGAGAAAAUACAAAGCUCAACAUAUUCAUUAAUUACAAUACAACACUAUUUAUAUUAGUGUGUAAAAUCUUCUCAAGGUUACAAGUUUACAAAACUUGUGAGCACAGAUUCUGGUAUUCAUAACAAACUUUUGGAGGGAAGCUAAUUAGCUUUCAACUAACUGCAAAACUAACUUUCCAGCAUGGCUUGAUGACUCAGCAGAUGACUCAGCAUUUUAUUCUUAACAUGCCCCCGUAAGCUCAAGGUCGUGGACAGACAUUGAGCUUAGUUCGCAUAUAGGCAAAAUGAUCAAAGCUCAGAGGUUUUGUAAGCACAUCAGCUAACUGAUUAGAACUGGACACAUGCUCAAUGAAUAGCUGCUUAUUAGCUAUGUGUUCUCUGACAAAAUGUCAAUCCAAUUCUAUAUAUUUAGUUCUGGAAUGAUACUUAGGAUUGCUGACCAAAGCUUCUGCACUGUUGUUAUCACAAUGAAGAGCAAGAGGUUUGUGGAGUGAUACUUUGAGCUCUUUCAACAGAUAUGUAAUCCACAAAACUUCAGACAUAGCCAAGGCUAAAGCUCUAUACUCAGAUUCAACAGAUGAUCUGGAAAUAAUGUUUUGUUUCUUAGAUGACCAAGACACAAGGUUUGAUCCAAGAUAAACACAAUACCCUCCAAUAGAUCUCCAGUCAUCUGGAUCAGACCCCCAAUCUGCAUCAGAAGAUGCUAUGAGAAUUGGAGAGCUUGACUUGAAGAACUAAAGUCCAAAAUGUGUUGUACUCUGCAGAUAUCGUAACACCCUCUUGCAAGCCUGCCAAUGCAAAGUAGUUAGAGCAGCUAAAAACUGGCUCAAUUUAUUUACUGUGAAUGCAACAUCUGGUCUGGUCAGUGUCAGAUAUUGCAGAGAACCAAUGAUGCUUCUGUAAAGUGAAGAAUUUUCAAAUGUGCAGCCUUUGUCCUUCUGCAACUUAUCAGCAACACUGAUGGGUGUAUUACAACCUUUUUUUUUUUUUUGAGAAGGGUGUAUUACAACCUUUACUUCCAAGCAUUUGAGCUUUUCUCAAGAUAUCACCAACAUACUUAGUCUGAGAUAGAUGUAAUCCUUCAGCAGAUGGAGUCACUUCUACCCCAAGGAAAUAAUUGAAAUCUCCUAAAUCUUUAAGUGCAAACUCUGAGCUGAGUUGACUGAUAACCUCUGUAAUGUAAACAUUACUAGAGACUGUUAUUAAGAUAUCAUCUACAUAGACAAGGAUGAUUAGAACAUCACAUCCAAUAUGCUUAAAAAAUAAUGAGGUUUCUGACUUGGAAGACCUGAAACCCCACUGAACUAGAGAUCCUUUCAGCCUAUCAUACCAAGCCCUGGGAGCCUGUUUAAGACCAUAAAAGGCUUUAUGUAAUUUGCAGACAUGAUUGGGAAACUGGGAAUUGGUAAAGCCUUCUGGCUGAGGCAUAAACACAUCUUCAGUAAGCAUGCAAUUAAGAAAGGCAUUGUUAACAUCUGAUUGCCGAAUUGGCCAACAAUUCAUGACUGCUAAGCUGAGAACAAUACGAACAGUGCAGGGUUUAACAACGGGACUAAAGGUUUCAAAGAAAUCUACUCCAUAAGUUUGAUGAAACCCUUUUGCAACCAACCAAGCCUUAUACUUGGAAAUGCUGCCAUUUGGGUUAUACUUCACUCGAAAAACCCACUUAUUGCCAACAAGUUUUGUAGCUGUUUCAGCUGGAACUAAUGUCCAGGUGCCAUUUUUCUGCAAAGCAUUAUACUCAUCUUGCAUAGCCAUCUUCCACUUUGUAUCAACCAAGGCUGCUUUAACACUCACUGGUUCAAGGUCUUGGGUAGCUGUAAGGUAGGUCUUUGGUUUAAAAACACCAGAUUUGGCUCGAGUAACCAUUGGAUGAGUGGAAAUUAUAGGAUGAGGAGAUGGUUGUGAUUCAACAUAAGGAUUGGAUAAAGAAUUAUGUGAUGAAGAAUGUGGUCAUGAUGAGUUAGAGGAAUCUGAUAUUGGAGAGGGACAAUGAGAAUAUGGAGCUUGUUGAGGUUGUUGAGGUGAAUGUGAAGAUGGUGAUAUUGGUAACACUACUGAAGCAGGAGAUAUAGCAGAUGACUGAUGCAAGCCAUUGUCAUUGAGGAUACAAAUAGAUGGAGAGUAGGAUGAUAGAGACUCAGAGGAAGAUUCAGAUGAGAAGAACAACUCUGAGUAGGGAAAAUCAGACUCAUUGAAAAUAAUAUGAGCUGCAACAUAGACUUUGCCUGAUUUUGUUAGACAUCUAUACCCUUUGUGAAGAGGACUGUAUCCUAAGAACAACCUUUUUUUUUUAAUGAAAGUCAAGCUUGUGGUUAUUGUAAAGUCUGAUAAAAGGGUAACAAGCACAGCCAAAAACUCUGAGAAGUUGGUAAUUUGGUGGCUGAUUAUGAAGUUUUUGAUAGGGAGAUAAGUUGUUAAAUGUAGUGGUAGGCAUUCUAUUAAUGAGAUAAGAGGCUGUAUGAAAAGCCUCCCACCAGAAAGAAAUAUGCAUUUUUGCUUGAGCAAGAAGUGUUAAUCCAAUUUCAACUAAGUGUCUAUGCUUUCUCUCAACAACACCAUUUUGGUGAUGUGUAUAGGGACAACUAAAUCUAGCUUGGAUGCCUUCUUAUUGAAGAAAGGACUGAAAGAUUUUAAAUUCACCUAAGCUCUUAAAGUUUUUUAAAGUAGUAAGAGCAUAUGAUUUCAAUACUAAGGGAAAGAUCCAACAAUAUCGGGUGAAAUCAUCAACAAAGGAGAUAUAGUAUCUAUAACCAUCCAAUGAUAAGACAAGUGCUGGUCCCCAUAAAUUUGUGUGUAUCAAUUCUAAAGGACAUUUUGUUUUGAUUUCAGUAGCUGGAAAAUGCAAUUGGUGUAACUUUCCAAGUUGACAGGCAUCACAGAAAUGAAAAAUUGAUUUGUUAACAUGAACUGACAGUAAACAAUUGUUCCUGAGAAUAGUUUGUAUAACAUGUUUGCUUGGAUGACCAAGUCUGUUAUGCAAUACAUUAGCUGACAUAGAACCUGAAGCUUGAAAGCUUAUAGGAGAUGUAGACUCAAAACAAAAGCCAUUAUUUGAAUUUUGAACAGAAGUAACUGCAUUAUUGAAAGAAAGGGUUGACAUCAUAGAACUAGGAUGACACAUUUGCAGAAAAGAAGAGGAAUGAGAGAUAUAUUCCUCUUUUGACAGUAGCUUGUACAGACCAUCUUUAGCAAUCCCUUGAGCUAACAGAGUGCCCUUCGCCUUGUAUUUUAGAAAGCAAAUGUAACACCCCAAAAAUUACCCAUGAAAACACAAGGGUAAAAUUGGAAUGAAACCUCACAUCAUUUAUUCUUAUUAAUAAAUCUCAAGAUAAACAAUCAUUAUUCAUACUCCAACUGAAUCCUUACAUAAAACAUAUGAAAUAAAGUCUCCAAAGUAAAGUCUCUAAUCCAAAAUAAAAAGUCUAGCCAAAUUUAAUCUUUAAAGCAACUCCAAAGAUCCACUAAGAAAAAUUCUCCAUCUAAGCACCCAAGCCACAUUUCUAAUCAAUCUGCAAAAUAUUAGAGACGAGGGGUGAGCCGUCAACUCGGUAAGCAGAUCCAUGCACAAUAUUUGAAAACCUUUGUCAUGUAUCGUUAAACAUUUUAUAACAACAUCUUCAUUUAGCAUAAGGGGUGGAUUCAUAUAAAAACAUUAAAACAUUUAUAAAAACAUUAAAGCGUAAACAUUGGUAGCUCAUGCCUCAUAGUCAUCAUCAUUCAUCAUUCAUCAUUCAUCAUUCAUCAUUUAGGGUGUUAUACCCUGCAUUGUUCCUCAUUCAGGGUACUAUACCCCACAUUGUUCGUAACAUCCUUGUGCACAAGAUCAUCAUCAUACCAGCAAGCUGGCCAUAACAUUUCAUAACAUCAUAACAUUAACAUCAUAUACAUUACUACGGACUAUGAGCCAAAACAUUUUUGAAUCCACCAUACAUUCUUUCAUAAAUAGCAGUUAAAGUCUUCUAAAACAUUUAAGAACCUUUCUUUGAUCAUUUAAUUCUUUUAGAAAAUUCUUUAAGAAAACAUUUUGUUUAAGAAAACUAAUUUCUUAAGAAAAAUUAAUUUUAAAAUAAUUUUAUAUAAAUUCAUUUAAAAGUGUUUUUAUUUUACAAAAUUAAUUUAAAUAUUUUAGAAAUCAGUUUUGUAAAAAUUUCCAUUUAAACAUAAUUUGUAACGUAAAUUGCAUUUAUUAUAAAGCACAUCAUGCAUGAAUCUACUUACCUCGAUCCGUAGCAAUCAAUUCAAUACCUCAAGAACAACCAACGAGCUCACCCUCGUCCUAUAAUCAUCAUAAAAAUAUUCUUAUCAAUAUCAUCUCUAACCUUAAACAUAAUCCCAAUCAUCCUUAAAUCAUAGACACUAAUACUACCUUAAUACUUAUACAUAUUCUAAACAUAUCCUAUACUUAUGAGUAUCCUGCACAUGCUGAUUUUUAAUAACCUAUACACAUGUCGGAAAACCAUGAAAAUUUACAGAGGCACUGUGAACAUGCAUAGCAUUGCAUACAAUAUUUCACAAAAAAAUCAGCACAAGUCAAAAUCGAGUCAGAAUAUUGACCUUUCACCAAAGUUAGAGCUGGCAAAAUGGGUCAUCGGGUCGUGUUCGUGUCGUGUCAGCUUCGUGUCGUGUCAAAUUUAGGUCGACCCAAACCCGACCCAUUUAAUAAUCGUGUCAAAAUAUUGAGAUCCAAACCCGACACGGAAAAAUAACCGGGUUACCCAAUAACCCGUUUAAUAUCUAUAUAUUGAACAAAAGUUACAUCAAAUAUUUACACACUAUCAUACAUACGUAUGUACAUAAAUACAUACAUACAUACAUACAUACAUAAUUUAUCGAUAUUAUAAAAUAUACAUAUCUACCAAUAUAUUACACAUGUACACUAUUGAGUUUUAAUUAUAUAUAUAUAUAAUAUUAUAUAUCAAUAUUAUAAAAUAUACAUGUCUAUCAAUUUUUACACAUUUACACUAUUGAAGCUCUAAAUGUAUGUAAAAUUUUAUAAAUAAAAUAUUGUGUUUAUAUUCACCCUUUUAAAGAAUAAAAAAAAAAAGAAAAUCAUCUCUAAUAUUUGAGUUUUAAUUAUAAGAAUAUGUAAAUUAUUUUAAAAUAGAAAAUAUAAUCGGGUCAUUGAUCGGGUAAAUGGGUCAAGAAUUUUAACCCAAACCCGACACAGAAAAAAAUCGUGUUGACCCAGACCCGACCCAUUUAAUAAUCGUGUUAAAUUUGACGACCCAUACCCAUUUAUUUAUGUCGUGUUCGUGUCGGGUAAUCGGGUCGUGUCAAAUUUUGCCAGCUCUAACCAAAGUAACAAAAACUGUCCAGCACUGACCAAAACAGACCUUUUCCAAUUAGAAAAUUCAUAAAAUAUUCUUUGGUACUCGAAAUAAUAUGUUUCUUUUUUCUAAUUACAGAAGACACAUUCAAAAAGCAUAUAAUUAAAAUUCAUAAUUUUUGGACUCCUGAAACUAUUUUAAAACGUUUUAUUUCCGAGAACAUCUAACCCGUCCAGACAAUUCCAGAUUUGAAAACAGAAUUUCAAAAAUUCGUAUCUUUUAUUUUACAUGCCCAAAAAUCGUGAUUCCAGUUUUUAAAGACAGAGGAAAGAUUCAAAUUUCAUUAUAAAAUCCUAACAUGGCCUGUAAUAUUCAUAAACUAGCCCAACUGUUACACGUUUCAGCUUCUGAAAUUCUGGAAAACAGUUUCCAGAUUUGCAGCAGCCAUAUGUUACGAUUUUUAGUAAUUCAACCAUAAAGAAUAAAACUACGAAAUUAAACAUGCAAGCAUAGGAGACAUAGAUCUGUUGGCAAAAAAAUCGGCAUAAUUUUAAAGGAUGUGUAACCUUAUAGAAAAAUUUCCAGAGUUGAGAACCGCUGCUGAAAAUCGGAAUUUUCCAGCACCAGUAACCCAACUUCGAAAACCCAGAACAAUUUGCAUACUCAGACGAUUUCAACACAAAGCCUAUCAAUGGAAAGCCUGGGAUGUCUAGUUCCAUGAUAUGUAAGAUAUUCAAGUGAUUCUAAAUAAAGAAAACGAUUUCAAGCAAGGAAUAGAGAGUGUUCAUAUCAUCACAACAUUACAAACACACAUAUAUUACCCAAAUCAUACUACAAGUAAUUAAAGGCCAACAAUUCCAUAAAAAUAAAUCAUAUAAGUCGAAGAAAUACUUAAUACCUUAAGGCAAACACUAAGAAAGAAGUGAUAAAACUUUCUUUUCCUUCUCCAAAGACUUAUAUUUCCUUCUUUUCUUUCUAGGGUUUGUAACGGUGUAAAAAAAUAAAAGACGGCUUCUUAAAAAAGAUGGUUUUCUCUUAAAUACUAGGUAAUUAAUAAAUAUUUAAAAAGAAAAAAAACUAAUAACUUACGUAACUUAUUUAAAACAAUCCGAUAAAUUUUACUCACACACAAACACUCAAUAAUAACUAUCCUACUCAAUUUAAUAAGGGCAAAAGAGGAAAAUUAAAUAAAUAAAAUUGGGCGUUACAGCAAACAUCAAAGAAAAAUUCAAUGGUUAUAUCAUUAUCAGUGAGGAGUUUGGAAAUACUAAUGAGGUUUUUGGUAAUUUGAGGAACACAUAAAAUAUUAUGUAGUUGUAAACAGGUGCCAAAAGAAGUGUAAAGUUGAGUAUAACCUAUGUGAGUGAUUCGAAGGCCUUGGCCAUUACCAACAGUUAGUAAAUUUGAGCCAAAAUAGAUCUUACCAUCACUCAGAUUCUGAACUGUGUUGGUUAAGUGAUGAGUUGCACUACUGUUCAGAAACCAUCCUUGGUCAGCAACUCCCUCAGAUGUUGUUAUGAAGGCUGCUCUUGGUCCCUAAUGCUGAUUAGAGAAGUGAUUUGGAGCUGGAGCUGGAAAAUUUGGAACAAAAUUCCUGUUGAACCUGUCUCUGCACUCACCUGCUGUGUGAUUAAACCUGAAGCAUAUUUGGCAAGCAACACCAGUUCCCUGAGCAAAAUUCUUUCCAGCGCCUCCUGAAUUGAAACCACCUCUGCCAUAAUUGUUAUUGAAGCCACCAGGACCAGGAAAUCCAUUGUUAAAUCCACCAGCAAAACCUCUGAAGUUGUUAUUAUUCCAGUUUCCUGUUCCUGGAUUGAUUCCUUGAUAACCACCUCUUCCAUUACCACCAAAACCACCUCUUCCACCAGAAUUAUUGUUCCAAUUAUUUCCUCCAGCCUUGUUCUAGUUGUUUUGAUUAUUAUUAUUACCUUUCUUUGAAAAAUUUCCAGCCUGAGCUAUAUUUGCUGCAUAAUUGUUCUUGGUUUCCUUACUAUCAUGAAGCUUAUUGUUCUCAAGUCUAGCCUCAUGUGUGAGAAACAUAGCAUAAGCCUCACUAAGAUCCAUAUUCAACAUAUUUGCCUCAAUAUAGACAACUACAAGAUAAUAUGACUGAUCUAGGCCAGAGAUAAGAUGAGUAAUUAGAUCCAAAUCAUUCACAGGACUACCAACUAGAGCAAGACCAUCUGUGACUGUUUUAAGCUUUGUAAAAUACUCAGACAUGGUUAAAGAUCCUUUUCGCAGGUUACUUAGAAGCAUUUUCAGAUGAACCUUCUUAGCCAUAGAUUCAGAUCCAAAUUGUUUUUCAAGGUUUUUCCACAACUCAAAAGAGGUCUUAGAGCUUACCACAAGACUAAGAAUAUCAACAUUCAUGGAUGACAUAAUCCAACUGAGCAGGAGCUGAUCUUGACGUUUCCAAGCUGCAUACUCUGGAUUCUCUUGACCUUCGAUGCUGGAAGAAGAAGAACCUUCAGAUCUAGCCUCUGGUGGAAGAAAUUGACCAGGACAGAUCCUGGAUCCAUCAAUAUAGCCUUCAAGACCAUUGCCACGAAUUGAAGAAAGUACUUGCUGUUUCCAGAUCAUAUAGUUCGAGCGAUCAAGCUUGAUUGGAUUUGUGACGGUGAAAGAAGUUAUGGGAGUGUUGCUGGAUUGUUGAUUAGAACCGAUUAAGGCCAUUUGAUUCAAGCUUUGAUACCAAGUUAAAAGAUAAAAUGCUCUGUAGAUUUUGUUUGUUUACUUAGAAAAACAGAGAGAAAGUUUAUUGACUUAGAGAAAAUACAAAGCUCAACAUAUUCAUUAAUUACAAUACAACACUAUUUAUAUUAGUGUGUAGAAUCUUCUCAAGGUUACAAGUUUACAAAACUCAUGAGCACAGAUUCUGGUAUUCAUAACAAACUUUUGGAGGGAAGCAAAUUAGCUUUCAGCUAACUACAAAACUAACUUUCCAGCGUUGCUUGAUAACUCAGUAGAUGACUCAACAUUUUAUUCUUAACACUCAGCAGAUGACUCAACAUUUUAUUCUUAACACAAAGAUCACAGGGAAUGCAUCCUUGCAAAUUAUUGGCAUCGAGAUAUGAAACUUGUAGUGUCUUUAACGUUCCCAUUGAUGCUGGAAUAGUUCCGUCCAAGUCGUUAUUGGAGAGGCUUAAAGGUAUCAAGCCACGAAAGUUACCAAUCUCUUAAGGAGUGCUGCCCCUAAUUUUGCAAUCAUGUGCAAAAAUUUUCUGAAGCGACUCACAGAAAUUCCCAAUUAAUGGUGGAAGGAUGCCACGUAAAGGAUUAUAACCUAAGCCUAAAAAUGCUAGCAUCCUUCAAGAAGUCAAAGAAGGGAGAAAACUCCACCCACCAGUAGAUGAUUCGUCGUCAGGUAAUAUACGCCAAGGAAUCUCAGGUUGCCAAAAGUGCUUGGGAUAAGGCCGGAGAAAGAGUUGUAGCUCAAGUCUAGGACUCUGAGUUUAGAAGCGUUGGUGAUGGAGUUGGGAAUUGUGCCGCUAAGUUUGUUCUUUGCCAAGCUUAACCAGUCCAUGUUUGGAAGCGAGUGGCCAAUCGUUGGUGGUAAAUGGCCUGUGAAGUGGUUUUCAGCUAGAGUAAUUCUUGUUAUGUUGAAAUAUUGAAGAUCGCGGGUGGAAUAAAACCAGUUAAGUUAUUGGAAUUAAGAGCUAAAUACUCCAGAUUUUUUAGAUUGCCCAUCUCAGUUGGAAUUUCACCUGCCAGAAUAAAUGCCCACAUUAUAUAUUAACGGUUAUUGAGCUGAAAGUACAAGCAGAGUAAUAUAUAUGUUCAAAUGCAUUAAAGUCGCAAGUUUCGUUUGACACCAAGCAUAUGGAUUAUGGUCUCUCUAGUUAAGCGAUUUUGUUAAUUAGUUGAAAAAAAAAUAUGAUGGAGAAUGUUUGAAUUGGGCCUUCUAUUUUCAUUAUAGAAUAAAUUAACUAUUAAUUUUCAUGAGAAAAAUACUUAUUUCCAUAAAAUUAUUCAAGCUUUUAAAAAGAUUCAGAAUUAAAAAUCAAACUUUGUACUGUAGAAAAUUUGCCGGUACGUUCAAUUAGUACUUCGUUUGAGGAAAUAAGAUUAGAAUAGGCUAAAGGUACGGUAGUUAUGCGGUACCUGUUUCAUAACCGUAGAAUAGUAAAUGUUUGACUUUUUUAUUAGAAAUAUAUCAUUAACAAUUUUGUUCGCUAAUUGAAUAGAGAAAGAAGGGGGGGGGGGGGGGGGGGGGGAGAGGGCAAAAAGGUUAACACAUUUCGAAACUACAAACGAUUGCCUUUUCCUAUUAAUAAUGUUUGCGGAUUCUAACAAUUGAAUCUCAAGGUCAUGAUAUAGUGAAUUUUAUAGUGAAUAAAAUUAAUAUUCCACAUACUAUCUAUUUAAUUAAUGUCACAUCAAUUGAGACUUAAGAUAGGGCUCAAUUGUUGGGAUACCUGAUAUUACUCUCUUUCUAAAUAUAAAAUUAAUGUUAAUAGUAAAAGCAUUUGGAAACUGGGUCGAAUCCCCCAUUAGGGAUCAAAUUGGGAUUGCGGUGGCUGAUGAAGCUACUUUAUGUUGUAUGGAUUAAAUAAGACGCCGAUUGAAAAAAUAACUUAGUGUUUUGAAAAUUGCGUUGUUAUGGUUACUGUAAGUUUGUAAAGUAGAAUACAUGCUUUUAGUAAAUUUGAUUACGAAAAUGUUGUUUUAUUAUAUAAUGACAAAAAAUAGACAUAAGUUUAAAUUGCCUUUUAUUUAUAUAUUAGGGUUUGCAGAAAAAUAAGACUUAAUUAUCUUUUAGUUAAAGUUUUAAGGUUAUAAUAAGAACUUUAAAAGUAAUGGCAGCUUAUUUAAUAAGCUGCUUAUAAAAUGGAACUUCAUAUCAGGAAGUCUGAGGAUAAUACGAGUAGAGAAUUUGAGAAGGCAGCUAGGCGCCUAGAGAAUGCUCGACUGGUUUGUGGCCUAUCUUUUAAUUUCUUCAGAUUCGGGACAAAUUGUCUUGGAGUGAACUGAUGUGUUGCCUUUUCUUUUUUUAAGCUUGAAUGAUCUAUUUGCUGCAGUAAGCAGUGAACGUCCUAAUGAAUGUUAAAUUAUGCUGUUUGUUUCGAUUUACUUUUCUAUCUUAGCUCCGUGUGAUUAGUGGAAUGCUGGUCCUGCGAGUAUAAAAAUGAACUCCUUAAGUCAAAUUCCUUCUUGGGGUGUUGGAGAAAGAACUAAAUACAUGUAACAUUUCUUUCGGAUAUGGAUCAUCUGAUGGAUGUUGUAUUUUCUAGGUAUUGAGGAGAUUCCCUAAUAUUGAAAAAUUACGUUCCCGAGCAUCAAAAGAUGAUCCCCUAGAAUUGCGUUCACCUGUGACAAAAGAGGAGCUUGUAGCUGAGGUAUGGAUUUUUAUCUUUCUUGGUUGUUCUUUAUAGUCGUUUCUCAUUAUAAUAGCAAAAGCAGUUUGUUCUGAGUGACCUGUGUAGUCUACUAUCAAUCUCUGCCGAUUCUAUCAUUAGUACUAUUGACUAUGUGUGCUUAGAUAUUUUGUUUUUACCAUGUAAUUUCAUAUUUGAUACAUUUCUAAUUGUGCAUUGCAUAGCGUCCAUGAACGGGAAUGAUAAAAUAAAUUUCAAGCGUGUUUAAGUAGAUGAAAAAACUUGGUACGAUUUAGAAGGAUUUACUGAUUAAAUAAUUUUCCAAUUUGUUUGCCUGGAGGAAUUGAAUAGUUAAUUGAUUAAAGGAUUGCAAGGUGGUUAGGUCCAGCCGAGCAUUGUAAAUUUUAACGAUCAUUAUGAAUGUGUAGUUCCUAUAUGUGAAAUUGAAUUUCCAUGGUGGCAUGAUAAAAUGAAUUUCUGCUAGGGUGUGAUCGUAUGGUAGUCAAUUGUGAGAAACAGAUCCACAUGGUAAUAUAGAUUGAAAUUUUGCGUCUUAAUCCACGAAGAUAUAGAUUUUGGCAAUAUUAUACAAGCACUGGGGGUUACCUUAAAUAUUCUGGACUUGCCAUUGAUAGAGUUUCUUUUACCUAGUUAUUGAUAUUGCUUUCAAUUUUCUAUUUUACUGAUACCAUAUAUACAAAUUUAGGUGGCAAGACACCUCUGUCUGCUUUCGGGGAAUACGAGGUUCCUAUGCGCUUACCCAAAGGUCCAGUGGACUCUCAAUGUCAAAGCCCGCGGCAAAUAAACAAUCGUUUCAUUUGUUUUGUUUUACUCGGUUCGGGAUCCAAAUUCCAUUGUAGAACAGUUUUUGGUUUUUCUUCAUAUAACAUUCUGAAGAUAAUACAGGCAACAUUGUUUGCAACGCUACAGCUAAUUUGCAGUAGCAUGAAACAAUCAGAAUUUUGCCUUUUUUGUGUAUAAAAUUUUAUUUUUUUAAUUGUGAUAUUACAGUUUUGCCCAUCGAGCAUUAUGAGGCCUAAUAUUUGGAUAAAUGUUAGGUUUAAUAUAUAUAUUUUAACUUCAGUGUUUAUUUAUUUUUUAGUUAAUUGUUUAGUCAAUAAAAAGAGGUAAUUAAAAAUGUAAUUAAUAAAUUACUUAUUAGCAAAUUAAAAAAUAAAUAUUAGCAUAAAAUAAUUGAUAUUUUAUUCUCUUACAACAAUCUUACUAAUUAUUAUUUAUAAAUUACUUAAUACAAGUUAAUUUAAAGUAAUGUUUAAUAUUCUUGUAACAACCUUCCUAAUAAUUUUUUUGUAAAAAAUUAAUCCUAAAAGUAAAAUAAUAAUAAUUAAUUUGUAUUUUACUUGGUAAAUUUAAAUUUUUUUAACUAAUAUCUCCAAGAAUAUGGUUGUAAGGAUAUUAUUACAAAAGUAAAACAAAUAUAAGAUUGUAAUAUAUUUAUUAGUAAGAAUAACUUAAGAUAUUUUUUAAGAUAUAAAAAUUAAACAAAUUCCUUCUUUGAAAAAUCGCAUUUUCUCCUUCACAACAACAGCUACAAUGUUGUAAUUUUAUCUUUUGUUUAGUUUCUUUCUGUUGCCUUUUUGUUUCGUUUUUUGAAUUUUCUGUGUCGUUUUUCCUGUUGAGGCCUAUUGCCUGUUGCGAACGGGAGUGAGCCGAUUGAGGCCGUGAUAACGAUCGAUGUUUUGAGAAGGUCUGGAGCUGACGUCACGGUUGCGUCCGUGGAGAAACAGCUUCGUGUCGACGCGUCAUGGUGUCAAGAUUGUCGCUGAUGCUCUCGUGUCUGACUGCCGCGACGCCGUUUUUGAUCUUAUAGCUCUUCCCGUAUGUAUUGCAGCUCACCUCAGCUCAUGCCAAUUUAUGUGAUGUUUGUAUAAUUAUAGAUGAUUAUUGCUGAUACUGAAUGUUAAGCUAAAUAAUUCGUCGUUAAGUCAUCUUCAUUUAAUUUUCGAUUGAAAAUGAUAAAAUAGUAAUUUUGAGCAAAGAAAAAUGUAGAAAAUGUUUAUUUUGUUUUAUUUUAAUUUUUAAUUUUUUGAGAUUUCCUUAUUGUGGCUGUUAUCAUUCAUUAUAUGGUCAUAGUUAAAUAUUUCAAGUUGUUGUAGUCAGUGAAAUUCUUUUCCAUAUUUAUUCUGGCAUGUGUAUUUUUCCUUUCAAUUUCUUUUGUUGCUGAUUCUUUGAUUGAUUAUGUUAUAUCCUUUUUUGUUUCCUUUGUAGGGUGGCAUGCCCGGUGCUACCAAUCUGAAAGAAUCUGAAGUAUUAGAAACCAUUGUGAAGAAGCAGGCUUCAGCUGGGCGUCUUUAUGCUGCUGUCUGUGCUUCACCUGCUGUGGCAUUAGGGUCUUGGGGUCUGUUGAAGGGAUUGAAGGUAAGAAUUAGAUAAGCCUUUUUUAUGUUUUGUGUUCUUUUGGGAAUUGCAUUGAUAUUUGUGUUAUACAUCAGUUUUGCUCUCACCGAUGAUUGUUAAGUUCUAAUUUAUGGGGUUAUUCAUUUUUUGUAGGCUACUUGUUAUCCGUCAUUUAUGGAGCAAUUAGCUCCUGCUUGUGCAGCAACUGUUGAAUCAAGAGUACAGCAGGAUGGUAAAGUUGUUACGAGUCGUGGACCUGGCACUGCUAUGAUUUAAUUGUCUUGCCAGUGAGUUGGGGUGCUUACUCUUGCUUCAUAGUCUUUACCACAUUAUUGACUUACUAACUACAAUUUAUCCAUGCACAUUGCACACGGUGGACUUGGUGGCAACAAGGCACUUGAGCUUGCAAAGAUAAUGCUUUUUACUCACGCCUAAUGUUUGUACAGGGACCUGACUACUAUUAAACUAGUGUGUUUAUUUUUGUAUUGCUACAGCUUGUAGAGAGGGGAAAUGGAAACUUGAAUUCAUGUUUGAAUAUGGAUUCACUGCGUGGGUUUGUACAGCAGUUUGGUUUAUAAAUAAAUGAGUUCAUAGAGUCACUUCCAUUAUUUGGAAUAAACCUGAGUUUAGUUCUGUUAUCAAUGGUCGGAGUCCAAUUGUGAUCGACUCACUGGGAAUUUUAAUUAUGAACUAAAAAAUUGUUAUGUUAUAUUCCACCUUUCUCAUAAAAUGUUAACUCGAUUUACAGGAUAAGAAGGAAAAGAAAGACGCUAAGGGAGGAGCAGAGACCCAAAAAGAGUUGACCACUUUGUUGGAACAUAAAUCUCUAGAAUAUUGAAAUAAAACACAUACCAUAUCUAGUAUUAAGUAUGUAUAUGCAAGAAGAUACAAAUUUGAAGAUCAGAUUUUCUCAUUUCAAUUUAUGUUCUGCUUAGAGAAAUGGCUCUUAUUCGACAAGCACAAACAGGAAAGAGUACGCACGGAGUUAAGAAACACACAUGGCAAAAUUUCCAUUAACUACUUGUAGCAACAUUAUCCAAGAACUUGACUUUAAUCUUCUUGAGCUUCGCUGCAGCAUCUGUCAUAUGCAUUCUGUUGUCAGGUGACUCCAUACAACAAUCCAAUGCCAAAUCCAUGAUGCUUAAUAAACAAUCCAUUUUGGCAGAAAAAGCUUGCUCUUCUCGCACCAAAUUUGCGUCAACAACUUCACUCAAUCGGUGAGGUAAUGAUUCCAUUACCCAUCUCCUUAAACUCAUUUCUCCAGUGAACAUUUCAUCGGUGGGCCUCUUUCUCGUGAAAGUUUCCAUCAAUAACACACCAUAGCUGUAGACAUCACAUUUAGCUGAAACAAUUCCUUCUGAUCCAUACUCUGCAUUUUUUAAUUUUAAUUACGAAACAAAUGAUAAAACAAAUAAGUGAUAAUUAAGGUAACCCAAACUUUGCUCGUGCUUGAAAAAAGAGGAAAAUUUUUAAUUACAAUUGAAACUUUACCUGGUGCCAUAUAACCAAUUGUAGCCAUUGUCAUGGUUUGGGUCGCAGAAUCUUCUCCUUCACCUAAGAGUUUGGAAAUGCCGAAGUCGCUCACAUGUGCCACCAUAUUUUCAUCCAAGAGAAUGUUGGUAGGCUUUAAAUCACAAUGAAUUAUAGGUGCCGACGAAUGACCAUGAUGGAGAUAUUCAAGAGCCGACCCCACAUCUAUCAUUAUAUUCAACCUCUCUAGAAUGUCUAAGAAAUAGUUGUGAGAAUACAACCACUUCUCGAGACUACCAUUCGGCAUGAACUCAAGUACCAAUGCUUUGAAAUCUGGAUUAGAACAACUGCUAAGGAUCUUUAUGAGAUUUCGAUGACGAACAUUCCGUAAAACUUCACAUUCAGAAUCAAAACUCCUAAAUGCUCUCUCUAGUUGCAGAUUGAAAAUCUUUAUUGCAACAUUAGUCCCGUCGGAAAUGGUUCCUUUAUAAACUGAUCCAAAACUACCUGUACCAAGCAAGUUACAUUCAUUAAAUUCAUCAGUUGCUCGUUGAAUGUCUAGGUACGAUGUUCUUCUCCAUGUUGCAAGAGGUAGGAAAUCUUCGUGAUCUGAUUUUUUUGUACUCCUCUUUCGGCAUCUUAUGUACAUAAUGAUGAUAAUUACUAUAAGUACAGAGGAUACUAUCGGAGGCAAAAUAUAUUUAAGGACAAUUAGAGCAACGUUCUUGGUGCUUUUGCUGUCACCUUGUUUGCAAGGUGGGACUCGGAGUUUAGGUGGACCACAGAGUGCAUAAUUUCCGAAAAAUGAUUCAGCUGACAAGUUUUUAAAAGACCCCUUAACAGGAAUUUCCCCUUCCAGCCUAUUAUGAGAAACAUUAAAUUGUUUGAGAUGUGAAAGUGUCUCCAAUGACUUGGGAAUUUUUCCAGAGAAAUUGUUGCCGGAGAGAUCUAAGGAUUCUAAGCUUAUCAAACUGCCAACUGAUUCAGGGAUAGGUCCUUGAAAUUGAUUACCAGCCAAGGAUAGAGUUUCUAGAUCUACGAGGGCACCAAUGGUUGAUGGAAUAUCACCUGAUAAUUGAUUCCUUGAUAAAUCUAAAGCUCUCAAGACCUUUAACUUUUGUACAUUGGAAGGGAGAGGACCAUUUAAUGAAUUUGACGACAAGUUUAUCUCUAAGAUGUACUCAACGCUCCACAAGGAUGACGGUAUACUAGAAGUGAGCUUGUUGGAGCCUAAAUGAAGUUCUCUUAGAGAUGUCAGACUGGCCAAGCAUGGUGGUAUAUGCCCAGAGAGCUUAUUUCCAUUUAAUCUUAUUUCGUACAUCUGCCCCAAGUGGCAAAGCUCAUAGGGAAUGGAUCCUUCCAAAUUAUUCUCAUCAAGAGAUAAACCUUGUAGCUGCUGUAAUGUUCCUACAGAUGUUGGAAUAGUUCCAUUCAAGUCAUUGAACUCGAGGGUUAAGAGGAUCAAGCCACGUAAAUUACCAAUUUCUUUAGGAAUGCUGCCCCCGAGUUUGCACUUGUCUGCAUUGAAUUUUUGAAGAGAAGCAGAGAAAUUUCCAAUUAUUGGUGGAAGGACGCCACCUAAUGGAUUAGAAGCUAAGUAUAAAACUGUUAAAUUUCUGCAAUUAGUCAAAGAAGAGAGAAAACUCCACCGAUCUGCUGAAGAUGAUUCUGUCGUCAAGUUAUUAAAUGCUACGCCGAGCACGCCGAGGUGUCUCAAGUUGCCAAAUGUAUUUGGAAUAUGGCCUGAGAAUGAGUUUAAGCUCAAGUCUAGGCCAGUGAGCUUAGAUGCAUUGGUAAUGGAGCUGGGAAUUGUUCCGAUAAGAUUAUUGCUCGACAAGGUUAAAUACUCUAUGUUCCGAAGCGAGUGGCCAAUCGUUGAUGGUAGGUGGCCUGAGAGUUGAUUGCCAAGCAGAUUAAGGAUUCUGAUGGUUGAAAUAUUGAAGAUCGUGGGUGGAAUGAAGCCACUUAAAUUAUUCUCACCAAGAAUAAGAUACUCCAAAUUUGGUAGAUUGCCAAUCUCGGUUGGAAUUUGACCUGCCAUAAGGCCAACAUUGAGAAGUUAUUGAGCUUUUAACUUAAGGUGAAUUGAGUUUGACAAUGUUACCCUUCAAAAUGUAAAAAGAUCAAAUUAAAUUUAUUACAUAAUAAUUUCAGCCAAUAAUCUUCUUUAAAAUAUUUCAUAGAUAAUUCUGCAAAAUAUGCAUGCAAUUGGAAAAAUAUGCUUCAAUUACAAGAGGUGGCGGAAAGUACCUUGAAGAUUGUUGAAACCAAGAUGCAGAUUCACGAGUUUACUCAAAUUCCCAAUCCUUGAAGGAAUAUUUCCACCAAUAAAAUUGAACGGUGCACGCAGGUCCUCUAGCCUUGAUAAGUUGAAGAGAGAAUUAGGGAUGGGACCUGUGAAACUGUUAUUAUCAAGGCUCAAUAUUCGGAGUUUAGAUAAGACACCAAUCCAUGAUGGAAAGCUUCCGCUCAAUUUAUUGUAAGCCAAACUCACGACUCUGAGUCGACGUAAUUGCCCCAAUUCUUUCGGCAGAUGGCCAUGAAAAUUGUUCUCACUAAUGUCAAGAGACACUAGAAAUGAGAGAUUUCCCAAGUGUAGUGGAAUGGUGCCUCCGAGACCCAUAUCUGAAAGAUUCAAGGCAGUGACUCUUUGAUGGCGUGAACCACAAGAGAUACCAACCCAGCUACAUAUUGGAUAAGAUAUAGACCAAUUAUUUGCCAGGGCACUCCGAUAAUCAAAAACAUGGGCUUUGAAUGCUAGAAGAGCUGAUUGAUCUGUUGUUAAAUCGUUUAAAGUCGUCACCGCUAAGCUAGCAAUGAGAUACUGUAACACUAACACCGACAUAGUAACAAAGAAGAAUGAUAAGCGCAUAUUGGUCGUUUUUAAUAGUAGUUGCAAGGCGAGAUUGAUACAAGUUUUAAGUGACGGAAAUUAGCAUAUACAUAUACAUGAGACACAUGAAUUUGAAAAUAAGAGCAGAAAAAAUAUACAGGAGACUUGCAAAUUGUUAUAUUCUGUCAUUGAGCGAGCCGUCCAAGUAAACGCAUUUAUACUUAACUUGGUCUAAUAAUUAAAAAAAAGGCGACCUUCACUUGACUUGGUCUGAUAAUUAUCACUAAACAAUUAAUAAUGCUAAGGGUUAGUGGUAUCCAAUUUUAAAAUAACGACAUAAUUGUCGUUAAAUGUGUCUUAAAAUAAAAAGACAACUAUACCCCAUAAUUUGAUGAAAUAAUUAUGUAAACUUCUAAAUUUUUUACAAUGCAUACCAAGACCUGUUUUGUUACUUUUUACAGUUUAUUUGGAUGUCAAAUGGUUUUUUUUUUUUUCACUGUGGAUGUCAAAUGUAAAAUUUACUGUUAUUCCAAUAUCAUGUCAUCACUUGCUUCUAUACAUGGAACGAUACAUUAACUGUUUUUCCAAAGUUUUAAAUUGAAUUAAAAACAUUCUAAUUAACCUUAAAAAAAAAUCAUCCAACCAGAAAUAAAUCUUCUAAUUAACCUAAAGAUAGCUACACCUCCAUAUUAAUUCCAGUUAAAUAAAUCUUCAUUUUUGUCAUGGUUUUGGAACUCGAGCAGGGUGGAUAUAUCUAACCAGAUUUUCCUUAUUGGCAUUCUAAUAUAUUCUGGAAUUGGAAGGGUAUCAACGAAUUAAUGUGUAAUUUAAAUUUGUAACGUUUAAUUCUAAUUUGAGUAUUCGAAUGAAUUUAUGUCGAUUUAAAAAUGGACUGAAGAUUGGCAAUAUAACAUUCUUCUUGAUGAAGAUUUUUGUCCUAAUAAGAUCUCCAAUUUUAUACAUCAAUUAUUGUUGGUUUGUGGUGUAUUCAGACUUGUCCAUCGGUUACGCCGUCCAUGAAUAGAGUGAUAGAAAUGUUAUUGCAAAGAAACAGACUAGCAGUGUCGUUUUGAAAAUUCCACCGAAGUCUUUUGCAUCUUCUCCCCCAGGACAGCCAAUAGAGUAUAAAUUUUUGUCACUUUCACUCUUUUGAACAGCACGGGAAAGCUUAUCAAUUUUUGUCACUUUCACUUUCACUCUUUUCAAUCUUUAUAGAAUUCUGGAUGGACGAUCACUCUUUUCAAUCUUUAAUGAAUUUUGGAUUCAGUGUUGAUAUUUUAGGCUUUGAUGGGCUAUAGAUUUUUUUUUUUUUUAAAGAAUUUUGAAUUCAAUGUUGAUAUCUUGAGCUUAUCCUUAACUAAUUUUUUACCACUCGUGCAUUUAUGUCGUUGUGCGGUUAUAGAUUCAGUUAUUUUUAAAGUAGAAAAAUUACUUCUCUUAAAAGUGAAAGCAGGGAAGGUACUGCAAUGCAGCCGCUAUUUGUAGUAGUUAAUUCUUGGAUGAAAUUUGGGUCUUCCUAUAAUACAUGCAAGGAAUAAAAAAAUUAAAAAAGCAUUGCCCGAAAGAGUAUUGUGCCGGUGUUGGAGGCUAGAAGGACAAGUCGUUACAUUGCUCCAGAAGUGUUUGAUAGAAAUUUUGGUGAGGCUUCACAUAAUUUAAAUUACUGGAAUUAGCGAUACACACACACUCAAGCAUUUCGAGCAGGAUAAUGAAUUUAAAUUACUCGGAAUUGUAAGCAGCGAUGAAAGAGAAAUUGCAAAGAAGAUGAUUAUUUUUGGCUUGUGGCGUAUAUAGAAUUGUCUAUCGGAAAUAGAGGGAUAGAAAUGUUAUUGCACAGAAGCAGACUAGCAGUGACGCCUUGAAUAAGUCCACCAAAGCCUCUUGCAUCUUCUCCUCCAACACCGCCAAUAGAGUCCGUUUGACUCAUAAACUUUUGUCGCUUUCAUUCUUUUCAAAAGCACGUGAAAGCUAGCUUAUAGGAUUUUGGAUGGACAAUCACUCUUUUCAAAAGCAUGUUAAAGCUAGUCUUCAAUGAAUUUUAGGGCUUAUUUUCAAGUAAUCUUUUAGCAUGCAUGCAUUUAUGCAAUCAUAUGAUUAUAUAUUCAAUUACUUUUAAAGUAGAAAAAAUUACUUCUCUUAAAAGUAAGAGCGGGGCAGGUAUUGCAAUUUGUAGCAGUUAAUUCUUGGAUGAAAUUUGCUAAAGUAUAGUCUUGUAAAAGAAUUAGUUUUCUUAAAUUGUAAAUCUCGUUUAUGAUUGGGAGAUUUUGAUCAAAAUUAAUAUGAUAAAUCCGUUGCAAGUGUUGUUCUUGAAGUCUCAUCUUCCGUGAUGUUUGUAAAAUCAAGGUUUUACCAUCUCUGAUUAAAUAUUUAGUCUUGAUUUCGACCACGUAAUCUGAACUUGACGAAAGAUUAUGAUUUUGUGUGAUUUUAUGAAUGUGGUCUUAUCUCUUAUAAGUCAGCAAUGAAUUAAUUAAAGCUUGCUGACAAAUUAUAAGCUCAAAAACCGCUGCUGCUUCAUUAAUCACAUUACCCAAAUUCAUUGCAGAACUCAUCAUAAGUUUUCCGAGAAUUUUAAGCUUUAUUUUGGCUUCAUUCAUGUACUUCCUUUGUAGAUCCCAAAGACAUGUUUAACUUUAGUUUAGGGUAACUGUUAGAGUGCAAUUUAUGCACUAGUUUUGCAUUAUUUACUUCCCUUAAUAUCGAUGCUUUGCACUUAAUAAUAAUGUUUUACUUGUGUUUUACUUUUGUAGGUGCAAUUCUAUUGAUUGGUGAUAAAAUUGAGCUAAAAGAUGAUGUUUAAGGAGGAUUGUUCUCUUGGAGAAAUUAUGAGCGUCACAAGAACUUUGUUGAUAAGGCGUGGGCGCGUGCUGUCAACUGCGGACCUGCAAUUUUUAAUUUAACGUGUUUUGUAUUUUUGGUUAUUUUUGUAAUUACGAAUUUAAUAUUUCAGAUAUUAGUAUUUUAUUUUAAAUAGAAUUCUAAAAGAGAAGAGAGAGAGAGUAUUUAAGGGAGGAAUCUAUUGUGAAAAAGGGGGGACUUUUGGAGAAGAGAAAGAAACCCUAGAUCUAAACUUUUCUCUUCUCUCUAUGAAGAACUAAACCUAUUUUUCUGGUUGAAGGUUAAUGAAGCUUUGAUUCAUCACUACUGUGAGAUCUUUCUUAUGCUUUAAUUGUUUUAUUACUUUUUGGAUAUUUGUUUAUUCUCUGAAUUAGUUUCAUGAUUAUGUUUGUUAAUUAGGUAAUUGGCCACUAUUUAAUUAUCAACUUAAUCUAUUGUCAAUUAAAGGAUUCAUCGUAUGAAGAUUUUAAUGUUUGUGACAAAUAACAUAGCAGUGAGUUGUGUUAUGAGAAUAAACAAUCUAAUUUAAAUGAAUCAUCAUAUGUGUUGAUUAGGAUUUGGGUCUCUCUGGUUUUUCAGGCUGUCAAUCGAUUAAAUCCUAUGAUCAUAUCUAGGGUUGUCUAUUGAUUAGGGAAAUAUCCAACGGUCGUACCUUGGUUAUCGACUAGUUAAGGAGAGAUUGGCUAUUAGAGGGUCUCAAUAGCUAUAACCGGUCUAUUCAUAAGUAAUAAUAAUCUAUAUUUGAAUCAAUGAUCAGUAGUCGAAUUAAGCUGAGUUAAUUCCUUCAACCAGAGCUUUCUCCAAUUUGAAUUACAACUUUAAUUUGCAUUCUUGUUAUUUUUAAUUUGAUUUUUAUUAUUAUUAACAAUUCCCCCAUUUUACGAUUUACGUUUCAAAAGGAUUUAAAUAAUUACCGAUCUCUGUGGACACGACCCUGCUCAAUCACUAUACACAAUUUAUUUAGAGUAGGAAUUUAUUUUUGUUGGCUUCGACAACCAUCAAAUUUUGGCGCCGUUGCCGGGGAUUGGUGUCAUUUAUUUAAUCCUUUUUAUGUUUUACUUGGUGUAUGGUUUGUUCUUCUCGUACAGGUACACUUUCGUUUGAUCCUGAAAUUGAGAAGACAGCUCGCCAGCUGAGACAGCAGACGAAGCGAGCUAAGCAACGAUCCUCGUCGCCUUUGCUUUCUGAAACAGAUACGGUGCCUGAUUUAGUUGAAUCAUCUAGCGAUUCAGAAGAACAAGUGAUGGAUAGAGUUGCACCUGUAGAAAGAACUCUUAGAGAAUUAGCUGAACCAGACUUGAAUCAACAACCACUCUGCAUUCAAUAUGUAGACUUGGAGGUAAAUUUUGAAUUAAAGUCUGGUCUUAUUCAUUUAUUACCCAAGUUUCAUGGUUUUGCAAGUGAAGAUCCUCAUAAACAUCUUAAGGAGUUUCAUGUUGUGUGUUCAAGUAUGAGACCACAAGGCAUGACUGAAGAGCAGAUUAAGCUGCGUGAUUUUCCGUUCUCUGUAGAUGGGCUAGCUAAAGACUGGUUGUAUUACUUGCCUCCUGGAUCGAUUACAACGUGGAAUGAUUUGAAGAAGCAGUUCCUCGAGAAGUACUUUCCUGCUUCAAGAGCUGCCAACAUCAGAAAAGACAUUUGUGGGAUUAGACAACUUCCUGGGGAGACUUUGUAUGAGUAUUGGGAGCGAUUCAAACAAUUGUGUGCCAGCUGUCCUCAGCAUCAGAUUUCUGAUCAACUUCUUAUUCAAUAUUUUUACGAAGGACUAUCAUUGAUGGAUAGAAGUAUGAUAGAUGCUGCUAGUGGAGGAGUGUUGGUGAACAAGACUCCUACUCAAGCAAGGGAGUUGAUAUCAAAUAUGGCUGCCAACGCACAACAAUUUGGCAGCAGGCAAGAUCCCACUUCAAGGAAGGUGAAUGAGGUAAAUAUUUCUUCUGUUGAACAACGUUUAGAUAAACUCACUUUUCUUGUGGAAAAGUUUGUUGUAGGUAAUGUGCAACAGGUGAAGACUUGUGGUAUUUGUUAUAAUAUGGGUUAUUCAACUGAUAUGUGUCCUACACUUCAAGAAGAACCCGUUGAACAAGCCAAUGCAGUUGGAGGAUUUCCAGGCAUGCCUCAGAGGAGGUAUGAUCCUUAUGCACAAACAUACAAUCCAGGAUGGAAGGAUCAUCCCAACUUCAGCUAUGGAGUUAGGCCGUCAGGAUUCCCACAACAGUAUCCACCAAGACAACCAGCACCUCCACAGUCAACCUCCAAGUCAGGUAUAUCUCUUGAAGAAAUUGUUAAAUCGCUUGCGACUAACACUCAACAAUUUCAGCAGGCAACUACAGCAAGCAUUCAGAACUUGGAGAACCAAAUAAGUCAAUUGGCGACUACAGUGAGCCGUCUGGAGUCUCAAGUAUUAGGGAGACUGCCUUCACAAUUUGAGGUGAAUCCAAAGCAAAACGUUAGUGCUGUCAUCCUUAGAAGUGGGAAGGAGUUGCAAGAGCCUAGUAAGAAAGUGACAGAGCAUGUAGAAGAUGAGCUUGAGAAGAAUGAAUUGAUGCCUCAAUCUCAAGAUGCACAACCCACCAGAGCGAAACCCCUACCUAUUGUGAUACCUCCUCCUUUUCCAAGCCGGUUUGCAAAAUCCAAGAAUGAGGAACAAGAGAAAGACAUCCUUGAGACAUUUCGCAAAGUUGAGGUAAAUAUUCCUUUAUUAGAUGCUAUAAAACAAAUACCUCGAUAUGCUAAAGUCCUUAAGGAACUAUGCACCUCUAAGAGAAAAUUAAGAGGAGAUGAAAAAGUUCAUAUGGGGGAGAAUGUUUCAGCAGUUCUCCAAAAGAAACUACCUCCUAAGUGCAAGGAUCCAGGUAUGUUUACUAUCCCUUGCAAAAUUGGUAAUGUCAAAGUUGAAAAGGCUAUGUUAGAUCUAGGAGCUUCUAUUAAUGUCAUGCCUCGUUCCAUUUAUUCAUCUUUGAAUGUUGGUCCAUUAAAAGAAACUGGCAUGAUAAUUCAACUAGCUGAUAGGUCUAUAGGUCUAAUGCAUAUCCUGAUGGGGUAUUAGAAGAUGUCCUAGUACAAGUUAAUGAGUUAGUUUUUCCUGCUGAUUUUUAUGUACUUGAUAUGUAAGAGGAUAACUUCUCUAAUUCUGUCCCAAUUUUGCUAGGAAGACAUUUUCUUAAGACUGCUAGGACUAAAAUGGAUGUACAUAAAGGGACUCUCACUAUGGAGUUUGAUGGAGAGGUUAUAGAAUUCAAUAUGAAUGAUGCCAUGAAAUAUGCUAGUGAGGAACAUUCGGUAUUUUUUGUGGAUGUUAUUAACCCUAUACCGCAGGAAGUUUUUUUCAAGGAAAAGACGAAGACAUUUCAUGAUAGAAUGAUUUUGAGAAAGGAGUUCUCUGUUGGUCAAAAAGUUCUUAUUUUUCAUUCUAAGCUUAAACUUUUUCCAGGUAAAUUACGUUCUUGCUGGGUUGGACCUUUUAUUGUUACUAAUGUUUUUCCUCAUGGUGCAGUUGAGAUUCGGAGUCCGACCUCUGACAAAGUUUUUAAAGUUAACGGUCAUCGCUUAAAACCUUUUUAUGAAGGUUUUUCGGUGAAUAUUGUGGAGGAAAUGGCUCUCGAGAGUCCUAUUUAUGGAGAUUGAUGCAUAAAGGUGUCUAGCCAAAGACAUAAAACAAAGGCGCUUUUUGGGAGGCAACCCAAAUGAUUUGUUUAUUUUGGUUUUUGUUUUAUUUUCUUUUAGUUUUGAUUCAGAUUUAAAAAAAAAAAAAUUUUGUGUUUGCUUAUUUUGGUCAGAAGAAAAUUUUUGAUAAGGCGUGCCCACGUUUUAACUAAUAAGUACUUCUGUAAUUUUUAAAGUAAAAUAGUUUUAAGACGUUCCCACGCGCUUAUUAAAAAAGUACUUCUGUACUUUUUAAAGUAAAAUAGUUUUAAGGCGUGCCCACGUGCUUAUUAAAAAAGUACUUCUGAAAUUUUUGGUGUCUCAAAGUGAUUCAUCACUAAAAAAAAAAAAAAAAAAAUUUACUGUUCACAAAAUCCCUAAUUUUCCAGAUCUUGUUUUCUUCUCCAGCCGCUUGCAGCACACCAGCAGCAAACCAGCCCGCCGGAAAACGCACCACCCCGCGUGCGCAGUACCAGCAUCUCGUGUCUCGCAAGUCCAACCAGUGCGCAACGCAAGCCCCAGCAGCGCGCAACGUAGCCCCAGCUGUGCGUGCAGCGCGAACCAGCCCCAACCCGAGCACGCAACCCAACAAGCAUCACCAGUUCGCAGCAUCAGUCCCAGCCCGCACGCGCAACACAACCAGCACCAACCCGGACAGCACAACCAUCCGCGCACAACUGAACCAACAGCCGUGUACCCGCAAGCUCCAGUCGAGCAGCAAUAGUCCGCAACCAGCCUACGACCUGCAUUCCAGCCGCGUGAAUCGAAAUCAGUGACAAGAUGGAGCAGAAUUUGGCCGCAUACUUCAAGAGUGUGGGAUUUAUCCCACCAUUCCCGCCAAGCCCAUAGACGUUAUGAGGAUCAAAGCUCACAAUUCAAGGAAGUUUUUGCCUUUAAUCUUUUAUCCUUACGCUUUAAUUUUUAUGUGAGCUUUGAUUAUCUUACAUUGGGGACAAUGUAAGUUCUUGGUGUGGGGGAGGGUUUUUGCAUUAUUGAUGUCUGGAAUUAUUGUUUUCACUCUACUUAUCUUUUUUUUCACUCUACUCAUCCUUAAAUGAUUUUGGAGUUAGUAUGCUUUAUAUAUUAUUAUUUUUUCUUUUCUUUUAUUUCUCACAACUUUUUUUUUCCCAUCUAUCUCAAAUUAUUUACAUCUAUUUUUAUUCUAUCAUACUCUUUCAUCACUCACAUUUUAUCUUUCACUUUUCAUCUUUCUCACUUCUUAUCAUUUUUACCUUUCCUUUUAUAUAUCACUCAUACCUUCUUCUCAUUCUACACCACUAUUGAUGGUUGAUUCAUUUGAAGAGUGUACAUGAUUUGAUGGCAAAUUUACCAACGUUGUGAGGAUUUGAGCCUAUGAGCAACCACUUUGCUCUAAUAUUUUUGUUAUGUGAAUAUCAAUCUUAGUUUGUUUAUUCUAGAACUUGCUUUGUUAUGCAUGUUGAAGCCGCAUUACGGGAUUUUAUGCAUUAAAAUGAUAAGGGCAAACCCUUUUCCAUUUUUCUAUUCUCGCAUUUUUUUUUUCUCUACCCGAAGACCUUUAUUUGCUACAUUUGUUUGAGCCUUAACCAUUACCCAUCUAAUUCUCUUCGUCUACUUAACCAUUUUUCUUCUUUUUGAGCCUCAAUUUAAGGAGAUUUUUGGACUCAUUGUGUGAAUAUAUUUUGUUGCCUUUUCUACCUUGUAUUAAAGUUUCUCAAUUAGAUCAACAAGCAUUAUGCUUGAAUUAAAUUGUGCAAGGUUCGUUUCUUUUGUUUGAUUCGAAAAAAAAAAUUGAAAAAAAAAAGUUUACAUUCUUGGUGACUUGAGUAGAAAUAAGCAUUUUGAUAUCAUAAGUUUAUUCAAUGAGUUCAUUCUUCUCAUUUUGAUCUCUUUUUCUUUCAUAGACCUUUCUUUUUCAUUUAACCUAUUUAACCCCAUUACAACCCUUUUAAGACCCUUAUAUUUUUGCAUUUUAUUCAUGUUUUGUGGAUUGAGAUGUGAUAUAUGAGCAAGCUUAUGGUAAUAGCAUUCUUUGAUUUGAUUUGAGUGCAUAAAUGAUACCCUAAACACUUUGAGCGCAUGGAGUGAAGUCAUUGAGAGGGCUAUUAAAUCUUGUUGCACUUGAAUUUUGAAUGGAUGUUCUUGGUGGUUGAAUGUUCUUAUUCUAUCUUAUGAGAUUCUAUGCUUUAAAAGUCCUUGUCUCUCGAAUGUUGAUCGACUUAAUUUCUUGAGGUAUGCUUGCUUAAAAUUAUUUUUGGAUGAGUUGAGAUGAGAAUUGAGUGGAGAUUUGGGAUUAAUCUUGAGUUAUAUGCUUGAGGACAAGCAUCAUCUUGGUGUGGGGGAAUUUGUUAGAGUGCAAUUUAUGCACUAGUUUUGCAUUAUUUACUUCCCUUAAUAUCGAUGUUUUGCACUUAAUAAUAAUGUUUUACUUGUGUUUUACUUUUGUAGGUGCAAUUCUAUUGAUUGGUGAUAAAAUUGAGCUAAAAGAUGAUGUUUAAGGAGGAUUGUUCUCUUGGAGAAAUUAUGAGCGUCAGAAGAACUUUGUUGAUAAGGCGUGGGCGCGUGCUGUCAACUGCGGACCUGCAGUUUUUAGUUUAAUAUGUUUUGUAUUUUUGGUUAUUUUUGUAAUUACGAAUUUAAUAUUUCAGAUAUUAGUAUUUUAUUUUAAAUAGAAUUCUAAAAGAGAAGAGAGAGAGAGUAUUUAAGGGAGGAAUCUAUUGUGAAAAAAGGGGGGACUUUUGGAGAAGAGAAAGAAACCCUAGAUCUAAACUUUUCUCUUCUCUCUAUGAAGUACUAAACCUAUUUUUCUGGUUGAAGGUUAAUGAAGCUUUGAUUCAUCACUACUGUGAGAUCUUUCUUAUGCUUUAAUUGUUUUAUUACUUUUUGGAUAUUUGUUUAUUCUCUAAAUUAGUUUCAUGAUUAUGUUUGUUAAUUAGGUAAUUGGCCACUAUUUAAUUAUCAACUUAAUCUAUUGUCCAUUAAAGGAUUCAUCGUAUGAAGAUUUUAAUGUUUGUGACAAAUAACAUAGCAGUGAGUUGUGUUAUGAGAAUAAACAAUCUAAUUUAAAUGAAUCAUCAUAUGUGUUGAUUAGGAUUUGGGUCUCUCUGGUUUUUCAGGCUGUCAAUUGAUUAAAUCCUAUGAUCGUAUCUAGGGUUGUCUAUUGAUUAGGGAAAUAUCCAACGGUCGUACCUUGGUUAUCGACUAGUUAAGGAGAGAUUGGCUAUUAGAGGGUCUCAAUAGCUAUAACCGGUCUAUUCAUAAGUAAUAAUAAUCUAUAUUUGAAUCAAUGAUCAGUAGUCGAAUUAAGCUGAGUUAAUUCCUUCAACCAGAGCUUUCUCCAAUUUGAAUUACAACUUUAAUUUGCAUUCUUGUUAUUUUUAAUUUGAUUUUUAUUAUUAUUAACAAUUCCCCCAUUUUACAUUUUACGUUUCAAAAGGAUUUAAAUAAUUACCGAUCUCUGUGGACACGACCCUGCUCAAUCACUAUACACAAUUUAUUUAGAGUAGGAAUUUAUUUUUGUUGGCUUCGACAACCAUCAGUAACAAAGCUACAGCUUUUUCUGUUGUGUGCAACAAGUGAAGAAAGUGAAAUUGUAAAGAAUACGAUCGAUUACUGAUACGAAAACAUAAAGAUUGAUAAAUUUUAGAGAAAUAAAGCUCCUAAAUAAUUAGAAUAUUAUUCUUAAGUCUUAAUAAAUAAAACUAGAAUUUUGGUUCUUUUUAAACAAUGAGAAAUAUUUUUUAAAAUAGGAAAACCAGAAAUAUUUUUUUGUAGUAAAAUUCUCUAGUCUAAAUAAGCAAAAUUUUAAUGUUUGAAGAAAAAAGAAGUAAACAUUCUGAAAGCAAUUAAAAAAAAGCAAAAUAACUUAAAAUUGCAAAAUAAUCAAGAAAAAAACGGAACUUUUGGCUCAAACACAGGGUAGAACAACAAUUUUUCCAUUUUAGUUAUCUUAUCGCAAGUUUUGAAAAGAUGUAUUAUGAGUUCUAAACAAACAGUGAAAGAAUCUAUAAUUAUGUGUUUGGAGAGUAAGAAAAACAAUGAGAAAAUGAAGAAAAGUUAUGAAGAAGAAUCUGGAAUUUAGUGAAUAAAACUCAACCACACAAUCGUGCUUACAACUAUUUAUUUAUACUUAGUUACAAUGUAAACUAAAUCUGUUUUAUAUUCUAUACACGCUAAACCAAUUGGUUAACAAAGUAGCUGACUCAGCUAACUGACUCUCUUACACGUCAGCUAUCAAGUUAUCAAGUGUGCUCAUCCUCACAGCUCUGACCAUGCUCUGUAACAUCCCCUCUCAAGCUAAACUGUCCAGGAUGGACAUUUAGCUUGCUGCGAAGAUAAUGGAAGCGGUCAAAAGUUAGUGGCUUGGUAAGUAUAUCUGCAGUUUGAUCCUCACUUGGAACAAAUUGCACUUCAAUAUUUUUGGCCGCUAUUUUCUCCCUGAUAAAGUGAAUGUCCAAUUCAACAUGCUUAGUUUUAGCAUGAUAAACUGGAUUGUAAGCCAAAGCUAUGGCACCUUGAUUAUCUCACCACAUAAUAGGUUCUGCAACAAGUUUGAUUUUCAACUCACUAAGCAGAUUUUCAAUCCAAAUAACUUCAAAUGUAGCUUGAGCUAAGGCUCUGUACUCAGCUUCAGUACUGGACCUUGAAACCACUUGUUGUUUCUUAGAACACCAUGAAACUAAAUUCGAACCAAGAUACACUGCAUACCCAGCUACUGAUUUUCUAUCAUCUUUGUCACAUGCCCAAUCAGAAUCACUAUAACAGUAUACUUGUAAAGUUCCACAAUGAUAAAAAUGCAAGCCAAAAUGAAUGGAUCCCUUCAAAUACCUCAAAAGUCUUUUACAUGCUUCCCAAUGUUCUGUCAUUGGCAAGGAUAGAAAUUGACAUAGUUUGUUAACUGAGAAUGCUAUCUCAGGUCUUGUUAGAGUCACAUACUGCAAGGCCCCAAUUAUACUUUUGGACUGAGAUGCAUUAGAAAUAAGUGAGCCUGAACCUUUUGUGAGAUGAUGCCCUGUGGACAUAGGAGUAGGAAUUGGACUGCAACUUGCCAUAUCAUGUUUUGCUAAGAGAUCAGCUAUAUAUUUGGCUUGAGAUAGAUGAACUCUAGCUGCUAUCUUAGAGACUUCAAUCCCAAGAAAAUAGCUUAACUCCCCCAAAUCCUUCAAGGCAAAAGUAGUCUGCAUAUUAUGAAUUACUUGCUCCACUAGUUGGUAGUUAGAUCCAGUAACAAUUAUGUCAUCAACAUAUACUAAGACAAGCAAGAUAUGAUUAUUUUCCCACUUAUAGAAGAGAGAGCUGUCAGACUUAGAGUUUAGAAAACCCCACUGAUCUACCAUAGCAUUCUUGAAUCUGUCAAACCAUGCUCGGGGGGCUUGCUUUAAUCCAUAGAUGGCCUUCUUGAGUUUGCAUACAUGAGUAGGCUUUGUAGGAUCAAUAAAUUCUUCAGGCUGGACCAUAUACACAUCUUCAACCAAAAAACCAUUCAAGAAUGCAUUGUUUACAUCUACCCGUCUGAGGAUCCAUUUGUUCAUGACAGCUAAACUCAAAACUAUUCUAACUGUGGAAGCUUUCACAACUGGACUAUAGGUUUCAGUAUAAUCUAUUCCAUGUGUCUGAUGGAAACCUUUUGCCACAAGCUUUGCUUUGUAUCUAGAAAUGGUUCCAUCCAAGUUAUAUUUAAUUCUGAAAACCCACUUGCUGCCAAUUACUUUGAUAGGUGUUGAUGGUUGUACUAAAACCCAGGUAUGAUUGUUUUGAAGUGCUUGAUACUCCUCAUGCAUUGCUUGAAACCAUUUUGGAUCAGUGAUUUCUUGGGAAACAGAGGUAGGUUCUGAGGGUGUGGCUAAAAGAGCAGCAAGAUAAGACUUUGGCUUAAAAAUGCCAGCUUUAGAUCUGGUGAUCAUAGAAUGUCCUAUUGGUGGUGCAGCAGGUAUUAAAUGUGGUGGUGAUUGAGUAUCAUUUAAAGGUUGAAUAUCAUACAUUUGUGGUGUAUGGGAAGAAGAAUAAAGGGAAUUUACCUGGCUAGGAAUUGUUGUUGAAAACUCAGAGGAACCACUUGCUGAAGAGGAUUGCAGUGCUGGAAAAUGAGUAAAGAUAGGAGUAGAGAUAGUGGCCGAAUGGGAAACUGUAUAAUUUGAAUUACAUGAUUGUGUGACAGAAGAAAAGUCUGAGCCAGGCACAUAUGGAAAGGAGUUUUCAUCAAAGAUGACAUGAUUGGAGAUGUACACCCUACCUGAAGAAUGAAGACAUUGGUACCCUUUAUGUUGAGAGCUGUACCCAAUGAAGACACAUCUACCUGAUCUAAACUCAAGUUUGUGCUUAUUAUAUGGCCUGAGGUAAGGAUAACAAGCACAACCAAAGGUUCUGAGAAAAUUGUAAUAUGGUUUUUGAUGAAAUUUUUUUUGAUAAGGUGAAAUAUUAUUCAAGGUUGGUGUAGGUAAUCUAUUGAUGAGAAACACAGCUGUGUGAAAAGCAUUCCACCAGAAUUUUAGUGGCAAACUCGCUUGGGCUAACAAAGUGAGGCCAAUAUCCACAAUGUGCCUAUGUUUUCUUUCUAUUCUACCAUUUUGAUGAUGAAUAUGAGGACAAGGAUGUCGGAAUUUAAUACCAAAUUGAUCAAGAUAUAUGGAGAAACUUCUAAAUUCCCCUCCCCAAUCUGUCUGGACAAUUUUGAUAUGCCUAUGCAAGUGUUUUUCAAUGAAGUUUUUGAAGUUUAUGAACACUUGAAGAGCAUCAGAUUUAGCAGUCAAGGGAAAGAUCCAUGUAAACCUACUGAAAUCAUCUAGAAUGGACAAAUAAUAGGAAUAACCCUGAGUUGAAGUAACAUGAGAAGGACCCCAAAGAUCAGCAUAUAAGAGUUGAAGAGGCUCUACUGUUUUUGUUGGAACAGAAUCAAAGUGUAACAGAUGACUUUUACCAAACUGACAAGCAUUACAGAAACUCAAGUGUUCGAUUUUAUUCAAGGAAAAGUCAGUACAAUCCUUCAAUACAUUUUUUAGAGUAUGAAAAGCCGGAUGUCCUAGCCUUUUGUGAAGCAAAUUGAUGUCAGCAGUGCUUGCAUUAGCUAUCAGGGCUGACUUACAUGAGUUAUUACUGACAAGGGAAGGAUUAUUCUGGACAGCAGAACCAUUACAAGACAAAGAAGGAAAAUAAGCAAACAUAGAUUCAAAGUGAUUGACAGAAGAUUGACAAAAUGAAACUGGGCUAUCAUCAGAAGAUUGGGAUGCAAUCUGGACUUGAUACAAUCCUCAUUUUGCAAUUCCUUUAAGCAAGAUGGUCCCUGAGCUCCUGGCCUUAACAAAACAACAAUUUUCAAGAAACUCAAUAGUGGCAUUAUUAUCAAAUAGAAGUUUCGAGACACUAAGUAAAUUUUUAGUUAUUUGAGGAACAUAAAGAACAUGACUUAGCAACAAAGGUUCAGAUGUAGUUGUGGCUAGCAAUACUGAUCCAACUUGUUUAAUAUGCAGAGAAGAACCAUUACCAACAAGCAACUUUUCACUUCCACUAUAAGAUUUUGGUUCAAGAAGUUUACCUGCAUCAUUGGUGAUAUGAUUAGUUGCACCACUGUCAAUGUACCAGGUGGGAUCUUCAACCAUCUUAGGAGUAGGAACUGUAGGUACGGAAGGAGAGCAGCCACUGUAAUCUCCAGUAAAACCAAAACCAGAUGCAGAAGAACUUGCACCAGUGGAGCUACCAGGUUGAGUAACAUAAAAAGCAGAUGGAUCUGAGCACAUCACAUAGCUUUGAUAUCCUGGACCUCUUGGCAAAUUGAAAUUUCCAGCAUUAUGAUUAGUAAAGACAUUGCCAAAUUGAGAAUUAAACCCUUUGCCAUAAGCACCAUUAAAAAAUCUGCCACCUGAAUUUCCAAAUCCCCUUCCAAAAUUCCUUUGACCAGCCCUAAAAUUGCCAUUAAAAUUUCCUCUUGCUUGAUUCCUUGAAGGUACAAAAGCAGAAUUGUACCUAUUCUUGCACUUGUGAGCUCCAUGACCCGGUACAAAACAGAUUUGACAAACGAUAGUUGAAUUACCAUCACCAGAUUGUCCCAUACCAUUUCUAUUAGCAAAAUUUCCAUAGACACCUCCACCAUAAGUUAUAUUAUUAUUAUAUCUUGGAUUACCACCAGCAUUUUUUCCAGAAUUAAACUGUUUUUAUGCCAUAUUAGCUGACAAAUUAUGAGUAACAUCACUAGCAAUUUUGCCUCUCUUCUGCUCAACUCUAUUCUCAUGACUUAACAGUAAAGAGUAAAACUCAUCAAAAUUAAUCUUGUCACCUCUAGUUAAGACGCUCGUAACAAGAGACUCAUAAUCUGAGGAAUCCAAUCCAGUCAAAACAUAUUGAACAAAAUCACUCAAUUCAACAGGUUUUCCAGCCAGAGCUAAGCUAUCAGAUAACCUUUUGAUUUUAGCAAAAUAAUCAAUCAUUGACAUUGAGCCUUUUUUAAGUGUUUGAAUCUGCAUUUUAAGAGGCAUUAUUCUAGCCUGAGAUUGUGAGAUAAACAUACUAGUAAGUGUGUCCAGAAGUUCUUUAGCAGUAGAGCAAUGAAUCACCGUUGCCAGUAAAUUUUGUUGAAUGGAUGACAUCAUCCAACUCAGAAUCAAUUGAUCAGUCUUCACCCAAGCUAAAAACUCUGGAUUAAUUUCUCGAUCCUCUGAUCUUGUUGAAUCAAUAGCUCCAGUGACAGCUGAUGGAAGAAAUUGCUCUGGAUAGGCUCGAUCACCAUUGAUGAAGCUCUCCAAGCCGUUACCUUUAAUCGUUGUUAAAAUCUGAGUUCUCCAAACAAUGAAGUUAUUCUGGUCGAGUUUCACAGGAGUAACAAAACUAUAAGAUCCAGAGGUUUGAUUCGAGCUCAUCAUUGUUUGCUCUGAUACCAUGAAAGAAUCUGUAAUUAUGUGUUUGGAGAGUAAGAAAAACAAUGAGAAAACGAAGAAAAGUUAUAAGAAGAAUCUGGAAUUUAUUGAAUAAAACUCAACCACAUAAUCGUGCUUACAGCUCUUUAUUUAUACUUAGUUACAAUGUAAACUAAAUCUGUUUUAUAUUCUAUACACGCUAAACCAAUUGGUUAACAAAGUAACUGACUCAGCUAACUGACUCUCUUACAUGUCAGCUAUCAAGUUAUCAAGUGUGCUCAUCCUCACAGCUCUGACCAUGCUCUGUAACAAACAACUAUCCCUACAAAGUACCAUGCUCAUGCUAUGUAUCCAGACUUUUCCAUCAGAUAGGCUGUCCAUAAAUACAGUGAUAGAAAUGUUAUUGCAAAGAAAAAUACUAGCAAUGACGUUUUGAAAAUUCCACCAAAGUCUUUUGCAUCUUCUCCUCCAGGACCACCAAUAGAUUAUAGAGUCCGUUUGACUCAUAAAUUUUUGUCACUUUCACUAUUUUCAAAAGCACGAGAAAGCUUAUCAAAAGGACCACCAAUCUUUAAUGAAUUUUGGAUUCAGUGUUGAUAUUUUGGGCUUAUCAAAGCUAGAGUCCGUUCGACCCAUAAAAUGUUGUCACUUUCACUCUUUUCAAAAGCAUGUUAAAGCUGAUCUUCAGUGAAUUUUUUAUUCGCUUACCUUUAAGUAAUCUGUUCAUUUAUAUAAUUAUGCGGUUAUAGAUUCAAUUACUACUUCUCUUGAAAGUGAAAGCAGGGCAAAGUUUCGCCCAUAGGCAUCGUACGUAAAGUUUUCUCAUCCCCAGUCCUCUCCUCAUGAAGUUUUCUCUUGGAGACCUCAAAAGGAUGAGAGAGUACAGUCGAGCCGUCAUGACUCAUUAAGUCACUCCGGAGUGGGUGGUUAUUUUCACUGCUUUAUUGAAGGUCUGUAGCUGGUAGAUGCAGAUUUAGUUUGGUUAGGGGCUUGGUGGGGGUGCUCUCUAAGAGGCUGAGACACCAAUUAAUUCAGCCAUUAUUGUUCAAAACAACCUCCAACGGAUGGAUCCAGAAGAGCUUAUAAGGAGAUGCAGAGCAAUAAGAUUAAGUGAAAAGGAGAGAGGGAGAGUCUCUUUCAAGACAAAAAUGAAGGCUAAGGGAGAAAAGAUAGCUGUGGGCUGUUUGGUCGGAAAAGUGCUCCACACAAGAGGGGUCAACACUGAAGGCUUAAAAACGACAAUGCAGAGGGUGUGGAAAACCUCAAGGGAGGUCAAGAUAGAAAGUUUAGGGGAUAACACGUUUAUGUUCAGGUUUGGCUUAGAGGCAGAUAAAAGAAGUAUCAUGGUGGGGGGACCGUGGCAUUUUGCUAGAGCCCUUAUUGUGCGUACCGAACCAGAAGGAAUAGGGGAUAUCAAAAAGCAAGACUUUAGUCAUGUAUCAUUCUGGGUACAAAUCCAUGAUGUUCCCAUUAUGUGCAUGACUAAAGAAAUGGCCACCGAAUUAAGGGAGGUAAUUGGGAAAGUAGAAGAGGUAUAAACAGAUACAACGGGGGAAUGCAUUGGGCAGUUCUUAAGAUUAAGAAUUUCAGUGGAUGUUACAAAGCCGCUAAAAAAGAUAAUUGAGCUGGAACAAGAAGGGGAAGAUGAAGAGGAUAUCCCCAUGCGUGUGAUGUAUGAAAGAUUACCUGACUUUUGUUUCUGUUAUGGGAGGAUAGGGCAUCAGUACAGAGAAUCUGCUCACUACAAAUCUCAAUCCAAAGAUGAAUUGGCUUAUGGUCCAUGGAUUAAAGUAACUACCAUAACAGAGAGAUUAAGACAGAAUAUGGAAAGAGAUAGAUGGGAUUUUGAGCGUAAUAAUUUCAAUCCAAAGGUCUCAACCUAGACAACAAUGGAAACAAGCAGACACACGGUAGAGGAGGAGCAACACAGGAGGGGGGAAUCGGGUAACAGGUGGUGCCCAGACCAUCAGGAUCCGGGUAAGGAUUACCCGACUGAUGAAAUGGGUAUGGUUCAGAGGGUGGUUGGGACGCAAUUAAUGAAAGGGACUGAAACAGGCCGAAAGACCCCUGGAAAAUGCAGCCUAGAUGCUGGGGAUACAGUACCUCGGGAUACGAAUGGGCAAACAGAAAUGAGGGGAAAAGGGAAAGAGCAGAGAGAGGCAAGCCUUAAAUCAGAAAAAGCAAAGUUUCCUGGAAUGGCAAACGCGGGAACUUUUGAGAUGGAAGAAGUUGAUGACUUGGGGGAUGGGAAAAAAAGGGGAGGCAAACAAAAGGUAAUGGUGGGCUCGGCCCAUGUGGAAAUUGAAGCUGAGAAUGCAGACAAUGGGAAUUGCUCGGACAAAAUGAAGCCCAGGAAAAAGAAAUGGAAGUCACAAGCCCGAAAAAUGGAAAAUAAAGUAAGGAUAAAUGAAGCAAUCAUAAACUUAAAAAGGCCCAGCAGUGCUAUGGAGUGGGAGAACCCGGAAGCAAAAAAAUGCAAAAUAAAUAGCUGGCAGGGCGCUGAACAUUCAUCAUAGCAUCAGGAAGUUACUACAACAGCUACUCAGCUAGUUUUCGAAAAUGAAGACGGGGAUGCUUCAAAGGGGGUUCAGAAUGCUGCUCCUAAGAUAUCGGCGGAGGCUGGAAGACAGCCCCGCCGACAGUCAUGAAGCUAAUAAGCUGGAACGUUCGGGGGCUGGGGCAAGACCGAACGUUCCGAGAAGCCCAGCAAAUCUUGCAGGAGCAUAGACCUCAACUUUUAUUUCUUUGCGAAACAAAGAUGACGUCGAAGCAAAUGCAAGAGAAAGCGAGUAAGAUGAAAUUUCAGAAUUAUUUUUCAGUUAGCCGUGAAGGAUUGGGAGGUGGGUUGGCAAUGUUGUGGAAUCCAGGGACAACAGUAGAGAUAAAGUCUUUUAGUAAACAUCAUGUGGAUGCAGUGGUUUGUAACGAAAAUGGCAAUUAUUGGAGGUGUACGGGAGUGUAUGGCCAUCCAGAAUCAGAUCAGAAGAGACAUACUUGGGAGCUAUUCAGAAGGUUAGCUACUUUAUCUUCGCUGCAGUGGCUUUGUUUUGGAGAUUUUAAUGAGGUGUUGAACUUAAAUGAGAAAUUAGGAGGAAGAGAUAAGAGGGUUAAUAUGGUCAAUGAGUUUAGAAAAGCUAUUAGGGAUUGUGAUUUAAAGGAUUUAGGAAGUAUUGGGUACCCGUUUACUUGGUCCAAUAGACGGUUUGGCCAUCACAUUAUAGAAGAAAAGCUCAACAGAUUUUUGUGCAACAAUAAUUGGGGAAACAACUUCCAAGAAAAGGCUGGGCGGAAUUUAAUUUCUUGAAGCUCAGAUCAUAGUCCAAUCUUGAUGGAGGUGGUAGAAAAGAGGAAGGGAAAACGUUUUAUGAAAAGAACUUUCCCAAGAGUCCAUUACGAAGAUAUGUGGAGCUCGUACGAGAAGUGCAGAGAGAUAGUUAGGCAGGAAUGAAGGGAGGUGAAUUAUGAGAAUGGUAGCAAUCCAAUUGAAAUCUUCAAGAAAAAAAUCAAAGAUGUCGUUGGCUGAAUUAAAGAAUUUGAGCAAUGAAGAAUUUAGUGGGAGAGAAAAGAAGCUGGAGCAGUUGUAAAACAAGCUGAAGGACAUUAAAAUCGGGUACAAUCAUGCUGUUAAUGGAGAGGAGAUUACAAAAGUAGAAAAUCAGAUUGAUAAUAUCCUUCUUGACAAGGAAGUUUAUUGGAGGCAAAGAUCGAGGGUGGUUUGGUUGAGGGAGGGGGAUAAGAACAUGAAAUUUUUUCAUUCGAAAGCCUCUGCGAGAAGGAAAAAGAACUGGACAAGUGGGCUGGAAGAUGAGAAUGGCAAAUGGCUUGAAGAAGUUGACGAUGUAGAGCGGAUGGUAUGUGAGUAUUUCACUAAUAUCUUCACUACAACAAACCCAUCAUCAGGCCAGAUAAGCACAACCUUAUCAAACCUGCCAGCUAAGGUUACAAGGGAGAUGGGGAGCUUCAUGGACCAGCUGUUUACAAAAGAAGAUGUAGCAGAUUCCUUAGCUCAAAUGUGCCCCACAAAAGCGCUAGGACCAGAUGGGCUUCCAGCAGCUUUCUUCCAGAAACAUUGGGGUUCUGUGCAGCAAGAUGUUAUCACCACAUGCCUACAUGUUUUAAAUGAGGGAGGUAACAUUGCACCCCUGAAUCAUACAUACUUAGCUUUGAUCCCCAAAGUGCAAAAGCCUAGAAAAGUGACUGAUUUCAGACCUAUUAGCUUGUGUAAUGUUAUAUAUAGAAUUAUUGCUAAAACGCUAGCUAAUAGGCUUAAGAAGAUUCUGCAUGUUAUCAUCUCCCCGAACCAAAGCGCUUUUGUACCCAAUAGACUCAUUACUGAUAAUCUUAUUAUAGGAUACGAGUGUCUUAAUAAGAUUAGACAAAGCAAGAGUAAAAGAAAUGGGCUGGUAGCUCUUAAACUUGAUAUUAGUAAAGCCUACAAUAGGGUUGAGUGGGAAUUUGGAAAAUGCACAAUGCAAAAACUUGGAUUUUCAGAAAAAUGGGUGAAGUUGAUCAUGAAUUGUAUCACUACAGCAAGUUUUUCAGUGUUAAUCAAUGGAGUGGCAAAAGGCCUAAUCCAUCCUCAAAGAGGAUUGAGACAGGGCUGCCCCCUCUCCCCUUAUCUCUUUAUUAUGUGUGCAGAGGUGUUUUCGAACUUAAUGGUGAAUGCAGAAAAUCAAAAUCUCAUAAAUGGUUUGAAAUGCAGCAGCCUCAAGACAGGUGUUUAAUUUCGAGAAGUCCUCUAUGUUCUUUAGCAGCAGCACAAGUUCAGGUAAAAGGGAGGAAAUCAGGAGUAUUUUCGGUUUGAAUGUCGUUUCAAAACAUGAAAAGUAUCUGGGACUUCCAUUGAUGAUAAGGAGGAAAAAGACUAGCUUCUUCAACGACAUAAAACUGAGAGUGCUAAGCAAGCUAUCAAGUUGGCAAAACAAGUGUUUCUCAAGUGGGGGAAAAGAAAUACUCAUCAAAGCUGUGGCACAAGCUGUGCCUGCAUAUGCGAUGAGCGUAUUUAAAAUUCCUCAAAGGCUGUGUGAUGAUAUACAAAAGGCUGUAGCAAGGUUCUGGUGGGGAUCAUCCGAAACUCAUAGAAGGAUUCAUUGGGCAAGGUGGGAGAAAUUAUGUUAGGCCAAGAUUAGGGGUGGUCUGGGUUUUAGGGACUUUUCAAGCUUUAAUCAAGCCCUUGUCGCCAAACAGGGGUAGAGGAUCCUACAUAAUCCUGAUGCUUUAAUGUAAAAAAUUUUAAAAGCCAAGUACUUCAAGCAUACUGACUUUAUGGAGGCAAAAUUGGGGUCAAAUCCCUCAUUUGUUUGGAGAAGUAUAUUAUGGGGGAGACAAGGGUUGCACAAAGGCUUAAGAUGGAGAAUAGGUAAUGGAAACCGGGUCUCAGUGUCCAGCAGGAAUUGGAUGCAAAAACUCGAAUGUUCCAGCUAUGUUCCUCACCAAAAUUUAGCAGAAAAUGCUGUUGUUGCUGAUUUUAUUGAUGACAAAAAUCAGUGGAUGGAGGAGAAGGUUGUGCAAUGUUUUCCCGAAGAGGUGGCACAAAGGAUUCUAAGAACCCCUCUGCCAAGAACCCCCCAGGAAGACCUGAUGAUUUGGCACUUUGAUAAGUAUGGCUGUUACUCAGUAAGAAGUGGAUACCAGGUGGCAGUUAGAAUGAAAUUCCCAGACAAUCCGGAGUGCUCUGAUAGCUCUAAAACUCAAUGGAAGGUAAUUUGGUCAAAUGAGAUUCCGGAAAAAAUAAAAAUUUUCAUGUGGAGAGCUGCUCAGAAUCUAUUACCAACAGCCAAUAAUCUAUGGAGGAAAAAUGUGGUGGGGAAUCCAGCCUGUCAAAGAUGUAAUUGUAAAAGUGAGAAUGUCACUCAUGUGUUAAUGGAGUGUAAGGCUGCUCAAAAAGUCUGGAAGUUGACAGAUUUUUACGAAGAUAUGAAGUUGUUGUCUCAGCAUGACAUACUGAGUAUGCUCCAAGAACUAGCAUCGAGAAGAACGAAGAAAGAGAUUGAGCAGAUUCUUGCAAUAUAUUGGGCCAUUUGGUAUGCGAGGAACCGCUUUGUAAUUGAAGGAAAGCAGGAAGAGCCAAAACUGGCAGCAGCUAGAGCAUCAGCUAUUGUGGAGUCAUAUAAGAGAAUCAAAACCCAAAACGGUCCAGCUAGAUCAAUUCAUUUUCAAAACAACCAACAAAUUUGGACACCUCCUCCAGAGGGGAAGUAUAAAGUCAAUGUGGAUGUUGCGAUUCAAAUGGCAGGUCUGAAGGCAGGGUUGGGGGCAGUGGUUAGGAAUUCCAAUGGAAAAAUCAUUGCUGCAGCUGUUAAGAAGGUGUGCUUUCAGGGAACAGUGGCGAGCAUGGAGGCUGAAGCAGUCCUUUUUGGCAUUCAAGUUGCCCAACAAGUAGAAUAUUUGCCCAUGAUUAUUGAAUCGGAUUCAACAGAAGUGGUGGAGCUGGUCUGGAGCAGGAAAAGUAGCUUGACUGAAGUUUCUUGGACAGUAGAAGAAAUAAAACAACAGCUGCAGAUCUCGAAUGCAUCUUCAUUACAGUUUGUUCCAAGGAAGUGUAAUGCCAUAGCUCAUGCUAUAGCAAAAGUGGCUCUGGAUUUUGAGAAUUCUGUUAUAUGGCUGGAAGAGUUUCCAGUCCAGAUCAUGAUGUUACUCUCAAAUUUUAUCAAUUAGAAAGCUUUACUUUCUUAUCAAAAAAAAAAAAAAAAAAAGCAGGGCAGAUAUUGUAACGCAGCUGCUAUUGGUAGCAAUUAAUUCUUGGAUGAAAUUUACUAAGGUAUAGCCUUGUUAAAGAACUGGUUUUCUUAAAUUGUAAAUGGUCCCGUUUAUGAUGGGGAGAUUUUGAUCAAAUCUGAAAGAAAGCUUGAAAAAUAUAUUGAAACUGUAAUGAAAUUUUAUGUUUGAUUUAUAUUACAAAUGUGGAUAAUGGGUUGAAGUUGCUAGCUUUGAAGAUAAUAUAGAAGAAGAUCAGAGUUUAUAUAAAUUGAGAUUCUUUUUUGCACUUAGAUUUUUAUUUAAAAAAUAUUGUUUGUGUUAUUAUUAAGAGGAAAAAUAUAAAUAAAUGAAUCUAAGUCUUAUAAUAUUAUAGUUGCCAUGUGUCAUAAUCAUAUUAAAAGGUUUGAAAAAAUUAGAUUAGGUGAGGAUUCAAUUCCUCCUUGAAGACCGCUAAUAGAAUUGGUUUCACUCAUAAAUUUUUGUCACUUUCACUCUUUUCAAAAGUGCGUGAAAGCUAGGUUAUAGAAUUUUGGAUGGACGAUCACUCUUUUACAAAGGACUACCAGUCUUUAAUGAAUUUUGGAUUCAGUGUUGAUAUUUUGGGCUCAUCAAAGCUAGACUAUAGAUUUUUUUUUUUUUUAAAGAAUUUUGAAUUCAAUGUUGAUAUCUUGAGCUUAUCUUUAACUAAUUUUUUACCACUCGUGCAUUUAUGUUAUUGUACGGUUAUAGAUUCAGUUAUUUUUAAAGUAGAAAAAUUACUUCUCUUAAAAGUGAAAGCAGGGAAUGCAGACGCUAUUUGUUGUAGUUAAUUCUUGGAUGAAAUUUGGGUCUUGCUAUAAUACAUGCAUGUAUCACAUACAUGCAAGGAAUAAAAAAAUUAAAAAAAAACAUUGCCAAACAUUUGAAAAAAAAAAAAAAAAAACUGGAGCAACUGGUAAAGAGCAACCGGUUGUGCCUUAAACGAUUAAAAAAUUAUGAAACAAUAUAAUAAAUAAAUAUAAUAAACAAAAUAAUAAUAAAAUAAUAAACAAAAUAAUAAUAAAAUAAUAAUUAUUUAAUAAUAAAGGCUAGAUAACUAUAAAAAAUUAGUUUCAAAUUUAAUGGUAUCAGUAUCAAGUUAACGGUAGGUGUUUCGUGUUUAUUGGUCUACUAAUUGCAUGAUAUUCAAGGUUGCAAGUGAAUGAUCCCAAGUUCCAUGUUCAUUGCCCUCAGUUUCAAGUUCUUUUGGUUUUAAGUUUAAUGGUCCUGGUAUCAAGUUAACGGUAGGUGUUUCAUAUUUAUUGGUUUAUUAAUUGCAUGAUUUUCAGGGUUGCAAGUUAAUUAUUCCAAGUUUCAUUUAUUGAAACCGAAUCUAAUGAAUCUGAGUCGGCGUAAUUGCCCCAAUUCAUUAGGCAGAUGGCCAUGAAAAUUAUUAUGAGCAACAUCAAGAGAUACUAAGAACGUGAGAUUUCCCAAGUGUGGGGGAAUGGUACCUCCGAGACCUAUAUCUGAAAGAUUCAAGGCCGUGACUCUUUGAUGACGUGAACCACAAGAAAUGCCAAUCCAGGUACAUAUUGGAUAAGAUAUAGACCAAAUAUUUGUCAGGACACUUUGAUAAUCAACGACACGGGCUUUGAAUGCAAGAAGAGCCGAUUGAUCUGUUGUUAAAUUGCUUAAAGUCGUCAUAGCUAAGCUAGCUAUGGAAUAUUGUAACAACAACAUGGGAACAAAGAAGAACGAUAAGCGCAUAUUGGCUCCUUUUUAUUAUAGAUGCAGCAAUCUAAUUGCUAAGUGAAGUUGAUACAAGUUUUAAGUGAAAGAAAUUAGCAUAUACUCAUACAAGAGACGUAUGAAUUUGAAAACAAGAAAAUAAAAAAUGUACAGGAGAGUGGGGACUUGCAAAUUGUUAUCUUUUAUCAUUGAGCGAAUCGUCCGAGUAAACGCCUAUAGACUUGUAAAUUGUUAUACGCCGUUGUACUUACCGAAAAGAAGAAGAUGCUCAGCAUUGGCAAGACCUAUGCAUUCUGUCCAUUUGUUCACAUUAUGCCGAGGCUCAUGGCAACCGCAAUAUGUUCUUUUUCUUUCGUCUAAAAAAAAAAAAAAAAAAAAAAAACGACCUUCACAUUAGGGCUAAUAAUUAUUGCUAAACAAUUAAUAAUGCUGAGGGUUAGUGGUAAUGUAGCUUUAAAAUAAUUGUUAUUAGUUGUGCCUUAAAAAUAAAGAAAUAAAUAUAGUUAUACCCCCAUAAUUUAAUAAAAUAAUCAUGUAAAUUUCUAAGCUUUUAACAAUAUACACCAAGACCCCUUCUGUUACUUUUUACCAUUUAUUUGGAUGUCACAUGCUUUUUUUUUUUUUUAAUUUUUCACAGCGGAUAUCAAAUGCUAAAUUUACUGUUAUUCCCAUAUCACGUCAUCGCUUGCUUCUACACAUUUUGAUUGUUUUUCCAAAGUUCAAAAUUGAAUUAAAAACAUUCUAAUUAACCUUAAAAUUAAAAAAAAAAAACUCAUCCAACCAGAUAUAAAUCUUCUAAUUAACCUAAAGAUAAGCUACACCCCCAUACUAAUUCCAAUUAAAUAAAUCUUCAUUUUUGUCAUGAUUUUGGAUCUCGAGCAGGGUGGAUAUAUCCAACUAGAUCCACCCCAUUGGCAUUCCAAUAUAUUAUGGAAUUGGAAGAGUAUCAAUGACUUAAUUUGUAAUUUUAAAUUUGUAACGUAUAAUUCUAAUUUGAGGAUUCAAAUGAAUUUAUGCGGAUCUAAAAGGGGACUGAAGAUGGGCAUGCAUACAUACAUACAUAUACAAUGAGAGAGAGAGAGAGAGAGAGAGAGAGAGGUAAUAUAACAUUCUUCUUGAUGAAGAUUUUUGUGCCAUACGAAUUAAAGAGAGUAUUGUGUCGAUGUUGGAGGCUUAAAGGGACAAGUGGUUACAUUGCUUCAGAGGUGUUUAGUAGAAACUUUGGUGAGGCAUCACAUAAUUUAAAUUACUAGAUUUAGCGAGAUAUAUAUAUUUUCUACAUUGGAUUUACAAGCAUUUGGAGCAGGAUAAUGAACUUAAAUUACUCGGAAUUGUAAACAGCGGAAAGUGAAAUUGCUAAGAAGAUGAAUAUUGUUGUUUUGUGGUGUAUACGGACUCGUCCAUCGGAUAGGUCGCCCAUGAACAGAGUGACAGAAAUGUUACUGCAAAGAAGCAGACUGACUAGCAGUGACGCUUUGAAUAAGUCCACCAAACAUCUUCUCCUACAAGACCACCAUUAUAUUUUUCCACCAUUCAACGUCGUGACGUGGGGAUCAGAAUUGAAUUAUAGGAUGCUUGUAAGUUUCCUUUGUGGAACUUGUGAAUUUGUGAUGGCAAAAGUCAAUGAUGCAUGUAACUAGCCGGCCCGUGUAGAGUCCGUUUGACUCAUAAAUAUUUGUCACUUUCACUCUUUUUCAAAACCCAAAAGCACGCUAAAGCUUAAUCUUAAAAGAAUUUUUGAUUUAGUGCUGACAUUUUGGGCUUACCUUUGAGUAAUUUUUACCACGCAUGCAUUUAUGUCAUUGUGCGGUCAUCCUUUACUUCUAAAGAUCGUAAUCUUUAAGAAAAAAUUACUUCUCUUGAAAGUGUAAGCAGGGCAGCUAUUGGCGUAUUGCAUUGCAGCUGCUAUGUGUAGUAGUCAAUUCUUGGAAAGAACUAGUUUUCUUAAAUUGUAAAUGGUCCCGUUUUAUGACUGGGAGAUUUUGAAUAAAAUUAAUAUGAUGAAUUCUUUGCAAGUGUUGUUCCUUGAAGUCUCAUCUUUCACAAUGUUUUUGAAAUAAAGAUAUUACCAUCUCUGACUAAAUAUUUACUCUUGAUUUGGACCACCUAAUCUGAACUUGAUGAAAGAAUAAAGAUUAUGAUCUUGCCUGAUUUUAUGGAUGUGGUUUUAUCUCACGUAAGUCAGUAAUGAAUUAAUUAAAAUUUACUGUCAAAUUACAAACUCAAAAACUGCUACUGCUUCAUUAUUCACAAUACCCAAAUUCAGUGCAGAACUUAUUAUAAGUUUUCCGAAAGUUUUACGCUUUCUUUCCCCCAAAUCCCAAGUACUUCUUGUAAUAUCAUUCCCCUGUAGAUGUCUUCCCCUAAGACAUGUUUAACUUUGGUUCAGGGUAACAAAGCUAUAGCUUUUCCUGCCGUGUGCAACAAGCUAUUAAAUUAAAGCAUUUAUUUCUGUAUUACUACUAGUAGUAAGAGAGGUGAAAUGGAAACUUGAAUUCAUGUUCAUACGACAGUUUGUUUAUAAAUAAAUGAGUUGAUAACAAGUCAUUUUAAAUAUUUGCCAAAACAAAACCGUGAGUGAUGUCUAGUUCAAUUUUCAAUGUUCAGAGUCCAAUUUUGAUUACUGGAAAUUUUAAUUAUGAAGUUGAAAUAAGAAUUUGUUACAAUAUAUUCCACCUUCCUAUACAGUCAUCUGGAAUAAUAAUAUAUCAAAAACAAUAAGAACUCAAUUUACAGGGUGAGAAAGAAAAGAAAGACGCUACGAGGGAAGCAGAGAUUUAAAGACUUCACUACUUUGUUGGAGGAACAAUUUCAUAAAUAUCCAGAAUAUUGACAUAAAACACAUACCAUAUCUAGCAUUAAGUAUAUUUAUUGUUUUCGACAUAUUUUGGGGGUAGGAAAAGCUAAACCUAUCUAGAACAAUGAAUUUAUAUUUUUAGGGGAGACGAGGUACCUCAUUGGUUUGUUGUGUGCGGUGUAUCUGAAAUUCGGGGUAGGUGAGAAGGGAAGAGGGAGUGGUAACAAUGGAGAAAGGUCAGAACAAAGAAAGAAGUCAUUCCAAAUGAGCUUCACGCCUGUAAAACAAUGAAAUAGAGGUUAGAGGUGAAGCCGUGAUACCCCGGCGUUCACACUCCGACGCUCAAGUUAGCAAACUCAAGCUUUUUAAUGGUAAAGAGGGCUUGUCAGCCCUCUGUAAAUCAAAGUUUAAGGUUGAAGAAAGCUUAUUUUGUGGAGUGUGAGUGUUAAUGGUGAAUGAGAACAUGAUGGAGAAUGAAACCUAGGCACCUUUAUAUAUGGAGUACCUCAGCUGCUACAUGACGUAUCAUUUUUAGCUUUUUAUGAUUUUUAGGCCGUUAUGUGCAUGUUCGCGGCGUAUCUCAUCUUUUGGAAAUGUGGCGCGCGCUUGAGAGCUGUCCAGGGUACCUCUGUAGUAGCUGUCGGAUAGGCGGCUGAAGACCACUGUCCUUGGGACAGUGUCCUUCACUUUUGGCAGAGGUGGCAGGCGAUUGCCCCCCAUUUUAGUACGACAUUUUUUAUUCCUAAUUCGGACAAAAUCGAAUAUUAUCCUUCAAAAUAUGGAGAUAUUUCCCAGGGCAGAUUUUUUCAGAGGAUUCCCCUGAGUCGGACCUGUCAGGUACCUCAAGUUAUCUGGGGUACCCUGAUAAAUGCGGGGUACCUCGAGUUACUUUGGAGUUAUGCGAGGUACCUCGAAUUAUGCCGGGUACCUCGAGUUAUUCCGGGUACCUUGAAUUAUUUUGGAGUUAUUCCGGGUAUCUCGAAUUAUACGGGGUACCUUGAAUUAUGUUGGAGUUAUUCCGGGUACCUCGAAUUAUGCGGGGUACCCCAAUCUAUGCGGGGUACCUCGAGUUACUCUGGAGUUAUGCAGGGUACCUCUGAUUGUGCCGAAUACCUCUAAUCGUGCAGGGUACCUUGAGUUACUCUGGAGUUAUGCGGGGCACCUCUGAUCACGCCGGGUACCUCUAAUCAUGCCGGGUACCUCUAAUCGUGCGAGGUAGUAUACCUCGAAUCAUGCCGAAUACCUCAGUUUACACUGAAGUUAUUCCAUUCGUUGAGACGUGGCGUUUUGCUAUCUUUCAUUUUUUCCCCCAAACAUUUAUAGAUGUCCAAAGAUAAAAAUUCGAAUAUUAGAUUUGUCAUUUCAAUGUAUGUUCUGCCCAAAGCAAUGACUUUUAUUCCACAAGCACAAGUAAGAAAGAGUACGCACAAAGUUAACAAACACACAUAGCAAACAUGACAUCAACUACUAGCAGCAGCAUCAUGCAUCUAGAAACUGCACUAUAAUCUUUUUGAGCUUUUCAACGGCAUCUUUCGUAUAUGCCUGCUGUUCUGGUGACUCCAUGCAAAAAUCCAAUGCCGAAUGCAUGCUGCUUAAUAAACAAUUCAUUUUAGCAGAAAAAGCUUGCUCUUCUGUCACCAAGUUUGCAUCGACAACAUCCCUCAAUGCACGACGUAAUGACUACCUUACCUAGUCUCUUAAACUUAUUUAUCCGGUAAACAUUUCAUUUGUGGGCUUCUAUCUGGUGAAAGUUUCCAUCAAUAAAACACCAUAACUAUAGACAUCACAUUUGGCCGAAAUCAUUCCUUCUAAUCCAUACUCUCCAUUUUUUGGUUUCGAUAGAUCAAAUGGAUGUGACAUCAUAAAACAAAUGAUAAACAAAUAAUCAGUCAAGAUGGCCCAAACUUUGACUGUGCUUAGAAAAGAGCAAAAUUUUGAAAUUAUAAUUGAAACCUUACCUGGUGCCAUCUAUAACCAAUUGUAGCCACUGUCAUGAUUUGGGUAACAGAAUCUUCUCCAUCACUUAAGAGUUCAAAAAUGCCGAACUCACAUAUGCCAGCAUUGAAAUACAAGUGUGCAACCCAAGAAGGGGGGUGAAUUGGGAUUCUAAAACAAAUUAUCAUGCAAAUCUAAAAUGAAUUUAAUGCAAUAACAAUUAAAUCAAUUACAAUAUAAAAAGAUAAGGGAAGAGAGAUUCAAACACGAAGAUUUUAUGCGGUUCGGCCAACCUCGCCUACGUCCACGCCUCCAAGCUUUCCAGGCUUGAGGAUUUCACUAAGCAAGCCUCCAAGGCUUCAAAUGCUUACACUUGACUUCCAAGGUGUCAAUGAACCUUUACAACAAGAGAUUAUCCCCAAUCUCUUAACCCAAGUGUAUCCCAACAUUUACAACCACUCAAAAUAAAAGAUUACAAAUUGUUUUUCUCUCACACAAUAUUUAAGAUUACAAAUUAAUGCCAAAUGUGUGAAUAGAUGAAGCAAGAAUAUGUUUAAAUCUCUAUGAAGAUUAUAUUCUCGAAUAUAAGCUCAAUAGUCGUGUUGUGAUCAACCUUGUUUGAAUUUUAAUGAGCUUAUUUAUAGUUGGAGAUGAAAAACUAGCCGUUAUAGACUGUCUGCUCGAAAACAAUUCACCAUUAACCAUUAACAGUUAACUGUUUAGGCUGGUCAAAGUUACCGUUGGGCCAAUUUUCAAAUAAACGGUUUUCCGUUUAGGAUUACCCUUUCGCCAUUAAAUUCCAGAGACCUGCAAGAUAAACUUCAGUUAUCCGUUUACAUUAAACGGUCAAAGAUUUGCAUGAAAUAACCUCUCUGGAAUUUAUCGGUUAGCCGUUUGUAAUAAACGGUUCGCUGUUUGUUUCCAGUAACAAGAUGAACACAGUUUUCCAUUCUGGAUUUUAUCGGUUAACCAUUUCAAUAAACGGUUCAUGGUUUAAUUCCAGUAGCCUUCUCAACAUUUUGUGUUUUCUGUUUUUGUUAACCGGUUAGAGCUUAAGCAAUUCGUUACUCUCUGGAUUUAAUCGGUUAACUGUUAAAAAGAAAACGGUUCAUCGUUUAUUUCCAGAAUCAUAUUGUUAGCCAGAUAUUGCAAAGAAUCAUUUUCCAAUUUUAAGUUUAACAGUAAUCCAACUUUUAUGAAUAUAAUUGGAAUGAUUAUAAGGUUUUCGUUUAUUAAUCCAACAUUUUAAUCAGAAACAUUUAAAGUUUGUUAUCAUCAAAAUCAAUAUUAUGAACAUAUACAUGUUAACAUUCUCCCCCUUUUUGAUGAUGACAAACUUCAUUCAAUAUUUGCUCCCCCUUAAUAUCUGCUCCCCCUAAAUGUGUGGCCAAAUCAAAAAUUGUCGAAUAAACUGAUUUUUGCUCAAGGAAACAUUUUAAAAAAAAUUCAUUGUUUUAAAAAAAAUUAAAAAACAAAAUUCAUUUCAAAUCUCCCCCUUUAUCAAUAUACUCAAUAUACAAGAGCAUAUACUCAAUAUACAAUAGCAUUACAAUAAUCUCUCCCCCUUCAUCAUCAAAAAGAAAAGAGAGAAAAGAAAUCCGUAAAGCAUAGAGGUGAGAAAGAAGUUGCCCAGUUUUGGCGAGCAAAAAAUUUGGCAUAGUUUCCCCUUAAAAUGGAACAAAUCCACUAAUACAAAAUGAGAUUAAAAAAGAAAACACUUCCAAAUAUAUUAACAACAACUCCAUCAUCCAACAUACCAACAACUCCAUCUUCCAAUAUCAAAUCAGCCAACAUCAAAUCAUCCAACAUCAAAUCAUCCAACAUUAAGAACAUCACAAAAACAAUCUAUCAUCAAAAUCAUAGAGAAGUAGCAAUGUAUACCAGAAUAUAAAUAGCAACACACAAACAAACAAAAUAUGAAAUGUAUGUGCGAAGAUGAGACUCAGAAACUAUGAAGGUGGUGAAGAUGUGCUCCCCGGAUCAUAACCGAAAUGACGAAGAAGAGUGCGCUAUCCAGCUAUAAGCUCAAGCUGCUGAUCAAUGCUCUGCUGCUGGAAGGUCUGAAACUCAGAACGAAGCUGCUGAUGGUCGUGGGAGAAGGUGUCCAAUCUAUCGAUAAUCAGCUGCUGCCUCUCUAAAAUCCUGCGAACAUCAUCCACCAACUGCUGCAAGGCGGCCGAAGUAGGGGGCUGAAUUGAAUCAUGAGGUUGUUCGGGAGCUGGAGGUGGCCCAGAAACGGAGGGCCGUGCAGGAACAACAGAUGGCUCGGGAGCGGAAGGCUAUGCUGGAGCUAGAGGUGGCAUCGAAGUGGAUGGAAUAUCAGCAUCCAUCUCACGCUCCUCAGAGUCAGAGUCAGCUGGAGGCUAGGGGACAAAACGGUGACGUGGAGGAGGUGGAUGAGCUCCUAAUCGAAAAUCUGGAAGCUGAUCGGGAGGAUAGACAUCGUUGAGCAUAUGAUCGUCCUCUGGAGCAAUCAAGGUAUCCCGAUUUUUGGAGUUUUUAGUCUUUAUCCACUGGCCAUUCUUUCUAGAAAAACUGAUACUAGUCAUGGCCUCUGGACCAAUCCGUCUAGUCUCCGUAUAACCGGUAUCUAGAAGAGGCACCUCAAAGCGUCGCAGUAUCUUAGUAAUGAUACUGCCAUAUGGAAGCAAGCGGCGAUUAACCGCGGGAGUACUCAACAUGUGCCUCACAAUAACAUAGAUGAGGUUAAUGGAUCGACCUGAAAUGAGGCUAUCUAAUAAGCCAACGUCUAACCUCGUAACCUCAUCCGAGUGACCCUUCCUAGGUGUCACUAUAUGCUGUAAAAUUGUGUGAAGUAUGCGAACUUGCAGAGGUAAAGGUUGAGACCAAAAAGGUAAGUGACAAGUUUCAUAACUCAGUUCUCGACGCCGACAGAUAUUACGAACUCCAUUAGCAUGACUAAAACCGUCAAAGGAAAGAGCUUUCCUAGAUGUAUAAAAUUUAUUACCAUCACUAGAGAUACCUAGAAAGCCAUUAAGGUCCUUAUCAUCAAAUUCAAUAUGAAUACCGCCAACCUAAGUAACUAUCCUAUCUAGGUGAGUUACGGAGAUUUCCAUAUUCGAAUAGAAAACUCGCACUAAAUUUGGAUAUACUCAGUCAUCAAAAUCAAUGGCAGACUCCCAAGGCUGAAGCAUAUCCCUAAUGCUUCUACCACACACAAUUAAAGUUUUAAAAUCUUCUAUAUCCACAUAGUAAGAAUCAAGUACCUUUCUACCAUUGAAGGGGUCCUCGAAACGCUUGGCCAAAGAGGCUAUGGGGAAAUGAAUUCUUUCGAAUUCAGAGACUCUCCGUGGUGGUAUAGAAUUCCUUUGAGGCGUAUCCUUCCUCCUUCGAAGUCUUCGAGAGUACGCAACCAUGGUGAAGAACAAGGAGAAUGAGGGAUUUUGAGAACAGUGACUUUGGACGAAAAAUAACUGAUUUUGGGAUCAAGAGAUAGUGGAGGAUGGAAUUUGGAAGCUUAAUGUGGUUGAAAAAUGACACGAAUUAGGUCAAAAAUGACAAAACCUAACCGGCUGCCCUUAGGGUUUUGAUUUGGAAUUUUUCAAUUUCAGGCUCGAUUCGAAGAUUUGAAUCGGUAAAAGUGAUCUAAAGGUGAUGGGAAAUGAUGUUAUAGGUGUGAUUUGGCAAGGAAAUCAAGAAAAAUGGAGUUUUGAUGAUAGAGAAAACUUCGGCUGCGCAACAAUGGCUGAAAUGGUAAGAAGGUAAAUGAAAAGAGAGAAGAAACCCUUGGAACAGUUUUUAUAUCGCAUGAAAACGGUUAACCGUUUAUUUAAACGGUUAGGGAGUAACUUUCAGAGACUAAUGAAUGGGAAACGGUGAAAGGGUAUCCUUUUAACGGCUAAGGAGUAACUUCCAGUGAGCUCUCUAUUUUUAAACGGUUUACCAAUUGCGUCAAACGGUAAAAGGGUAAAAGGCAGACAUCAUAAUCUAGUUUCUAGAAUAAAACGGUACACAGUUUAUUGGAAACGGUUAUCCGUUUAUUUUAUCUAUAAUUUCACACAUUUGAUUUAAUUUUUGGCCAGCAAAUAAUACAUUCAAAGAUCAUUUAAUUGAUCCAAAAAUGUUUUAUGAGCCAUUUUAAUGCAUGAUUCAUGAACAUGUAUUCAAGCAAUUAAUUCAUAUAAACAUUCAAGAAUUAUCAAAGCAAACACAUCACUUGAAUAUCAUGCUUAAGCAUUUCAUAAAUAUUAAAUCAUCAAAUCAUUAAUAAGUCAAUCAAUUCAAUACACUCAAUAACAUUAAUAGAGAAGUUAAUGCGAAAAUUUCAUCAUCCCAAGUUCAUGCCGAAUUUUUGAAAAUUAUUCUUCGCCAAGAGGUUUGGUAAAAAUAUCGGCAAGUUCUUUUUUUGUAGAAAUAAACUCUAAUGCAAUAUCUCCCUUUUGAACAUGAUCUCUCAAGAAAUGAUGUCUUAUUUCAAUAUGCUUGGUUCGAGAGUGUUGAAUGGGAUUCUUUGAUUCUAGUCUAGCUACGGGUGCAAAUGUUUCAUCAAAAUCAAUUCCUUCUUCUUGGUUGUAACCUUGAGCCACUAAUCUAGCUUUAUUCCUUACAACCACACCGGAUUCAUCCAUCAUAUUUUUAAAUACCCAUUUAGUACCUAUGACGGAUUGAUGUUCCAAUUUAGGAACUAAUUCCCACACAUUGUUUCUUUCAAAUUGAUUUAACUCCUCUUGCAUUGCCAUAAUCCAAGAUUUAUCAUUUUCCGUAUCCGCAAAGGAUUUGGGUUCAAUUUGAGAAAUAAAUGCAUUAUGCUCACAAGUAUUCCUAAGUGAUGAUCUAGUUGUAACACCUCGUGAGGGAUCUCCUAAAAUUACAUCCUUAGGGUGAGAAGAAACAUACCUCCACUCUUUGGGGAGUGAUUGAGAAGUACCUUUAUUUUGCUUUACCUUUGUUUCUUCAUGUUGGUCAUCUUGAUUCCCAUGAGACGCAUCCUUUUGGUUAGCUUUUGAUGAUUCUUUUUGUAAGUCUUCAUCUACAUCAUUAUUAACAACAAAUUUCUCCAUAGAGGAGGGGUUAGAUUUAUCAAAUGUAACAUGCAUCGAUUCUUCUACAACUAGAGUUCUUUUGUUAUAAACUCUAUAAGCUUUGCUUGAGUUUGAAUAUCCAAGAAAAAUACCCACAUCAGAUUUUGGAUCAAAUUUGCCAAGAUUAUCUUUUGUGUUCAAAAUAAAACAUUUGCAUCCAAAAACUUUGAAAUAACCAAUAUUGGGUUUUCUAUUUUUCCAAAGCUCAUAUGGAGUUUUUGUAAGGUUAGGUCUAAUCAACACACGAUUUAAAACAUAACAAGCGGUGUUGACGGCCUCGGCCAAAAAAUACUUAGGCAAUGAAUUUUCAUUCAACAUAGUCCUAGCCAUUUCUUGAAUGGAUCUAUUCUUUCUCUUAACAACUCCAUUUUGUUGUGGAGUUCUAGGUGAUGAAAAUUGAUACUCAAUGCCAAAAUCAUUACAAAAAAUCUCAAAUGCAUGAUUUUCAAACUCUCCUCCAUGAUCACUCCUAAUGCAUCUUUUUCAUUUUGAAUUUUCUUACAAAGUACUUUAAAGACAUCAAGAGCAUCAUCCUUAUUAGCUAAGAAUAAUACCCAUGUAUAUCUAGAAUAAUCAUCCACUAUCACAAAUGCAUAAUAUUUGCUAUUUAGACUAGCAUAUCUAGAGAGCCCAAAUAAAUCUAUGUGAAGAAGUUGAAGUGGUUUUGAAGUAGAAAUAUGAUUUUUAUUUUUGAAAGAUGUUUUGAUUUGUUUUCCAAAUUGACAAGCUUCACAAAUCUUAUCUUUUUGAAAACUAAUUUUUGGAAGACCUUUAACUAAAUCAUUUUUCGAAAUUUUUGAAAUCAAAUCCAUACUUGCAUGUCCUAACCUUCUAUGCCAUAACCAACUAUCAUCAUGCAAUGCCGAAAAGCAUUUAUCAAGAGCAGAUGCAUAUUCUAUGUCAAUGAUAUAAACAUUACCACAUCUAUUCCCAACAAAUAAGAUCUUGCCAUCACAUGAAUUCUCAAUAACACAACUAAAUUUAUCAAAGACAACUUUAUAACAUUUGUCACAUAAUUGACUAAUACUAAUUAAGUUGUGUUUCAAGUUCUCAACCAAACAUACAUUAUUAGAGUUGAGGAAACUUUACCAACAUUUCCAAUUCCAAGAAUUUUUCCUUUUGAGUUGUCUCCAAAAGAUACCUCUCCACCAUUUUCAAUUUUGGUGAAGCUUGAGAACCAUGCAUAAUUUCCGGUCAUGUGCCUUGAACAACCACUGUCUAAGUACCAUUUAUUUUUCUUCUUCUUCAAGCCCUCAUUGAGAUCAUCAUCCUCUCCUAUUGCCAUAAGCGCUAGGUUUGAUACUUCUUGCAACCCUUCUUCAUCACUUGAAUCUUCCUCGUUAUCAUCCCAAGUUGCAACGAUGGCUUUCUUCUUGAGUUUGUUGAUAAGUGGGCACUCCGGUCUUAUAUGGCCAAGCUUCUUGCAUUCAUAGCAUGUGAUUACCUCUUUCUUCUCCCUUUGGUUCUUGAAGUUUCUGAAUUUUCUUCGCUCUCCGAUUUUCUUGAAGAAAUUUCUAAACAUCCUUGCCAGCAUGGCCAACUUUUCAUCAUCCGGUUCACUCUCCCUAUCACUCUCAUAUUUUGAAGCUUUGAGAGUAAUGCUUUUCUUAUUCUCCUCAUGCCCUUUUUCUGCUGCCAAAUCUUUUUCAUAUGAAAUGAGAGAACUGAUUAAAUCAUCAAGAGGUAAAGUAUUUAAAUUUUUGGCCUCUUCAAUAACGGUUCUUUUAGGUCUCCAUUCUUUUAGAAGUGACCUAAUGAUUUUCUUAACUUUCUCGCUAUUUGAGAAGGUCUUUCCUAGGGCUCCUAGGGUGUUUACUAUGUCGGUAAAUCUAGUAAAGCAUUCAUAGCUUUGGAAUUUAGAGAAACUUUUCUCUUUUCCAAUUCAUUCCAUUCUCGUGAAGGUUUUGGAAUAUCUUCCCCGACUUCAUUUUUAGUUAGGGGCAAAAAUGGACCAUCACAUAUAACUUCCCAAAUUUCAUAAUCUAAUGCUUGUAAAUAAAUUCUCAUCCUAGUUUUCCAAUAUAGGUAGUCAUUUCCGUCAAAGAACGGUGGUCUAGUUGUGGACUGUCCUUCCCUAAAGGUUGAGUCAUUUUGGGUUGCCAUGGAUCUUUUACUCUAGACGGUUAAGUCCUAACAAAAGAACCAAGCUCUAAUACCAAAUGAAAUACAAGUGUGCAACCCAAGAGGGGGGUGAAUUGGGAUUCUAAAAAUUAUUUGAUUAUAAAACAAAUUAUCAUGCAAAUCUAAAAUGAAUUUAAUGCAAUAACAAUUAAAUCAAUUACAAUAUAAAAAGAUAAGGGAAGAGAGAUUCAAACACGAAGAUUUUUACAUGGUUCGGCCAACCUUGCCUACAUCCACGCCUCCAAGCUUUCUGGGCUUGAGGAUUUCACUAAGUAAGCCUCUAAGGCUUCAAAUGCUUACACUUGACUUCCAAGGUGUCAAUGAACCUUUACAACAAGAUAUUGUCCCCAAUCUCUUAACCCAAGUGUAUCCCAACACUUACAAUCACUCAAAAUAAAAUAUUACAAAUUAUUUUUCUCUUACACAAUAUUUAAGAUUACAAAUUAAUGUCCAAUGUGUGAAUAGAUAAAGCAAGAAUAUGUUUAAAUCUCUAUAAAGAUUGUAUUCUCGAAUAUAAGCUCAAUAGUCGUGUUAUGAUCAACCUUGUUUGAAUUUUAAUGGGCUUAUUUAUUGUUGGAGAUGAAAAACUAGCCGUUAUAGACUGUCUGCUUGAAAACGGUUCGCCGUUAACCAUUAACGGUUAACUGUUUAGGCCGGUCAAAGUUACCGUUGGGCCAAUUUUCAAAUAAACGGUUUUUCGUUUAGGAUUACCCUUUCGCCGUUAAAUUCCAGAGACCUGCAAGAUAAACUUCAGUUAUACAUUUACAUUAAACGGUCAAAGAUUUGCAUGAAAUGACCUCUUUGGAAUUUAUCGGUUAGCCGUUUGUAAUAAACGGUUCGCUGUUUGUUUCCAGUAACAAGAUGAACACAGUUUUCCAUUAUGGAUUUUAUCGGUUAACCGUUUCAAUAAACGGUUCACGGUUUGAUUCCAGUAGCCUUCUCAACAUUUUGUGUUUUCCAUUUUUGUUAACCGGUUAGAGCUUAAGCAAUUCGUUACUCUCUAGAUUUAAUCGGUUAACCAUUAAAAAGAAAACGAUUCACUGUUUAUUUUCAGAAUCACAGUGUUAGCCAGAUAUUGCAAAGAAUCAUUUUCCAAUUUUAAGUUUAACAGUUAUCCAACUUUUAUGAAUAUAAUUGGAAUGAUUAUAAGUUUUCGUUUAUUAAUCCAACAUUUUAAUAAAAAACAUUUAAAGUUUGUUAUCAUCAAAAUCAAUAUUAUGAACAUAUACAUGUUAACAAACAUAUUUUCAUCCAAGAGAAUAUUGCUAGGCUUCAAAUCACAAUUAAUUACAGGUGCUGAUGAAUGAUCGUGAUGGAGAUAUUCAAGUGCCAGCCGCACAUCUAUCAUUAUAUUCGACCUCUCUAGGAUAUCUAGGAAAUAGUUGUGAGAACACAACUAUUUCUCAAGACUACCAUUGAGCAUGAACUCAGGCACCAGUGCUUUAGAACCUGGGUUGCAACAGCUGCUAGUGAUCUUUAUGAGAUCUUGAUGACGAACACUCCACAAUACUUCACACAUUCAGAAUCAAAACUCCUAAAGGCUCUCUCUAGCUGCAGAUUGAAAACCUUUAUUACAAUGAUAGUCACAUCAUAAAGUUUGCCUUUAUAAACAGAUCCGAAGCUAUUCGUACCUAACAUGAUAUUCUUUUCCAUGUUGUCGAAUAGAACAAAUCUUCUUAUCUGGAGUUCUUGUUUUCCUAUUUUGAAGUAUUAUAAAGAAUAUUAUAACAGUCGUUAUUAGUACAUUGGAUAUAAUCGAAGGCAAAGUAUAUUUUAGGACAAGCAGAGUAGCACUCUUGGAUCCUUUGCUAUUAUCUUCUUUGCAAGGUAGGACUUGAAGUCCUAGUGGACCACAGAGUGCAUAAUUCUCAACAAACGAUUGAGCUGAAAUGUUUUUAAUAGGUCAUUUGAUAGGAAUUCCCCCUUUUAGCCUAUUGUGAGACACAUUAAGUUGUUUGAGAUAUGAGAGUGCCUCCAUUGACUUUGGAAUUUCUCCAGAGAGAUUGUUGCUAGGGAGAUCCAAAGAUUCCAACCUUAUCAAACUACCAAAUGAUUUAGGGAUCAGACCAUAAAAUUUGUUUCUAGCCAGGGAUAAAGUUGCUAUAUCUUUGAGGCCACCAGUACUUAUUGGUAUAUCACGUGAUAAUUGAUUUCUUGAUAAAUCAACUCUAUUAAGACCUUUAAGUUUUGUAUAUCUGAAGAUAGAGGACCACUUAGAGAAUUUGUUGUCAAGUUUACAAACAAGAUGUACUCAAGACUCCAUAAGGAUGAUGGGAUACUAGAAGUGAGCGUGUUGGAGCUUAAAAAGAGUGUUCUUAGAGAAGUCAGACUGCCCAAGCAUUGCGGUAUAUGUCCGAAGAGCUUAUUUUCAUUUAAAAAUAAACCAGUCAACCGUUCCAAGCGGCAAAGAUCACUGGGAAUGUAUCCUUACAAAUGAUUGGCAUUGAAAUAUGAAACUUGUAGUGUCUUUAACGUUUGCAUUGAGGCUGGAAUAGUUCCGUCCAAGUCGUUAUUGGAGAGGCUUAAAAGUAUCAAGCCACGAAAAUUACCAAUCUCUUGAGGAGUGCUGCCCCUAAUUUUGCAAUCAUGUGCAAAAAAAUUUUGAAACGACUCAGAGAAAUUCCCAAUUAAUGGUGGAAGGAUGCCACGUAAAGAUUAGAACCUAAGGCUAAAAAUGCCAGCAUCCUGCAAGAAGUCAAAGAAGGGAGAAAACUCCACCACCAGUAGAUGAUUCAGUCGUCAAGUAAUUAUACACCAGGUUGAGGAGGCCAAGGAAUCUCAGGUUGCCAAAAGUGCUUGGGAUAAGGCCGGAGAAAGAGUUGUAGCUCAAGUCUAGGACUCCGAGUUUAAAAGCGUUGGUGAUGGAGUUGGGAAUUGUACCGCUAAGUUUGUUCUUCGCCAAGCUUAACCAGUCCAUGUUUGGAAGCGAGUGGCCAAUCGUUGAUGGUAAAUGGCCUGUGAAGUGGUUUUCAGCUAGAGUAAUUCUUGUUAUGUUGAAAUAUUGAAGAUCGUGGGUAGAAUAGAACCAGUUAAGUUAUUGGAAUUAAGAGCUAAAUACUCCAGAUUUUGUAGAUUGCCCAUCUCAGUUGGAAUUUCACCUGCCAGUAUAGAUGCCCACAUUAUAUUCACACCUAUUGUGCUAAAAGGACAAGCAGAGUAAUAUAUAUGUUUAAAUGCAUUAAAGUCGCAAGUUUCGUUUGACACCAAGCAUAUAAAUUAUGAUCUCUCUAGUUAAGCGAUUUUGUGAUUUUGUUAAUUAGUUGAAAAAAAAAUAUGAUGGAGAAUGUUUGAAUUGGGCCUUCUAUUUUCAUUAUAGAAUAAAUAAACUAUUAAUUUUCAUGAGAAAAAUACUUAUUUCCAUAAAAUUAUUCAAGCUUUUAAAAAGAUUCAGAAUUAAAACUUUUGUACAGUAGAAAAUUUGCCGGUACGUUCAAUUAGUAGUUUGUUUGAGGAAAUAAGAUUAGAAUAGGCUAUAGGUACGGUGGUUAUGCGGUACCUGUUUCAUAACUGUAGUAUAGCAAAUGUUUGACUUUUUUUAUUAGAAAUAUAUCAUUAACAAUUUUGUUCGCUAAUUGAAUAGAGAAAGAGGGGGGGGGGGGGGGGGGGCAAAAAGGUUAACACAGUUCGAAACUACAAACGAUUGCCUUUUCCUAUUAAUAAUGUUUGCAGAUUCUAACAAUUGAAUCUCAAGGUCAUUAUAUAGUGAAUUUUAUAGUGAAUAAAAUUAAUAUUCCACAUACUAUGUACUCAAUUAAUAUCACAUUAAUUGAGACUUAAGGUAGGGCUCAAUUGUUGGGAUACCUGAUAUUAUUCUCUUUCUAAAUAUAAAAUUAAUGUUAAUAAUAAAAGCAUUUGGAAAUUGGGUCGAAUCCCCCAUUAGGGAUCAAAUUGGGAUUGCGGUUGCUGAUGAAGCUACUUUAUAUUGUAUGGAUUAAAUAAGAUGCCGAUUGAAAAAAUAACUUAGUGUUUUGAAAAUUGCGUUGUUAUGGUUACUGUAAGUUUGUAAAGCAGAAUACAUGCAUUUAGUAAAUUUGAUUAUGAAAGUGUUGUUUUGUUAUAUAAUGACAAAAAUAGACAUAAGUUCAAAUUGCCUUUUAUUUAGAUAUUAGGGUUUGCAGAAAAAAAAGACUUAAUUAUCUUUGGUUAAAGUUUUAAGGUUAUAAUAAGAACUUUAAAAGUACAUGGCAACUUAUUUAAUAAGCUGCUUAUAAAAUGUAACUUCAUAUCAAGAAGUCUGAGGAUAAUACGAGUAGAGAAUUUGAGAAGGCAGCUAGGCGCCUAGAGAAUGCUCGAUUGGUUUGUGGCCUAUCUUUUAAUUUCUUCAGAUUCGGGACAAAUUGUCUCGGAGUGAACUGAUGUGUUGCCUUUUCUUUUUUGAAGCUUGGAUGAUCUAUUUGCUACAGUUAGAAGUGAAAAUCGUAAUGAAUGUUAAAUUAUGCUGAUUGUUUCGAUUUACUUUUCUAUCUUAGCUCCAUAUGAUUAGCGGAAUGCUGGUCCUGCGAGUAUAAAAAUGAACUCCUUAAGUCAAAUUCCUUCUUGGGGUGUUGGAGAAAGAACUAAAUACACGUAAUAUUUCUUUCAGAUAUGGAUCAUCUGAUGGAUGUUGUAUUUUCUAGGUAUUGACGAGAUUCCCCAAUAUUGAAAAUUACGUUGCCGUGCAUCAAAAUGUGAUCCCCUAGAAUUCACCUGUGACAAAAAGAGGACCUUGUAGCUGAGGCAUGGAUUUUUAUCUUUCUUGGUUAUAGUUGUUUCUCAUCAUAAUAGCAAAAGCAGUUUGUUCUGAGUGACCUAUGUGGUCUACUAUCAAUCUCUGCCAUUUCUAUCAUUUAGUACUAUUGACUAUGUGAGUAUAGAUAAUUUGUUUCUACCAUGUAAUUUCAUGUUUGAUACAUUUCUAAUACAUUGCAUAGCGUCCAUGAACGGGAAUUAUAAAAUAAAUUUCAAGCAUGUUUAAGUAGAUGAAAAAAACUUGGUACGAUUUAGAAGGAUCUACUGAUUAAAUAAUUUUUCCUAUUUGUUUGCCUGAAGGAAUUGAAUAGUUAAUUGAUUAAAGGAUUGCAGGGUGGUUAGGUCCAGCUGGGCAUUGUCAAUAUUAACGAUCAUUAUGAAUGUGUAGUUCCUGUAUGUGAAAUUGAAUUUCCAUGGUGACAUGAUAAAAUGAAUUUCUGGUAGGGUGUGAUCGUAUGGUAGCCAAUUGUGAGCAACAGAUCCACAUAGUGAUAUAGAUUGAAAUUUUGCGUCUUAAUCCUUGAAGAUAUAGAUUUUGGCAAUAUUGUACAAGCACUGGGGGUUACCUUAAAUAUUCUGGACUUGCCAUUGAUGGAGUUUCUUUUACCUAGUUAUUGAUAUUGCUUUCAAUUUUCUAUUUUACUGAUACCAUAUAUACAAUUUUAGGUGGCAAGACAACUUUCGAUUUCUAUUGAGCCUGAAAACCUACAUCUACCAUCACCUCUGUCAGCUUUCGGGGAAUACGAGGUUCCUAUGCGCUUACCCAAAAUACGAGGUCCAGUGGACUCUCAAUGUUAAAGUUCGCGGCAAAUAAACAAUCGUUUCAUUUGUUUGGGUCGUAUUUUUUGUGUCGUAUUUUUCUGUGUCGUAUUUUUUCCCCCAAGGUUUUGGUGCCUGUUGCAAACGGGAGUGAGCUGAUUGAGGCCGUGAUAACGAUCGAUGUUUUGAGAAGGUCUCGAGUUGACGUCACGGUUGCGUCUUGGAGAAACAGCUUCGUGUGGACGCGUGUCAUGGUGUCAAGAUUGUCGCGGAUGCUCUCGUGUCUGACUGUCGCGACGCCGUUUUUGAUCUUAUAGCUCUUCCCGUAUGUAUUGCAGCUCACCUCAGCUCAUGCUAAUUUAUGUGAUGUUUUUAUAAUUAUAGAUGAUUAUUGCUGAUACUGAAUGGUAAGCUAAAUAAUUCGUCAUUAAGUCAUCUUCAUUUUAUUUUCGAUUGAAAAUGAAAAAAUAAUAAUUUUGAGCAAAGAAAAAUAUAGAAAAUGUUUAUUUUGUUUUAUUUUUAUUUUUAAAUUUUUUGGGAUUUCCUUAUUGUGAUUGUUAUCAUUCAUUAUAUGGUCCUAGUUAAAUGUUUCAAGUUGUUGUAGUUUGUGAAAAUCUUUUCGAUAUUUAUUCUGGCAUGUACAUUUUUCCUUUCAAUUUAUUUUGUUGCUGAUACUUUGAUUAUGAUAUAUCCUUUUUUGUUUCCCUUGGAGGGUGGCAUGCCUGGUGCUACAAAUCUGAAAGGAUCUGAAGUAUUAGAAACCAUUGUGAAGAAGGCAUGCCCGAUGCUACAAAUCUGAAAGAAUCUAAAGUAUUAGAAACCAUUGUGAAGAAGCAGGCUUCAAAUGGGCGUCUUUAUGCUGCUGUCUGUGCUUCACCUGCUGUGGCAUUAGGGUCUUGGGGUCUAUUGAAGGGAUUGAAGGUAAGAGUUAGAUAAGCCUUUUUGAUGUUUUGUGUUCUUUUGGGAAUCACAUUGAUAUUUGGAAUCACAUUGAUAUUUGUGUUAUACGUUAGUUUUCUUCUCAUCGAUGAUUGUUAAGUUCUAAUUUAUGGGUUAUUCAUCUUUUGUAGGCUACUUGCUAUCCAUCAUUUAUGGAGCAAUUAGCUCCUGCUUGUGCAGCAACUGUUGAAUCAAGAGUACAGCAGGAUGGUAAAGUUGUUACAACUCGUGGACCUGGCACUACCAUGGAGUUUGCUGUUGCACUUGUUGAACAGUUGUAUCGGAAAGGGAAAGCUGAUGAAGUUUCUGGGCCACUGGUAUUAAGUUUUAUAGAUUAUGUUGUUUAAAAAAAUUAUGAGUUAUAUAAUUUGUGGGAAUCCAUUCUAAUAGGUUCCGCUGGCGUAUCUAAUUGAAGGUUCGGAUACUAAUGUAUUCAAAAAAAUUAGUUUAGGGGAAAAUUAUGACUUUUUGCAUUAGUAGUUCAUUAGGUGAAGUUGUAUACUGCUUGUGUUGAAAUGUCAAAUAUUUGGCUGCCAAUUUCAAAGAAACAAAUUUGGUUGGCUUGACAAUUUCAAAAGACAAAGUUAGGUUUUGAAAUGUGGGUUGAGCAAUUACUAAUACUGCGACUUCUAGAGAAAUAUAAAUGUGGUGAUAAACAAAUGCAAAGAAAAUAGGACACAAUAAUUUAUGUGGUUCGGCGUAAUGCCUACGUCCACAGGCAAAGACUGAAAAAUAAUUUUACUAACAAAUGGGAAUUUACAAAAGUGGGAAAAAACUCACAAAACCCACAACCCCAAUACACCCAAAUGGAACCUCACUAGAACACUCAAGUGGAAGCUCUCUCAAACUGUCUCAAAAAACUCACUUGCAAUUGCUCUCUACUUCUCUCAAAUUGGGAAUGCUUAGAAUGAAUGAUCUCUCCUCUAUUUAUAGCUGAGCCUUGCCAUUCAUGCUUUCCAUUUUCAAAGCAAAAGUCUUGAGCUCCUUCCAAAUUGUCAAGGGUCGGCGCCAUCUUUAGCCAAUUUUGAACAUCACCAAAUUGCAUGUACAAGCUUUUCAAAACCUUUUUCAUGCUUUCAAAACCUAACUUUGUCUUUUGAAAUUGUCAAGCCGACCAAAUUUGUUUCUUUGAAAUUGGCAGCCAAAUAUUUGACGUUUCAACAGCUUGUCCAUCUUAAGAUGGUGAAAACAAUGUCUGAUAUAAUUAAUGGCAUCUCGAUAUGUGCAUUUGUUGAGCUUUAAUGUCUGGACUGAUUAAAUUACUUUUAAUGUAAUUUCUUUCUCUUGGUAUUUGUCUUUGAAUUUUCUCUUCCUCAUGCUUUCGUCGUUAUUGUCACCUUGUGCCUAGGUAAUGCGUGCAAAUCAUGGAGAUGAAUUCACUAUUGCUGAAUUCAAUCCAAUCCAGUGGACAUUUGACAAUUCUCCUCAGGUGAGAUUGGACUUCUAGUUUCUUGUAUUUGUUUAUCUUCGUCUGAUGUUUUCAGGCAUACCCAUUCGGCAAUAUAUAAAACUCUGUGAUAUCUUCUAUAAAUAUACAUACAGAUCAUUGGCUUCACUCAUUUGUGAACAUAUUGGAGGUAGUAGAUUUAUGGUUAUGAUAUCUCUAAUAAAAUCCAAAGUUCGAUGCAACCACAAAAGAAGUUGUAGAAACUAAGGUGCUAUGAACAGACUAAGCAACCUUAUAUUCUGCCCCAAGAUCACCAACCAACUAAUCAAGAUGCUGCAAGAUUGAUGACUGAAAAGCUACGACUAAGAUGAAUCUAUAGAACUAGAGAAUUAACCAAUUUGCGUUUAAAAGAAUCAACAGAAGUAGAGCAAUCAAAGAACAAAAGAAACUUAACAUGGUUCAGCUAGAUUUCUCUGGCUUACAUCCACGGGAGGGUAAAGAAUAGCUUUAUUGACUUAACAAGAUGAAUUACAGAGUAAUGCUCAUAUUAUGGAAAGAACGUAACUGACUAUAUAUAUAGACCAGUCCCCCUCUCUCUCUUCAGCUCUCUCUGCAUACCAAUCUGUUGCUUCUUUUAAACCCAAAUUAGUUAAUUCUCUAGUUCCAUAGAUUCAUCUUAGUUGUAGCUUUUCAGUCAUCAAUCUUGUAGCAUCUUGAUUAAUUGGUUGGUGAUCUUGGGGCAGAAUCUAAGGUUGUUUAGUCUGUUCAUAGCACCUUAGUUUCUACAAUUGGUAUCAGAGCUGGAUCUACAACCAAUAACAAGUAUGGUUUCAACCAAGAUCGAUCUUGAGAAGUUUACUAGCAAGAAUGAUUUCAACAUAUGGAAGGUGAAGAUGGAGGCCUUGCUGAUAACACAGGGGUUAGGAGAUGCACUUGAACCUAUCACCAAGAAGGAAGAAAAAGAAGUAUCAUCCUCUAAGACACCUGAAAUGGCUGCCGAGAUAGACAAGAAGGCCAGAAGCACCAUCAUAUUGAGCUUUGGUGACUCAGUGAUAAGAGAGGUUGCCAAGGAGAAGACUAUUGCAGACCUAUGGGCCAAAUUAGAAAAGAUUUAUAUGACAAAAUCUUUAGCUAAUAGGUUAUAUAUCAAAAGGAGGAUGUUCACUCUGAAAAUGGCUGAAGGGUCCUCUCUGGAUGAUCAUAUCGAUGAAUUCAAUCAAGUUUAUGACACACUUGAAACCAUUGAUGAGGGGCUGGAUGAUGAAGGAAAGGCAUUGCUUCUGGUGAGUUCUUUACCUCAGUCUUACUCAAAUCUUGUUGAUGCUCUUAUGUAUGGAAGAUCAACCUUAUCAUUAGAUGAGGUUAAAGCUGCCUUGAAUACUAGAGGGCUACAAGAAAAAUCUGGAAAUAUAAUGCAUGCUAAAGGAUUAUCAGUUAAGGGUAAGUUUAACAAGAAUGAUGGAAAGAAGAAGAAACAAAAGCAAGACAAGUCUAAAUCACAAAACAAGAAGUGCUUUCAUUGUAACAAAGAAGGCACUUCAAGAGAGGCUGUCAAGAACUGAAGAACAAAAGCAAGGAAAGAAAUGGUGAUACAGCUACAGUGGAGGAAGAAGGUUAUGAAUCUGCUGGUGUAUGUGUGGCUACAGAGGAUCUCCAGAGAGGUAAAUGGAUACUAGAUUCUGGUUGCACAUUUCAUAUGUGCCCAUUUAAAACUUACUUUUUUAUUACCAUGAUUUAGAUGGGGGAAAAGUAAUGAUGGGUAACAAUGUUGUAUGGAAAGUCAUAGGCAUAGGCAAUGUGAGUCUUACGCUUCAUGAUGGAACAAUUUGGGAACUUAGAGAGGUCAGAUAUGUUCCUGAUUUAAAGAGGAACUUAAUCUCACUAGGUUUGAUAGAUCAGAAUGGGUUUAGUAUUAAGCUUGAAUCUAGUAGAUUGUUGAUCAUGAAGGGCUCUAAGAUAGUGAUGAAAGGUUAAAAAAGAAAUGGAGUAUAUGUCCUAGAUGGUGAGGCAGUUACAGGAAUAAUAGAUGUGAUUGUUGGCACUGGUGGGGUUAGCACUAGGCUGUGGCACCUAAGAUUGGGGCAUAUGAGUGUUAAGGGGUUAAAAGAACUUGAGAAACAAGGAGUUCUGGGGAAGGAUAAGAUAGAAGAGUUAGAUUUUUGUGAAGAUUGUGUAUUUGGGAAGUCCACAAGGCACAGUUUCAAACACUCAACUAACAAAUCUAUUGGCAUCCUAGAUUACAUACACUCUGAUCUCUGGGGACCAGCACAUACCAACUCAUUAGGUGGUAAUAGCUAUUUUUUGUCAAUAAUUGAUGAUUAUUCAAGAAGGGUUUGGGUCUAUGUACUGAAACACAAAGAUCAAGUCUUUAGUAAAUUUAAAGAAUGGAAAACCUUAGUUGAAAAUCAAACUAGAAAGAAGGUCAAGAAACUAAGGACAGAUAAUGGACUUGAGUUCUGCAAUCUGCAAUUUAACAGCUACUGUGCAAAUGAGGGGAUAACAAGGCACAAAACAGUGAGGUUAACAGCUAGUUAUCUGGUGAAUUUGAGUCCCUCUACUGCUCUUGAUUUUAAGACUCCAUUUGAAAUAUGGCAUGAAAAACCAGCAAGCUAUGUCAAUCUUAAAGUGUUUGGAUGCCCUGCUUAUGCACAUGUCAAUCAAGAGAAGCUAGCACCUAGGGCUCUUAAAGGUCAGUUCCUAGGCUAUCCUGAUGGAGUUAAAGGAUACAAACUAUGGUGUACUGAUCUAGAACCUCCAAGGUGCAUAAUAAGCAGAGAUGUGGCAUUUAAUGAGAAGGCUAUUUUGGAAGUCAGAAAGGAUGCUAGGUUGAAAACUAAGAAACCUCAAGUGGAAGAUAACAUCCAAUUUGGGGUGGAGCACCCUGAUUCAAAGAAAUCUGAGAGGAGUGAAAGUUCAGAUCAAGACAGUGAAGAUCAUGAUGAAUGCAGUGGCCCUCAACCACAAUCUCAAAGGCAGACUCAAGUACAAGGGUAUCAGCUGACAAAAGAUAGAGAAAAGAGACAAAUCAGACCACCACAGAGAUAUGGAUAUGUUGAUCUGAUAGCGUAUGCACUAGCUGCUUCACAUGGUAUUGAUGUAGAUGAACCCAAGAGUUAUGCUGAAGCAAUUCAAAGCUCAAACAAAUUAGAAUGGCAGGAAGCUAUGAAUAAAGAGAUAUCUUCCCUAAAGAAGAAUCACACUUGGAUACUGGUUGAGAAGGCUGGUAACAGAAGGACAAUGGGUUGCAAGUGGGUUUUCAGAGUCAAAGAAGGCCUCACAGCUAGUGAACUUAGCAGCUACAAAGCUAGGCUGGUGGCUAAGGGGUACACUCAAAGGGAAAGAGUUGACUUUAAGGAGGUAUUCUCCCCUGUGGUCAGACAUGCCUCCAUAAGGGUAUUGUUAGCAAUGACUGCAGUUCAUGAUUUAGAGCUUGAUCAACUCGAUGUCAAGACUGCAUUCCUACAAGGAAGACUACAGUAAGAAAUUCUUAUGACUCAACCUGAGGGUUAUGUGGAUUCUGAAAAACCAAACCAUGUUUGCUUACUAAAGAGAUCAUUUUAUGGGCUCAAGCAAUCUCCAAGGCAAUGGCAUCUCAGGUUUGAUGAAUUCAUGUUGUCACAUGGAUACCUGAGAUGCAGUUUUGAUUGCUGUGUAUAUUACAAGCUAAUAAGUUCAAAUCUCUACAUAUACCUGUUACUAUAUGUAGAUGAUAUGUUGGUAGCCUGUAAGUCAAGAGAAGAAAUUGAAGUUUUGAAGAAUUUGCUGAGCUCUGAAUUUGAGAUGAAAGAUUUGGGGUCAGCAAAGAAGAUACUGGGCAUGGAGAUCAAGAGGGACAGAAGCAAAGGUAUUAUAUUCCUUUCCUAAGAGAAAUACCUGAAGAGGGUACUGGAAACUUUUGGGAUGACCUCAUGUAAACCUGUGAUGACUCCAAUAGCAACAUAUUUUAAGCUCUCCAGUUUGCAGUGUCCAAAGACAGAAGAAGAAAAGUUAGAGAUGACUAAGAUUCCCUAUGCUAAUGCAGUUGGCUGCAUGAUGUAUGUUGUUGUGCAAAUUUUAUUGAACUCGCAAGUGCACGAAUCUAUUGUAGAAUAGACUAAUGGUGACGAGUGUCGAUCCCACGAGGAGGUGGAUUUUAAUUAUGUGUAGAAUUAAUUUUGUAAAUGGGUGGUUGGAUUUGUGGUGGAAGUGAUUUAAAUUAUCCUAAAAUUGGAAUUGAAAUGACAAGAAUAAAUUCUAAAAUUAGAAUUGCAAUGGCGAGAAUAAAUUGAAGAGAAAAUUAUUGAAAUGAUGUACUUGGGUAUCUGGAUUCGUAUCAACAUGCAUCAUGGGCUAAAUAAUCCUUAUUAAUGCCAAUUAAAUCAUGAGGGGGGAAUCCAUACCUCAUGAACCACGCUCUAAUCAAUAUGGUGCUAAGGGCUUAUCGUGCCAAAUAAUAAUAACCUUGUACUAGGGGGCCGGUGAAACCAAGGCGGUACUAGACAAGAUUAAUAUUAUUUGUCGACGAGAAGUCAAAACAUCCACAAAAAUUAGAGGGGAAGAGAAAGUAAAUUUACCAAAUAAAGCCCAUGACACAUGUUGAGACUUCACCUUCAACCCAAGCUUGAAAGAAAAUUAGCCACUUAUAAUUGAACUAGGGGUAAAAUGGAAAUUUAUUAAAAUACGUAGAAAAUACAAGAUGGAGAAGGAAUUACAGAAAAUGGAUCCCAAAAAUGGAUUCAGAGAUAUCAAAUUAGCGGGGGGAAGCCCCCUUUUUAUAGAUGCAUGGAGUAAAUCAUGGCCAUCAGAUUAAAAACAGUUUGGACGCUCAGGAUUGCGCCACGUCAUCAGUCAACAGUACGCGGUUUGACCAUGUGGAUGAACAGUAACACGGUUUGACCCGGGUGAACAGUGACGCGGUUUGGUUGAAAAUAAUCAUGUGUGAUGCAUGUACCGUACGUGAGAUUUUUCAUCCACUGAUAUGCUGCCACGUCACCAUCAACAGUACAUAAGAAUUUUAGCCCAACAGGAUCAUGACACCUCAUCAGUCAAUGCCACAUCAUCGGUCAAUGCCACGUCAUCGAUCCGUCUAUGUGAACAGUGUCAUGAACAGUAACGUAGACAGUACCGUACACGUGAAUAGUACCGUACAUGUGAAUAGUGCCAUUUUUCCUUUUAUGCUCCUCUUAAGGUUUUCGACCGUCCUGAGUUCAAAAGUGAUGUCCGUUUUGCCGUCUGAUCUCUGGUUUAUUGUGAAAUGACCAUGAUGCCCUAAAAUACAUAAAAUACUUAAUUAAAAUUAAACACACAUAAUUAAAUUGCAAGAAGCUUAAAUACAUAAAAGUAAGGGUUGUUAGUAAAACUUGAAAUGUAAAAUGAUGAUUUCUCCUUUAUAAAUAUGCAUUUUCUAACACUCAACACACCCCCCAACCAGCUUAUUGCUAGUCCCUAGCAAAUAAAGCGAAAACAAAAUUCAAAUCCAAAAUGAUUUUUUUUUUUAAUAAAAACACUCGUGUUUAUUCAAUCAGAUUAAUGAUAGCAAUCAAAUAAAAGUAUAAGCAUUAUCUGCAGUCUAAAGAAACAUCACACCCACAUCAACCAUCCACAUGAAUCAGCCCAGUAGACUUUGUUAUAGCUACUUUCAAGAAUGACAUGUCAAACCCCAAAAUCUCACUUGAAGUAGUGACACUCUCACAAAGAAAUUAAACCCAAUAAAAAUAGUCACUCCAAUGAAUGGUAAUUGAGAGAAAAUAAUAAAGAAGUGAUAUAACAUGCUCUUACCAAGAUGAAAGAAAUAUGCCCUCAGCUUAGAAAUAAUACGAUCUCAAGUCAAACAAAAAUGCUAGUCAACCCAUUUUCUUUAUCUCUUUUUUUUUAUUAUUAUACACUAUUACAUCUUUUUAGCCCAUAUAACUAGUUUCUACUUCAAACCAUAGUUCCCUAAAAUCAAGAAGGACUUUUAUUAGGACGUAAUGUAGGCUAGGGACAUGGCUAACACAGAAGGGAAAUAAGGAAAACAAAGUGUAUGUUUGAGAGAAAUGCAGAGAAAGUUUUUUUUUUUUUUGAAGUUGCAAGGUGUAUUUCACCUAUUGUUGUUAUUUUUAUUCUUUUGAAACAACAACUUUUGUUUUGUUUUGUUUUUUUUUUUUUAUUUGGCAUAACUUCACUGAACAAAAUAAUUAUUUACAUUUUCUCAAACAUAAAUAGGUGAUGGAACUUAUAAGACAUCGCGUAAUACUCCAAAUCGGAGUGGGUUAAGAUGAUAAGUUGACAAAGAAAAUGUUUUUUUUUUUUAGGCUCAAAAGGGUUAACUAUAGAUAUUUAAUAAAAGGGAUGGCUAGAAAGGAUCAAACGGAUCAAAGAUGGCCUUUUCAUCGUCUUUUAGGGCUCUAAAUAAUCAUCCAUAUCUACUAGUUAGAUGGGCCUCCCAAUGUAGCAACACAUAUAUAUAUAUAUAUAUAUUUUAAGGGUUAACUCAAAAGAAAUCUAGAGAUCGUGUGUAAAAUAAUAAACUGCUAAGUUGUAUAAAGAAUGGGCAAAAGGGUUACUCUCCAAGAAAAAUAAUAGGCUCAAAAACUCACUUGGUACUUAUUAUGAAAUGUUCAUUCCUUCAAGCAACUCAUAUUUGUCUCCAACAUCAACAUGUAGAGUAGUAAACAUAGUGUAACAUCACUUAAGACCAAAGAUAAUACAAAUACUAAAAUUUGAAAUGAAUCAUGUCAUCCAAUGUUAAAACAAAUCACACAAUUUUUUUUUUUUAAACAACAUUCUAGCCCCCAACCUAUUCUAAGCAUGAAAGGAAAAUAUGCAUGUAGAAAUGUGAAAAUGAUGCAAAAAAAACUAAUUAGAAAAGUUACACUUAAAAUGAUAGAAAAAGAAAUGUUUUGUUUUUUUUUUUUAACUAAGAAGAUGCGUUUCUAGAGGCACUACACUCCAUAUUCAGCCAUCUUUAACUUAAAAAAAAAAAAUUGAAAGUGUAUAUUUAUAAAGUAGAAAUUAAAAAGAAGAAGAAAAAUAAACAUCAAAACAUAAUAAAGAAAAAUGAAAAUGUCUGAAUUUUUUUUUUUUCAAACGAUGAAGAUGCGUUUCUAGAGUCACUACACUCCAUAUUCGACCAUCUUCAACACAAAAAGUUAGCAACAGUUAGUUUCUACAACAAAAAAUUAGUAAAAACUUAACCAAUAUUCCACAAUUGUCGACUAUUCCCUCCCCCCAACCAGAACGAAACAUUGUCCUCAAUGUUGUAAAAGAAAGAAGAAGAGUUUAGAAGACAUCACCUGGGUGGUGCAACACAGAAGAAAAUAUUUACAAGCGGAGAGUUAAAUCUAAUUUGUACUUCUUACUGCGGCUACUGUUACCGUCAUUAUUUGGACGUUCCAACACAAAGCUCCAGGGGUUUGGCUCCGGUUUAUGAGCUUGUAACAUAUCAAGGAGCUCAUUAGCAGUAUUCGCACAAAUAAAAAGCUUUUUGGCAUUGGAAGGAACAAAAUAAUUUUUUAUUGCAUGGUUAAGAAAUGCGAUAAAGCCAUCAUAAAAGUUAUUGACAUUUAGCAAACCGAUGGGUUUCUAGUGAUGGGCCCAAGAUGCUAGUGUGAUAAGUGCCUCUAGCGUUGCAAGAUCUCCUGGAAGGAAAAUAAAAGCAUCAGCAUGAUUAAGCAUUUCAGUUAUUCUUUCUUGCAUACCUGAGACGACUAACUCUUCUCCAGUCGAUGAGUCAGACAAACUGCCCAAAGGUUUUAGGACUCUUGGGAUGAUGCCUAACACUUGGCUUCCUAUGAUGAAAGCAGCUUCUGAGACCAAUUUUGAUAACCCUCGGUUACCUCCUCCAUACACCAAGUGUAAUUUUCUCUCUGCUAUACUUCGACCAAGAUCUAUGGCUGCAUCAACGAACUCUUUAUGUUUGCCAUAGGUAAAUCCAGAAAGCACAUAAAUGUUCUUGAAUUGUCUAUUGGGAGUAGCUGCCAUUGGAAAAUUUCUCAAAAAUAAUUUGUGAGUGCUUAACAAAAAGUCAUCUUUAAGAAUCUUGGUGACAGUGGAUCACGACUGUGUAUGAGGUGGCAUGUCAGUGUCAAAUAACGCGUAAAGCACAGGGCUCGAUAGUCAAAAAAUAAAUAGUAAAAAGGAAAAAACAAACAGUAAUAAAAUUAUUAAAGACAAUAAUGUAAACAAUAAAACAACAGUGAAAUGAAAUAAAAUAACAGUAAAGUAAAAGGAUAUUUACAGGUAGUUGCGACUGUGGCUCACAUCUUCCUCUGGUUUUACGUCCAGAAACGGCUUGAACGCCCUCUAUGGGUCGAGGAUAGGCUUCCCAUCCAGUUUUCUUAUAAACUGGCAAACAGGGUCGUUUAUAGUCAGAUUCCCGAGACUAUAUCAUGCAUGCUCUUUCUGGAAUAAUGGCCAUAACUGGAGAAUCGCUUCUUGCACAUAUCCACUGGGAUGCGUUUCAAGAGACAUAAGGAUAUCAUCCAAUGACUCCUUAUUCAAGCCAUCCCUAAUGAAUUGAAUCUUAUCUUCCCUGUUAUCAGACACCAUUCCUAAAGAACAUGGGUUUUUAUCGCAACUCAUUCUGGCACACUUGUGACAAGCAACAAAAAUUCUUCGAGCUCGUCGUUUUCUUGCAUAAUUUCCUUUACCACAACCGGGCAUGUGUUGAGUGUUAGAAAAUGCAUAUUUAUAAAGGAGAAAACCAUCAUUUUACAUUUCAAGUCUUACUAACAACUCUUACUUUUAUGUAUUUAACCUUCUUGUGAUGUAAUUACGCGUGUGUUAUUUUAAUUAAGUAUUUUAUGUAUUUUAGGGGCAUUAUAGUCAUUUCACAAUAAAGGAGAGAUCAGACGGCAAAACGGACAUCACUUUUGAACUCAGGAUGGUCGAAAACCUUAGGAGGGGCAUAAAAGGAAAAAUGGCACUAUUCACAUGUACGGUACUAUUCACGAUACUGUUCACAUAGACGGAUCGAUGACGUGGCAUUGACCGAUGAUGUGGCAUUGACUGAUGAGGUGUCACGAUCCUGUUGGGCUAAAAUUCUUAUGUACUGUUGAUGGUGACGUGGCAGCAUAUCAGUGGAUGAAAAAUCUCGCGUACGGUACAUGCAUCACACAGGAUUAUUUUCAACCAAACCGCGUUACUGUUCAUCCGAGUCAAACCGCGUUACUGUUCAUCCGAGUUAAACCGCGUUACUAUUCAUCCGAGUCAAACCGUGUUACUGUUCAUCCGCGUGGUCAAACCGUGGACUGUUGACUGAUGACGUGGCGCAAUCCUGAGCGUCCAAACUGUUUUUAAUCCGAUGGCCAUGAUUUACUCCAUGUAUCUAUAAAAAGGGGGCCUCCCCCCUCUAAUUUGAUAGCUCUGAAUCCAUUUUUGGGAUCCAUUUUUUGUAAUUCCUUUUCCAUCUUGUAUUUUCUUCGUAUUUUAAUAAAUUCCCAUUUUGCCCCUAGUUCAAUUAUGAGUGGCUAAUUUGCUUUCAAGCUUGGGUUGAAGGUGAAGUCUCAACAUGUGUCAUGUGCUUAAUUUGGUAAAUUUAUUUUCUCUUCCCCUCUAGUUUUUGUGGAUGAUUUGAUUUAUCGUCGACAAAUAAUACUGAUCUUGUCUAGAUACCGCCUUGGUUACACCGGCUCUCUAGUAUAAGGUUAUUAUUAUUUGGCACAAUAAGCCCUUAUCACCAUAUUGAUUAGAGCGUGGUUCAUCAGGUGUGGAUUCCCCCCUCAUGAUUUAAUUGGCAUUAAUACAGAUUAUUUAGCCCAUGAUGCAUGUUGAUACGGAUCCAGAUACCCAAGUACGUCAUUUCAAUAGAAUUCUCUUCAAUUUAUUCUCGCCAUUUUAAUUUAAGUUUUAGCAUAUUCCAAAUCAUUUCCACCACAGAUCCAAUCAACCAUUUGCAAAAUUAAUUCUAUACACAAUUAAAAUCCACCUCCUCGUGGGAUCGACACUCAUCACCAUUGAUCUAUACUACAAUAGAUUCGUGCGCUUGCGAGUACAUUAAAAUUUGCACAACAAGUUUUUGGCGCCGUUGCCGGGGAGAAAGGUUUUAAUAGCGCAAUAAGGGAAAUCUCGGAGUUUACCCAGAGAGAGGACGAGCAAUUUUUCGAAACAUGAGAGCGAUUCAAUGGGCUACUCUUGAAGUGUCCACAUCAUGGGUACGAGAAAUGGCACCAAUGUCAAUACUUUUUGGAGGGAUUAUUGCCGAAUGUGCAAGAAUGGCUAAUGGCAACAAGUGGAGGAGAGCUAAUGUCAAAAAGUGCAUCAGAAAUUUGGGAAUUCUUCCAGCGACAAGCAGAUAAUUCCCAACAACGGAGUCGAUCACUCAGGACUACUAGAAGAGUUAAAGGAGUGAAUGAGGUUCAAAUUGGCGAAUCAACUUCAGGAAUCAAAGAAGUCAAAGAGAUGGUUGAAGGUCUUGCUCGACAAAUAGCAUCGUUAUCGAGUGCUAAAUCAACAGAAUCACAUGACCAUGACUCAUACUCAGAUCAAGCCAAUGCCAUAGGUGUAAUAAGAAAACCAUCGAAUUACAACCCAUACUCCAACACAUAUAAUCCUGGAUGGAGAGACCACCCCAAUUUUUCAUGGUCUCAAGGAUUCCAACAGAGUGGACCAGCAGCUCCAGCUCCACCAAUGCAACCAAUUCCGCAAAUUCCUCAAGCCUCUCAGCCCCCAUUUAGGCCAUACAAUCAGAACCAGAACUACUCUCAACCUAGACCAUGGGAGGAUUCAUUCCAGAAUCUCAAGAAUCUUACUCACUCUACGAUUGAGCAACAGAACCGCACUAUUGAUGGACUACGAAAUGAAUUGAGAGCGGGCUUCAACUCACAAGCCCAAUCAGUUUCAAGCCUCGAGAAGAUGGUGGGACAACUUGCUUCUUCAGUUCAGACCUUGGCAAUGACCGUUGAGAAAGGUAAGUUUCCAAGUCAACCAGUGCCUAACCCUAAAGGAGUGCAUGAAGCAAGUACCAGUUCACCACAGCAGCAUGGAGAAGUUAAAGCAGUAAUGACCUUGCGAAAAGGAAAAGAAGUCGACAACAAAGUGGAGAUGCCGGUGACAAAAGAAAAUCAAAUUGUACCUGUGAAUGUUGAGGAAUCAUCACCGGAGGAGAAAGAAGAAACCAACCCACGAGAAUACGUUCCGAAAGCUCCAUUUCCUCAGAGGUUAGCUAAAGGAAAAAAGGAAAAAUCCACAGGUGAGAUUCUUGAAAUCUUCAAACAGGUAAGUGUUAACAUCCCUUUGCUUGAUGCUAUUAAACAAGUUCCAUCUUAUGCCAAGUUUCUUAAAGACCUUUGUACUAAAAAGAGAAACAUGCAUGUUCAAAAGAAGGCAUUUUUAACAGAAAACGUUAGUUCUAUACUCCAACAUAAAAUUCCUUUAAAAUGCAAAGACCCAGGCUCCCCCACUAUCUCAUGUAGUAUAGGGAAUCACACAAUUGAGAAUGCUUUGUUGGAUUUAGGAGCUAGUGUAAAUCUUUUGCCUUACUCUGUACUCGUGAAACUUGGACUUGGAGAAUUACACCCAACUCCAGUGGUGUUACAGCUUGCAGAUAGGUCCACGAAAAUACCUCGUAGUAUUGUGGAGGACGUGCUUAUCCAGGUAGACAAGUUUUAUUUUCCUGUUGAUUUCAUUGUAAUUGACACUCAACCAAUACAGGACUCAAGGAAGCACAUCCCCAAUAUUCUAGGCCGACCUUUCUUGGCAACUGCAGAUGCUCAUAUUCAAUGCAGGACUGGAAAUAUGCAGUUGUCCUUCGGCAACAUGACUAUGGAGCUAAACAUUUUCAACAUUGCCAAACAACCUCACAGUGCAGAUGAUGGAAUUGUUGAUGUGGAUUUAAUAGAAACAAUAGUUGAUAAUACUUUUCUUUCAAACCUUAGUGAUGAUCCUUUACAAACAUGUUUAACUCACUUUGGUUUGGAUUUUGAUAUUGACAGAUCGGUCGAUGAGGUCAACGCCCUGCUUGACUCAGCACCAUCUAUGGACACUAAUAAAUAGAAGUCAAGAGUUGAGCAACUAGCACCAUCAGAGAAGAAACUCAUCCCAUCAUCAGAAUCACCACCGAAACUCGAGCUCAAACCAUUACCCAACACUCUGGAAUAUGCAUUUUUGGGAGAAGAAAGUACUCUGCCGGAAUUUGACUUGGAAUUUAAAGAUAAGAAAGGCACAGAAAAUGUUGUGGCGGACCAUCUCUCUCUCUCGUCUCCAUUUUGACACAAUUACAGAGCCAUUAAUAUUAAAUGAGUCAUUUCCAGAUGAACAAUUAAUGAGUGUGGAAGUAUUACCUUGGUAUGCUGAUAUAGUUAAUUAUCUUGUUACAGGUGUCAACGAAUGGGGAGCAUUACACGAAGGAACAUGAUGCCACUAAAUCCAAUUUUAGUGGUUGAGAUUUUUGAUGUAUGGGGUAUCGACUUCAUGGGACCCUUUCCCUCUUUUUUUGGCCAUCAAUACAUAUUAGUUGGUGUUGACUACGUAUCGAAAUGGGUAGAAGCAAUUCCAUGUAGGACCAAUGAUCACAAGGUGGUGAUAGCAUUUUUGAAAAGCAACAUUGUUUCGCGCUUUGGAUUCCCUCGAGCAAUAAUUAGUGAUGGUGGUGCCCACUUUUGUAACAAAGCAUUCAAAGCUCUUUUGACAAAGUAUUCAAUCACACACAAAGUGGCGACCCCGUAUCAUCCGCAAACCAGUGGCCAAGUUGAGAUCUCCAAUCGAGAAAUAAAGCACAUAUUAGAAAAGACAGUGAGGCCGGAUAGAAAAGAUUGGUCAUUAAGACUUGAUGAUGCCUUAUGGGCAUAUAGAACGGCUUUCAAGACCCCGAUUGGGAUGUCACCCUACAAGCUAGUGUAUGGAAAAGCUUGCCACCUACCUGUGGAACUCGAGCAUCGUGCAUAUUGGGCCAUCAAGAAAUUCAAUUUUGACAUGCAGCAAGCCAGCUCAGAAAGAAGAUUACAACUGGCAGAACUUGAAGAAAUUCGCAAUGAUGCAUACGAAAAUGCCAAAAUUUACAAGCAACGAAUGAAAGUCUUUCAUGACAAGCACAUUAUGAGAAAAUCUUUCACUCCAGGUCAGAAAGUGCUUUUAUUCAAUUCUCGCUUGCACCUAUUCCCAGGUAAGUUACGCUCUCGAUGGUCUGGUCCCUUUAUUGUUCAUACUGUUUUUCCACAUGGGGCAAUUGAAAUUAAGGACCCAAAGAACGGUGUCACGUUUAAAGUUAAUGGUCAAAGAUUAAAGCCAUAUCUAGAAUACCAACCACAUGGAGAAGACACCGAAAUAAAUUUGAGUGACCCACCAGAUUUGAAUUGAUUUGUUUUUUCUUUUCGUUGAUUUGAUUUUGUUUUCUUUCUUUAUAUUAUUCUUCUGCUAAUUGAAAUUAUUUUUGCAUAAGUGUGUUUGUUUAACUAUUAAGUUUUCUCUUAUCAUUUUUAAUCAUGAGUACCUUGCUUAGACCGUUCCUCCUGAACAUUCUUAAACCACUUCAACGUGUCAAAACUCAUCUCAAAAGGCAGAUUCAAUUUUGUAAAACACAUCGCAUUUGGGCUCUACAACCACCAGAGUUAGUAGCCUAUGUUGAGAAUCUAGAAAGCCAACUCCGAGAUAUUGAGAGAAGUGUUUACGACAUCCAGUUGGAGCUUGAGUUUGUUACCCCGGUGAAGUGGCGGAUAACGGUACUCCGUGACAAUCAAGUCGGUUACUUCAGUUUCCCAUAAUAAUUGAUAUUCUGAGGCAAAGGUAUGGACAGAAACGAGAUUCUAGCGAAGCUUCACAAGCGAUUCCCUUCACUUCCUCAGAAUGCCCUCCUUACGAUCUAUAAAGCUCGGUCCGAACGCAUGCGAUUACUCAUGAAGAAUAACAUACCUGCUGACAUCCGUUGGUUAAUCGAGGCUAAAGUACGAUCGGCAGGUGAGUUACCUCCAAAAUUUAUUGCAUACAUGCCUGGUUGUGGUAAAGGAAAUUAUGCAAGAAAACGACGAGCUCGAAGAAUUUCUGUUGCUUGUCAUAAGUGUGCCAGAAUGAGUUGCGAUAGAAACCCAUGUUCUUUAGGAAUGGUGUCUGAUAACAGGGAAGAUAAGAUUCAAUUCAUUAGGGAUGGCUUGAAUAAGGAGUCAUUGGAUGAUAUCCUUUUGUCUCUUGAAACGCAUCCCAGUGGAUAUGUGCAAGGAGCGAUUCUCUAGUUAUGGCCAUUAUUCCAGAAAGAGCAUGCACGAUAUAGUCUCGGAAAUCUGACUAUAAACGACCUUGUUUGCCAGUUUAUAAGAAAACUGGAUAGGAAGCCUAUCCUCGACCCAUAGAGGGCGUUCAAGCCGUUUCUGGACGUAAAACCAUAGGAAGAUGUGAGCCACAGUCGCAACUACGUGUAAAUAUCCUUUUACUUUACUGUUAUUUUAUUUCAUUUCACUGUUGUUUUAUUGUUUGCAUUAUUGUCUUUAAUAAUUUUAUUACUGUUUGUUUUUUUCUCUUGACUGUUUCCUUUUUGACUCGCAAGCCAUGUGCUUCACGCGUUAUUUGACACUGACAUGUUACCUCAUUCACAGCUGUGAUCUACUGUCACCAAGAUUCUUAAAUGUGAUUUAUCUUUUGUCAAGCACUCACAAAUUAUUUUUGAGAAGUAUCACAAUGGCAGCUACUCCCAAUAGACAAUUCAAGAACAUUUGUGUGCUUUCUGGAUUUACCUAUGGCAAACAUAAAGAGUUCGUGGAGGCAGCCAUAGAUCUUGGUCGAAGCAUAGCAGCGAGAAAAUUACAUUUGGUGUAUGGAGGAGGUAACCGAGGGUUAUAAAAAAUGGUCUCAGAAGCAGCUUUUAUCAGAGGAAGUCAAGUGUUAGGCAUCAUCCCAAGAGUCCUAAAACCAUUGGGCAGUUCGUCUGACUUAUCAACUGGAGAAGAGUUAGUCGUCUCAGGUAUGCAAGAAAGAAUAACUGAAAUGCUUAAUCAUGCUGAUGCUUUUAUUUUCCUUCCAGGAGAUCUUGCAACACUAGAGGCACUUAUGACACUAGCAUCUUGGGCCCAUCUGCACAUCCACCAGAAACCUAUCGGUUUGUUAAAUGUCAAUAACUUUUAUGAUGGCUUUAUCGCAUUUCUUAACCAUGCAAUAAAAAAUUAUUUCAUUCCUUCUAAUGUGAAAAAACUUUUUAUUUGUGCUCACACUACUAAUGAGCUACUUGAUCUGUUACAAGCUUAUAAACCGGAGCCAGACCCCUGGACCUUUGUGUUGGAUCAUCCACAUAAUGAUGGUAACAGUAGCCGCAAUAAGAAGUACAAAUUAGAUUUAACUCUCCGCUUGUAAAUAUUGUUUUCUAUGUUGCACCACCCAGGUGAUGUCUUCUAAACUCUACUUCUUUCCUUUAAAACAUUGAGGACAAUGUUUCGUUCUGGUUGGGGGGAGGGAUUAGUCGACAAUUGUGGAAUCUUGGUUAAGUUUUUACUGAUUUUUUGUUGUAGAAACUAACUGUUGCUAACGUUUUGUGUUGAAGAUGGCUGAAUAUGGAGUGUGGUUACUCUAGAAACGCAUCUUCAUCGUUUAAAAAAAAAAAAAAUGUUUUCUUCCUCUUUCUCCUUUAUAAAUAUAUAUUUUCAAAUUUUUGAGUCUAAGAUGGCUGAAUAUGGAGUAUAAUGCCUCUAGAAACGCGUCUUCUUAGUUAAAAAAUAAAAAAAAAAUUUCUUUUUCUAAUUAAUUUUUCUACAUCAUUUUCGCAUUUCUGCAUACAUAUUUUCCUUUCAUGUUUAGAAUAGGUUGGGGGGUAGAAUGUUGUGUAAAAAAAAAAAAAUUGUGUUUUUUGUUUUAACAUUGGAUGACAUGAUUAAUUUCAAAUUUUAGUAUUUGUAUUAUCUUUAGUCUUAAGUGAUGUUACGCUAUGUUUGCUACUUUACAUGUUGAUGUCGGACACAAAUAUGAGUUGCUUGAAGGAAUGAACAUGUCAUAAAUAAGUGCCAAGUGAGUUGUUGAGCCUAUUAUUUUCUUAGAGAGUAACCCUUUUGCCCAUUCUCUAUACAGCUUAGCAGUUUAUUAUUUUAUACACGAUCUCUAGAUUUCUUUUGAGUUAACCCUUUAAAAAAAAUGGUAAAAUUAAAAAAAAAGAAAAAAGAAAAAAAUGUGUGUUGCUACAUUGGGAGGCCCAUCUAACUAGUAGAUAUGGAAGAUUAUUUAGAGCCCUAAAAGACGAUGGAAAGGCCAUCUUUGAUCCGUUUGAGCCUUUCUAGCCAUCCCUUUUAUCAAAUAUCCAUAGUUAACCCUUUUGAGCCUUUAAAAAAAAAAAAAAAAAAAAACUUUUUCUUUGUCAACUUAUCAUCUUGACCCACUCCGAUUUGGAGUAUUACCCAAUGUCUUAUAAGUUCCAUCACCUAUUUAUGUUUGAGAAAAUGUAAAUAAUUAUGUUGUUCAGUAAAGUUAUGCCAAAAACAAAAAAAACAAAAAAAACAAAAGUUGUUGUUUCAAAAGAAAAAAAAAAUAAAAAUAAUAGGUGAAAUCCACCUUGCAACUUCCAAAAAAAAAAAUUCUUUGCAUUUUUCUCAAACAUACACUUUGUUUUCCUUAUUUUCCUUCUUUGUUAGCCAUGUCCCUAGCCUACGUUACGUCCUAAUAAAAGUCCUUCUUGAUUUUAGGGAACUAUAGUUUGAAGUAGAAGCUAGUUAUAUGGGCUAAAAAGAUGUAGUGAUGCAUAAUAAAAAAAAAAAAAGAAGAUAAAUAAAGUGGGUUGACUAGCAUUUUUGUUUGACUUGAGUUCGUAUUAUUUAUAAGCUGAGGGCAUAUUUAUUUCAUCUUGGUGAGAGCAUGUGAUAUCACUUCUUUAUUAUUUUCUCUCUCAAUUACCAUUCAUUGGAGUGACUAUUUUUAUUGGUUUUAAUUUCUUUGUGAGAGUGUCACUACUUCCAGUGAGAUUUUGGGGUUUGACAUGUCAUUCUUGAAAGUAGCUAUGACAAAGUCUACUGGGCUGAUUCAUGUGGAUGGUUGAUGUGGGUGUGAUGUUGCUUUAGACUGGAGAUAAUGCUUAUACUUUUAUUUGAUUGCUAUCAUUAAUCUGAUUGAAUAAACACGAGUGUUUCUAAAAAAAAAAAAAAAAAAAAAAUCAUUUUGAAUUUGAAUUUUGUUUUCGCUUUAUUUGCUAGGGACUAGCAAUAAGCUGGUUGGGGGGUGUGUUGAGUGUUAGAAAAUGCAUAUUUAUAAAGGAGAAAACCAUCAUUUUACAUUUCAAGUCUUACUAACAACUCUUACUUUUAUGUAUUUAACCUUCUUGUGAUGUAAUUACGCGUGUGUUAUUUUAAUUAAGUAUUUUAUGUAUUUUAGGGGCAUUAUAGUCAUUUCACAAUAAAGGAGAGAUCAGACGGUAAAACGGACAUCACUUUUGAACUCAGGACGGUCGAAAACCUUAGGAGGGGCAUAAAAGGAAAAAUAGCACUAUUCACAUGUACGGUACUGUAUACGUUACUGUUCACGAUACUGUUCACAUAGAUGGAUCGAUGGUGACGUGGCAGCAUAUCAGUUGGGCUAAAAUUCUUAUGUACUGUUGAUGGUGACGUGGCAGCAUAUCAGUGGAUGAAAAAUCUCGCGUACGGUACAUGCAUCACACAGGAUUAUUUUCAACCAAACCGCAUUACUGUUCAUCCGAGUCAAACCGCGUUACUGUUCAUCCGAGUCAAACCGUGUUACUGUUCAUCCACGUGGUCAAACCGUGGACUGUUGACUGAUGACGUGGCGCAAUCCUGAGCGUCCAAACUGUUUUUAAUCCGAUGGCCAUGAUUUACUCCAUGUAUCUAUAAAAAGGGGGCCUCCCCCCCAUAAUUUGAUAGCUCUGAAUCCAUUUUUGGGAUCCAUUUUCUGUAAUUCCUUCUCCAUCUUGUAUUUUCUUUGUAUUUUAAUAAAUUCCCAUUUUGCCCCUAGUUCAAUUAUGAGUGGCUAAUUUUCUUUCAAGCUUGGGUUGAAGGUGAAGUCUCAACAUGUGUCAUGGGCUUAAUUUGGUAAAUUUAUGUUCUCUUCCCCUCUAGUUUUUGUGGAUGAUUUGACUUAUCGUCGACAAAUAAUACUGAUCUUGUCUAGAUACCGCCUUGGUUACACCGGCUCUCUAGUAUAAGGUUAUUAUUAUUUGGCACGAUAAGCCCUUAUCACCAUAUUGAUUAGAGCGUGGUUCAUGAGGUGUGGAUUCCCCCCUCAUGAUUUAAUUGACAUUAAUACGGAUUAUUUAGCCCAUGAUGUAUGUUGAUACGGAUCCAGAUACCCAAGUACGUCAUUUCAAUAGAAUUCUCUUCAAUUUAUUCGCGCCAUUUUAAUUUAAGUUUUAGCAUAUUCCAAAUCAUUUCCACCACAGAUCCAAUCAACCAUUUGCAAAAUUAAUUCUAUACACAAUUAAAAUCCACCUCCUCGUGGGAUCGACACUCGUCACCAUUGAUCUAUACUACAAUAGAUUCGUGCGCUUGCGAGUACAUUAAAAUUUGCACAACAGCAUGUAUGCAAUAAAUUUUAGAGGUAACUCACCUGCCGAUCGUACUUUAGCCUCGAUUAACCAACGGAUGUCAGCAGGUAUGUUAUUCCUCAUGAGCAAUCGCAUGCGUUCGGACCGGGCUUUAUAGAUCGUAAGGAGGGCAUUCUGAGGAAGUGAAGGGAAUCGCUUGUGAAGCUUCGCUAGAAUCUCGUUUCUGUCCAUACUUUCGCCUCAGAAUGUCAGUUAUUAUGGGAAACUGAAGUAACCGACUUGAUUGUCACGGAGUACCAUUAUCCGCCACUUCACCGGGGUAACAAACUAAAGCACACAAACAGAAAAACAAAUCAAAACACACAAAGAAAAUUAAAAUCGUACUCUUAUUGAAUUUACCUCAAGCUCCAACUGGAUGUCGUAAACACUUCUCUCAAUAUCUCGGAGUUGGCUUUCUAGAUUCUCAACAUAGGCUACUAACUCUGGUGGUUGUAGAGCCCAAAUGCGUUGUGUUUUACAAAAUUGAAUAUGCUUUUUGAGAUGAGUUUUGACACGUUGAAGUGGUUUAAGAAUGUUCAGGAGGAACGGUCUAAGUAUGGUACUCAUGAUUAACAAUGAUAAGAAAAAACUUAAUGGUAAAACAAACACACUUAUGCAAAAAUAAUUUCAAUUAGCAAAUAAAAAGAAAGAAAGAAAAAUCAAAUCAACGAAAAGAAAAAAAGCACUUUCUGACCUGGAGUGAAAGAUUUUCUCAUAAUGUGCUUGUCAUGAAAGACUUUCAUUCGUUGCUUGUAAAUUUUGGCAUUUUCGUAUGCAUCAUUGCGAAUUUCUUCAAGUUCUGCCAGUUGUAAUCUUCUUUCUGAGCUGGCUUGCUGCAUGUCAAAGUUGAAUUUCUUGAUGGCCCAAUAUGCACGAUGCUCGAGUUCCACAGGUAGGUGGCAAGCUUUUCCAUACACUAACCUGUAGGGUGACAUCCCAAUCGGGGUCUUGAAAGUCGUUCUAUAUGCCCACAAUGCAUCAUCAAGUCUUAAUGACCAAUCUUUUCUGUCCGGCUUCACUGUCUUUUCUAAUAUGUGCUUUAUUUCUCGAUUGGAGAUCUCAACUUGGCCAUUAGUUUGUGGAUGAUAUGGGGUCGCCACUUUGUGAGUGAUUGAAUACUUUGUCAAAAGAGCUUUGAAUGCUUUGUUACAAAAGUGGGCACCACCAUCACUAAUUAUUGCUCGAGGGAAUCCAAAGCGUGAAACAAUAUUGCUUUUCAAAAAUCCUAUCACCACCUUGUGAUCAUUGGUUCUACAUGGAAUUGCUUCCACCCAUUUCGAUACGUAGUCAACAACAACCAAUAUGUAUUGAUGGCCAAAAGAAGGGGGAAAGGGUCCCAUGAAGUCGAUACCCCAUACGUCAAAAAUCUCAACCACUAAAAUUGGAUUUAAUGGCAUCAUAUUCCUUCGUGUAAUGCUCCCCAUUCGUUGACACAUAUCACAUGAAGAACAAAAAGUGUAAGCAUCUCGAAAUAUAGUUGGCCAAUAGAAACCACAUUGUAAAACUUUAGUCGUUGUUUUCUUAGCACUGAAAUGGCCUCCACAAGCUUGUUCAUGGCAGAAUGAAAGGAUAUUCUGAAUUUCAUUUUCUGGGACACAUCGUUUAACAAUUUGAUCUGCACAAUACUUGAACAAAUACGGGUCAUCCCAAAAGAAAUUCUUUAUUUCUGCAAAGAAUUUAGCCUUGUCUUACUUGGUCCAAUGCUCUGGAAGUUUACCUGUAACAAGAUAAUUAACUAUAUCAGCAUACCAAGGUAAUACUUCCACACUCAUUAAUUGUUCAUCUAGAAAUGACUCAUUCAAUAUUAAUGGCUCUGUAAUUGUGUCAAAAUGGAGACGAGAGAGGUGGUCCGCCACAACAUUUUCUGUCCCUUUCUUAUCUUUGAAUUCCAAGUCAAAUUCCUGCAAAAGUAACACCCAACGAAUUAGUUUAGCUUUUGCAUCUUUCUUUGUGAGAAGAUAUUUAAGAGCAGCAUGAUCUGUGAAUAUAAUUAUUUUACAACCAAUGAGAUAAGAUCGAAAUUUUUCCAAUGCAAACACUACUGCUAGCAUUUCUUUUUCAGUAGUUGAAUAGUUCAACUGUGCAUCAUUCAAUGUCAUACUAGCAUAGUAAAUAACGUGGGGAAUUCGAUCAACUCUUUGUCCUAAUACUGCUCCUACUGCAUAAUCAGAUGCAUCACACAUGAGCUCAAAUGGUAAGCUCCAAUUUGGGGGCUGAAUAAUGGGUGAUGAUGUCAACAAUUGCUUUAAUUUUUCAAAAGCCACAAGACAUGAAUCAUUAAAGAUAAAAGGUACAUCCUUAGCAAGUAAAUUGCAUAAAGGUCUAGAAACUUUGCUAAACUCUUUAAUGAAACGUCUAUAGAAACCAGCAUGCCCAAGGAAAGAUCUUACUUCUCUGACUGUUUUGGGUGGAGGAAGAUUAGAAAUGAGAUCCACCUUGGCUUUGUCAACCUCAAUACCUUUGCUCGAAAUGAUAUGACCGAGAACAAUACCUUAUUUUACCAUAAAAUAACACUUCUCUUAAUUUAAGACCAAGUUUUUUUUUAUACAUCUCUGCAGAACUAGUGUUAGAUGAUGUAAACAUUGAUCAAACGAGUCACCAAAGAUAGAAAAAUCAUCCAUAAAGACUUCAAGGAAUCGUUCAACCAUAUCAGAAAAAAUGCUCAACAUGCAUCGUUGAAAUGUAGCAGGUGCAUUACAUAAUCCAAAUGGCAUUCUCCUAUAUGCAAAUGUGCCAAAAGGGCAAGUGAAAGUAGUUUUCUCUUGAUCUUUUGGUGAUAUGGGAAUCUGAUUAUAUCCUGAGUAGCAAUCUAGAAAGCAAUAAAAUUCAUGGCCUACCAAUCUAUCAAGCAUUUGAUCGAUAAAUGGUAAAGGAAAAUGAUCUUUACGUGUGACAUAAUUCAACUUUCUAUAAUCAAUGCAUACACGCCAUCCUGUAGUCACUCUAGUUGGUAUUAAUUCAUUAUCGGCAUUCGUAAUUACUGUGACUCCUGACAUUUUGGGGACAACUUGUACAGGACUGACCCAUGAACUAUUAGAAAUUGGGUAAAUGAUACCUGCGUCUAAUAGCUUAAGGACUUCAGUUCUAACUUCUUUCAUAUUAGGAUUUAACCGACGUUGCAUUUCCCUAGUAGAUUUAGCAUUUUCAUCGAGGUGAAUGUAAUGCAUGCAGUCUACUGGGUUUAUACCUUUUAUGUCUGCUAUGGUCCAUCCUAAUGCUCCUUUGUGCUCUUUUAAAACAUCCAACAACUUACAUUUUUGUUUGUCAUUGAGGGAUGAUGAGAUAAUUACCGGCAGAGUACUUUCUUCUCCCAAAAAUGCAUAUUCCAGAGUGUUGGGUAAUUGUUUGAGCUCGAGUUUCGGUGGUGAUUCUGAUGAUGGGAUGAGUUUCUUCUCUGAUGGUGCUAGUUGUUCAACUCUUGACUUCCAUUUAUUAGUGUCCAUGGAUGGUGCUGAGUCAAGUAGGGCGUUGACCUCAUCGACCGAUCUGUCAAUAUCAAAAUCCAAACCAAAGUGAGUUAAACAUGUUUGUAAAGGAUCAUCACUAAGGUUUGAAAGAAAAGUAUUAUCAACAAUUGUUUCUAUUAAAUCCACAUCAACAACUCCAUUAUCUGCACUGUGAGGUUGUUUGGCAAUGUUGAAAAUGUUUAGCUCCAUAGUCAUGUUGCCGAAGGACAACUGCAUAUUUCUGGUCCUGCAUUGAAUGUGAGCAUCCGCAGUUGCCAAGAAAUGUCGGCCUAGAAUAAUGGGGAUGUGCUUCAUUGAAUCCUGUAUUGGUUGAGUGUCAAUUACAAUGAAAUCAACAGGAAAAUAAAACUUGUCUACCUGGAUAAGCACGUCCUCCACAAUACCACGAGGUAUUUUCGUGGACCGAUCUGCAAGCUGUAACACCACUGGAGUUGGGUGUAAUUCUCCAAGUCCAAGUUUCAAAAAUACUGAGUAAGGCAACCAAUUUACACUAGCUCCUAAAUCCAACAAAGCAUUCUCAAUUGUGUGGUUCCCUAUACUACAUGAGAUAGUGGGGGAGCCUGGGUCUUUGCAUUUAAGAGGAAUUUUAUGUUGGAGUAUAUAACUAACAUUUUCUGUUAAAAAUGCCUUCUUUUGAACAUGAAUGUUUCUCUUUUUAGUACAAAUGUCUUUAAGAAACUUGGCAUAAGAUGAAACUUAUUUAAUAGCAUCAAGCAAUGGGAUGUUAACACUUACCUGUUUGAAGAUUUCAAGAAUCUCACCUGUGGAUUUUUCCUUUUUUCCUUUAGCUAACCUCUGAGGAAAUGGAGCUUUCGGAACAUAUUCUCGUGGGUUGGUUUCUUCUUUCUCCUCCGGUGAUGAUUCCUCAACAUUCACAGGUACAAUUUGAUUUUCUUUUGUCACCGGCAUCUCCACUUUGUUGUCGACUUCCUUUCCUUUUCGCAAGGUCAUGACUGCUUUGACCUCUCCAUGCUGUUGUGGUGAACUGGUACUUGCUUCAUGUACUCCUUUAGGAUUAGGCACUGGUUGACUUGGAAAUUUACCUUUCUCAACAGUCAUUGCCAAGGUCUGAACUGAAGAAGCAAGUUGUCCCACCAUAUUCUCGAGGCUUGAAACUGAUUGGGCUUGUGAGUUGAAGCCCGCUCUCAACUCAUUUCGUAGUCCAGCAAUGGUACGGUUCUGUUGCUCAAUCGUGGAGUGAGUAACAUUCUUGAAAUUCUGGAACGCAUCCUCCCAUGGUCUGGGUUGAGAGUAGUUCUGGUUCUGAUUGUAUGGUCUUAAUGGUGGCUGAGUGGCUUGAGGAUUUUGAGGAAUUGGUUGCAUUAGUGGAGCUGGAGCUGCUGGUCCAUUCUGUUGGAAUCCUUGAGACCAUGAAAAAUUGGGGUGGUCUCUCCAUCCAGGGUUAUAUGUGUUGGAGUAUGGGUUGUAAUUUGAUGGUUUUCUCAUUACACCUAUGGCAUUGGCUUGAUCUGGGUAUGAGUCAUGGUCAUGUGGUUCUGUUGAUUUAGCAGUCGAUAACGAUGCUAUUUGUCGAGCAAGACCUUCAACCAUCUCAUUGACUUCUUUGAUUCCCGAAGUUGACUCGCCAAUUUGAACAUCAUUCACUCCUUUAAUUCUUUUAGUAUUCCUAAGUGAUCGACUCCGUUGUUGGGAAUUAUCUGCUUGUCGCUGGAAGAAUUCCCAAAUCUCUGAUGCACUUUUUGACAUUAGCUCUCCUCCACUUGAUGCCAUUAGCCAUUCUUGCACAUUCGGCAAUAAUCCCUCCAAAAAGUAUUGGCAUUGGUGCCAUUUUUCGUACCCAUGAUGUGGACACUUCAAGAGUAGCCCAUUGAAUCGCUCCCAUGUUUCGAAAAAUUACUCGUCUUCUCUCUGGGUAAACUCUGAAAUUUCCCUGCGAAUAGCAUUGAUUUUAUGCACUGGGAAAUAUUUAUUCAAAAAUUUUGUAACCAUUUGUUCCCAUGAUGCAAUGCUAUUAGCAGGCAACGUAUUAAGCCAUGAAUGAGCUCUAUCUUUUAAAGAAAAUGGGAAUAGUCUAAGUUUUACAUCAUCAUCUGAAAAAUUCUCAUAUUUAAAUGUUUGACAAAUAGCAUGAAAAUCAUUCAAAUGAUUAUAUGGGUCCUCAUUUUCUAGGCCAUAGAAUGUUGGGAGACAAUUUAGCACACUAGGUUUUAGUUCAAAACUCCUAGUAGCUACAUUUGGGUAUCUUAUACAUGAUGUGCUCAAAUUAGCUAAUGGACUAAAAUAGUCCUUAAAUGAUCUCUCUUGUGGUGCUUGUAAAUCCAUUCCAAAUUUAUUUUUAACGUGCUUGUGUGUGCGAAGUGUUUUUUCUAUUUCAAGGUCUAUAGGUUCAAGAUUAGGUAAUAAUAACCUACGACCAUGCAUGCAAAACAAAUAAAAUAAAAAUAAAGAUGGGAACAAAACAAAUAAAAAUAAAGAAGAGGGAGAAAUUACAAUACUAACCUUAUUGUACUAUUACAACCUUUCUAUAAAAAUACACAAAAACAAAUACGUGAAAUAAAUUAACUAAAAAUUAAAUUAAUAAAAUAAACAAAAAUUACAAAGAAAAAAAUAAAUUGAAAAAUAAAUUACAGAAUUUUAAAGAAGAGAAAAAGAAAAGAAAUACUAACCUUUAUAUGUAAAUUCACUUUUUUUUAAUAAGAAAAAAAAUACAAGAAAACAAAUAAAAGAAAUUAUUUACAAAAAUUAAUUCUAUGAAUUAAAAUUACUUACCUCCCCGGCAACGGCGCCAAAAACUUGUUGUGCAAAUUUUAUUGAACUCGCAAGUGCACGAAUCUAUUGUAGAAUAAACUAAUGGUGACGAGUGUCGAUCCCACGAGGAGGUGGAUUUUAAUUAUGUGUAGAAUUAAUUUUGUAAAUGGGUGGUUGGAUUUGUGGUGGAAGUGAUUUAAAUUAAUUUUGUAAAUGGGUGGUUGGAUUUGUGGUGGAAGUGAUUUAAAUUAUCCUAAAAUUGGAAUUGAAAUGACAAGAAUAAAUUCUAAAAUUGGAAUUGCAAUGACGAGAAUAAAUUGAAGAGAAAAUUAUUGAAAUGAUGUACUUGGGUAUCUGAAUCCGUAUCAACAUGCAUCAUGGGCUAAAUAAUCCUUAUUAAUGCCAAUUAAAUCAUGAGGGGGGAAUCCACACCUCAUGAACCACGCUCUAAUCAAUAUGGUGCUAAGGGCUUAUCGUGCCAAAUAAUAAUAACCUUGUACUAGGGGGCCAGUGAAACCAAGGCGGUACUAGACAAGAUUAGUAUUAUUUAUCGACGAGAAGUCAAAACAUCCACAAAAAUUAGAGGGGAAGAGAAAGUAAAUUUACCAAAUAAAGCCCAUGACACAUGUUGAGACUUCACCUUCAACCCAAGCUUGAAAGAAAAUUAGCCACUUAUAAUUGAACUAGGGGUAAAAUGGAAAUUUAUUAAAAUACAUAGAAAAUACAAGAUGGAGAAGGAAUUACAGAAAAUGGAUCCCAAAAAUGGAUUCAGAGAUAUCAAAUUAGUGGGGGGAAGCCCCAUUUUUAUAGAUACAUGGAGUAAAUCAUGGCCAUCGAUUAAAAACAGUUUGGACACUCAGGAUUACGCCACGUCAUCAGUCAACAGUACGCGGUUUGACCACAUGGAUGAACAGUAACACGGUUUGACCCGGGUGAACAGUGACGCGGUUUGGUUGAAAAUAAUCAUGUGUGAUGCAUGUACCGUACGCGAGAUUUUUCGUCCACUGAUAUGCUGCCACGUCACCAUCAACAGUACAUAAGAAUUUUAUCCCAACAGGAUCAUGACACCUCAUCAGUCAAUGCCACAUCAUCGGUCAAUGCCACGUCAUUGAUCCGUCUAUGUGAACAGUGUCAUGAACAGUAACGUAGACAGUACCGUACACGUGAAUAGUACCGUACAUGUGAAUAGUGCCAUUUUUCCUUUUAUGCUCCUCUUAAGGUUUUCGACCGUCCUGAGUUCAAAAGUGAUGUUCGUUUUGCCGUUUGAUCUCUUGUUUAUUGUGAAAUGACCAUGAUGCCCCUAAAAUACAUAAAAUACAUAAUUAAAAUCAAACACACAUAAUUAAAUUACAAGAAGCUUAAAUACAUAAAAGUAAGGGUUGUUAGUAAAACUUGAAAUGUAAAAUGAUGAUUUUCUCCUUUAUAAAUAUGCAUUUUCUAACACUCAACAUAUGCUAUGGUUCUAACUAGACCUGAUAUCUCCUAUGCUCUAAGUGUAGUUAGCAGAUAUAUGGUGUCUCCUGGAAAAGAACAUUGGAGAGCUGUAAAAUGGGUGCUAAGAUAUCUAAGUGGAACCUUGAGCCAUGGGCUGGUUUAUGGAAAGUCAGGGAUCAAGUCUGAGGGGAUCUGUGGAUUUGUUGAUUCUGACUUUGCAGGAGACUUAGACAGAAGAAUAUCUCUCACAGGGUAUCUGUACAUGUUGGAUGGCUGCUUGAUUAACUAGAAAGCAAGUCUUCAACAUGUUGUUGCAUUAUCAACAACAGAAGCUGAGUAUACAGUAGCUGCUGAAGUAGUAAAGGAAGCCUUAUGGUUGAAAGGCUUGAUUUCUGAGCUUGGAAUGAGUCAGAAGACAGUUGAUGUAUUCUGUGAUAGCUCAAGUGCCAUUUACUUGAGUAAAAACCCAGCUCAUCAUGAGAAAACAAAGCACAUCGACAUCAAGCUGUAUUUCAUUAGAAAUGUAGUUUCCAUUGGUGUGGUCAGAAUGGUAAAGAUACAUACAGACAUAAAUCAUGCUGACAUGUUAACUAAAGUAGUCACUACAGCUAAGUUCAAGGUUUGCUUGGACAUAGCUGGUCUUGGCUGCUGGUACUUCAUUAUGGAAAUGGAGGGGAAAAUCAAGGGUGAUUUAUUUCAAGGUGGAGAAUUGUUGUUUGUGAAGCAAAUCCAGGAAGCUAAAACGGCAGAAGACCUUUGCGUUUAGAGCUGAAAACACUUUAGCUCAACGACAUAGAGUCUCGCGUUUUGAAGAGUAAAAGAAAUACUCUUCUAAACGACAUGUGAGUUUGUCGUUUAAGUUUAAGUGAAGCACGCUUGUAUCACGUGCUUGUGUUUAGCUUGCAAAGGUUGUUAGAAGCCGUUAAACGCAUGAGGAACUCACGUGAGUUGCUGGGGAAUUUCUGGGUUUGUUAAUUAAAGCUGUUAUCAGCAGCUGAUGUGGAAGCAACAUAUUGGUAUGCAGAAAGAACGUCAGUUACGUUCUUUCCAUAAUAUGAGCAUUACUCUGUAAUUCAUCUUGUUAAGUCAAUAAAGCUAUUCUUUACCCUCCCGUGGAUGUAAGCCAGAGAAAUCUAGCUGAACCACGUUAAGUUUCUUUUGUUCUUUGAUUGCUCUACUUCUGUUGAUUCUUUUAAACCCAAAUUGGUUAAUUCUCUAGUUCCAUAGAUUCAUCUUAGUCGUAGCUUUUCAGUCAUCAAUCUUGCAGCAUCUUGAUUAGUUGGUUGGUGAUCUUGGGGCAGAAUCUAAGGUUGCUUAGUCUGUUCAUAGCACCUUAGUUUCUACAGAAGUAUGAGCGGUGCUCAACCAGAGAGGGAGAAUAAAUUUUUCUUUUUUUUUUUGGGGUAGGGUGGUUGGGUGGGGUUGGGUGGCAAAGGGAAUGAUAGGGUUGAAAGUUCACGGUGUCGACAAGCAGUAAAAUGGCUAUUGACAAGCUGAUAUUUCAAAUUAGAGAAUGUGAGGUCCUGAAGAUUGCUGACUUGUGCUCAAAAUGGAAUUCUUGAUAACUUCAAAUGUUAAAAGUUCUUGGUGAAAGUUUUGUACUUUCUUUUCUUUCAGAUUCUUGUGCCUAUUGCGAAUGGUUCAAAGAAGAUGGAAGUUGUUAUAAUAAUUGAUAUUCUGCGACGAGCUAAAGCAAAUGUUGUGGUUGCGUCAGUUGAGGAUAAACUAGAAAUUAUGGCUUCUCGUCAAGUUAAAUUAGUGGCAGAUAUGCUUAUUGAUGAGGCAGCUAAACUUUCGUAUGAUUUGAUUGUCUUGCCAGUAAGUGGGGUUGCUAACUCUUGCCUCAUAGUCUUUACCAAAUUAUUGACUUACUAACUACAAUUUAUCUAUGAACAGGGUGGACUUGGUGGUGCUCAAGCAUUUGCGAAGUCAGAAAAAUUGGUAAAUAUGCUAAAGAAGCAAAAGGAAUCAAAUAGACCUUACGGUGCUAGAUGUGCAUCCCCAGCUUUAGUGUUGAAGCCCCAUGGCUUACUCAAGGUAUGACCAUUUCUGCUUAAAUAUUUACUCUCGAUUUGAAUCACCUAAUCUGAACUUGAUGAAACAUUAUGAUCUUGUGUCGUUUUAUGAAUGUGAUCUUAUCUCAUGUAAGUCUGUAAUGAAUUAAUUGAAGUUUGCUGAUACAAACUCAAAAAGUGCUGCUGCUUCAUUAGUUACAUUACCCAAAGAGUUAUGAUAGACAUCCUAAAUUUUUUAUCCCAAAUUCCCUCUCAAAUGACAUGGUAGUUAUUAAGUAGUUGGUAAUUUUUUAUAAAAUCUAAGUGAAUUAAUUAUAUUAUCUAACCAACUAAUUGAUGAAUGUCACGCCAUUUGAUAUGAUUUUUUGGAAUGUGUAGCAAAAUUUUAUGCUGAUUUGUUUUGGCUACAUUCAUGUAAAACCUGUUUCCCCAAAUCUCAAGAACUUCCCGCAAUAUCAUUCCUGUGUAUUUGUUUUCCCCUUUAGACAUGUUUAACUUUGAUUCAGGAUAAAAAAGCGACAACAAGCUAUCGGAUCAAAGUGAAAUCGAAAACAGGGUUGUGGUUGAUGGCAACCUUAUCACCAGCAGAGAGUCAGGAACUUCCAUGGAAUUUGCACUGGCAAUUGUGGAGAAGUUUUUUGGCCGCAACAAAGCGCUUGAGCUUGCAAAGAUAUUGCUUUUCACCCGCACCUAAAAUUUGUACUAGGACCUGACUACUAUUAAACUAGAGUAUUUAUUCCUGUAUUACUACUGCUUGUAUCACUACACUCACUGGAAUUUUAAUUAUGAACCAAGAAUGAAGUUGAACCGAGAAUUUGAUAUAUUAUAUAUUCCACUUACCAUAUCUAAGAAAGAAUAUUGAAAAGAAAGACGCUAAGAGAGAAUAUAGAAUAUUGAAAAGAAAGACGCUAAGAGAGAAUAUUGAAGUUAAACACAUACCAUAUCUAGUAUUAAGUCUGUAUGCCAAAAUUACAAAUUUGAAGAUUGGAUUUCUAAUUUCAAUUGAUGUUCUGCUCAAAGCAAUGGCUUUAAUUCCACAGUAGAAGAAGGAAAGGGUACGAACAAAGUUAACAGACACGCUAUAAAAAUUACGUUAACUGGUUGCAGCUGCAUCAUCCAGGAACUUCACUUUAAUCUUCUUGAGCUUUGCUGCAGCGUCUGUCAUAUUUAUCCUCUUAUCGGGUGACUUCAUACAACAAUCCAAUGCCAAAUCCAUUAUGCUUAAUAUACAAUCCAUUUUGGCAGAAAAAGCUUGCUCUUCUCGCACCAAAUUUGCGUCAACAACUUCACUCAAUCCGUGAGGUAAUGACUCCUUUACCCAUUUCCUUAAACUCAUUUCUCCUGUGAACAUUUCAUCGGUGGGCCUCUUUCUCGUGAAGGUUUCCAUCAAUAAAACACCAUAGCUGUAGACAUUACAUUUAGCUGAAACAAUUCCUUUUGAUCCAUACUCUGCAUUUUUUAAUUUCAAUUAUGAAACAAAUGAUAAAACAAAUAAUUUUUUGAUAAUUAAGGUAACCCAAACUUUGCUCGUGCUUGAAAAAAGAGCAAAAUUAUUAAUUACAAUUGAAACUUUACCUGAUGCCAUAUAACCAAUUGUAGCCAUUGUCAUGGUUUGUGUCAUAGAAUCUUCUCAUUCACCUAAAAGUUUGGAAAUGCCGAAGUCGCUGACAUGUGCCACCAUAUUUUCAUCCAAGAGAAUGCUGGUGGGCUUCAAAUCACAAUGAAUUAUAGGUGCCGACGAAUGACCAUGAUGGAGAUAUUCAAGAGUCGACCCCACAUCUAUCAUUAUAUUCAACCUCUCUAGAAUGUCUAAGAAAUAGUUGUGAGAAUACAACCGCUUCUCGAGACUACCAUUUGGCAUGAACUCAAGACCAAUACUUUAAAAUCUGGAGUAGAACAACUGCUAAGGAUCUUUAUGAGAUUUUGAUGACGAACAUUCCGUAAAACUUCACAUUCAGAAUUAAAACUCCUAAAUGCUCUCUCUCGUUGCAGAUUGAAAAUCUUUAUUGCAACAUCAGUCCCGUCGGAAAUGGUUCCUUUAUAAACUGAUCCAAAACUACCUGUAACAAGCAAGUUGCAUUCAUUAAAUUCAUCAGUUGCUUGUUGAAUGUCUAGGUACGAUGUUCUUCUCCAUGUUGCAAGAGGUAGUAAAUCUUCGUGAUCUGAUUUUUAUGUACUCCUAUUUCGGCAUCUUAUGUAGAUAAUGAUGGUAAUCACUAUAAGGACGGUGGAUACUAUCGGAGUUCAAAUAUAUUUAAGGACAAUUAGAGCAACUUUCUUGGUUCUUUUAUUGUUAUCUUGCCUGCAAGGUGGGACUCGGAGUUUAGGUGGACCACAGAGUGCAUAAUCUCCUAAAAACGAUUCAGCUGAGAAGUUCUGAAACGACCCCUUAACAGGAAUUUCCCCUUCUAGGCUAUUAUGAGACACGUUAAAUUGUUUGAGAUAUGAAAGUGUCUCCAAUGACUUAGGAAUUUUUCCAGAGAGAUUGUUGCCGGAGAGAUCUAAGGAUUCUAAGCUUAUCAAACUGCCAAUUCAUUCAGGAAUAGGUCCUUGAAAUUGAUUACCAGCCAAGGAUAUAGUUUCUAGAUCUACUAGGGCACCAAUGGUUGAUGGAAUGUCACCUGAUAAUUGAUUCCUUGAUAAAUCUAAAACUCUCAAGACCUUUAACUUUUGUACAUUGGAAGGGAGAGAAUCAUUUAAUAAAUUUGAUGACAAGUUUAUCUCUAAGAUGUACCCAAGGCUCCACAAGGAUGACGGUAUACUAGAAGUGAGCUUGUUGGAGCCUAAGUCAAGUUCUCUUAGAGAUGUCAAACUCGCCAGGCAUGGUGGUAUAUGUCCAGAGAGCUUAUUUCCCCCCAAGUGUAAUAGAUUCAACAUCUCCAAAUGGCAAAGAUUAUGAGGAACGUAUCCUUGCAAAUUAGUCUCAGGGAGAAAAAAACCUUGUAGCUGCUUUAGUGUGCCAAUGGAUGUUGGAAUAGUUCCAUUCAAGUCAUUGAAGCCGAGACUUAAGUAGAUCAAGCCACGUAAAUGACCAAUUUCUUUAGGAAUGGUUCCCUUAAGCUUGCACUCGGAUGCAGAAAAACGCUGAAGAGAAGUAGAGAAAUUUCCAAUUGAUGGUGGAAGGAUGCCACCUAGUGGAUUACCAGAUAAGAUUAAAUAGACUAGAUAUCGGCAGUUAGUCAAAGAGGAGAGAAAACUCCAUUGAUAUGCUGAAGAUGAUUCUGUGGUCAAGUUAUUCAUCAGAAGGCUGAGCACGCUGAGGUGUCUCAAGUUGCCAAAUGUAUUUGGAAUAUGGCCUGAGAAUGUGUUAAAGCCCAAGUCUAGGAUAAUGAGCUUAGUAGCAUUGGUAAUAGAGUUGGGAAUUGUCCCAAUAAGAUUAUUGUCCCCCAACUCCAAAUACUUUAUGUUCGGAAGCGAGUGGCCAAUCAUUGAUGGUAAGUGGCCUGACAGUCGAUUGCCACCCAGAUUAAGGUUUCUUAUGGUUGAAAUAUUGAAGAUCAUGGGUGGAAUGAGGCCACUUAAAUUAUUCGCACCAAGAAAAAGAGACUUCAAAUUUUGUAGAUUGCCAAUUUCGGUUGGAAUUUGACCUGUCAUAACGAUUAAUGGCAACAUUGAUGAGUUAUUGAGCUUUUACUUAACAUAAAUUUAAUUUCAUACUGCAUGAAAUCAAAUUUGCCCACAAAAUGUGUGUAAUUAGUUUUAUAAUUUUUUUUGGGGGGGGGGGGGGGGGGCAGUCGGUGUUGAUAUUUCUACUAGGAAUGACAACGGGGUGAGAUGGGAGUGGGGAGGCCUACCCCAUUCUGCAUCCUAUUAAAAAUUUCACCUCUAUUUCCCAAUAAAUUUAGUGGAGUGGGGAUGGAGAAUCCCAUGUGUGGAAUGAUUUUCCCAUCACCACCUCAUUCCCCAUUUGUUAUUUUAUAAUGUAUGAAUACAUAAUUUCAAUAAAUAAAAAAUUAAAGACUUAAAUAAAAUCAUCACCAUAUUAUAAAGUAUUUAAAUUAAAAAAAAUCUCAAAAAAAUUGAAACAAUAUCUUGAAGUAAUAUCAAAAUUGUAAAAUAUUUGGAUAUAUAAAUAAUAACUAAAAAAAUUAAAAAUGUAUAGCAAUGUUUCAUAUUCUUCUUUGUUAAUGGCUUCAUCUUCUCUUUAUCAUAUUCAUAUACCUAUGAUCGUAAAGUUUAUCAUUCUUUUAUAAAUAAACCAAUGUCUUAAGGGUGAGCAAAAAUCAUAUUAUAGGGUUUUCUUUUAGUUAUACCUUAUUUCUAUUAAGUAAAAAUAAAAGAAAAUUUAUAAACCAACAUUGUAAUUGAUAAAACAAAAAUUAUUAAAUAAAAUAUUAAAAAAAUAUUUACAUAUAAUGAGGAUUGAGUAUGGGGUGGGGUGGAGAGUACUAAACUAAACCCUACUCCAUUAAAAAUUUGGGGAUUAUUUUUUCCCAUUCCCCAAAAUUAUUCAAGAUUCACCCCAUUUGGGGUGGGGUUUCAUGGAGCUCCAAACCCAUGGAGGAUUUUGUCAUUUCUAGUUUCUACCUCAUAAUUUUUGUAAAACCCACCCGCUUUCAGAAAAUUAUUGCAACAAGAUUCUUUAAAAAAUUCAAAUAAAGAAGAAGUUUGGAGAAUUGAUCAAUUAAAUCCAUCUUAAUCUAUUUUUGAAACUUAUUUUCAUUUAUUAUAUUUAAUAACUAAGGUUGCUUUAAUAUAAAAUUAAUAUGACUAGUUUACUCUCACAAGGUAAAAGUACUAAUACCCACAAAUUUACUUUAACUUCAACUAAACUAACAAAAUGUAUUUGUGACAUGUGGUGCACUAAAAAUUAUUGAAUUUUAUUUUAGAAAUAUCGUAUUACAAAACAUAAAACAAAAUGUUGAAACUAUAUAUUAGAUACAAUAAUACAUGUUUUUUGGGGUAAUCUGGUCAUUUUAUAUUAUAAGAGUGAAAUAAUCAAAUUAAACUUAUUUUAAAGCAACCGUAAAUGGCCAAAGAUUGUUAAAAGCCUUAAGUCAUAAAAGGAAGUAUCAUAAGAAUAAUUUAUGUAGUUAAUUGUUCAAACUUAUUGUUAAUUUAUAAUUCUAUAAGAUAAUGUGAGCUUAUUAUAACUAUCUUAUCAAGAUGAGGUGUGUUUGCAAGAAUAAUGAGUGGAAAUAUCUCCAACCUCUAAAAUAAAAAGAAUUUUACAGCUAUGCCAAUGCAAAUAUGUAGACGUACCUUGUAGGUUGUUAUAACCUAUAUUCAUAUUCAAAAGAUUGCUCAAAUUUCAUAUCCUUGAAGGAAUAUUUCCAUCAAGAAUGUUAUCCUUUGCUUUUAACAUCUCCAGCAUCGAUAAAUUGAAGAGAGAAUUUGGGAUUGGACCCGUGAAACUGUUAUUACGAAGACUCAACAUUUGUAAUUUGGAUAAGAUACCAAUCCAUGUUGGAAUGCUUCCACUCAAUUUGUUGAGAGUGAAACUAAUAAAUCUGAGUCGGCGUAAUCGCCCCAAUUCAUUAGGUAGACGGCCAUGAAAAUUGUUCAGGCUAACAUCAAGAGAUACUAAGACCGUGAGAUUUCCCAAGUGUGGGGGAAUGGUACCUCCGAGACCUAUAUCUGAAAGAUUCAAGGCCGUGACUCUUUGAUGGCGUGAACCACAAGAAAUACCAAUCCAGGUACAUAUUGGAUAAGAUAUAGACCAAUUAUUUGUCAGAACACUUCGAUAAUCAACGACACGGGCUUUGAAUGUAAGAAGAGUCGAUUGAUCGGUUGUUAAGUUGCUCAAAGUCGUCAUAGCUAAGCUAGCUAUGGAAUAUUGUAACAACAACAUAGGAACAAAGAAGAAUGAUAAGCGCAUAUUGGUUGUAUUUUUUUUUUUAUAGAUGCAGCAAUCUAAUUGCUAAGUGAAAUUAAUGUUGAUACGAGAUUCUGGUUUUCUGCUCGCCCACGACCAGGAUCUCUCCUCAACUAACUCGACCACGACCAAGAUCUCCCCUCGUAAGACUUCUUCUCUACAGACUCCUACGUAUACAGAAACAAGUCAGAGCACGCCGGGUGUUUUCCUGGCGCAAACCCUCCGACGCUCAAGUCAGAAACGUAGGUUUCGUUUUCCUGGGGAAAUCAGCCACUAAUCUUAUGGCUCGUUUUGAGUACUAAUUAUUCAGAGCUCUUUUUAUCUCAGUUCCAAUGUCAAAAAAUCUAACCCUUUUACCUUCGUUGGCUACCUUUUUAUAGGCUUCCUCUGAAUCCAAGCCUUCCACAAUCCACGUCCAUCACUUCCCCCACCCUCGGAAGUGGAUGCUCCAUUAUCGUCAUUGUGGCUGAAUGGAAGUGGACUUCGUGCCUUGAUUUUCGGGCAGGAGUGCACGUCUUGCCAACCGUCAUUGACUGAGUCUGCCCACCUCAACAUCUAGCAGGAAUGGCCUUAUGCUCCUAGUAGGAGGCCGGCUCCCGUUGUGACCUCGUGGAGGGUGCGUUUGUGAACGAGCAUAAUAUUCCUACUCGUGCCAUCCUGCUACUAGAUAUCUGCUCAUCAUAUCUGGUCUUGUCGGCGUAUAUCCCCCAAACACCGGUCCCCCAGUUUCUAGUGUCGGGUAACGCAGUGGACCGACAGUAGAAAUUCAACAGUCCUGGCUCGCGCAGGAUAGGAAGAGGUUUUGAGGAGUCGUGUCGCAUUUAAUUGCGGACGAGGUGAUGUGGCAGAAAUCUAUCCCUCCAUUUGAAUUUCAAAUCGAUGGUCACGAAACCCUUGGAAUUUGUGCCGUUAAAUGCUGGCAGCCCAAGAGUUUGUUCCUCAUUAGGGAACCCAAAACCCCAAAAAGAGAAACUCGUCUUUUGUCCCAUUUAUAUCUCUCCGGUGAUUGAGUCAUUCCUCUCCCUCGGCGUAAAAGCUUCUAUCCUUGUCUCUAUCCGGCUAGGACACAACUUCAGAUAUUAUUUCUACUUCCUCGGUCUUGGAUAGUUGUAGAAAAUUUCAUUUCUCUCUGUUUUUCUUGGGUAGUGUUUGGUAAUACUGCCCUGGUUAUAGUUUAGGAAAUGUCCGAAGGCAAAGAGAAGGUCAUUGAGAUUAAUGACGACGAGUUAGACUUCCUGCCUAGUCUGCUCGCCGAUCCUGCCUUUGACCCCGGGAUCCCCUUAGAACCCAUUAGAUCUAGUGUUGGGACUAGUGCUAAGAGGAUGUCCCCCCAAAUAACCUCCUCAACCGGCAAUAGCAGCGACGAGGGAUCUUCUGGUUCUGAAGACACCUUGAGUGAGGACCAGGGAGAUGAUUCUGGUGAAAUGUCCUCACCAGGAACAUCGCGACCAGAUAGGAAGUGCAAAAUAGGAGGUAAGGCUCUAUCAGAGCAUUACGCUAUUGACUUCAUCACGUGCACGCCUACAGUAGAUGAGCUCGAUAACCUCCGAGCUAGGUAUGACAUUCCUGAUGAUAUACCCCUUAGGAUCCCAGGAAAAAAGGAUACUCCUAGCCAGCCUCCUAGGGGAUACGUUACUCUGUUUCUGGAAAGUUUUAAGCUUGGGAUGAGAUUCCCCCUACAACCCUAUUUUGCCCGAAUACUCAACGGGUGGAAUUUAGCUCCUGGUCAACUGAACCCCAACGGGUGGAGGGUAUUUUCUGGUCUGUUCAUAUUGUGGGACAGAUGUUGCCAGAGUGAGCUCACAGUUAAUGAGGUGAAGCACCUGUACCAGCUAAAGAGUAGCCCCAAAGACGCCGGCUGGUAUUACUUCUAAUCAAGUACCAAGACCAAGAAACCCAUAACUGACCUUCCAACCGGUGGUGGUGGGAAUUGGAAGAAAAAAUUCUUUUUUGCUGGGGGUCCCUGAGGUCAAGUUGCAUAGGUUGACGGGAAGAAUUAUCGCGUCCCACCCCGUUUCGUGGUCCCAGGUUGCCUGCUCGCUUUAGUUGUCUUGUCGCCAUAGUUGUUUUUAUUUUGCUGAUUUAUCUCUAACCCAACAUCUCCUGGAAUUCCAGGUUCCUGGGGCGUGCACUACCAGCUUAAACCUGAGCCGCUCAAGGGGGUCGAGGCUGUGUUGGCCAAUUCCUGUUCGAACCGAGAGUUGCUAACUACUUACAACUUAUUCGAAUCUUGUUUGGUGUCCACUGACCUUAAGAUGGAGGAUGCUGUGAUCGGGGCUCUGAAUCGAAAACGUCAUCGACCUCAUACUGCUAAGCACGACCAGAAUAAGGGCAUUCCCUCUGCGAAACGGGUGAACAUCGCGGAGUAGGUCCCUCUUUGAGGACUCUACCACCUCUUCCUGCCAAAGCUGGAGAAACUAAUAGAGCAGCCACUGACCCCACUUUCUCUUCUCCACCAGCUAGGUCGAAACCCCGUUUGCCCGACAAUCGAGCAGAGCAUCUGGUCCCCUAUAUCAGCGAGUUUUCUAGUCCCCUAUAUCAGCGAGUUUUCUAGGCUCGUGAGCAAGAAGGACUUGGAGGAUUUUGACGGCAGCACUCUCGGCAAUCUGGUGGGGGCUAUGCAGUAUAGUGCUUUUCACCUCGGCUGCAUGGCCACUAACUAUAAAGCGAAGCUCGGACGCUAUGAUCGAAAGAUGAGAGAGGACGUUCAAUCGACCAAAACCAAAGCUGACGCAGCCGAGAAGAAAGCAGGAGAUCUGAACCUCUAGAAUCUGAAGUUGAUAGAGCGAGAAUCUCUCGCGCAGGUAAGGGCAAUCACUCUAGAGGAAGAGCUGACUAAGGUCAAGGAGGAUCUGCAGAGGCAGAAGGCCACCUACGAGGCUCAGCUCGAAUCUCUCAAGGAUUCCCACCAGGUUCAGGUCAAGAACCUAGAGAAGGAAGCUGACAACCAAAAUGACCAGGGGCUUCGGCAUUCUUAUUGCUGCAUCAUGGCCGUCCUUGGGAAGCAACAUCCUGAUCUGAAGAUGGAUGAGCUUGCUGCUGGGGUUGCUCAAUAUAUAGAUGAUGAGGCAGCAAAAGAGGAUGUCGAAGAGUUGGAGCCAAAUGCAAUUGAGGAGGGAAACUCUCCUCCUCGUGCAGUCCCUGCUGAUGUUGCCGAGGCAAGUACCCCCCGGGUGCAACUGGUGAGACCCCCCUGCACCUAAGGUGGACCAGCCAACAGAAACUGCCCAGCUUACUGACCCGUCGUCCUCUUGAAUGUAUCUUGUGUUGUAAUUACUUUUUUGGAACACUGUAUGUUAAGCCUAGUAGUUUUUCGUGAUUAUUGAUAGAUUAAUAAGAAUGUUCUUAUUUGCUUUCUUUGCCUUGAGCUCUUGGCAAAUUAUUAUAUUUUUUGCUCGCUUACAUUGCGGUCGAGGAGGUGCCGAAAAGUUCAGCUUCCUGCUGUCCUAUGUUUGAGAGUCUGCUGGCCUUCGCUUGGUAGAACAGGUCCUGGCAUGCUUGGCUUCUGGUCUUGCCAUAAACAGGCUUUGAGGCUUAGUGAGCCUUUGCAUGCCUUAGAAAAUUUUACAAUGUUUGAGCAUCUGCUCGCCUUCGCUUGGUCGAGCAGAUCCUAGCACACUUGGCUUCUGGUUUCACCAUGAAACAGACUUUGAGACUUAGCCUUUGCAUGCCUUAGAAAAUUUUAUAAUGCUUGGGAGUCUGCUCACCUUCGCUUGGCCGAGCAAAUCCUGGCACGCUUGGCUUCUGGUCUCACCAUAAAACAGGCUUUGAGACUUAGCCUUUGCAUGCCUUAGACACUUUUACAGCAUUUCGGAGUCUGCUCGCCUUCGCUUGGUCGAGCAGAUCCUGGCACACUUGGUUGUUGGUCUCGCCAUAAAACAUGCUUUGAGACUUAACCUUUGCAUGCCUUAGACACUUUUAUAGCGUUUCGGAGUCUGCUCACCUUCACUUGGUCGAGCAGAUCCUGGCACACUUGGCUGUUGGUCUCGCCAUAAAAUAGGCUUUGAGACUUAACCUUUGCAUGCCUUAGACACUUUUACAGCAUUUCGGAGUCUGCUCGCCUUCGCUUGGUCGAGCAGAUCCUGACACACUUGGUUGUUGGUCUCGCCAUAAAACAGGCUUUGAGACUUAACCUUUGCAUGCCUUAGACACUUUUAUAGCGUUUCGGAGUCUGCUCACCUUCGCUUGGUCGAGCAGAUCCUGGCACACUUGGCUGUUGGUCUCGCCAUAAAAUAGGCUUUGAGACUUAACCUUUGCAUGUCUUAGGCACUUUUAUAGCGUUUCGGAGUCUGCUCGCCUUCGUUUGGUCGAGCAGAUCCUGGCACACUUGGUUGUUGGUCUUGCCAUAAAACAGGCUUUGAGACUUAACCUUUGCAUGCCUUAUAAGUUUUUAUAAUACUUAAGGGUCUGCUCGCCUUCACUUGGUCGAGUAGAUCCUGGCACGCUUGGCUUCUAGUCUCGCCAUAAAAUAAGCUUUGAGACUUGGUGAGCCUUUGCAUGCCUUAGGAGUUUAAAGAACAUUACAGCUGACUGAAAUUCCUCAUCGUUUCAUUAAUUGCUGAAUUCGGCUUACACGAGAUUAAUUUAACAUAGAAUGAAUAAUAACGAGAGCGAAUAGAAAUAACUUUAAAACAUGAACGAGUCUUACUGGAAAUAUUUCCUGAGGUGUACUGCGUUCCAGGGGCGUUUCACCUCGUGGCCAUCCGCACGAACAAGCUUAUAGGCUCCCCCCUCCCAGUUUGGUCCAAGUACUCCUUGUGUCGAGUCUUUCAUGUUCUGAUUCACCCUCCUUAGUACCCAAUCUCCGACCUUGAGCUGUCGUACACACACCUUCUGGUUGUAAUACCGAGCAACCCUCUGCUGGUAGAUGGCUGAUCGCUUCGAUGCUUGCUCCCUCUUCUCGGUCAGCAAAUCAGAUUCAAGCACAUCUGGUCAUUGUUUUCCUGCUCAUCGAAGUGUUCUGUCCAGUUCGUGGUCGUCCCUAUCUCGACCGGUACGACAGCUUCAUGUCCGAAGGCCAAAGCGAACAGAGUUUCGCCGGUUGCUGUUUUGUGGGUUGUCCUGUAUGCCCAUAAUACACCUGGUAGCUCAUCAACCCAUGCACCAUUUUUUGCUCCAAGCCUGAUUUUCAGAAGCCUUUUUAUUAUCUUGUUGGCUGCUUCUACUUGCCCGUUAGACUAAGGGUGAGCCAACGAGCAAUACUUCAUCUCUAUCCCGAGGUUUUAGCAGAAAUCCCUGAAGUUAUGGUUGUCAAACUGCCUGCCAUUGUUUGUUAUCAGGUCACAAAGGAUCACGUACCGAUAGACCAGGUUUCUCCAUACGAAGUCAGUCGUCUUUUUUUUUCUGUGAUCCUGCUGAGGGCCUCUACCUCUAUCCAUUUCGUGAAGUAGUCUAUCGCAACUAUUGCAUGUGUUGCUGCCCCUCGUCCCUCUAGAGACAGCGGGAACACCCUGCAUCUUUGAGCUUGGGAUAAUCCUUGCACCCCAGUUAUGUCGUUGAAGCGCUCUAUGUGCACCAACGGAUCGAUUCGCCCCGAGUAUCUGAGGUCUGGGAGGCGAAAAUCCCUCGAAAUGACUGCCCUCAUGAUUUCUGCUAAGAGCGGGGAUUCUCCGUCCAGCAUUAUCCUUCAACCUGGUGCUCUGCUCCGUCCUUGCAUGUUAUCUAUUAUCUGCGCUAACCUGCGCACUUCUUCUUCCAGCUGUACGGCACGACCAGGGUCACGUGCUGCAACCUGAUCUCGCUCCUGCUCAACAUCAAGCAGGUGUUUCCGGAGUUCUCUUUCCUCUGCAUUCGCCACUCUGUCAUCGUUAUCAAAGAUCUUCCUUCCCAGGGAUUGAUUCUCUCCUCUAUGGCUUUUUCCCCGUAGAGAUGAGUUACCCCCCUCACCACCAAAUCUUCUGGUGGCCCGACUUCUCAUCAUGUUGUCGUGCCCUGGUGUCACUCUGCCACUUCUCACCCCCUCCUCUUGAGCUCCUCUUCGUUCACUUCUCAGCUCGUGUAGGAUGGUUGUCAGGGUCUCCAUCUGUUUCUCCAUCUGUUCCAUCCGCUCAUACAUUGCUUUUUCCCGUACUUUGUUGGCUAUCUCUGUCAACGUCACGGACUCGUUAAGCCUCGGUUUACCUCCUUGUGCACUGCCUCCUCCUACAUCCAUUGUUCCAUCACUUUCUUUCAUCUUCUUCUCUCUAAUAACAGAAGCGUUUUGCUCAGCUCCCCACAGACGGCGCCAAAAUAUUGAUACGAGAUUCUGGUUUUCUGCGCCCCCACGACCAGGAUCUCUCCUCAACUAACUCGACCACGACCAGGAUCUCCCCUAGUAAGACUUCUUCUCUACAGACUUCUGCGUACACAGAAACAAGUCAGAGCACGCCGGGUGUUUUCCCGGCGCAAACCCUCCGACGCUUAAGUCAGAAACAUAGGUUUCGUUUUCCUGGGGAAAUCAGCCACUAAUCUUAUGGCUCAUUUUGAUUACUAAUUAUUCAGAGCUCUUUUUAUCUCAGUUCCAAUGUCAAAAAAUCUAACCCUUUUACCUUCGCUGGCCACCUUUUUAUAGGAUUCCUCUGAAUCCAGGCCUUCCACAAUCCACGUCUAUCACUUCCCCCACCCCCGGAAGUGGAUGCUCCAUUAUCGUCAUUGUGGCUGAAUAGAAGUGGACUUCGUGCCUUGAUUUUCGGUCAGGAGUGCACAUCUGCCCACCUCAACAUCUAGCAGGAAUGGCCUUAUACUCCUAGUAGGAGGCCGGCUCCCGCUGUGACCCCGUGGAGGGUGCGUUCGUGAAUGAGCAGAAUAUUCCUGCUCGUGCCAUCCUGCUACUAGAUAUCUGCUAAUCAUAUCUAGUCUUGUCGGCGUAUAUCCCCCAAAUAAGGCGUGCAAAGGUGCAAAGUCUCAAAGCCUGUUUUAUAACGAGACAGGAAGCCAAGCAUGCCAGGAUCUGCUCGACCAAGCGAAGGCGAGCAGACCACCAAAGUUCCAAAAAGUUUCUAAGGCGUGCAAAGGCUCCAAAAUCUCAAAGCCUGUUUUAUGGCGAGAAAGGAAGCCAAACAUGCCAGGAUCGGCUCGACCAAGCGAAGGCAAGUGAUAAUUCUAGGAAAUAAGAGUUAUUACUUCAAUUCUAGACUGAAAUCAAGAUCAUUUAGAGAGCAAAUAAGGUGUUUUUAUUACAUUUUGGUUACCUUUUGCAUAAACAUUCAUUUUAGUUGGAUAUUAAUAAGUUUUGCUUAAAUCAAGUAAUUUGUACUAAAAACAGGUGCGUAAUUGUAAGGUUUAAAUUCAUGAAGAGGAUGCAGAGACAUUAGAUGAGCAAGAGGAGGAAAGAAGAUGGCCAAAAAAGAAGAAAAGCACAAUCGAGAAUAAUGCAGUACUGUUGUGAAUGUUAGAGCAACCAGUGCUGCAGCAAUCUGGGAGCAAUGCGGUAGAAAGCUUAAAGCGCGGGUCAGCCAUAAAGUCGCGAUCUGCAUGUUUCCUAAUUUAGACGCAUGCAAGCUCAUGGGCUUUAGUUUUUACCCUAAUUCGGAAUAUAAAAAGGAGGCGUGCAUCACAUAGAGAGGGGGCAGAGAGAUUACUAUCCAAGUGAUUACAAAGGCAAGAAGAAGAAGAAGAAGAUCAAGAUUUAGGAGUGUUGUUCGGCAUCAUUGAAGAACCGAGGAGGAUCACUAGUCUUUCACCGUGCUCAACUCAUAUUAUCUUUCUUCCUUGAAAUUGUUUGGAUGUAUUCUGUGAUCAGUAUAUUUAUGUUUACUUUUCUCAUUCAGAACAUGAACAAAAUUUACUUGUAGUUGAGUGACAAAUAAACCAAUGGGUUCUUGACUGUUCUUAUAUGUUGUUAUGGUAUUGCUGUAGCAUUAUACUCUAGUAGUUUUUAUAAUUACAACUGUUAUUUCAGUUGACCACCCAUUUAAUAGUUUCAGUUAAGAUAGAGCAGCAAAAUGGCAUGUCUUAGCGGACAUUAUUAGAGUAUUACUCGUUCUUAAGUCAAGUUUCCUGGAUUAGGUUAUCUUGAAUCCCAUAAGGGCAAUACUUGAAGUUAAGAUUUGUGACACUCUAGACAUAGGUGUUCACCUUGUAGGGUAGAGAGAUUAAAGGUUAUUAUGCCGUACCAUAAAUAUAUGAGCAACUGGUCAUUGUUAGUAGAUUUAAAGGUAUGAAAUUUCCAACAUGCAAUAGCUGCGGAUGCAGAUAUAUUCUACCCAUUGCUGCAGCACUUAUUGUAACAACUGGUGCUAAUUCGGUAAACAACAGUCAUCCCAUUAGGAGAGUUUGAUCAUUCAACUACUAUAUUCUCAAUUGAAUCUUAGACACAUUUAACUUAGUUUAUUUCAUUACAGUAUUGUUUUAUUUCCAUCUCUCGAAAUUAAUAAUUACGAUAAAAUUAUUUGACAUUUGUUUGUUUCGACCUUUAGUUGAUUUGCAUUAUUGUGAUUGUUUCAGUAUUUUGAGCAACAUCAAUCCCCGUAGAGACGAUCUUGAAUACUCAUCACUUUAUUACUUGUUGUGUAUACUUGCACAUUGGCAUUGAUAGUAAUUGAUUAUAAUAAAUUACCAACAAGUUUUUAGCGUCGUUGCCGGGGAAUGAUUGUUUAUUUUUGAAGUGUGAAGUAAAUUAUGAUAGCACCAAACUUAACUUGAUUCAUUCUAUUGAUUGGUAGAUCAGUACGUGCAUACGCAAGGAUAGAUCUGUGGUAUUCCAAUUCGAUCCUGAGAUUGAAAGGACUAUCAGGAGAUUGCGAAGAGAACAAAGAAAUUCAAAGACUGUUUCAGGCAUGAAUAAUUUGCAGGAUGAGGGAAAUUUGAACCCUCACGGGCCUUUACAUCCAGCCAACAUUCAAGAAGUGCAGAAUGAACAUGCUAAUGGGAGAUAGCCAGGUAAUAACAAUAUUAUUUACAUGGCUGAUGACAGGGACAGAGCUAUAAGAGAUUAUGCUGUACUAACUCCUCAAGUUGUCCAUCCUGGCAUCAUCAGACCUGAAGCAGACGCUGCCAACUUUGAGAUAAAGCCCGUGAUGUUUCAAAUAUUGCAAACAGUUGGGCAAUUCAAUGGAUUGACAAAUGAAGAUCCUCAUCUCCAUCUUAAAUUGUUCUUGGAAGUAAGUGAUGCUUUCAAGAUUGCUAGAGCAACACAAGAUGCCUUAAGGCUGAGGCUAUUCCUUUAUUCCUUAAGAGAUCGAGCAAGGGCAUGGUUAAAUUCAUUACCAUCUGAUUCCAUCACUACAUGGAAUGAAUUGGCUGAUAAAUUCCUAGUGAAAUAUUUCCCACCGACAAAGAAUGCAAAAUUAUGAAAUGAGAUUACCUCCUUCCAUCAACUUGAAGAUGAGAGUUUGUACGAGGCUUGGGAAAGGUUCAAGGACUUGCUCAAAAGGUGUCCUCAUCAUGGUAUUCCUUGUUGUAUUCAAUUGGAAACUUUUUACAAUGGGUUGAAUCCGAGUACAAGGUUAAUGGUGGAUGCUUCAGCAAAUGGAGCUCUGUUAUCCAAAUCCUACACUGAAGCUUAUGAAAUUUUGGAAAGAGUUGCCAAUAAUAAUUACCAGUGGCCUUCAGUCAGGCAGCCAGCAGCAAGAGGAACAGCAGGGGUACAUAGCAUUGAUGCAAUUACAGCCUUAUCAGCUCAAGUAACCUCAUUGACUAACAUGGUAAAAGCCAUGACAGCUGCUCCAGCAACAGUAAAGCAAGUUACUGAACUUUCUUGUGUCUACUGUGGUGAAGAACAUGAUUUUGAUAAUUGUCCUGGAAAUCCAGCCUCAGUAAAUUAUAUGGGUAACUUCAAUCGACAACCUCAGAACAACCCAUAUUCAAAUACUUACAACCCAGGCUGGAAACAAUACCUAAAUUUCUUAUAGAGCAAUCAGAAUCGAAAUGCUCCAGCAUUGAAUGGACUAAGUAGAAACACACAACCACCUGGUUUUCAUCAACAAAGUCAAGGGCAAAAGCAUAUCAGUCAGGAUCCAAUCACUUCAUUGGAAGCACUGAUCAAGGAAUACAUUGCAAAGAAUGAAGCAAUUGUUCAAAAUCAAGCUGUGCCCUUGAGAACCAAAUGGGACAAUUAGCUACAGCAAUGAGCAGCAGAACUCAAGGAAGCCUACCUAGCAACACAGAAGACCCUAGGAGAGAUAGCAAAGAACACUGCAAAGUAAUUAGUUUAAGAUCUGGAAAGAAUGUUGAUAUCCUAGUUGAGGUGACCAAAAAUGGGAUGGAAUGCAAUUCAGCUCAAAACCCAACUCAAAAGGGAAACCUGUUACAGCAGGCUCCCCAUCAAGACACUGAUGUAAUGGGCCAAGCUACAGCAGCUGCAGAAGAAAUUCAACCAGAUCUUGCUGAAAAAGAAGUUGCAACACCAGUAGCCACAACCUGCACCAACUUAAACAAACAGAGUUUGGUACCUCCUAAAUCUAACCAGCAGUUUAGACAUCCACUACCCUUCCCUCAAAGGUUCCAAAAGCAAAAACAAGACAAGCAGUUCAGCAAAUUCCUGGAAGUGCUGAAGCAACUGCACAUAAAUAUACCUUUUGUGGAAGCUUUAGAGCAAAUGCCAAAUUACGUGAAAUUUCUAAAAGAUAUCUUGGCACGAAAAAGAAGGCUGGGAGAGUUUGAAACUGUUGCUUUAACACAGGAAAGUAGCCAUAUGCUCUAGAGUAAAAUUCCCACAAAAUUGAAAGAUCCAAGGACUUUUACAAUACCCUGCUCUAUAUGGACUAGGUAUACUAGCAGAGCACUUUGUGAUUUGGGAGCUAAUGUUAACUUGAUGCCAUUAUCUGUAUUUAAGCAGCUUGGAGUAGGGGAGUGCAGACCAACAACUGUCACUCUGCAAUUAACUGACAGCUCUCAUGCAUAUCCUGAAGGAAAGAUAGAUGAUGUACUGGUGAAGGUUGACAAAUUCAUUUUUCCAGUGGAUUUCAUUGUGCUAGACUUUGAAGCUGACAAAGAGGUACCCAUUAUACUUGGUAGACCUUUUCUAGCAACUGGAAAGACUCUGAUAGAUGUGCAGAAAGGAGAGCUGACCAUGAGAGUGAAUGAUCAGCAAGUCAUAUUCAAUGUACUAGAGGCUAUGAGAAACCCUGAUGAAAUAGAAGAUUGCAAUUUCCUAAGUGUAGUGGAUCUUGUUGUAGCAGACAGAAUGGACAGAUGCUACAGUAAUGUACUUGACAAAGUCACCACCUUUGAGGAUGUUGAAGAGGAAGAUGUUGAAGCAAUUCAAACAGAUUGGAUGGACAAACAACAAUCUAAUAGGCACAACAGGGUUAUUGAACACUUGAAUCUGUCAGACAGGGAAGUAAAAACAAUUUUACCAUCUAUUGAAUCACCUCCUAGUUUUGAAUUAAAACUGUUACCUUCACAUUUGAAGUAUGCUUAUCUUGGUCAAAACAACACACUCCUUGUAAUCAUUUUUUCUACUUUGGAUGCAGGUCAAGAACAAAGCCUAGUAGAUUUGCUGGGAAAAUACAGAAGAACAAUUGGAUGGACCAUGGCAGAUAUAAAGGGGAUCAGCCCAUCCAUAUGUAUGCAUAAAAUCCUGUUAGAAGACUGUUCCAGCAAUUCGGUGGAGCACCAGAGAAGGCUGAAUCCUAUUAUGAAAGAAGUGGUAAAGAAGGAAAUCAUAAAAUGGUUAGAUGCUGGAAUCAUAUACCCAAUAUCAGACAGUUCAUGGGUAAGCCCAGUUCAAUGUGUUCCAAAAAAAUGAGGGAUAACAAUAAUGACUAAUGAGAAGAAUGAACUUAUUCCUACAAGGACAGUGACUGGAUGGAGAGUGUGUAUGGAUUACAGGAAGCUCAACAAAGCCACAAGGAAAGACCAUUUCCCACUUCCAUUCAUAGAUCAGAUGCUGGACAGACUUGCUGGAAAACAAUACUAUUGUUUCUUAGAUGGGUAUUCAGGCUACAACCAGAUUGCUAUAGCUCCAGAGGAUCAAGAGAAUACUACAUUUACUUGUCCUUAUGGAACAUUUGCCUUCAGAAGAAUGCCAUUUGGGCUAUGCAAUGCUCCAGCAACUUUUCAGAAAUGCAUGAUGUCUAUAUUUUCUGAUAUGGUGGAGCAUAUUUUGGAAGUUUUCAUGGAUGAUUUCUCAGUUUUUAGAGAAACAUACAGUAAUUGUUUACAUAACUUGGAAGAAGUUCUUAAAAGAUGUGAGAUGACCAACUUAGUACUCAAUUGGGAGAAGUGUCAUUUUAUGGUGCAAGAAGGAAUAGUGUUGGGUCACAAGAUAUCCAAGGAUGGUAUUGAGGUAGACAAAGCCAAGAUAGAGGUAAUAGAUAAACUGCCACCUCCAACUUCAGUAAAGAGUAUUAGGAGUUUUUUGGGUCAUGCUGGAUUCUACAGAAGAUUCAUUAAGGAUUUUUCCAAAGUAGUUAAGCCUCUGUGUUCAUUGCUGGAGCAUGACAAACCAUUUCACUUUGACAAAGAGUGCCUUCAAGUAUUUGAAGAAUUAAAGAAAGCCUUGAUCACUGCCCCAGUUGUUAUAUCUCCAGAUUGGAAUUUACCAUUUGAAUUGAUGUGUGAUGCUAGUGAUCAUUCUGUGGGAGCAGUAUUAGGGCAAAGAAAGGAUAAGGUUUUUCAUUCCAUAUACUAUGCAAGCAAAACUUUCACCCCAACUCAGAUCAAAUACACGACUACAGAGAAAGAGUUACUGGUAGUAGUUUUUUUGACAAAUUCAGAGCUUACCUGGUGGGUACUAAAGUAACUGUUUAUACAGACCAUGCAGCCAUCAAAUAUUUAAUUUCAAAGAAGGAUGCCAAACCAAGAUUAAUAAGAUGGAUCUUAUUGUUUCAAGAAUUUGAUCUGGAAAUUAAAGAUAGAAAGGGGACUGAAAAUCAAGUGGCAGACCACUUGUCACGGUUGGAAGUAGAUACUAGUACAUUGACAAGGAAGGGCAUCACUGAAACUUUUCCUAACGAACAGCUGCUGGUAGUACAGCAAGCACAGAUGCUGCAGCAGUCAGAAUCUCCAUGGUAGGCAGACUUUGCUAACUAUUUAGUAAGUGGGUUGCUACCACCUGAGAUGAAGUUUCAAGAGAAAAAGAAAUUUCUUCAUGAUGCUAGAAGCUAUCAGUGGGAUGACCCACAUUUAUAUAAGCUAUGUGUUGUGCAAAUUUUAAUGUACUCGCAAGUGCACGACAUCUAUUGUAGUAUAGAUCAAUGGUGACGAGUGUCGAUCCCACGAGGAGGUGGAUUUUAAUUGUGUGUAGAAUUAAUUUUGUAAAUGGGUGAUUGGAUUUGUGGUGGAAAUGAAUUGGAAUAUGUUAAAACUUAAAUUAAAAUGGCGAGAAUAAAUUUUAAAAUUGGAAUUAAAAUGGCAAGAAUAAAUUGAAGAGAAUUCUAUUGAAAUGACGUACUUGGGUAUCUGGAUCCGUAUCAACAUGCAUCAUGGGCUAAAUAAUCCUUAUUAAUACCAAUUAAAUCAUGAAGGGGGAAUCCACACCUCAUGAACCACGCUCUAAUCAAUAUGGUGCUAAGGGCUUAUCGUGCCAAAUAAUAAUAACCUUGUACUAGGGGGCCGGUGAAACCAAGGCGGUACUAGACAAGAUUAGUAUUAUUUGUCAACGACAAGUCAAAACAUCCACAAAAAUUAGAGGGGAAGAGAAAGUAGAUUUACCAAAUAAAGCCCAUGACACAUGUUAAGACUUCACCUUCAACCCAAGCUUGAAAGAAAAUUAGCCACUUAUAAUUGAACUAGUGGCAAAAUGAGAAUUUAUUAAAAUACGUAGAAAAUACAAGAUGGAGAAGGAAUUACAGAAAAUGGAUCCCAAAGAUGGAUUCAGAGAUAUCAAAUUAGGGGGGGGAGGAGGCCCCCUUUUUAUAGAUACAUCGAGUAAAUCAUGGCCAUCGGAUUAAAAACAGUUUGGACGCUCAAGAUUGCGCCACGUCAUCAGUCAACAGUACGCGUGAAUAGUACGCGGUUUGACCACGUGGAUGAACAGUAACACGGUUUGACCCGGGUGAACAGUGACGCGGUUUGGUUGAAAAUAAUCUUGUGUGAUGCAUAUACCGUACACGAGAUUUUUCGUCCACUGAUAUGCUGCCACGUCACCAUCAACAGUACAUAAGAAUUUUAGCCCAACAGGAUCAUGACACCUCAUCAGUCAAUGCCACAUCAUCGGUCAAUGCCACGUCAUCGAUCCGUCUAUGUGAACAGUGUCAUGAACAGUAAUGUAGACAAUACCGUACACGUGAAUAGUACCGUACAUGUGAAUAGUGCCAUUUUUCCUUUUAUGCUCCUCCUAAGGUUUUCGACCGUCCUGAGUUCAAAAGUGAUGUCCGUUUUGCCAUCUGAUCUCUCGUUUAUUGUGAAAUGACUAUGAUGCCCCUAAAAUACAUAAAAUACUUAAUUAAAAUAAAACACAUGGAAUUAAAUCAAAAGAAUGUUAAAUUCAUAAAAGUAAAGGUGUUAGUAAAAUUUGUAGUGUAAAAUGACAAUUUUCUCCUUUAUAAAUAUAUAUUUUCUAACACUCAACACACCCCCCAACCAGCUUAUUGCUAGUCCCUAGCAAAUAAAGCGAAAACAAAAUUCAAAACCAAAAUGAUUUUUUUUAUUUAUUUAGAAACACUCAUGUUUAUUCAAUCAGAUUAAUGAUAGUAAUCAAAUAAAAGUAUAAGCAUUAUCUCCAGUCUAAAGCAACAUCACACCCAUAUCAACCGUCCACAUGAAUCAGCAUAAUAGACAUUGUUAUAGCUACUUUCAAGAAUGACAUGUCAAACCCCAAAAUCUCACUGGAAGUAGUGACACUGUCACAAAGAAAUUAAACCCAAUAAAAAAUAGUCACUCCAAUGAAUGGUAAUUGAGAGAAAAUAAUAAAGAAGUGAUAUCACAUGCUCUCACCAAGAUGAAAUAAAUAUGCCCCCAGCUUAAAAAUAAUACGAUCUCAAGUCAAAUAAAAAAUGUUAGUCAACUCAAUUUAUUGAUUUAUUUUUUAUAUGCACCACUACAUCUUUUUAGCCCAUAUAACUAACUUCUACUUCAGACUAAAGUUUCCUAAAAUCAAGAAGGACUUUUAUUAGGACGUAACGUAGGUUAGGGACAUGGCUAACAAAGAAGGGAAAUAAGGAAAACAAAAUGUAUGUUUGAGAAAAAUGUAGAGAAAUUUUUUUUUUUUUUUGGAAGUUGUAAGGUGGAUUUCACCUAUUAUUGAUUUUUUUUUCUCUUCUUUUUUUUUGAAAUAAUUUUUUUUUUUUUUACUUUUGCUUGGCACAACGUCACUGAACAAAAUAAUUAUUUACAUUUUUCUCAAAUAUAAAUAGGUGAUGGAACUUAUAAGACAUCGGGUAAUACUCCAAAUCGGAGAGGGUCAAGAUGAUAAGUUUAGCAAAUAAAAGUUUUUUUUUUUAAAGGCUCAAAAUAGUUUACUAUGGAUAUUUAAUAAAAUGGAUGGCUAGAAAGGCUCAAACGGAUCAAAGAUGGUCUUUCCAUCAUCUUUUAGGGCUCUAAAUAAUCUUCUAUAUCUACUAGUUAGAUGGGCCUCCAAAUAUAGCAACACACUUUUUUUUUCUUUUUUUUUUAAUUUUACAAAUUUUUUUUAAGGGUUAACUCAAAAGAAAUCUAGAGAUCGUGUAUACAAUAAUAAACUGCUAAGCUGUAUAAAGAAUGGGCAAAAGGGUUACUCUCCAAGAAAAAUGAUAGGCUCAAAAACUCACUUGGCACUUAUUUAUGACAUGUUCAUUCCUUCAAGCAACUCAUAUUUGUCUCCGGCAUCAACAUGUAAAGUAGCAAACAUAGCGUAACAUCACUUAAGACCAAAGAUAAUACAAAUACUAAAAUUUGAAAUUAAUCAUGUCAUCCAAUAUUAAAACAAAUCACACAAAUUUUUUUUUUUUAACAACAUUCUACCCCCCAACCUAUUCUAAACAUGAAAGAAAAAUAUGCAUGCAGAAAUGUGAAAAUGAUGCAUAAAAACUAAUUAGAAAAGUUACACUUAAAAUGAUAGAAAACGAAAAUGGUUUUUUUUUUUUAAAAAAAAAAAACUUAGAAGAUGCGUUUCUAGAGGCAUUACACUCCAUAUUCAGCCAUCUUCGACUCAAAAAUUUGAAAAUAUAUAUUUAUAAAGGAGAAAGAGGAAGAAAACGGUUUUUUGUUUUUUUUGUUUUUUAAACGAUGAAGAUGCGUUUCUACAGUAACUACACUCCAUAUUCAGCCAUCUUCAACACAAAAAGUUAGCAACAGUUAGUUUCUACAACAAAAAAUCAGUAAAAACUUAACCAAGAUUCCACAAUUGUCGACUAUUCCCUCCCCCCAACCAGAACGAAACAUUGUCCUUAAUGUUUGAAAGGAAAGAAGUAGAGUUUAGAAGACAUCACCUGGGUGGUGCAACACGGAAGAAAAUAUUUACAGGCGGAGAGUUAAAUCUAAUUUGUACUUCUUACUGCGGCUACUAUUACCAUCAUUAUUUGGACGCUCCAACACAAAGGUCCAUGGGUCCGGCUCCGGUUUAUAAGCUUGUAACAGAUCAAGUAGCUCAUUAGCAGUGUAAGCACAAAUAAAAAGUUUUUUCGCAUUGGAAGGAAUGAAGUAGCUUUUUAUUGCAUGGUUAAGAAAUGCGAUAAAGCCAUCAUAAAAGUUAUUGACAUUUAACAAACCGAUGAGUUUUUGGUGAAUGUGCAGAUGGGCCCAAGAUGCUAGUCUGAUAAGUGCCUUUAGUGUUGCAAGAUCUCCUGGAAGGAAAAUAAAAGCAUCAGCAUGAUUUAGCAUUUCAGUUAUUCUUUCUUGCAUACCUGAGACAACUAACUCUUCUCCAGUCGAUGAGUCAGUCAAACUGCCCAAAGGUUUUAGGGCUCUUGGGAUGAUGCCUAACACUUGACUGCCUCUGAUAAAAGCUGCUUCUGAGACCAUUUUUGAUAACCCUCGGUUACCUCCUCCAUACACCAAAUGUAAUUUUCUCGCUGCUAUGCUUCGACCAAGAUCUAUGGCUGCCUCAACGAACUCUUUAUGUUUGCCAUAGUUAAAUCCAGAAAGCACACAAAUGUUCUUGAAUUGUCUAUUGGGAGUAGCUGCCAUUGGGAUACUUAUCAAAAAUAAUUUGUGAGUGUUUGACAAAAGAAAUCACAUUUAAGAGUCUUGGUGACAGUGGAUCACAACUGUGUAUGAGGUAGCAUGUCAGUGUCAAAUAACGCGUAAAGCAUAUGGCUUGUGAGUCAAAAAGGAAACAGUAAAAAGAAAAAGAAAUAAUGAUAAAAUAAAAUUAUUAAAGACAAUAAUGCAAAAGAUAAAAUAACAGUGAAAUAAAAUAACAGUGAAGUAAAAGGAUAUUUACAGGUAGUUGCGACUGUGGCUCACAUCUUCCUCUGGUUUUACGUCCAGAAACGGCUUGAACGCCCUCUAUGGGUCGAGGAUGGGCUUCCCAUCCAGUUUUCUUAUAAACUGGCAAACAGGGUCGUUUAUAGUCAGAUUCCCAAGACUAUAUCGUGCAUGCUCUUUCUGGAAUAAUGGCCAUAACUGGAGAAUCGCUCCUUGCACAUAUCCACUGGGAUGCGUUUCAAGAGACAUAAGGAUAUCAUCCAAUGACUCCUUAUUCAAGCCAUUCCUAAUGAAUUGAAUCUUAUCUUCCCUGUUAUCAGACACCAUUCCUAAAGAACAUGGGUUUUUAUCGCAACUCAUUAUGGCACACUUAUGACAAGCAACAGCAAUUCUUCGAGCUCGUCGUUUUCUUGCAUAAUUUCCUUUACCACAACCAGGCAUGUAUGCAAUAAAUUUUGGAGGUAACUCACUGCCAAUCGUACUUUAGCCUCGAUUAACCAACGGAUGUCAGCAGGUAUGUUAUUCCUCAUGAGCAAUCGCAUGUGUUCGGACUGGGCUUUAUAGAUCGUAAGGAGGGCAUUCUGAGGGAGUGAAGGGAAUCGCUUGUGAAGCUUCGCUAAAAUCUCGUUUCUGUCCAUACAUUCGCCUCAGAAUGUCAGUUAUUAUGGGAAACUGAAGUAACCGACUUGAUUGUCACGGAGUACCGUUAUCCGCCACUUCACCGGGGUAACAAACUAAAGCACACAAACAGAAAAACAAAUUAAAACACAUAAAGAAAAUUAAAAUCGUCCUCUUAUUGAAUUUACCUCAAGCUCCAACUGAAUGUCGUAAACACUUCUCUCAAUGUCUCUGAGUUGGCUUUCUAGAUUCUCAACAUAGGCUACUAACUCUGGUGGUUGUAGAGCCCAAAUGCGUUGUGUUUUACAAAAUUGAAUCUGCCUUUUGAGAUGAGUUUUGACACGUUGAAGUGGUUUAAGAAUGUUCAGGAGGAACGGUCUAAGUAUGGUACUCAUGAUUAAAAAUGAUAAGAGAAAACUUAAUAGUUAAACAAACACACUUAUGCAAAAAUAAUUUCAAUUAGUAAAAGAAUAAUAAAAAGAAAGAAAGAAAAAUCAAAUCAACGAAAAGAAAAAAAAAUCAAUUCAAAUCUGGUGGGUCACUCAAAUUUAUUUCGGUGUCUUCUCCAUGUGGUUGGUACUCUAGAUAUGGCUUUAAUCUUUGACCAUUAACUUUAAACGUGACACCGUUCUUUGGGUCCUUAAUUUCAAUUGCCCCAUGUGGAAAAACAGUAUGAACAAUAAAGGGACCAGACCAUCGAGAGCGCAACUUACCUGGGAAUAUGUGCAAGCGAGAAUUGAAUAAAAGUACUUUCUGACCUGGAGUGAACGAUUUUCUCAUAAUUUACUUGUCGUGAAAGACUUUCAUUCGUUGCUUGUAAAUCUUGGCAUUUUCAUAUGCGUCAUUACGAAUUUCUUCAAGUUCUGCCAGUUGUAAUCUUCUUUCUGAGCUGGCUUGCUGCAUGUCAAAGUUGAAUUUCUUGAUGGCCCAAUAUGCACGAUGCUCGAGUUCCACAGGUAGGUGGCAAGAUUUUCCAUACACUAGCCUGUAGGGUGACAUCCCAAUCGGGGUCUUGAAAGCCGUUCUAUAUGCCCAUAAUGCAUCAUCAAGUCUUAAUGACCAAUCUUUUCUGUCUAGCCUCACCGUCUUUUCUAAUAUGUGCUUUAUUUCUCGAUUGGAGAUCUCAACUUGGCCACUGGUUUGUGGAUGAUACGGGGUCGCCACUUUGUGUGUGAUUAAAUACUUUGUCAAAAGAGCUUUGAAUGCUUUGUUACAAAAGUGGGCACCACCAUCACUGAUUAUUGCUCGAGGGAAUCCAAAGCGUGAAACAAUGUUGCUUUUCAAAAAUCCUAUCACCACCUUGUGAUCAUUGGUUCUACAUGGAAUUGCUUCCACCCAUUUCGAUACGUAGUCAACACCAACCAAUAUGUAUUAAUGGCCAAAAGAAGGGGGAAAGGGCCCCAUGAAGUCGAUACCCCAUACGUCAAAAUCUCAACCACUAAAAUUGGAUUUAGUGGCAUCAUGUUCCUUCGUGUAAUGCUCCCCAUUCGUUGACACCUAUCACAUGAAGAACAGAAAGUGUAAGCGUCUCGAAAUAUAGUUGGCCAAUAGAAACCACAUUGUAAAACUUUAGUCGUUGUUUUCUUAGCACUGAAAUGGCCUCGACAAGCUUGUUCAUGGCAGAAUGAAAGAAUAUUCUGAAUUUCAUUUUCAGGGACACAUCGUCUAACAAUUUGGUCUGCACAAUACUUGAACAAAUAUGGGUCAUCCCAAAAGAAAUUCUUUAUUUCCGCAAAGAAUUUAGCCUUGUCUUGCUUGGUCCAAUGCUCUGGAAGUUGACCUGUAACAAGAUAAUUAACUAUAUCAGCAUACCAAGGUAAUACUUCCACACUCAUUAAUUUUUCAUCUGGAAAUGACUCAUUCAAUAUUAAUGGCUCUAUAAUUGUGUCAAAAUGGAGACGAGAGAGGUGGUCCGCCACAACAUUUUCUGUCCCUUUCUUAUCUUUGAAUUCCAAGUCAAAUUCCUGCCAAAGUAACACCCAAUGAAUUAAUCUAGCUUUUGCAUCUUUCUUUGUGAGAAGAUAUUUAAGAGCAGUAUGAUCUGUGAACACAAUUAUUUUACAACCAAUGAGAUAAGAUCGAAAUUUUUCUAAUGUAAACACUACUGCUAGCAUUUCUUUUUCAGUAGUUGAAUAGUUCAACUGUGCAUCAUUCAAUGUCAUACUAGCAUAGUAAAUAACAUGGGGAAUUCGAUCAACUCAAUGUCCUAAUACCGCUCCUACUGCAUAAUCAGAUGCAUCACACAUGAGCUCAAAUGGUAAGCUCCAGUUUGGGAGCUGAAUGAUGGGUGAUGAUAUCAACAACUGCUUCAAUUUUUCAAAUGCCACAAGACAUGAAUCAUUAAAGACAAAAGGUACAUCCUUAGCAAGUAGAUUGCAUAAGGGUCUAGAAACUUUGCUAAAAUCUUUAAUGAAACAUCUAUAGAAACCAGCAUGCCCAAGGAAAGAUCUUACUUCUCUGAUUGUUUUAGGUGGAGGAAGAUUAGAAAUGAGAUCCACCUUGGCUUUGUCAACCUCAAUACCUUUGCUCGAAAUGAUGUGACUGAGAACAAUACCUUGUUUUACCAUAAAAUGGUACUUCUCCCAAUUCAAUACUAAGUUCUUCUCGGUACAUCUCUGCAGAACUAGCGUUAGAUGAUGUAAACAUUGAUCAAACGAGUCACCAAAGAUAGAAAAGUCAUCCAUAAAGACUUCAAGGAAUCGUUCAACCAUAUCAGAAAAAAUGCUUAACAUGCAUCGUUGAAAUGUAGCAGGUGCAUUACAUAAUCCAAAUGGCAUUCUCCUAUAUGCAAAAGUGCCAAAAGGGCAAGUGAAAGUAGUUUUCUCUUGAUCUUUUGGUGCUAUGGGAAUCUGAUUAUAUCCUAAGUAGCCAUCUAGAAAGCAAUAAAAUUCAUGGCCUGCUAAUCUAUCAAGCAUUUGAUCGAUAAAAGGUAAAGGAAAAUGGUCUUUACGUGUGACAGAAUUCAACUUUCUAUAAUCAAUGCAUACACGCCAUCCUGUAAUUACUUUAGUUGGUAUCAAUUCAUUAUCAGCAUUCGUAACUACUGUGACUCCUGACUUUUUGGGGAUAACUUGUACAGGACUGACCCAUGAACUAUCAGAAAUUGGGUAAAUGAUACUUGCGUCUAAUAGCUUAAGGACUUCGGUUCUAACAAUUUCUUUCAUAUUAGGAUUUAACCGACGUUGCAUUUCCCUAGUAGAUUUAGCAUUUUCAUCAAGGUGAAUGUAAUGCAUGCAGUCUACUGGGUUUAUACCUUUUAUGUCCGCUAUGGUCCAUCAUAAUGCUCAUUUGUGCUCUUUUAAAACAUCCAACAACUUACCUUUUUUUUCGUCAUUUAGGGAUGAUGAGAUGAUUACCGGCAAAGUACUUUCUUCUCCCAAAAAUGCAUAUUCCAAUGUGUUGGGCAAUGGUUUGAGCUCAAGUUUUGGUGGUGAGUCUGAUGAUGGGAUGAGUUUCUUCUCUGAUGGUGCUAGUUGUUCAACUCUUGACUUCCAUUUGUUAGUGUCCAUGGAUGCUGCAGAGUCAAGUAAGGCGUUGACCUCAUCGACCGAUCUGUCAAUAUCAAAAUCCAAACCAAAGUGAGUUAAACAUGUUUGUAAAGGAUCAUCACUAAGGUUUGAAAGAAAAGUAUUAUCAACUAUUGUUUCUAUUAAAUCCACAUUAACAAUUCCAUCAUCUGCACUGUGAGGUUGUUUGGAAAUGUUGAAAAUGUUUAGCUCCAUAGUCAUGUUGCCGAAGGACAACUGCAUAUUUCCAGUCCUGCAUUGAAUGUGAGCAUCCGCAGUUGCCAAGAAAGGUCGGCCUAGGAUAAUGGGGAUGUGCUUCCUUGAAUCCUGUAUUGGUUGAGUGUCAAUUACAAUGAAAUCAACAGGAAAAUAAAACUUGUCUACCUGGAUAAGCACGUCCUCCACAAUACCACGAGGUAUUUUUGUGGACCGAUCUGCAAGCUGUAACACCAUUGGAGUUGGGUGUAAUUCUCCAAGUCUAAGUUUCAUAAAUACAGAGUAAGGCAACAAAUUUACACUAGCUCCUAAAUCCAACAAAGCAUUCUCAAUUGUGUGGUUCCCUAUACUACAUGAGAUAGUGGGGGAGCCUGGGUCUUUGCAUUUUAGAGGGAUUUUAUGUUAGAGUAUAGAACUAACGUUUUCUGUUAAAAAUGCCUUCUUUUGAACAUGAAUGUUUCUCUUUUUAGUACAAAGGUCUUUAAGAAACUUGGCAUAAGAUGGAACUUGCUUUAUAGCAUUAAGUAAAGGGAUGUUAACACUUGCCUGUUUGAAGAUUUCGAGAAUCUCACCUGUGGAUUUUCCCUUCUUUCCUUUCGCUAACCUCUGAGGAAAUGGAGCUUUAGGAACAUAUUCUCGCAGGUUGGUUUCUUCUUUCUCCUCCGGUGGUGAGUCCUCAGCAUUUACAGGUACAAUUUGAUUUUCUUUUGUCACCGGCAUCUCCACUUUGUUGUCAAUUUCUUUUCCUUUUCGCAAGGUCAUGACUGCUUUGACUUCUCCAUGCUGCUGUGGUGAACUGGUAUUUGCUUCAUGCACUCCUUUAGGAUUAGGCACUGGUUGACUUGGAAACUUGCCUUUCUCAACAGUCAUUGCCAAGGUCUGAACUGAAGAAGCAAGUUGUCCCACCAUCUUCUCGAGGCUUGAAACUGAUUGGGCUUGUGAGUUGAAGCCCGCUCUCAACUCAUUUCGUAGUCCAUCAAUGGUGCGGUUCUGUUGCUCAAUCGUAGAGUGAGUAACAUUCUUGAGAUUAUGGAAUGAAUCCUCCCAUGGUCUGGGUUGAGAGUAGUUCUGGUUCUGAUUGUAUUGUUUGAAUAGUGGUUGAGCGGCUUGAGGAUUUUGAGGAAUUGGUUGCAUUGGUGGAGCUGGAGCUGCUGGUCCAUUCUGUUGGAAUCCUUGAGACCAUGAAAAAUUGGGGUGAUCUCUCCAUCCAGGGUUAUAUGUGUUGGAGUAUGGGUUGUAAUUCGAUGGUUUUCUCAUUACACCUAUAACAUUGGCUUGAUCGGAGUAUGAGUCAUGGUCAUGUGGUUCUGUUGAUUUAGCAGUCGAUAACGAUGCUAUUUGUCGAGCGAGACCUUCAACCAUCUCCUUGACUUCUUUGAUUCCUGAAGUUGACUCGCCAAUGUGAACCUCAUUUACUCCCUUAAUUCUUCUAGUAUUCCUGAGUGAACGACUCCGUUGUUGGGAAUUAUCCGCUUGUCGCUGGAAGAAUUCCCAAAUCUCUGAUGCACUUUUUGACAUUAGCUCUCCUCCACUUGUUGCCAUUAGCCAUUCUUGCACAUUCGGCAAUAAUCCCUCCAAAAAGUAUUGGCAUUGGUGCCAUUUCUCGUACCCAUGAUGUGGACAUUUCAAGAGUAGCCCAUUGAAUCGCUCCCAUGUUUUGAAAAAUUGCUCAUCUUCUCUCUGUGUAAACUCUGAAAUUUCCCUGCGAAUAGCAUUGGUUUUAUGCACUGGGAAAUAUUUAUUCAAAAAUUUUGUUACCAUUUGUUCCCAUGAUGCAAUGCUAUUAGCAGGCAAUGUAUUAAGCCAUGAACGAGCUCUAUCCUUUAAAGAAAAUGGGAAUAGUCUAAGUUUUACAUCAUCAUCUGAAAAAUUCUCAUAUUUAAAUGUUUGACAAAUAGCACGAAAAUCAUUCAAAUGAUUAUAUGGGUCCUCAUUUUCUAAGCCAUAGAAUGUGGGGAGACAAUUUAGCACACUAGGUUUUAGUUCAAAACUCCUAGCAGCUACAUUUGGGUAUCUUAUACAUGAUGUGCUCAAAUUAGCUAAGGGACUAAAAUAGUCCUUAAAUGGCCUCUCCUGUGGUGCUUGUAAAUCCAUUCCAAAUUUAUUUUUAACGUGCUUGUGUGUGCGAAGUGUUUUUUUUAGUUCAAGAUCUAUAGGUUCAAGAUUAGGUAAUAAUGACCUACGACCAUGCAUGCAAGGAAAAAAAAAUAAACGGGAACAAAACAAAUAAAAAUAAAGAGGAAGGAGAAAUUACGAUACUAACCUUAUUGCGCUAUUACAACCUUACUAUAAAAAUACACAAAAAAAAUACGUGAAAUAAAUUAACUAAAAAGAAUUAGUAAGAUAAACAAAAAUUACAAAGAAAAAAAAAUAACUUGAAAAUUAAAUUACAGAAAUUUAAAGAAGAGAAAAAGAAAAGAAAUACUAACCUCUAAAUGCAGAUUCACUUUUUUUUUUCUUUUUUUUUAAAAGAAAAUAAAUACAAGAAAACAAUUAAAUGGAAUUAUUCACAAAAAAUUAUUUCUAUGAAUUAAAAUUACUUACCUCCCCGGCAACGGCGCUAAAAACUUGUUGUGCAAAUUUUAAUGUACUCGCAAGUGCACGAAUCUAUUGUAGUAUAGAUCAAUGGUGACGAGUGUCGAUCCCACGAGGAGGUGGAUUUUAAUUGUGUGUAGAAUUAAUUUUGUAAAUGGGUGAUUGGAUUUGUGGUGGAAAUAAAAUGGAAUAUAUUAAAACUUAAAUUAAAAUGGCGAGAAUAAAUUCUAAAAUUGGAAUUGAAAUGGCAAGAAUAAAUUGAAGAGAAUUCUAUUGAAAUGACGUACUUGGGUAUCUGGAUCCGUAUCAACAUGCAUCAUGGGCUAAAUAAUCCUUAUUAAUGCCAAUUAAAUCAUGAGGGGGGAAUCCACACCUCAUGAACCACGCUCUAAUCAAUAUGGUGCUAAGGGCUUAUCGUGCCAAAUAAUAAUAACCUUGUACUAGGGGGCAGGUGAAACCAAGGCGGUACUAGACAAGAUUAGUAUUAUUUGUCAACGACAAGUCAAAACAUCCACAAAAAUUAGAGGGGAAGAGAAAGUAAAUUUACCAAAUAAAGCCCAUGACACAUGUUGAGACUUCACCUUCAACCCAAGUUUGAAAGAAAAUUAGCCACUCAUAAUUGAACUAGGGGCAAAAUGGAAAUUUAUUAAAAUACGUAGAAAAUACAAGGUGGAGAAGGAAUUACAGAAAAUGGAUCCCAAAAAUGGAUUCAAAGAUAUCAAAUUAGGGGGGGGAGGGCCCCCUUUUUAUAGAUACAUCGAGUAAAUCAUGGCCAUCGGAUUAAAAACAGUUUGGACGCUCAGGAUUGUGCCACGUCAUCAGUCAACAGUACGCGUGAAUAGUACACGGUUUGACCACGCGGAUGAACAGUAACACAGUUUGAGCCGGGUGAACAAUGACGCGGUUGGGUUGAAAAUAAUCCUGUGUGAUGCAUGUACCGUACACGAGAUUUUUCGUCCACUGAUAUGCUGCCACGUCACCAUCAACAGUACAUAAGAAUUUUAGCCCAACAGGAUCAUGACACCUCAUCAGUCAAUGCCACAUCAUCGGUCAAUGCCACGUCAUCGAUCCGUCUAUGUGAACAGUGUCAUGAACAGUAACGUAGACAGUACCGUACACGUGAAUACUACGUACAUGUGAAUAGUGCCAUUUUUCCUUUUAUGCUCCUCCUAAGGUUUUCGACCGUCCUGAGUUCAAAAGUGAUGUCCGUUUUGCCAUCUGAUCUCUCGUUUAUUGUGAAAUGACUAUGAUGCCCCUAAAAUACAUAAAAUACUUAAUUAAAAUAAAACACACGGAAUUAAAUCAAAAGAAGGUUAAAUUCAUAAAAGUAAAGGUGUUAGUAAAACUUGUAGUGUAAAAUGACGAUUUUCUCCUUUAUAAAUAUACAUUUUCUAACACUCAACACUAUGCUCAGAUCAAGUAAUAAGAAGAUGUGUUGCAGCAGAAGAAAUACCUCAUAUACUGGAGUCAUGUCAUGCUGCGGCAUAUAGAGGACAUUUUGGUAGUCACAGAACAGUUGCCAAAGUUAUGCAAUCAGGUUAUUAUUGGCCCACUAUUUUCAAAGAUGCUUAUGAAUUUGUUAAAUGUUGUGACAGGUGUCAAAGGACAGGGAACAUAACUAGAAAACAUGAAAUGCCAUUGACCAACAUCCUGGAAGUGGAGGUUUUUGAUGUAUGGGGAAUAGACUUUAUGGGACCCUUCCCACCAUCUUUUGGGAACUUAUAUAUCCUUGUUGUUGUGGAUUAUGUCUCCAAGUGGGUAGAAGCUGCAGCAUUACCUACCCAUGAUGCUAAAACAGUGGUAACUUUUCUUCAAAAAAAUGUGUUUUCCAGGUUUGGCACUCCUAGAGCAAUUAUUAGUGAUGAGGGCACACAUUUUUGCAACAAAGUAUUUGCUGCAGCAAUGGUAAAAUAUGGAGUCAGACACAAGGUAGCUACAGCAUAUCAUCCACAAUCUAAUGGUUAGGCUGAAGUGUCAAAUAGAGAGAUAAAAAAAAUCUUAGAAAAAGUGGUGAACCCAACAAGGAAGGAUUGGUCUUUACACUUACAUGAUUCUCUAUGGGUCUACAGAACAGCAUACAAAACCCCACUCGGCAUGUCCCCUUACCGAAUUGUUUAUGGAAAGGCUUGUCAUUUGCCACUAGAACUAUAGCAUAAAGCACAUUGGACACUGAAGAAAUUAAAUUGGGAUAUGCAUGCUGCAGUAGAGCAAAUGAAACUUCAACUUUGUGAACUUGAUGAAUUACGGCUAUUUGCAUAUGAAAAUGCAAGAAUCUAUAAGGAGAGGACAAAACAAUGGCACGACAAGCAUCUUCAACACAAGAAAUUCAACCCUGGUCAAUUAGUGUUGCUCCACAAUACAAGACUAAGAUUAUUUCUGGGAAAGCUCAAGUCAAGAUGGUCAGGCCCGUUUAAGCUGCUCAAAGUUUAUCCUCAUGGAGCUGUUGAUCUUUUAGAUGAACAAACAGGCCACGAGUUCAAAGUUAAUGGACACAGGGUUAAGCACUACAUACAUCCAGUAGCAGAAUAUUCAAAGGAGGUGUUACUCCUUCAAGAACCUAGCUACUGAACAAAGAAGGAAGGUCAGGCUGAAGGACCUUAAAUCAAGCGCUUCAUGGGAGGUAGCCCAUUGAGGAGAUAGCCACUUCAAACCAAUUUUGAUAUCCUUUGGUUUUGGAGACAACCCUUCCUCUUUACCAUUUUAUUUAAUCUUGUUUUUCCAUGAUUAACCAUUUAUUUUUUUUCUAUCCUUUUUCAUUAUUGCAUACUUUAUUUUUACAUUAAUUUGAUAUAUCAAUUUCUUUUAAUAAUUUUAGACUUAAAUUUAGUUCUUUUUUUUUUUAAGAAAGCGUGAAAAUUGAAGUCCAUAUUGACAAGUGAGAGUGUAUGGUGGCAGAAUUCAGAGGUGAACCACGUGUCAAAAGCCUUAGUGUGGAGUAUGUAUCUGUUAUCAGAAUAAGCGAAUAGGUGCUGCAGCAACUAAUCUUACCGUUACAGUAAAUUAAAAGCUGGAGCCUUUCACUUACCAUUGGAGAUAAAAUCGUGACAGAUGGACGCAUGGAUAUGGAUAGAAAUUGGAAAACAAAUCUCCGAAAUUAAAGCUUUAAUUUCACUGGCUGCUAAUUUUGGGGAUAUGCACAUUUAACUCAAAUAUUUUAUUCCCUCAAUUAGCUCUAGUUACCGUAUUUAUCUUCAAAUUAAAGUCCAUUAUAAAAAGGAGUCACUGUGCUUAGUACUCUACGCCACUAUUCCCCAUCUCCUUCGCAAAUCCAACUCUCCUAAUUCUUAACCUCGUUUUCUCUUUUUACUCUCAGGAACAGUAGUUUCAAUUUGUUACUGCUACAGCAAUGCCGAGAUAUAAGAAAACAGCAAGUCACCUCAAAGAUCCGUCACGCUUCCAGAGUUACCAGCCGAAGAAAAAUAUGAAGAAUUCAUAGAGCCGCGUAAGAUUCUGGAAGAGAAAGGGUUUCAAUUCCCAGAACAACUCACUGGAAUCGUACAAACAAUUCAUAAUGCUGCAACAAAGCGAGGAUGGUUAGAGUUUUGCAAUCACCCUCGUGAUCCUGUGCUUCAAGUAGUCAAAGAAUUUUAUGCUAAUUUGGUAAGCCUUGAUCAGCACAACAUCUGGGUAAGAAACACACUUGUUCUAUUAGACUCCCAUGUUAUCAAUACUUUUUAUAAUUUACCUGCUGAAAUUACUUGUGAGUAUGCUAAAUUGCGGGAUAAGUUAACCCCAAAAAAGUGGACCACCAUUUUUACAACUCUUACCAUCGAAGGGGUAUCAUGGGCUAACGAGGAAGGGCGUGUAGUUAAUAGGAUAGAUUUGAAACCUAUUGCUAAGGUGUGGGUAAAUUUUUUGAAAUUUAGGCUUAUGCCCACCACUCACACUACUACGGUUUCCCAAGAGAGAUUGGUUUUGCUAUAUGUCCUUAUUCGAGGGCUUCCCAUAGAUGUGGGUAGCAUCAUUGCAAAAGAAAUCUGAGAGUGUGCAGUCAAGACUCACCGAACUGCUGCCUUGCUAUUUCCUUCACUUGUCACUAGCAUUUGUGUAGUUUCAGGUGUUCGUCUUAAAGCCAGAGAUGAUCAUGUCAAGAAUGAUGGUGCCUUUACGACACGUACAAUUGAGAGAGUUGCUGGCGAGAGUGCUGGAACAACCACUGAACCAGCUGCUGUAAUAGGCGCAAGACGCACUAUUGGCUUAGACUAGACCAUCCAGGCACUCAGCACCAGUAUCACUCAAUGUGUGGAAGCUCAGCAGAGGGAAAAUGGUCGGUUUUGGAGUUAUCUACAACACCUGGAUAACCAACUACACCAAUUUGCUUUGUACAUGAAGCACACUCACUGAAACUUCUCUGCUUUCUUGCUCCAGCAGUACAAUUUUGACACCAACACCCCAGGUGCUCCAGCAGAAGCCAUUGAAGAAGCCACUGCUACAGAUGAACCAGUAGAACAAGUUGAAACUGAACCACCAGUAGAAGUUGAAUCAGAAGAUGCUGAACCAUCUGACCCACCUGAGGACGAAGGUGACAAGUCUGAGACUGAUAGCUCACCCCAGAGGUAGAGGACACUUCGGAGCAAGAACGUGAGGAACUAACCAUCCCAACCCAAUCCAAAACUAGGAAGCAGCACAUUAUUCAAGAAGAGAAUGAGGAAGACCUUGAUGUGGAACCGUCUAUUCCAGUUUUUGUAGGCAAAGGAAAGGACAAGGGAAAAGCAAAAAUGGCAACACCUCCAGCCUCUAAAGAUGAGAUGGAGCAAGUCGAUGCUGAGAUAGUUGCUGCAGCAGCCAGAGCUAUGCCUACAUCUGAGCAAGCCAAGCAACUACUUGCGGUAAUUGCUGCCAUCAUAGUUGAGGGCCAGGCCGCCGAUGCAUUGACUCAAAAGCCUCUACAGCAAACUCCUAGCCAACCUAUCCGCACCAUUCUAAGACAAUCCAGCAAAAAAAAAGGCAGUACGUCUACAGGUACUGCUACAGCAACCCCAGCUACAACUCCUCUCACCAGCCCCGCAGCGAAAAAGACAAAGACAUUGCCAGCCACCUCCCCAAAAGCUUCACCAAAAGAUAAGCUGCGCAGUGCCUCCAAGAAGCGUUGAUAACAACAUGUCAUGUGCUGCAGUCCCCACCACAGGGGAGUACUCUUAUCUCCCUAGUUUCUUUCUUUAUAAAAAAAAAAAAAAAUUUGUUUGUCAAUUUGUGUGCCUUUGUUAUGUUUGCUUGUGAGGACACAACAACUCUCAAGUUUGGGGGGGUUGUGUUCCCGUAUGCAUGUGUUUAUGUUUGUGUGGUGUGGAGCUCUAUUAUCCAAUAUUUGUGUAUGGAUUUGAACACCUAAUGAAGAUAAAUUGAGUGCUAUUCUAUAUAUAUAUGCCAAGUAGAGAUGGUUAUAGAUGAAAGUGAAAUUCUGUCUCGACACUUAGACUUUGGUUGAAUUGUAUGAGACUGUUAGAGCAAAGCCAAAAGAAGAGAAAAGAUUUCAAGUUUGGGGAGGGGGGGGGGGGAGAAGCAAGUUUGAAUAACUGUGAUAUCUAUGGAAUACAAGCUGUUCCAAUGGCUCAAGUUGCUGAGUAACCAGAUCUGAGUAUGUACUGCAUAUGCAGACUUGUGUUCAAAGGUAGCGAGAGUUAUGAGCAAUGUUGUAGCAUAUAUAUAUAUAUAAGAGAAAUCCUCUAUCUAAAGCAUUGAGUAACCAGGUCUGUUCAUGAGCCCCAUGUUCAACCUUGAGUAAAAGAUACCUCUAGAUAAGAUUACAUUACAGUUAUUGCUGUAGUAACUCUAAUCUGGGCAUGGUUUGAGUAAUUGGGUGUCAUCAUUACAAUUGAUUGACAUUCACAUGAAAGAUAAAUGUUACAGUGAGGAGGUGAAAUAUUCCCUAGUCUGUCAAUCCUAAAAUAAUCACAGUUGAGUAUGUGAAAGUUAUGAUUACCCCAUUUAUGAAUGAAGUGUUCUCACUGCUGACCUUCAUGCAAUCCCUUGGUGAUGCUAUAGCAUAUCUAGAAUUCAAUCGAAAGAAGCACACACACACUAUGGACAGAAAGAAGCUUAAGUCUAGGACUAAUUUACUAUGGUCAUCUUGUAUGGUUAAGAAUAUGAUCUGAAGGUGGAAGAAUCUUUGCAAAGUUGAUAAAAGAACUAAAUUUGUGUGAAUGAUUAUUUGUGUGAAGUGUUAGUAUGUGUCAUUACUUGAGGACAAGUAAUAGUUUAAGUUUGGGGUAUAAUAACUCUAGGAAAUAAGAGUUACUACUUCAAUUCUAGACUGGAAUCAAGAUCAUUUAGAGAGCAAAUAAGGUGUUUUUAUUACAUUUUGGUUACCUUUUGCAUAAAUAUUCAUUUUAGUUGGAUCUUAAUAAGUUUUGCUUAAAUCAAAUAAUUUGUGCUAAAAACAGGUGCGUAAUUGUAGGGUUUAAAUUCAUGAGAAGGAUGCGGAGACAUUAGAUGAGCAAGAGGAGGAAAGAAGAUGGCCAAAAAAGAAGAAAAGCACAAUCGAGAAUAAUGCAGUGCUAUUGUGGAUAUUAGAACAACCAGUGCUGCAACAAUUUGGGAGCAAUACAGGAGAAAGCUUAAAGCGCGGGUUAGCCAUAAAGUCGCGAUCUGCAUGUUUCCUAAUUUAGACGCAUGCAAGCUCAUGGGCUUUGGUUUUUACCCUAAUUCAGAAUAUAAAAAGGAGGCGCGCAUCACAUAGAGAGGGGGCGGAGAGAUUACCAUCCAAGUAAUUAUAAAGGCAAGAAGAAGAAGAAGAAGAUCAAGAUUUAGGAGUGUUGUUCGACAUCAUUGAAGAACCGAGGAGGAUCACUAGUCUUUCGCCGUGCUCAACUCAUAUUAUCUUUCUUCCUUGAAAUUCUUUGGAUGUAUUCUGUGAUCAGUAUAUUUAUGUUUACUUUUCUCAUUCAGAACAUGAACUAAAUUUACUUGUAGUUGAGUGACAAAUAAUCCAAUGGGUUCUUGACUGUUCUUAUAUGUUGUUAUGGUAUUGUUGUAGCAUUAUACUCUAGUAGUUUUUAUGAUUACAACUGUUAUUUUGGUUGACCACCCAUUUAAUAGUUUCAGUUAAGAUAGAGCAGCAAAAGGGCAUAUCUUAGCGUACAUUAUUAGAGUAUUACUUGUUCUUAAGUCGAGUUUCUUGGAUUAGGUUAUCUUGAAUCCUAUAAGGGCAAUACUUGAAGUUAAGAUUUGUGACACUCUAGACAUAGGUGUUCACCUUGUAGGGUAGAGAGAUUAAAGGUUAUUAUGCCGUACCAUAAAUAUAUGAGCAACUGGUCAUUGUUAGUAGAUUUAAAGGUAUGAGAUUUCCAACAUGCGAUAGCUGCGGAUGCAGAUAUAUUCUACCCAUUGCUGCAGCACUUAUUGUAACAACUGGUGCUAAUUCGGUAAACAACAGUCACCCCAUUAGGAGAGUUUGAUCAUUCAACUACUAUAUUCUCAAUUGAAUCUUAGACACAUUUAACUUAGUUUAUUUCAUUACAGUAUUAUUUUAUUUCCAUCUCUCGAAAUUAAUAAUUACGAUAGAAUUAUUUGACAUUUGUUUGUUUCGACCUUUAGUUGAUUUGCAUUAUUGUGAUUGCUUCAACAUUUUGAGCAACAUCAAUCCCUGUAGAGACGAUCUUGAAUACUCAUCACUUUAUUACUUGUUGUGUAUACUUACACAUUGGCAUUGAUAGUAAUUGAUUAUAAUAAAUUACCAACAGUGAGCAGACGACCAAAGUUCCAAAAAGUUUCUAAUGUGUGCAAAGGCUCUAAAGUCUCAAAGCCUGUUUUAUUGCGAGACAGGAAGCCAAGCAUGUCAGGAUCUGCUCGACCAAGCGAAGGCGAGCAGACCACCAAAGUUUCCAGUCUUGAUUCGUUUCACUCUCAACACUAGAAACUGGGGGACGGGUGUUUAUGGAAUGAAAUAGGGUGACCAAGAUAAAGGUGUUUGCUCAUACAUUAUCGUGCUCUCCUCAAAGUAAAAGUGAGCAAAUGAUUGAGCAAAUCACCUCGACCAGGAUGUUGUUUGGUGACCUCGAGCACAUCACCUCGACCAGGAUGUUAUUGGUCACCUCGAUCAGAUCAUCUCAACUAGGAUGUUAUUGGUCACCUCGACCAGAAUAAUAUGUGGUGACCUCGAGCACAUCACCUCGACUAGGAUAUUAUUGGUCACCUCGACCAAAAUAAUAUGUGGUGACCUCGAGCACAUGACCUCGACCAUGAUGUUGUUGGUCACCUCGACCAAAAUAAUAUGUGAUGACCUCAAGCACAUGACCUCGACCAAGAUGUUAUUAGUCACCUCGACCAGAUUAAUAUGUGGUGACCUCGAGCACAUCACCUCGACCAGGAAGUUACCAGGAAGCACGAUUCAGUCAAAAUAUUUUCUCCGAAAUAUUAAGGAUCAUAUUCUUAGUGGGCUGAAAAUUAGUAGUUUUCUUGAGAAUUCAAGGGGAAAGGAUAAAAACCGCUAUAGUUUCCGAUAAAAACCCUUGGAAGGGGAAGGAAAAGGGGGAUUUCUUGGAACUCUCUCUCUCUCUCUGGGCAACUAAACCCAUUGGACCUUUUUCUCUCUCUACUACUGGGAAAUUUCUCUUUCGCUUAUGAUUUCUUUAAGAUUAAUUAUUCUCAAUUAUUUUCCUUUAAAUUUACUUAAAAACUUUUUUGUUUAAAGCAAUCAUAAUUAAGCCACAUGAAUUAUGGUAUGAGUUUUUCCAAGUAAGACCCAAAUUGCUGACUUGAGCGUCGGAGGGUUCUCGCCGAAAAAACUUCCGGCACCUCCUGACUGUUGGUUGUGCUCACGGGCUCACAGGUUAUCUGCUCAUCGAUCGUCUGCUCAUGGAUUGUCUGCUCAUGGGUUGUCUGCUCAUGGAUUGUCUGCUCAUGAGUUCUCUGCUCAUGUAUCAUCUGCUCAUGGAUUGUCUGCUCAUGGAUCAUCUGCUCAUGGAUUGUCUGCUCAUGGAUUGUCUGCUCAUGGGUCGUCUGCUCAUGGGUAGUCUGCUCAUGGGUUAUCUGCUCAUGGAUCGUUUGCUCAUGGAUUAUCUGCUCAUGGAUUGUCUGCUCAUGGAACAUCUGCUCAUGGUGCUAACUAAUCAGCGGCUUCCCACCAAACAAAUUCAAUGCUGAUGCAGGGAUCUAAGAUUCGAUCAACUCAUCUGGAUUUCGGCAUCAACAGUUGAUACAAGUUUUAAGUUAAGGAAAUUAGCAUAUAUAUACAAGAGGCGUAUGAAUUUGAUAACAAGAAAAGAAAAAAUAUAUAGGAGAGUGGAGACUUGCAAAUUGUUAUAUUUCAUUAUUUAGCGAGUUGUCCGAGUAAACGCGUAUAGACUUUUAAAUUGUUAUACGCCGUCGUACUUGAACCGUGAAUAAAGGGCUUAUGGCACUUGACUUACCAAAAAGAAGAAGAUGCUCAACAUUGGCAAGGCCUAUGCAUUAUGUCCAUUUGUUCACGUUUUGCCGAGGCUCAUGGCAACUACAAAAUGUUCUUUUUCUUUCCUCUAAAAAAAAAAAAAAAGAGGCGACCUUCACAUUUGGGCUAAUAAUUAUCAUUAAACAAUUAAUAAUGCUGAGGGUUAGUGGGAAUGUAGCGUUAAAAUAAUUGUUAUUAGUUGUGCUUUAAAAAUAAAGAAAAAAAGAUAGUUGUACCCCCAUAAUUUAAUGAAAUAAUCACGUAAACUCUUAAGUUUUUAACAAUAAACAACAAGACCCCCUUCUAUUACUUUUUACCAUUUAUUUGGAUGUCACAUGCUUCUUCUUUUUCAAUUUUCGCAGUGGAUAUCAAAUGUUAAAUUUACUGUUAUUCCCAUAUCAUGUCAUCGCUUGCUUCUACAUAUAUCGAUUGUUUUCCCAAAAUUUUAAAUUGAAUUAAAAACAUUCCAAUUAAACAAAAAAAAAACACUCAUCCAACCAGAUAUAAAUCUUCUAAUUAACCUAAAGAUAGCUACACCCUGAUGGUUGUCGAAGCCAGCAAAAAUAAAUACCUACUCUAAAUAAAUUGUGUAUAGUGAUUGAGCAGGGUCGUGUCCACAGAGAUCGGUAAUUAUUUAAAUCAUUUUAAAAUGUAAAAUGUAAAAUGAGGGAAUUGUUGACAAUAUUAAAAAUCAAAUUAAAAUAACAAGAGUGCAAAUUAAAAUUGUAAUUCAAAUUGGGAAAAGCUCUGGUUGAAGGAAUUAACUCAGCUUGAUUCGACUACUGAUCAUUGAUUCAAAUAUUAAUCAUAUCUACUUAUGAAUAGAUCGGUUAUAGCUACUGAGGCCCUCUAAUAGCCAAUCUCUCCUUAACUAGUCGAUAACCAAGGUACGACCGUUGGUUAUUUCCCUAAUCAAUAGACAACUCUAGAUACGAUCAUAGGAUUUAAUUAAUUGACAGCCUGAAAAACCAGAGAGACCCAAAUCCUAAUCAACAAACGCAUACGAUGGUUCAUUUAAAUUAGAUUGUUUAUUCUCAUAACACAGCGCACUGUUAUGCUAUUUGUCACAAACAUUAAAAUCUGCAUACGAUGAAUCUUUUAGUUGACAAUUGAUUAAGUUGAUAAUUAAAUAGUGGCCAAUUAUCUAAUUAACAAACAUAAUCAUGACAAUAAUUCAGAGAAUAAACAAAUACCCAAAAAGUAAUAAAACAAUUAAAGCAUAAGAAAAAUCUCACAGUAGUGACGAAUCAAAGCUUCAUUAACCUUCAACCAGAAUAAUAGGUUUAGUUUUUCAUAGAGAGAAGAGAAAAAUUUAGAUCUAUGAUUUUUUUUUUUACAAUAGAUUCCCUCAUUCAAUUCUCUCUCCCCUCUUCUCCUCUAGAGUUCCUUUUCAAAUCAAAUACUAAUAUCCAAAAAUAUUAUCUAAAUAGUAAAUUCGAAAUUACAAAAAUUACCAAAAAGACAAAACACGUUAAACUAAAAACUGCAAGUCCGUAGUUGACAACACGCGCCCACGCCUUAUCAACAAAGUUCUUCUGAAGCUCAAUUUUAGCACCAAUCAAUAGAAUUGCACCUACAAAAAUAAAACACAAGUAAAUCACUAUUAUUAAGUGCAAAACAUCGAUAUUAAAGGAAGUAAACAAUCUCCUUGAUACUUGAGAUUCCAGGCGGCUCACUGUAGUCGCCAAUUGACUCAUUUGGUUUUCUAAAUUUUGAAUGCUUGUUGUAGUUGCCUGCUGAAAUUGUUGAGUGUUAGUUGUAAGUGAUUUAACAAUUUCUUCAAGAGAUAUACCUGACUUUGAGUUUAACUGUGGAGGGGCUGGUUGUCUUGGUGGGUAUUGUUGUGGGAAUCCUGACGGCCUAACUCCAUAGCUGAAGUUGGGAUGAUCCUUCCAUCCCGGAUUGUAUGUUUGUGCAUAAGGAUCAUACCUCCUCUGAGGCAUGCCUGGAAAUCCUCCAACUGCAUUGGCUUGUUCAACGGGUUCUUUUUGAAGUGUAGGACACAUAUCAGUUGAAUGACCCAUAUUAGAACAAAUGCCACAAGUCUUCACCUGUUGCACAUUACCUACAACAAACGUUUCCACAAGAGAAGUAAGUUUAUCUAAAUGUUGUUCAAUAGAAGAAAUAUUUACCUCAUUCACCUUCCUUGAAUUGGGAUCUUGCCUACUGCCAAACUGUUGUGCAUUAGCAGCCAUAUUUGAGAUCAACUCUCUUGCUUGAGUAGGGGUCUUGUCACCAACACACCUCCACUAACAACAUCUAUCAUACUCCUAUCCAUCAAUGACAGUCCUUCGUAAAAGUAUUGAAUAAGAAGUUGAUCAGAAAUCUGAUGCUAAGGACAACUGGCACACAAUUAUUUGAAUCGCUCCCAAUACUCAUACAAAGUCUCCCCAGGAAGUUGUCUGAUCCCACAAAUAUCUUUUCUGAUGUUGGCAGCUCUUGAAGCAGGAAAGUACUUCUCAAGGAACUGAUUCUUCAAACCAUUCCAUGUUGUAAUCGAUCCAGGAGACAAGUAGUACAACCAGCCUUUACCUAGCCCAUCUAAAGAGAAAGGAAAAGCUCGCAGCCUAAUCUGCUCUUCAGUCACGCCUUGUGGUCUCAUACUUGAACAUACAACAUGAAACUUCUUGAGAUGUUUAUGAGGAUCUUCACCUGCAAAACCAUGAAACUUGGGUAAUAAAUGAAUAAGACCAGACUUUAAUUCAAAAUUUACCUCCAAGUCUACAUAUUGAAUGCAGAGUGGUUGCUGAUUCAAGUUUGGUUCAACUAACUCUCUAAGAGUUCUUUCUACAGGUGCAACUCUAUCCAUUACUUGUUCUUCUGAAUCGUUAGAUGAUUCAACCAAAUCAAGCACCAUAUUUGUUUCAGAAAGCAAAGGCGACGAGGAUCGUUGCUUAGCUCACUUCGUCUGCUGUCUCAGUUGGCGAGCUGUCUUCUCAAUUUCAGGAUCAAACGAAAGUGUACGUAUACGAGAAGGACGAACCAUACACCAAGUAAAACGUAAAAAGGAUUAAAUAAACGACGCCAAUCCCCGGUAACGGCGCCAAAAUUUGAUGGUUGUCGAAGUCAGCAAAAAUAAAUACCAACUCUAAAUAAAUUAUAUAUAGUGAUUGAGUAGAGUCGUGUCCACAGAGAUCGGUAAUUAUUUAAAUCCUUUUAAAAUGUAAAAUGCAAAAUAGGGGAAUUUUUGACAAUAAUAAAAAUCAAAUAAAAAUAACAAGAGUGAAAAUUAAAAUUGUAAUUCAAAUUGGGGAAAGCUCUGGUUAAAGGAAUUAGCUCAGCUUGAUUCGACUACUGAUCAUUGAUUCAAAUAUAAAUCAUUACUACUUAUGAAUAGACUGGUUAUAGCUACUGAGACCCUCUAAUAGUCAAUCUCUCCUUAACUAAUCGAUAACCAAGGUACGACUGUUGGUUAUUUCCCUAAUCAAUAGACAACCCUAGAUACGAUCAUAGGAUUUAAUCAAUUGACAGCUUGAAAAAUCAGAGAGACCCAAAUCCUAAUCAACAAACGCAUACGAUGGUUCAUUUAAAUUAGAUUGUUUAUUCUCAUAACACAACGCACUGCUAUGCUAUUUGUCACAAACAUUAAAAUCUUCAUACGAUGAAUCUUUUAAUUGACAAUAGAUUAAGUUGAUAAUUAAAUAGUGGUCAAUUAUCUAAUUAACAAACAUAAUCAUGACAAUAAUUCAGAGAAUAAACAAAUAUCCAAAAAGUAAUAAAAUAAUUAAAGCAUAAGAAAGAUCACACAGUAGUGACGAAUCAAAGCUUCAUUAACCUUCAACCAGAAUAAUGGGUUUAGUUCUUCAUAGAGAGAAGAGAAAAAUUUAGAUCUAGGGUUUUUUUUUUUUACAAUAGAUUCCCCCCUUCAAUUCUCUCUCCCCACUUCUCCUCUAGAGUUCCUUUUCAAAUCAAAUACUAAUAUCUAAAAAUAUUAUCUAAAUAGUAAAUUUAGAAUUACAAAAAUAACCAAAAAGACAAAACACGUUAAACUAAAAACUGCAGGUCCGUAGUUGACAGCACGCGCCCAUGCCUUAUCAACAAAGUUCUUCUGAAGCUCAAUUUUAGCACCAAUCAAUAGAAUUGCACCUACAGAAAUAAAACACAAGUAAAUCACUAUUAUUAAGUGCAAAACAUCGAUAUUAAAGGAAGUAAACAAUGCAAAACUAGUGCAUAAAUUGCACUCUAACACACUCCCAUAUUAAUUCCAAUUAAAUAAAUCUUCAUUUUUGUCAUGAUUUUGGAUCUCGAGCAGGGUGGAUAUAUCCAACCAGAUCCGGCCCGUUGGCAUUCCAAUAUAUUCUGGAGUUGGAAUAAUAACUUAAUGUGUAAUUGCAAAUUUUUAACGUUUAAUUCUAAUUUGAGGAUUCAAAUGAAUUUAUGCGGAUCUAAAAGGGGACUGAAGAUUGGCAUGCAUACAUACAUACAUACAUAUAUUAUACAUAUAUAGAGAGAGAGAGAGAGAGAGAGGUAAUAUAACAUUUUUCUUGAUGAAGAUUUUUGUGCCAUACGAAUUAAAGAGAGUAUUGUGUCGAUGUUGGAGGCUAGAGGGACAACUGAUUACAUUGCUUCAGAGGUGCUUAGUAGAAACUUUGGUGAGGCAUCACAUAAUUUAAAUUACUAGAUUUACCGAGAUAUAUAUAUAUAUAUAUAUUCCACAUUGGAUUUACAAGCAUUUCGAAUAGGAUAAUGAAUGUCAAUUACUCGGAAUUGUAAACAGCGAGGAAAAUGAAAUUGCUAAGAAGAUGAAUAUUGUUGUUUUGUGGUGUAUACGGACUCGUCCAUCGGAUAGGUCGCCCAUGAACAGAGUGAUAGAAAUGUUAUUUCCAAGAAGCACACUGACUAGCAGUGAUGCUUUGAAUAAGUCCACCAAACAUCUUCUCCUCCGAGACCACUAAUAUAUUCUUCCAUCAUUUCAACGUCAUGACGUGGGGAUCAGAAUUGAAUUAUAGGAUGCUUGUAAGUUUCCUUUGUGGAACUUGUGAAUUUGUGAUGGCAAAAGUCGAUGAUGUAUGUAACUUUCUAUCCCGUAUAGGGUCCGUUUGACUCAUAAAUAUUUGUCACUUUCUCUCUUUUCCAAAACCCAAAAGCACGCUAAAGCUUAAUCUUUAAAGAAUUUUUGAUUGAGUGCUGACAUUUUGGGCUUAUCUUUAAGUAAUCUUUUACCACGCAUGCAUUUUUGUCAUUGUGCGGUCAUCGAUUACUUCUAAAGAUCGUAAUCUUUAAGAAAAAAAUUACUUCUCUUGAAAGUGAAAGCUGGGCAGCUAUUGGCGUAUUGCAAUGCAGCUGCUAUGUAUAGUAGUCAAUUCUUGGAAAGAACUAGUUUUCUUAAAUUGUAAAUGGUCCCCUUUAUGACUGGGAGAUUUUGAACAAAAUUAAUAUGAUGAAUUCUUUGCAGGUGUUGUUCCUUGAAGUCUCAUCUUUUAUAAUGUUUCUGAAAUAAAGAUAUUACCUUCUCUGGCUAAAUAUUUACUCUUAAUUUGGACCACUUAAUCUCAACUUGAUGAAAGAUUAUGAUCAUGCCUGAUUUUAUGGAUGUGGUCUUAUCUCACGUAAGUAGCAAUGAAUUAAUUAAAGUUUACUGUCAAAUUACGAACUCAAAAACUGCUGCUGCUUCAUUAUUCACAAUAUCAAAAUUAAAAGCAGAACUUAUUAUAAGCUUUCCGAAAGUUUUACGCUUUCUUUCGCCCAAAUCCCAAGUACUUCUUGUAAUAUCAUUCCCCUGUAGAUGUCUUCCCCUAAGACAUGUUUAACUUUGGUUCAGGGUAACAAAGCUAUAGCUUUUCCUGCCGUGUGCAACAAGCUAUUAAAUUAGAGUAUUUAUUUCUGUAUUACUACUAGUAGUAAGAGAGGCGAAAUGGAAACUUGAAUUCAUGUUUAUACAACAGUUUGUUUAUAAAUAAAUGAGUUGAUAACAAGUCAUUUUAAAUAUUUGCAAAAAAAAAACGGUGAGUGAUGUCUAGUUCUAUUUUCAAUGUUCAGAGUCGAAUUUUGAUUACUGAAAAUUUUAAUUUAUGAAGUUGAACUAAGAAUUUGUUAUAAUAUAUUCCACCUUCCUAUACAGUCAUCUGGAAUAAUAAUAUAUCAAAAACAGUAAUAACUCGAUUUACAUGGUGAGAAAGAAAAGAAAGACGCUACGAGGGAAGCAGAGAUUCAAAGACUUCGCCACUUUGUUGGAGGAACAAUUUCAUAAAUCUCUAGAAUAUUGACAUAAAACACAUACCAUAUCUAGCAUUAAGUGUAUUUAUGUAUGUCCAAAGAUAAAAAUUCGAAGAUUAAAUUUAUCAUUUCAAUUUAUGUUCUGCCCAAAGCAAUGUUUUUUAUUCCACAAGCACAAACAAUAAAGAGUACGCACAAAGUUAACAAACAGACAUAGCAAACGUGACAUCAACUACUUGCAGCAGCAUCAUCCAGAAACUUCACUCUAAUCUUCUUGAGCUUUUCAGCGGCAUCUUUAGUAGAUGCCCCCUGUUCUGGUGAUCCCAUGCAACAAUCCAUUGCCGAAUGCAUGAUGCUUAAUAAACAAUUCAUUUUAAGAGAAAAAACUUGCUCUUCUCUCACCAAGUUUGCAUCGACAACAUCACUCAAUGCACGAGGUAAUGACUCCCUUACCCAGUCUCUUAAACUUAUUUCUCCGGUAAACAUUUCAUUUGUGGGCUUCUUUCUGGUGAAAGUUUCCAUCAAUAAAACACCAUAACUAUAGACAUCACCUUUAGCCGAAAUCAUUCCUUCUAAUCCAUACUCUCCAUUUUUUGGUUUCGAUAGAUCAAAUGGAUAUGACAUCAUAAAACAAAUGGUAAACAAAUAAUAUUUGGACAGUCAAGAUGGCCCAAACUUUGACUGUGCUUAGAAAAGAGCAAAAAUUUGAAAUUAUAAUUAAAACCUUACCUGGUGCCAUAUAACCAAUUGUAGCCACUGUCAUGAUUUGGGUCACAGAAUCUUCUCCAUCAUCUAAGAGUUCCGAGAUGCCGAACUCGCAUGUGCCACCAUAUUUUCAUCCAAGAGAAUGUUGCUAGGCUUUAAAUCACAAUGAAUUACAUGUGCUGAUGAAUGAUCGUGAUGGAGAUAUUUAUGUGCCAGCCCCACAUCUAUCAUUAUAUUCAAUCUCUCUAGGAUAUCUAGGAAAUAAUUGUGAGAACACAAACAUUUCUCAAGACUGCCAUUGAGCAUGAACUCAAGCACCAGUACUUUAGAAUCUGGAUUGCAAUAGCUGCUAGUGAUCUUUAUGAGAUCUUAAUGAUGAACAUUCCACCAUACUUCACAUUCAGAAUCAAAACUCCUAAAGGCUCUCUCUAGCUGCAGAUUGAAAACCUUUAUUACAAUGAUAGUCACAUCAUAAAGUGUGCCUUAAUUAUAAACAGAUCCGAAGCUAUCCGUACCUAGCAGGAUACAUUCAUUAAAUCCAUCAAUUGCUCGUUGAAUAGCAUGAUAGGAUAUUCUUCUCCAUGUUGUCGAAGAGAAAAAAUCUUCUUUAUCUAGAGUUCUUGUUUUCCUGUUCUGAAAUAUUAUGAAGAAUCAUAACAAUCGUUAUUAGUACAUUGGAUAUAAUCGAAGGUAAAGUAUAUUUCAGGACAAGCAGAGUAGCAUUCUUGGAUCCUUUGCUAUUAUCUUCUUUGUAAGGUGGGACUUGAAGUCCUAGUGGAUCACAUAGUGCAUAAUUCCCAAAAACGAUUGAGCUGAAAUGUUUCUAAAAGGUCCUUUGACAGGAAUUCCCCCUUCUAGCCUAUUGUGAGACACAUAAAGUUGUUUGAGAUAUGAGAGUACCUCCAUUGUUACAGAGUAUGAUAAUAUGGUAUAGAUGAGGGCAUCUGAUUAAAUGAAGCAGCUGGUAAUGCUUACGUGUGUUAGUUAGUUAUCCAGCUCAGCAGCAAAGCAAACGAACUGUAUUGCAUGCAUAUUAGAUCCAACAAAUUGUUAAGCUACGACAUUCUUCUCUCAUUUAGUAUAAAUACCAAGUUGUAAUCAUUUGUUAAAGAUAUAAUAAGAUGAUCAUUUUCAGAUCUUUCUUUUAUAAUUUUCUAUCACUUUCUCGUUAGUUUUCUCUUAAACCAAACACUUUGUACGAACUCUUUCAUGGUAUCAGAGCAAACAAAUGGCAAACUCAAAUCAAAAUUUUGGAUCCUAUAGUUUUAUUACUCUAGUAAAACUAGAUCAUAAUAACUUCAUUGUUUGGCGAACUCAAAUCCUUACAUCCAUAAAAGGAAAUGGUUUAGAAGAUUUCAUCAAUGGAAAUCAAGUCUGUCCAGAAAAAUUUUUCUCUGCUACGAGCUAUGUUGCUGGUUUCUCAACUGGAACAGAGAAUCAAGAGAUCAAUCCAGCUUACACAAUGUGGAUAAAGACGGAUCAAUUGAUUCUGAGUUGGAUGUUGUCAUCCAUUCAGCCAAAUCUGCUGACAACAGUGAUCCACUGCUCAACUGCAAAAGAGCUACUGGAUACACUUACAAGUAUGUUUGUCUCUCAGUCCCAAGCUAGAAUAAUGCCUCUAAAAAUGCAGAUCCAAACUCUUAAAAAAGGCUCAAUGUCCAUGAUUGAUUAUUUUGCAAAAAUGAAAAGGAUAUCUGAUAGCUUAGCUUUAGCUGGAAAACCUGUUGAAGUGAAUGAUUUUGUUCAACAUGUUUUAACUGGAUUGGAUUCAUCUGAUUAUGAAUCAUUAGUCACUACUGUGUUAGCUAAAGGAGAUAAUAUCAAUCUUGAUGAGUUUUAUUCAUUGUUACUGAGUCAUGAAAAUCAAGUGGAACAAAAGAGAGGAAAAAUUGCAAGUGAUGUUACACAUAACUUGUCAGCUAAUGUUGCUCAAAAGUAGUUCAAUCCUGGUAAAAAUACCGGUGGCAAUCAAAAGUUUAACACUAGACCUUAUGGAGGAGUUUAUAAUUCUGGAGCUGGAUCUGGUGAUGGUAACUUCUCACAAAUUGUAUAUCAGAUCUGCUUUAUUCCUGGUCAUAGUGCCAAUAAAUGUAGAAAUAGGUUUAAUUCAGCCUUUGUUCCUUCAAGAAAUCAAGGAAGAGGUGGUUUUAAUGGAAAUUUUAGGCCUGGUCAGAGGCAGUAUGGUAGAGGAUUUGGCUAUGCAAAUGGUAAUAGAUCUUCUAUGGUUUAUGGAAAUUUUGGUAGAAACUUUAAUCCUCAAUUUGGUGCUGGAAUUGGUAACUCUCAGUUUGGGAAUUUCAACAUACCAAGAGCACCUGGUUAUCAAGGUCAUUUGAUGUACUCAGAUCCAGCUGCAUUCAAUAUUUACCAACAAACUAACUCUCAUGGUGUUUACUCCCCUGCACAUGCUUUUGUUCCAACUGGAGAUUACUCUGGAUCUCCAUCAUCACUCUCAAUUCCUUCAGUUCCUGCUCCAGCUCAUGCACUUGAGAUGAUUGAAGAUCCAGCCUGGUAUAUUGACAGUGGUGCUACUAACCACAACACAAAUGAUUCAGGUAAAUUACUGGAUCUUAAGCCAUAUGUUGGAACUGACAAAUUGCUUGUUGGAAAUGGUUCUGCAUUGCAUAUUAAACAUAUUGGAUCAGUAUUGCUAGCUACUACUACAAAUAAACCCUUGUGUUUAAACCGUGUUCUUCAUGUUCCAAAUAUUAAAAAGAAUUUACUCAGUGUUUCAAAACUCUUAAUAGAUAACAAUGUGACACUUGAGUUUUUUAAAAAUGUUUGUGUUGUCAAGGCCAGGAACUAAGGGAUCAUUUUGCUUAGAGGAAUUGCAACAGGGGGAUUGUAUCAAGUCUAAUCUGCAGCUCAAUUCUCUAAAACUAGCUCAGCUUUGUCAUGUCAACUUUCUUCCAAUAAACCUCAGUCUUUGUUUGCUUAUCAUUCUCCUUUGUCUAGUGAUGUUUCUUCUGAAAUAAAUAAGAGUACUUCUUUUAAUCAUUUGCUGUGUAAAUCAGCCUUGGCUGUCAAUACUAGUUCAGUUGAUGUCAAUCUUCUUCAUAAAAGGCUAGGACAUCCUGCCUUACACACACUCAAAUCUGUAUGGAAAGCUUGUAAUAGUCACAAUGUACUCAAUAAAACUCCAAAUUUUUGCAAUGCCUGUCAGCAUGGUAAAAGUCAUCUUUUACAUUUUGGAUUUGUUCCAACAAAAACAGCAGCACCAUUACAACUCAUAUAUGCUGAUCUUUGAGGACCAUCACAUGUUGCCUCCACUCAAGGCUAUAUAUAUUACUUGUCCAUUUUAGAUGACUUUAGCAGAUUUACAUGGAUUUUUCCUUUGUCUGCCAAAUCUGAUGCACUUCAAGUUUUCACAGAAUUCAAAUCAUUCAUUGAAAAACACUUACAACAACAUAUCAAAACAGUUCAAACAGAUUGGGGAGGGGAGUUUAGAACCUUUUCAUCAUAUCUCACUUAGUUUGGAAUCCAAUUCAGGCAUCCUUGUCCACAUAUCCAUCAUCAAAAUGGAAGAAUUGAUAGAACACAUAGACACAUAGUUGACAUUGGCCUCACUCUGUUAACUCAAGCUAAUUUGUCACUUAAAUUCUAGUGGAAUGCUUUUCAUACUGCUGUAUUCCUUAUCAACAGACUACCCACACCAACAUUGAUCAACAUUUCACCUUAUCAAAAAAAUUUUCAGCAAGUACCAGAUUAUACAUUUCUUAGAGUCUUUGGGUGUGCUUGCUAUCCUUAUCUUAGACCUUAUAGCAAUCACAAGCUUGGUUUUAGAUCAAACAGGUGUGUCUUUAUUGGGUAUAGCUCUUAUCAUAAAGGGUAUCAAUGUCUUCAUUCAUCUGGACAUGUAUAUGUUUCAAACCAUGUCAUAUUUGAUGAUCAAUCUUUUCCAUAUGUUUAUGGAUCAGAUUUUUCUUCCAUUGCUCAGUCUUGCAGUUCCUCAGAUAUUUCUUCAGAGUCCAUAGUUACUCUUGUUCCAAUACCACAAGUACAAUCCCCUCUGCAAGUAUCUCCAGCAAAUGAUUACCUACCUACUGACACUUCACAGGUAUUCCCUACAUCUUCAACUUCUUCUUCAUUAUCUUCUUUAACAUCACAUACGCAUCCUAUACAUACUACACAAUCUCCACCUCAUAUAUUACCUGCUGCACCACCUAUAGGUCAUCCUAUGAUAACCAGAUCCCAGGCUGGUAUUUUUAAGCCUAAAUCCUAUCUAGUUGCUUUACUAGCCACACCUUCAGAACCUACUUCUGUUUCAGCAGCUUUAUCUGAUCCAAAAUGGUUUAAGGCAAUGCAAGAAGAAUAUUAGGCACUUCAAAACAAUCAUACUUGGGAUCUGGUCUUGCCAAAUGAACCAGUUAAUGUAGUUGGAAACAAAUGGAUAUUGAAGAUAAAAUAUCAUGUUGAUGGAACCAUUUCUAGAUACAAAGCCAGGUUGGUGGCUAAGGGGUUUCAUCAGACACAGGGAGUUGAUUACAUAGAAACAUUCAGUCCAGUUGUUAAAGCAUCAACAGUCAGGGUUAUUUUAAGUUUGGCAGUCAUGAAUAAAUGGGAGCUCAGACAAGUGGAUGUGAAUAAUGCAUUUUUUAAUGGCAUAUUAGUUGAAGAUGUGUACAUAGGGCAGCCAGAGGGCUUCAUUGAUCCAUCUCGACCUCAUCAUGUCUGUAAGUUGAAAAAGGCACUCUAUGGUUUAAAACAAGCCCUCAUGGCAUGGUUUGAGAGACUGAAAGAUGCUAUGGUUAUGCAAUGGAGGUUUCAAAAUUUAAAGUCAGACAACUCCCUUUUCUACAAAUGGACAGGUGGUCAUGUAAUUUUUAUUCUUGUCUAUGUGGAUGAUAUAAUCAUAACAGGCUCCAGUGAUCAACUGGUGCAACAAGUGGUUACAAAUAUGCAAAAUGAUUUUGCUUUGAAGGAUCUGGGAAAACUAAAUUACUUUCUUGGGAUAGAAGUUACCAAAACAGCAUCUGGAAUGUAUCUCUCUCAGUCAAAAUACAUAGCUGAUCUUCUAGCCAAACACAAUAUGGCUGACUGCAGUUCAGUUCCUACUCCCAUGUAACAUAUGCACUUUGAUUUUUCCUAAUUAAGUGUAUGAUUUAAUUUUUCCUCUUCGAUAUUAAUUUUAAAAUUGUCACAACAUUAAAUCAAGAUAAAUUGAGCGCGAUUAAAAGCUUGGGUAGUCGGAUUUUAUUUUCGUCACGGGUCCGGUAUUAGCUUAAUUUGUAUUCGGAUUCUAUUUCGCCGGAGUUUGGGCACGCCUCCUGCUGGGUUCUACUCCUCACGCCACUAGCUUUCAUUUCCGACCAACCCCGCCACCUGAAACCUCCGUUUUGGCCGUGAACGACCGCCGGAAAGUUCACGACUUUGGGAGCACGAUCCGCCGCCAUCGCCGCGCGUGGGAGGUCACCGCUGGCACCGUUGGACUCACCGAGGUCUGAACUAUCAUACCUAAGCUUCCCGUCGUCGUUGACUGAAGUCCGAUCACCGUUGACCGGCAGGGGCAAUUCGGUAAAUUCAUAAAACUUUAGGGUGAAUUUGUAAUUUGUGGAAUCAGUGGAUAAUUUGGUAAUUUUAGGUUAGGGCAGUGAGGUAAUUUGAGAUUUCAAGGAUAAUUCGGUAAUUUAAGUCGUUAAGGACAUUUUGGUAAUUUUAUGCUCCGAGGGUAAUUUUGUAAUUUCUGACAUUGUGGUAAUUUCGUGAUCUGAAUUGAGGACAAUUUAGGGGCUGUUCGGUAUCAUUUUGAGGAGGGUGUUUUCAUUUUCAUUUUGAGAAUACAGCUGUAAUACUUGUUCGGUGAAUUGGAUUCAAAAAACAAAUUAUAAAACAGAUAAUUUGAAUUUUCAUUUGUAGUUAUAAAAGUGAGAACGUGUUUAACACGUUCUCAAAGAAUCCCAAUACAAACUUUAAAAUAAAUUACAAAACAAACCCCAAGCCUCAUCUCAUUAAAAAUCCACGGCUCUCUCUCUCGUGGAUACAUCUCUUCUUUAACCACAAUUCAUUGUGACAGCUCUCUCACUCCGUCGCAGUAACCAAAAUCAACUGUUGCUGCUAUCGCCUCUCGGCUCUGUCUCGGCCGGUGGUGGUACUACUACUUCAUCUCUGCUCUGGUUCCGCCAUGGUAGAUCGACUGCUGUUGCUGCGUCUCUGUUGAGAAGGGCUUGGCGACCAGAGGCGGCGAGUGAAUCGCCGAGUGGAGUGAAGACUAGGAGAAAGAAGACAAGGAGUAAGCCGAAGACUAUGGCAGAGAUGAUGUCUAGAAAAGUUUCCAUUGUUGAGCUUUGCGUUUUGAUAUGGGUAAAUUCAGGUGACCCAUACUGCAAGUGAAGGAUCCAAUUAACUUAAAUACUUAAUUGCAUUUUCGAUAAACUACUCAAGCAUCAAAGCCCAAAGGAGCCAGUUUAUUGGUUUUGAGGAGAUGAUGGUGAAUUGAUGAUGGGACUUGGGUAGUGGAAAUCUGGAAUUGAUUUGAGUGAGUAUUGAGUGGAUGAGUUCGGUGGAGAAAAGGCAAGCACGGUAACUAGUAAGAAGAUAAACUGCAACAUGACGAUGACAAAAUUAAUAUUAAUUCAAAUAAUAAUUUUAUAUACGUAUUAUACCAUGUGGAUGUGUGGUUGGCAGCUGUCUACUUUCUACCGUAUAUUAUUUAUUUCGUAUUACAAAAUCUAGUAGUGUUGUGAUAAAUUAAUGCUAAUACUAAAUUAUUUAUUGUAUGUUUAUGUAUGUAUUAGUUAAAUACUUUUUUUAAUUAUAAUUUAAAUGUUUAGUAAAAAUUAUUUUUGAGAAUGGUACUACCGAACAUUUAUUCUCUGUUUUUAUCAUUUUUAAUUGUGUCUACCAAACGCAUAUUACUGAUUUCAAUUUUAAAAUACAGAAUAUAGAAAACGAUACCAGACGUAUAUUUAAAUUCGAAAUACUGCAACUAUAAAACACCAUUUUCAUUCUUAUAUUUGUUUUCAGAAAAUACAAAUUCAGAAACAAUACCAAACGGGCCCUUAGUAAUUGAAGAUUCUGAGGAUAAUUUGGUAAAAUAAUAUGUUGGGGGCAUUUUGGUAAUUUUGACAUGUAGGGGUAUUUUGGUAAUUUUGUGCAUGCGGGAAUAGUUUAUUGUGGAUAGAUAUUCGUUUGAGAAUUGUUAUGUAAAAUUAGUUGUAUUUCAAAUCUACGGAGAAUAAUUGUGUCGUUUCCUUGAUUAGGAGGAUCCACGAACGAGAAUCAACCCGCGGACGUUGUAGAUACCGAGUCUGGACUUCAUCACUGUGAGUGGAAUAUACAAAACCUAUUUUCAUAGUAUAUUCUGAUUUUACCAUACAGUACAACAUGUUUUGAUAAUAAGUUUUUGAUGCUUCGAUUUAAUGAUUUUCUAGAAAAUUGAUUUUUAUUUACGUGCUGAUAUUUAUUGUUAUCAAGAAUGAGUUUGAUUAAUGAUUUUAUUGUCGUUUUUGAGUAAAUGCAUGAUAUUAGAAUUCAGUGGAUUUGAGAUAUGUUAAAUAAAAAGAAAAUGAGAUUUCAGAUGUGAUUAUAUGUUUAUGAACAUGUGUAUAAAAAAGUUGUUUGGAAAAUCAUUGGACAGUACCCUUCCCCUCCAGAUACAGAGAUACAGAUAAUAUGAGAUGAAUACAGAAAUACAGAUGAGAUGAGAUAGAGGCCUUUAGGGCCCGUCUGAACACACAUAGAGGCUUUGGGCCGUGUGUUUGGGCGCUUUUGCCUUUUGGGGGCUUAUGCAUGCAGUAUGAUGAUUACAGAGAUACAUAUGUUGAGAUACAUGAGAUAUGAGAUGAGAUUUCCCCAUCUAUCCGUGGUAGCUCCGGGGCAUGAUGGUUCCCUGAUUGCCCGUCCGUCGAGGUCCGAAUAUGAUGAGAUCAUUCCCCUGGGUACUUGUUUGAUGAUAGUUUUUAUUAUUCAGUAUUUGAUAUUAUAAGUAUUAUUAUUUCAUUGAUUUUAUGCAGAUUUAUGUAAUAUAGUUAUUUCAGUGCAUGAUUUGAAUUGAAUAUGUUUAUAUAAGUUCUUAUGAUAUUUUGAUGAAAUUGAUUUGAGAAAGAUUAAAUCAUUUUAAAUAAAUUUAUUUUUCAAAAACUAUUAUCCACUCACUGAGCUCACUGAAUUUUAUACUCAUCCCAUUUUUAUUAUAUUUUUCCCCCCCACAGGAGAUUUGCAGGUACAUCAGUCGACCCAGCAACGAUAGUUAGAUUUGAAAUUGUGGCCACGUGACGGUGCUAGGAGUCGUAGAUUUAAUAUUUUGAUAUUUGGGAUAUUGCGGAUUGUAUUUAUUUGUUAUAUUUUGUAAUUAAGGAUAACCGUUAUAUUUUAAUAUUAGAAUGAUUUGGGUGGUAUUUGGUAUGUUGACUUGAGAAGUUGGUUAUGAAGGAUGGAUGGAUAUUGAAUUAUUUUGGGAGUAUUGUUUUGUAAAUUGCAGGCUUGGGAUGUUUAUUUAUAGGGGAGAUUCUGUCGAAUUUUUGAUCGAAUUCUUAGAUAUCAUAAUUAUUAUCGAUUUGAUUAUACGAGUUUAGAUAGACUCGCCCUGGGGGUGCGGGACGGGUCGUUUCAAGUUGGUAUCAGAGCAUGGUUUUAGAUUCUGUAGACUUUACUGUCGUAAAUAGAAUAAGUUUUAUUGUUAUUAAAGUCGGAAUUGAUAUUUUAUAGGCACCAUCAUGAUUCGUCGUAGUAGUAGACGUGGCCGCGGACGUGGUCGUGGCCGUGGCCAUACUAGGCUAGUAGCUGGGUUAACUCCAGGAGAUGUACCUGCGGGGGAAAAUGAUACCGUAAACGAGGGAAUAGUUGAGUCUUCAACGCACGAGGUUGUGCAACAAGCACCAGGAAAUGCUCCGAACAUUGAGCAGUCAAUUGAUAGAUUAGCUCAGAUUGUGACUACAGUGGUCAGACUCAUCCGCAUGUCGGUCAUGUAAAUACUAUCGAGCGUGUACGAAGUUUAGGGGCCAAGAGUUUUAAUGGUUCUGGAGAUCCACCUGAGGCAGAGUCGUGGCUUAUUAAAUUAGAACGUAUUUUUGAUAUGAUGAGAUGCUCAGAGGAGGAUAGACUUUCAUUUGCCACUUUUCUACUCGAGGAUAGGGCUUAUCAUUGGUGGCAAACAAUAGAGCGUAGAUACCAAGGGCAUGCUGCGCUUACAUGGGCUAUUUUUCGUAAGGAAUUCUAUGAUCAUUAUUUUCCAGCUGUGUAUCAGGAUAUUAAGCGGAGUGAAUUCCUUCGGCUGGUUCAAGGAUCUAUGUCAGUAGAAGAGUAUGAGAAGAAAUUUUUGGAUCUUUCUAGAUUUGCCACUUCAGCUGUUGGUGAUGAGAGAGAGAAAGAUGCAGGCGUUUUGAGGAGGGUCUCCAAUUUGAGAUUCGUACAACUGUGACGGCACACGAUACACUGAGUUUGCUGAGGUAGUUGAGGCAGCCAAGAGAGUAGAGCAUAGUAUCUCUGAGGGAUGUAGAGUUCAGGCUCUGAAACAAAAACGUAGCCAGAGUUGGACAGAGGGUGGCUUGAGUAGUAGACCGCCGAAGAGAGGCUCACAUACAAAUUAUUUUGCUGGCGUGCAAAAGAAUCAGAGUAUAAGCAGCAGGGGAGAUCAGAGACAGGCCGUCAGUUACAGUUCGGCACAACCAUCAGUGGGGAGUAAUGUUAGGACUCAGGGGUAGUAUGACAGGAAUAGCGAAGGACACUGUAAGAGUAUACAACAGACCUCUUGCCCUUCGUGUGGUAGGAACCAUCAGGGCUAAUGCCGUAUUGGAGACAAUGUGUGUUAUUUAUGUUGAUAACCUGGACAUAUUAAGAGAUUCUGCCCCACUUUAUCUCAGGGUGACAGUUCUGCUCGAGGGACAGGCCCACAGUAUCAAUCUCACUCUGGACCAGCUCAGGGUCAAAGGGGUAUGCCGACAAGGGGUUCUAUAUCUAUGAGUCAGACCACUAUUCCAAGUCAGAGACGUCAACCUGGUCAUCCUCGUACUCAGGCUCGAGUCUUUGCCUUAACACAGCAGGAGGCUCAUGCUACACCAGAGUGUGGAUUGCGAGCAGCCCACAGUUAGGGUAACAACAGGGCGACCUACACUAGCCGGCGAUCCGAACAUGGCAUGAAAGAAUUACGGGAGGUACGCGAUGAAUAGUAAGGAAGUGCUUUUUAACUUGCCCUCAACAAAGAUAGCAAAGGUGAGGUAAAUUCUAAUCAUGUGGGCACAUGAUGGUGAGAAAUGCAUUAUGUAUCCUCACGAGGAUGCUUUGGUGAUAAAUGCCAAUGUAGUGAGCAAAGAAUUUAAUAGGAUACUCAUAGAUACGGGUAGUUCAGUAGACAUGCUCUUUCAAUAUAUACUCGAGGAGAUGGGAAUUGCAUAUCUGAGGUUGAAACAUACAAAUACCUCCUUAAAAGGAUCUAGAGGAGGAAAGUUGACUCCUAAGAGGAUUAUAGAACUGUCAGUCAUCAUUGUCUUAAGGCCAUUCGAGAAGAUUAUGAUGUUAGAUCUUGUUACUAUUGAAGAAAACAGUUCCUAUUAGAUAUUUUUGGACAUUUAUGAGGAUAAGUCAAUGUGUCAUAUCCACUCACUGUUUGACGCUCAAAUAUCUUGUGAAUGGGGUUGUAGGUGUAGUAAAGGGCGACCAAAUGAUAACUCGGAGCUGUUAUGCCACGGACGCUAAGGAAACCUUGCAAAUUACAUCACUAAACACUCGAGGAGACUCUGUGAAAGGCCGGCAAGAGCCAGUGGAGAACUUAGAAGAGGUGGUGAUGAAACAAGAUAACCCGGAUAAAGUUGUAAAAAUCAGGUCCAGUUUAAAGCAAGACUUGAGAAUAGAGCUAAUAAACUACUUAAGAUCCCAUGCUGACGUGUUUUCCUGGUUGCAUGAAGACAUGCCCAGGAUCGACCCAAAAAUUGCUUAUUAUAAAUUGGCUAUAAGAAAGGGUAUGAGGUUAGUAAAGCAAAAAAUGAGGUGCUUCAACCAAGAAAGAUAUGAGGCCAUAAACAUCGAGGUGGAGAAGUUGUUGUAAGCAGGAUUCAUUAGGGAGGCUAAGUAUCUCGAAUGGAUUUCUAACGUAGUUCUAAUGAAGAAAGCGAAUGGAAAGUGAUGAAUGUGCAUGGAUUUCACCGAUCUUAACAAGGCAUGCCUAAACGACAGCUUCUCAUUGCCCAAGAUCGACCAGCUGGUUGACUCAACAGUAGGGCACAACCUACUCAGAUUUAUAGAUGCCUUCUCUGGUUACAACCAAAUACCCGUGGACGAGUAGGACAAGGAAAACACUGUAUUUAUUACUAACAUAGGUUUAUUUUGUUACAAUUUAAUGGAGUUUGAUCUAAAAAAUACAGGGGCUACAUAUCCAAUGUUGGUGAAUAAAGUCUUUAAACCCCUGAUUGGACAUACUAUGGAGGUCUACAUAGAUGACAUGAUCACCAAGUCCAAAGAUCCACUAGAACACACACGACAUUUAGAUGAAACUUUUAAGUUGCUAAGCAAAUACAAAAUUAAGCUUAAUCGAGAGACAUGUGCAUCUAGGGUAUGCUCGAGAAAAUUUUGGGUUUUAUGGUGAGCCAUAUGGGGAUCGGGGCCAACCCCAAGAAGGUAUAGGCAAUAACAGAGAUGAAAUCCCCUCGUGCACUCAAAGAAGUUCAGAGCCUUACGGGAAAGCUAGUAGCUCUCAAUCGAUUUAUAUCAAAAGCAAUAGAUAAAUAUCGCAUUUUCUUUAAAGUCAUAAAAAAAGAAAGAAAGAUGGAAGGGGAAAGCAAUAGAUAAAAACCGCGAUAGGGCGACAUAGUGUAUUUAUACUUAGCCCUGUCCCGAUGGGCUAUCGACUUGAUCCUGAUAAGAGAAGAAGCAGAAACUCAGCACUUGGUGUACCAUACCAGAAAGGCCCUACUAGACGCAGAAACUAGAUAUCCGAUGAUGGAAAAAUGGGCUCUGACACUAGUAACAACAGCUCGUAAGCUGAGACCAUACUUCUAGGUCUAUCUAGUAAUCGUGAUGACCGAUCAUCCUCUUCGACAGGCACUACAGAACCCAGAGGCAUUUGGUCGAUUGGUAUUAAAGCACAACCUAUGGCUGAUUUCAUCGCCGAAUGUACAAAUUGGGAGAAGAAAUUCGUAAAGAGCAGAUAAUUGACGAAGAAGGUUCGAAUAGAGUUUGGCUGAUAAUGAUAAAUGGAUCUUGCGAGGAACAAGGGUCCGGAGCAGAUGUGGUAGUGCAUAAACUAGAAGGUGUUGAAAUUUCUUAUGCUUUGAAGUUUGAAUUUAAGGCGACUAACAACCAGACAGAUUAUAAAGCUUUUAUUAUUGGUUUAAAGCUAGCUCAUGCGCUGUGAGCAGAUAGCAUUAAAGUUCGAAUAUACUCCCAAUUAGUAAGCAACCAGUUCAACAAAAUAAUGGAGUUAUAUCUGAAUAAGGCAAAACAACUGAUAGGAAUGUUUAAGAAAGUGAAGAUCGAGAACAUAAAACUAUGGGGCAGAUAUGUUGGCCAGAAGGACAACAACAACAGAUGCAAAGAUGCCAAAAUCAAUCUCGAUAGAAAUCAAGACCUCGCCGAGCAUCAAACAUGAAAAUGAGAUAAUAAGGGUAGAUAUAAGAAGCUCAUGGAUGGAUCCAAGUAUCUUAGAUAUCCGCAAUAGAAAUUUGCCAGCAGAUAAAAGGCAAGGUAGAAAGUUGAAGUGUCAGGCAGUCAGAUACUCGCUACUAAAUGGGGGUGUUCUACAGACGAGGAUUAACCUUGCCCCUCUUACGAUGUUUAAACCACGAGGAUGCAGAUUAUAUAUUACGACAAAUACACGAGGGAAUUUAUGGUAACCAUUUUGAGGCAAGGUCCUUGAAAUUUAAAGCCCUAAGAAAGGGAUAUUUCUGGGCGACUAUGCACCAAGACGCACGGAAAGUGACCAAGAAUUGUAAAAGCUGCCAAAGUUUCACAAGUUUCCCAACCCAACCAUUAAAAAACUCAUUUGUCACCACAAUGUCCUCUUCGUGGCCCUUUGCACAAUUGGGGAUUAAUCUGAUUGGCCCAUUACCUAAAGGGUGGGCAGCUGCUACACACGUCAUUGUAGCUGUAGAUUAUUUUAGAAAGUAGGUGGAGGUUGAAGCUUUAAGUCAGAUCAUAAAGAAGAUGACGAUUGGAUUCAUCUAGAGAAAUAUUUUAUGUAGGUAUGAGAUUCCCUAUAUAAUCUUAAUAGACAAUGGGAGGUAGUUUGACAAUCAUAAUUUCAAGGAAUUCUGUCAGAACUUGAGUGUUGAGCUGAGGUUCUGCUCCCCAGCACAUCCGCAAUCGAACGAGUAGGUGGAGGCUGCUAACAAGGUAAUAAAGAAGCUCCUGAAAACCAGACUAAGGAAAAGAAUAUGGCAUGGAUUAACGAGCUGGCUGGUGUGUUAUGGGCCUACCGAACGACCCACAAGGCCGCAACUGGAGAGACCUCGUUUUCCUUGGCCUUUGGUCAUGAAGCAGGAGUCCCUGCAGAAAUUGUGAUGGGAACACAUCGAACAAAAUACUUUGACGAAGAGCAAAACGAUGAGUAUAUGUGUCUGAAUCUAGAUCUGUUUGAGGAAAAGAGAGAGAGAGCCUCGUGGAAAGUAGUGGAAUAUUAGUAGAGGGUUGCUCGAUACUAUAACUAGAAUGUGCGGUUGCGGCAGUUUAGAGCUGGAGAUUAGGUGCUCAGGAGAAUAAAUCAAAACACGAAGGAUCCCAGCCAGGGCAUCUUUGGCCCUAACUAGACGGGCUCUUAUAAAGUUAUAUGAGCAAUAGGUCUAAGAACUUACAAGUUGGCUUAUCCAGACGGUCGAGAAGUAAAAUGAUUAUGGAACGCGAAGCAUUUAAGGAAAUAAUUCCAAUAAGCAAGUUGUUCUUGAGAGUUUUCCUAUUAUAACGUUUAUGCUUAAUGUAGUAGGAGUUAUUAGAUGUUCAUGUUUUCCUAUAUUCUGUAAUAACUAGAAUAUUUAAUAAUAAAAUGAUGAAGUUUAUUCAAAUGUGUUUAUGAAAUAUUUUCUAAGGUAAAGAAAUAGCUCGAUAGUCUCAAAGCUUGCUUGAGGCGAGACAAGAGUCAGAAGUUUGCCAAAACCUGCUCAAUCAAGCGAAGACGAGUAGGCAAAGUUUGUAAAUAUUUUCUAAAGCAAAUAGAAGGCUCAAUAGUCUCAAAGCCUACUCGAGGCGAGAUAAGAGUCAGAAGUUUUCCAAAACUUACUCAGUGAAGCGAAGACGAGUAGGCAAAGUUUAUUAAAUAUUUUCUAAGGCAAACAAGAAGCUCCAUAGUCUUAAAGCCUACUCAAGGCGAGAUAAAAGUCAGAAGUUUGCCAAAACCUACUCAUAAAGCGAAGAAUGGCAGGCAAAGUUUAUUAAAUAUUUUCUAAGGUAAACAAAAAGCUCGAUAGUCUCAAAGCCUGCUCAGUGCGAAAAAAAAGUCAAAAGUUUUUCGAUCAUAUAAGGUUAAACAAAUAACUGAUUCGAAAAUUUAGAAAACAAAGCAAAGACCCGUAAAAAUUCUUCCAAACCAAACAUUAAUGUGCAUGGCGAAUGAAGGAAAAAAUUUACACAUGUUCCAAAACAUACGAAUAACAAAAGUACAAUUUAUGGGUCUCUGGAAAGAGGAUCAGCCGGCUCAGUGUUGAGUGUUAGAAAAUGCAUAUUUAUAAAGGAGAAAACCGUCAUUUUACAUUUCAAGUCUUACUACCAACCCUUACUUUUAUGUAUUUAACCUUCUUGUGAUGUAAUUACGUGUGUGUUAUUUUAAUUAAGUAUUUUAUGUAUUUUAGGGGCAUUAUAGUCAUUUCACAAUAAAGGAGAGAUCAGACGGCAAAACGGAUAUCACUUUUGAACUCAGGACGGUCGAAAACCUUAGGAGGAACAUAAAAGGAAAAAUGGCACUAUUCACAUGUACGGUACUAUUCACGUAUACGUUACUGUUCACGGCACUGUUCACAUAGACGGAUCGAUGACGUGGCAUUGACCGAUGAUGUGGCAUUGACUGAUGAGGUGUCACGAUCCUGUUGGGCUAAAAUUCUUAUGUACUGUUGAUGGUGACGUGGCAGUAUAUCAGUGGAUGAAAAAUCUCGCGUACGGUGCAUGCAUCACACAGGAUUAUUUUCAACCAAACCGCGUUACUGUUCAUCCGGGUCAAACCGCGUUACUGUUCAAAGUCGGGUCAAACCGUGUUACUGUUCAUCCGCGUGGUCAAACCGUGGACUGUUGACCGAUGACGUGGCGCAAUCCUGAGCGUCCAAACUGUUUUUAAUCCGAUGGCCAUGAUUUACUCCAUGUAUCUAUAAAAAGGGGGCCUCUCCCCCCUAAUUUGAUACCUCUGAAUCCAUUUUUGGGAUCCAUUUUCUGUAAUUCCCUCUCUAUCUUGUAUUUUCUUUGUAUUUUAAUAAAUUCUCAUUUUGUCCCUAGUUCAAUUAUGAGUAGCUAAUUUCUUUUCAAGCUUAGGUUGAAGGUGAAGUCUCAACAUGUAUCAUGGGCUUUAUUUGGUAAAUUUAUUUUCUUUUCCCCUCUAGUUUUUGUGGAUGAUUUGACUUAUCGUCGACAAAUAAUACUGAUCUUGUCUAGAUACCGCCUUGGUUACACCGGCUCUCUAGUAUAAGGUUAUUAUUAUUUGGCACGAUAAGCCCUUAGCACCAUAUUGAUUAGAGCGUGGUUCAUGAGGUGUGGAUUCCCCCCUCAUGAUUUAAUUGGUAUUAAUAAGGAAUAUUUAGCCCAUGAUGCAUGUUGAUACGGAUCCAGAUACCCAAGUACGUCAUUUCAAUACAUUUCUCUUCAAUUUAUUCUUGCCAUUUCAAUUCCAAUUUCAGCAUUUAUUCUUGCCAUUUUAAUUUAAAGUUUUAGCAUAUUCCAAAUCAUUUCCACCACAAUUCCAACCACCCAUUUACAAAAUUAAUUCUAUAUAUAAUUAAAAAUCCACCUCCUCGUGGGAUCGACACUCGUCACCAUUGAUCUACACUACAAUAGAUUCGUGCGCUUGCGAGUACAUUAAAAUUUGCACAACAAGUUUUUGGCGCCGUUGCCGGGGAGGUAAGUAGUUUUAAUUCAUAGAAUUAAUUUUUGUGAAUAAUUUCUUUUAUUUGUUUUCUUGUAUUUUUUUUAUUAUAAAAAAAAAAAGAAAAAAAAAGUAAAUCUACAUUUAAAGGUUAGUAUUUCUUUUCUUUUUCUCUUCUUUAAAAUUCUGUAAUUUAAUUUUCAAUUUAUUUUUUCUUUGUAAUUUUUUUUAUUUUAUUAAUUUAAUUUUUAAUUUAUUUCACGUAUUUGUUUUUGUGUAUUUUUAUAGUAAGGUUGUAAUAGCGCAAUAAGGUUAGUAUCGUAAUUUCUCCCUCUUAUUUAUUUUUAUUUGUUUUGUUCCCAUCUUUAUUUUUAUUUUUAUUUUAUUUUGCAUGCAUGGUCGUAGGUCAUUAUUACCUAAUCUUGAACCUAUAGACCUUGAAUUAGAAAAAACACUUCGCACACACAAACACGUUAAAAAUAAAAUGGAUUUGCAACCACAGGAGAGGCCAUUUAAGGAUUAUUUUAGUCCCUUAGCUAAUUUGAGCACAUCAUGCAUAAGAUACCCAAAUGUAGCUGCUAGGAGCUUUGAACUAAAACCUAGUGUGCUAAAUUGUCUCCCCACAUUUUAUGGCCUAGAAAAUGAGGACCCAUAUAAUCAUCUGAAUGAUUUUCAUGCUAUUUGUCAAACAUUUAAAUAUGAGAAUUUUUCAGACGAUGAUGUUAAACUCAGACUAUUCCCAUUUUCUUUAAAGGAUAGAGCUCGUUCAUGGUUAAAUACGUUACCUGCUAAUAGCAUUUCAUCAUGGGAACAAAUGGUAACUAAAUUUUUGAAUAAAUAUUUCCCAGUGCAUAAAACCAAUUCUAUUCGCAGGGAAAUUUCAGAGUUUACACAAAGAGAGGACGAGCAAUUUUUCGAAACAUGGGAGCGAUUCAAUGGGCUACUCUUGAAGUGUCCACAUCAUGGGUACGAGAAAUGGCACCAAUGUCAAUACUUUUUGGAGGGAUUACUACCGAAUGUGCAAGAAUGGCUAAUGGCAACAAGUGGAGGAGAGCUAAUGUCAAAAAGUGCAUCAGAGAUUUGGGAAUUCUUCCAGCGACAAGCGGAUAAUUCCCAACAACGGAGUCGAUCACUCAGGAAUACUAGAAGAAUUAAGGGAGUAAAUGAGGUUCAAAUUGGCGAGUCAAAUUCAGAAAUCAAAGAAGUCAAAGCAAUAAUAGAAGGUCUCUCUCGACAAAUAGCAUCGUUAUCGACUGCUAAAUCAACAGAACCACAUGACCAUGACUCAUACUCCGAUCAAGCCAAUGCCAUAGGUGUAAUGAGAAAGCCAUCUAAUUACAACCCAUACUCCAACACAUAUAACCCUGGAUGGAGAGACCACCCCAAUUUUUCAUGGUCUCAAGGAUUCCAACAUAAUGGACCAGCAGCUCCAGCUCCACCAAUGCAUCAAAUUCCUCAAAAUUCUCAAGCCUCUCAGCCACCAUUCAGACCAUACAAUCAGAACCAGAACUACUCUCAACCCAGACCAUGGGAGGAUUCAUUCCAGAAUCUCAAGAAUCUUACUCACUCCACGAUUGAGCAACAGAAUCGGACCAUUGAUGGACUACGAAAUGAGUUGAGAGCAGGCUUCAAUUCACAAGCCCAAUCAGUUUCAAGCCUUGAGAAGAUGGUGGGACAACUUGCUUCUUCAGUUCAGACCUUGGCAAUUAAUGUUGAGAAAGGUAAAUUUCCAAGUCAACCAGUGCCUAACCCUAAAGGAGUACAUGAAGCAAGUACCAGUUCACCACAACAGCAUGGAGAGGUCAAAGCAGUCAUGACCUUGCGAAAAGGAAAGGAAGUCGACAACAAAGUGGAGAUGCCGGUGACAAAAGAAAAUCAAAUUGUACCUGUGAAUGUUGAGGACUCACCACCGGAGGAAAAAGAAGAAACCAACCCACGAGAAUAUGUUCCUAAAGCUCCAUUUCCUCAGAGGUUAGCGAAAGGAAAGAAGGGAAAAUCCACAGGUGAGAUUCUCGAAAUCUUCAAACAGGUAAGUGUUAACAUCCCUUUGCUUGAUGCUAUUAAACAAGUUCCAUCUUAUGCCAAGUUUCUUAAAGACCUUUGUACUAAAAAGAGAAACAUGCAUGUUCAAAAGAAGGCAUUUUUAACAGAAAACGUUAGUUCUAUACUCCAACAUAAAAUUCCUUUAAAAUGCAAAGACCCAGGCUCCCCCACUAUCUCAUGUAGUAUAGGGAACCACACAAUUGAGAAUGCUUUGUUGGAUUUAGGAGCUAGUGUAAAUUUGUUGCCUUACUCUGUAUUCGUGAAACUUGGACUGGGAGAAUUACACCCAACUCCAGUGGUGUUACAGCUUGCAGAUCGGUCCACGAAAAUACCUCGUGGUAUUGUGGAGGACGUGCUUAUCCAGGUAGACAAGUUUUAUUUUCCUGUUGAUUUCAUUGUAAUUGACACUCAACCAAUACAGGAUUCAAGGAAGCACAUCCCUAUUAUUCUAGGCCGACCUUUCUUGGCAACUGCGGAUGCUCACAUUCAAUGUAGGACCGGAAAUAUGCAAUUGUCCUUCGGCAACAUGACUAUGGAGCUAAAUAUUUUCAACAUUGCCAAACAACCUCACAGUGCAGAUGAUGGAAUUGUUGAUGUGGAUUUAAUAGAAACAAUAGUCAAUAAUACUUUUAUUUCAAACCUUAGUGAUGACCCUUUACAGACAUGCUUAACUCACUUUGGUUUGGAUUUUGAUAUUGACAGAUCGGUCGAUGAGGUCAACGCCCUACUUGACUCAGCACCAUCCAUGGACACUAAUAAAUGGAAGUCAAGAGUUGAACAACUAGCACCAUCAGAAAAGAAACUCAUCCCAUCAUCUGAAUCACCACCGAAACUCGAGCUCAAACCAUUGCCCAACACAUUGGAAUAUGCAUUUUUGGGAGAAGAAAGUACUCUACUGGUAAUCAUCUCAUCAUCCCUAAAUGACGAACAAAAAGGUAAGUUGUUGGAUGUUUUAAAAGAGCACAAAGAAGCAUUAGGAUGGACCAUAGCGGACAUAAAAGGUAUAAACCCAGUAGACUGCAUGCAUUACAUUCACCUUGAUGAAAAUGCUAAAACUACUAGGGAGAUGCAACGUCGGUUAAAUCCUAACAUGAAAGAAGUUGUUAGAACUGAAGUCCUUAAGCUAUUAGAUGCAGGUAUCAUUUACCCAAUUUCUGAUAGUUCAUGGGUCAGUCCUGUACAAGUUGUCCCCAAAAAGUCAGGAGUCACAGUAGUUACGAAUGCCGAUAAUGAAUUAAUACCAACUAGAGUAACUACAGGAUGGCGUGUAUGCAUUGAUUAUAGAAAGUUGAAUUCUGUCACACGUAAAGACCAUUUUCCUUUACCAUUUAUCGAUCAAAUGCUUGAUAGAUUAGCAGGCCAUGAAUUUUAUUGCUUUCUAGAUGGCUACUCAGGAUAUAAUCAGAUUCCCAUAGCACCAAAAGAUCAGGAGAAAACUACUUUCACUUGCCCUUUUGGCACAUUUGCAUAUAGGAGAAUGCCAUUUGGAUUAUGUAAUGCACCUGCUACAUUUCAACGAUGCAUGUUGAGCAUUUUUUCUGAUAUGGUUGAACGAUUCCUUGAAGUCUUUAUGGAUGAUUUUUCUGUCUUUGGUGACUCGUUUGAUCAAUGUUUACAUCAUCUAACGCUAGUUCUGCAGAGAUGUACCGAGAAGAGCUUAGUCUUAAAUUGGGAGAAGUGCCAUUUUAUGGUAAAACAAGGUAUUGUUCUCGGUCACAUCAUUUCAAGCAAAGGUAUUGAGGUUGACAAAGCCAAGGUGGAUCUCAUUUCUAAUCUUCCUCCACCCAAAACAGUCAGAGAAGUAAGAUCUUUCCUUGGGCAUGCUGGUUUCUAUAGACGUUUCAUUAAAGAUUUUAGCAAAGUUUCUAGACCCUUAUGCAAUUUACUUGCUAAGGAUGUACCUUUUAUCUUUAAUGAUUCAUGUCUUAUGGCUUUUGAAAAAUUAAAGCAAUUGUUGACAUCAUCACCCAUCAUUCAGGCCCCAAACUGGAGCUUACCAUUUGAGCUUAUGUGUGAUGCAUCUGAUUAUGCAGUAGGAGCAGUUUUAGGACAAAGAGUUGAUCGAAUUCCCCAUGUUAUUUACUACGCUAGUAUGACAUUGAAUGAUGCACAAUUGAACUAUUCAACUACUGAAAAAGAAAUGCUAGCAGUAGUGUUUGCAUUAGAGAAAUUUCGAUCUUAUCUCAUUGGUUGUAAAAUAAUUAUAUUCACAGAUCAUGCUGCUCUUAAAUAUCUUCUCACAAAGAAAGAUGCAAAAGCUAGACUAAUUCGUUGGGUAUUACUUUUGCAGGAAUUUGACUUGGAAUUCAAGGAUAAGAAAGGCACAGAAAAUGUUGUGGCGGACCACCUCUCUCGUCUCCAUUUUGACACAAUUACAGAGCCAUUAAUAUUAAAUGAGUCAUUUCCAGAUGAACAAUUGAUGAAUGUGGAAGUAUUACCUUGGUAUGCUGAUAUAGUUAAUUAUCUUGUUACAGGUAAGCUUCCAGAGCAUUGGACCAAGCAAGAUAAGGCUAAAUUCUUUGCAGAAAUAAAGAAUUUCUUUUGGGAUGACCCGUAUUUGUUCAAGUAUUGUGCAGACCAAAUUGUUAGACGAUGUGUCCCAGAAAGUGAAAUUCAGAAUAUUCUGUCAUUCUGCCAUGAACAAGCUUGUGGAGGCCAUUUCAGUGCUAAGAAAACGGCGACUAAAGUUUUACAAUGUGGUUUUUAUUGGCCAACUAUAUUUCGAGAUGCUUACAUUUUCUGUUCUUCAUGUGAUAGGUGUCAACGAAUGGGGAGCAUUACACGAAGGAACAUGAUGCCACUAAAUCCAAUUUUAGUGGUUGAGAUUUUUGACGUAUGGGGUAUCGACUUCAUGGGACCCUUUCCCCCUUCUUUUGGCCAUCAAUACAUAUUGGUUGGUGUUGACUACGUAUCGAAAUGGGUGGAAGCAAUUCCAUGCAGAACCAAUGAUCACAAAGUGGUGAUAGGAUUUUUGAAAAGCAACAUUGUUUCGCGCUUUGGAUUCCCUCGAGCGAUAAUUAGUGAUGGUGGUGCCCACUUUUGUAACAAAGCAUUCAAAGCUCUUUUGACAAAGUAUUCAAUCACACACAAAGUGGCAACCCCGUAUCAUCCGCAAACCAGUGGCCAAGUUGAGAUCUCCAAUCGAGAAAUCAAGCACAUAUUAGAAAAAACGGUGAGGCCAGACAGAAAAGAUUGGUCAUUAAGACUUGGUGAUGCAUUAUGGGCAUAUAGAACGGCUUUCAAGACCCCGAUUGGGAUGUCACCCUACAGGCUAGUGUAUGGAAAAGCUUGCCACCUACCUGUGGAACUCGAGCAUCGUGCAUAUUGGGCCAUCAAGAAAUUCAACUCUGACAUGCAGCAAGCCAGCUCAGAAAGAAGAUUACAACUGGCAGAACUUGAAGAAAUUCGCAAUGAUGCAUACGAAAAUGCCAAGAUUUACAAGCAACGAAUGAAAGUCUUUCAUGACAAGCAUAUUAUGAGAAAAUCGUUCACUCCAGGUCAGAAAGUGCUUUUAUUCAAUUCUCGUUUGCACCUAUUCCCAGGUAAGUUACGCUCUCGAUGGUCUGGUCCCUUUAUUGUUCAUACUGUUUUUCCACAUGGGGCAAUUGAAAUUAAGGACCCAAAGAACGGUGUCACGUUUAAAGUUAAUGGUCAAAGAUUAAAGCCAUAUCUUGAGUACCAACCACAUGGAGAAGACACCGAAAUAAAUUUGAGUGACCCACCAGAUUUGAAUUGAUUUUUUCUUUUUGUUGAUUUGAUUUUUCUUUCUUUCUUUUUAUUAUUCUUUUGCUAAUUGAAAUUAUUUUCGCAUAAGUGUGUUUGUUUUACCAUUAAGUUUUUUUUCUUAUCAUUGUUAAUCAUGAGUACCAUACUUAGACCGUUCCUCCUGAACAUUCUUAAACCACUUCAACGUGUCAAAACUCAUCUCAAAAAGCAGAUUCAAUUUUGUAAAACACAACGCAUUUGGGCUCUACAACCACCAGAGUUAGUAGCCUAUGUUGAGGGUUUAGAACGCCAACUCAGAGACAUUGAGAGAAGUGUUUACGACAUCCAGUUGGAGCUUGAGGUAAAUUCAAUAAGAGGACGAUUUUAAUUUUCUUUGUGUGUUUUGAUUUGUUUUUCUGUUUGUGUGCUUUAGUUUGUUACCCCGGUGAAAUGGCGGAUAACGGUACUCCGUGACAAUCAAGUCGGUUACUUCAGUUUCCCACAAUAACUGACAUUCUGAGGCGAAAGUAUGGACAUAAACGAGAUUCUAGCGAAGCUUCACAAGCGAUUCCCUUCACUUCCUCAGAAUGCCCUCCUUACGAUCUAUCAAGCUCGAUCCGAACGCAUGCGAUUACUCAUGAGGAAUAACAUACCUGCUGACAUCCGUUGGUUAAUCGAGGCUAAAGUACGAUCGGCAGGUGAGUUACCUCCAAAAUUUAUUGCAUUCAUGCCUGGUUGUGGUAAAGGAAAUUAUGCAAGAAAACGACGAGCUCGAAGAAUUUCUGUUGCUUGUCACAAGUGUGCCAGAAUGAGUUGCGAUAGAAACCCAUGUUCUUUAGGAAUGAUGUCUGAUAACAGAGAAGAUAAGAUUCAAUUCAUUAGGGAUGGCUUGAAUAAGGAGUCAUUGGAUGAUAUCCUUCUGUCUCUUGAAACGCAUCCCAGUGGAUAUGUGCAAGGAGUGAUUCUCCAGUUAUGGCCAUUAUUCCAGAAAGAGCAUGCACGAUAUAGUCUCGGGAAUCUGACUAUAAACGACCCUGUUUGUCAGUUUAUAAGAAAACUGGAUGGGAAGCCGAUCCUCGACCCAUAGAGGGCGUUAAAGCCGUUUCUGGACGUAAAACCAGAGGAAGAUGUGAGCCACAGUCGCAACUACGUGUAAAUAUCCUUUUACUUUACUGUUAUUUUAUUUCAUUUCACUGUUGUUUUAUUGUUUGCAUUAUUGUCUUUAAUAAUUUUGUUACUGUUUACUUUUUCCUUUUUAUUGUUUCUUUUUUGACUCGCGAGCCACGUGCUUUACGCGUUAUUUGACACUGACAUGUUACCUCAUUCACAGCUGUGAUCCACUGUCACCAAGAUUCUUAAAUGUGAUUUACUUUUUGUCAAGCACUCACAAAUUAUUUUUGAGAAGUAUCACAAUGGCAGCCACUCCCAAUAGACAAUUCAAGAACAUUUGUGUGCUUUCUGGAUUUACCUAUGGCAAACAUAAAGAGUUCGUUGAGGCAGCCAUAGAUCUUGGUCGAAGCAUAGCAGCGAGAAAAUUACACUUGGUGUAUGGAGGAGGUAACCGAGGAUUAUCAAAAAUGGUCUCAGAAGCAGCUUUUAUCAGAGGAAGUCAAGUGUUAGGCAUCAUCCCAAGAGUCCUAAAACCAUUGGGCAGUUCGUCUGACUCAUCAACUGGAGAAGAGUUAGUCGUCUCAGGUAUGCAAGAAAGAAUAACUGAAAUGCUUAAUCAUGCUGAUGCUUUUAUUUUCCUUCCAGGAGAUCUUGCAACACUAGAGGCACUUAUGACACUAGCAUCUUGGGCCCAUCUGCACAUCCACCAGAAACCUAUCGGUUUGUUAAAUGUCAAUAACUUUUAUGAUGGCUUUAUCGCAUUUCUUAACCAUGCAAUAAAAAACUAUUUCAUUCCUUCUAAUGUGAAAAAACUCUUUAUUUGUGCUCACACUGCUAAUGAGCUACUUGAUAUGUUACAAGCUUAUAAACCGGAGCCAGACCCCUGGACCUUUGUGUUGGAGCGACCAAAUAAUGAUGGUAACAGUAGCCGCAGUAAGAAGUACAAAUUAGAUUUAACUCUCCGCCUGUAAAUAUUUUCUUCUGUGUUGCACCACCCAGGUGAUGUCUUCUAAACUCUACUUCUUUCCUUUAAAACAUUGAGGACAAUGUUUCGUUCUGGUUGGGGGGAGGGAAUAGUCGACAAUUGUGGAAUCUUGGUUAAGUUUUUACUAAUUUUUUGUUGUAGAAACUAACUGUUGCUAACUUUUUGUGUUGAAGAUGGCUGAAUAUGGAGUGUAGUUACUCUAGAAACGCAUCUUCAUUGUUCGAAAAAAAAAAAAAAAAAUUCUUUUUCUUUAUUUAAGUUUUGAUGUUCAUUUUUCUUCUUCUUUUUAUUUUCUCCUCUAUAAAUAUACAUUUUCCAACUUUUGAGUCGAAGAUGGCUAAAUAUGGAGUGUAGUGCCUCUAGAAACGCAUCUUCUUAGUUUAAAAAAAAAAAAAAAUCUUUUUCUAAUUAAUUUUUCUACAUCAUUUUCACAUUUCUGCAUGCAUAUUUUCCUUUCAUGUUUAGAAUAGGUUGGGGGGUAGAAUGUUGUUUAAAAAAAAAAAAAAAAUUUUUGUGUUAUUUGUUUUAACAUUGGAUGACAUGAUUAAUUUCAAAUUUUAGUAUUUGUAUUAUCUUUGGUCUUAAGUGAUGUUACGCUAUGUUUGCUACUUUACAUGUUGAUGUCGGAGACAAAUAUGAGUUGCUUGAAGGAAUGAAUAUGUCAUAAAUAAGUGCCAAGUGAGUUGUUGAGCCUAUCAUUUUCUUGGAGAGUAACCCUUUUGCCCAUUCUCUAUACAGCUUAGCAGUUUAUUAUUUUAUACACGAUCUCUAUAUUUCUUUUGAGUUAACCCUUUAAAAAAAAAAUAGUAAAAUUAAAAAAAAAAAAAAGAAAAAAGAAAAAAAUGUGUGUUGCUACAUUGGGAGGCCCAUCUAACUAGUAGAUAUGGAUAAUUAUUUAGAGCCCUAAAAGACGAUGGAAAGGCCAUCUUUGAUCCGUUUGAGCCUUUCUAGCCAUCCCUGUUAUUAAAUAUCCAUAGUUACCCCUUUUGAGCCUUUAAAAAAAAAAAAAAAAAACAAAAACCUUUUCUUUGUCAACUUAUCAUCUUGACCCACUCCGAUUUGGAGUAUUACCCAAUGUCUUUUAAGUUCCAUCACCUAUUUAUGUUUGAGAAAAUGUAAAUAAUUAUUUUAUUCAGUGACGUUAUGCCAAAAAAAAAAAAAAAUUGUUGUUUCAAAAGAAUAAAAAUAACAAUAAUAGGUGAAAUCCACCUUGCAACUUCCAAAAAAAAAAAAAAAAUCUCUGCAUUUUUCUCAAACAUACACUUUGUUUUCCUUAUUUUCUUUCUUUGUUAGCCAUAUCCCUAGCCUACGUUACGUCCUAAUAAAAGUCCUUCUUGAUUUUAGGGAACUAUAGUUUGAAGUAGAAGCUAGUUAUAUGGGCGAAAAAGAUGUAGUGAUGCAUAAUAAAAAAAAAAAAAAAAGAUAAAUAAAGUGGGUUGACUAACAUUUUAUUUGACUUGAGAUCGUAUUAUUUCUAAGCUAAGGGCAUAUUUAUUUCAUCUUGGUGAGAGCAUGUGAUAUCACUUCUUCAUUAUUUUCUCUCAAUUACCAUUCAUUGGAGUGACUAUUUUUUGGGUUUAAUUUCUUUGUGAGAGUGUCACUACUUCCAGUGAGAUUUUGGGGUUUGACAUGUCAUUCUUGAAAGUAGCUAUAACAAAGUCUACUGGGCCGAUUCAUGUGGAUGGUUGAUGUGGGUGUGAUGUUGCUUUAGACUGGAGAUAAUGCUUAUACUUUUAUUUGAUUGCUAUCAUUAAUCUGAUUGAAUAAACACGAGUGUUUCUAAAAAAAAAUAUAUAUAUAUAUAUAUAUAUAUAUAUUUUGAAUUUGAAUUUUGUUUUCGCUUUAUUUGCUAGGGACUAGCAAUAAGCUGGUUGGGGGGUGUGUUGAGUGUUAGAAAAUGCAUAUUUAUAAAGGAGAAAACCGUCAUUUUACAUUUCAAGUCUUACUACCAACCCUUACUUUUAUGUAUUUAACCUUCUUGUGAUGUAAUUACGUGUGUGUUAUUUUAAUUAAGUAUUUUAUAUAUUUUAGGGGCAUUAUAGUCAUUUCACAAUAAAGGAGAGAUCAGACGGCAAAACGGAUAUCACUUUUGAACUCAAGACGGUCGAAAACCUUAGGAGGAACAUAAAAGGAAAAAUGGCACUAUUCACAUGUACGGUACUAUUCACGUAUACGUUACUGUUCAUGGCACUGUUCACAUAGACGGAUCGAUGACGUGGCAUUGACCGAUGAUGUGGCAUUGACUGAUGAGGUGUCACGAUCCUGUUGGGCUAAAAUUCUUAUGUACUGUUGAUGGUGACGUGGCAGUAUAUCAGUGGACGAAAAAUCUCGCGUACGGUGCAUGCAUCACACAGGAUUAUUUUCAACCAAACCGCGUUACUGUUCAUCCGGGUCAAACUGUGUUACUGUUCAAAGUCGGGUCAAACCGUGUUACUGUUCAUCCGCGUGGUCAAACUGUGGACUGUUGACCGAUGACGUGGCGCAAUCCUGAGCGUCCAAACUGUUUUUAAUCCGAUGGCCAUGAUUUACUCCAUGUAUCUAUAAAAAAGGGGCCUCUCCCCCCUAAUUUGAUACCUCUGAAUCCAUUUUUGGGAUCCAUUUUCUGUAAUUCCCUCUCUAUCUUGUAUUUUCUUUGUAUUUUAAUAAAUUCCCAUUUUGUCCCUAGUUCAAUUAUGAGUAACUAAUUUCUUUUCAAGCUUGGGUUGAAGGUGAAGUCUCAACAUGUAUCAUGGGCUUUAUUUGGUAAAUUUAUUUUCUUUUCCCCUCUAGUUUUUGUGGAUGAUUUGACUUAUCGUCGACAAAUAAUACUGAUCUUGUCUAGAUACCGCCUUGGUUACACCGGCUCUCUAGUACAAGGUUAUUAUUAUUUGGCACGAUAAGCCCUUAGCACCAUAUUGAUUAGAGCGUGGUUCAUGAGGUGUGGAUUCCCCCUCAUGAUUUAAUUGGUAUUAAUAAGGAAUAUUUAGCCCAUGAUGCAUGUUGAUACGGAUCCAGAUACCCAAGUACGUCAUUUCAAUACAUUUCUCUUCAAUUUAUUCUUGCCAUUUCAAUUCCAAUUUCAGCAUUUAUUCUCGCCAUUUUAAUUUAAAGUUUUAGCAUAUUCCAAAUCAUUUCCACCACAAUUCCAACCACCCAUUUACAAAAUUAAUUCUAUAUAUAAUUAAAAAUCCACCUCCUCGUGGGAUCGACACUCGUCACCAUUGAUCUACACUACAAUAGAUUCGUGCGCUUGCGAGUACAUUAAAAUUUGCACAACACUCAGCAGAGGAAGGGUCCACGACCCCAGUAGUGGAAGAGCCCGUGACUGCAGUAGAGGAGAGGGUCGCCUCAGCAAUUGUGUCUUCCACUUCGUCCCUAGCUCCUCGAUCGUGUGCUUCUGCGACUGAGGGGGUCCUUUAUCAGCUUGCAUUUCCUUGGUUAUGCUCCUCUAUGUAUUUUUUUACACCUAUUUCAAGCUUUUUCAGGUCCAACUCUGGAUGCUCCCUUUUAAGGAAUGUCAUGAUAUAGUUGUAGCUGAAGGCAAGCCCAAAAUCGUACUCCUCGCCCACCUCGUUCUCCAAACUAUUGACCUGGGGGUCUCAUCUAAACUCAAUGCCUGCUCACUACUAUUCCUAUUUAAUUUAUUUCCAUCUGAUGACAAGGAAGUCUCGGGUGUUGGUUGCCUAAGAACACUUUUAAGACAAGAGGGAUCUACAUCACCUAGAGGGAUUUGAGGGUCAAAGAGAGGUUCUCUUAAUAUGUGGGGGUAAGAGUCUAUUUCCUCGUCAUUUUCAAUUUUAAUAAUCUUUCUUUUUCUACACGACAUAGUAGGAAUUGAAACAAACCCAAAUAUUCGAAUAAGAAAUAACAACACAUAUCAAUGCAACAACAACUAGGUAUAAGUUCAGAAAGUUGUACUUGGGAUGAUCUAGGGUCGACGAAGUGGAUGUCGAGGCUGACGACAGAAAAGGGGCUUCCUAGCAUGAAGAAGACACUCUAUUUUAGGUAAGAAGCGGUUUUAGAUAAAAAACAGAAGGACAGGUUUAACGAAUAAAGAAAAUAUUAGUUUAGAGAUUUAAUUGAUGAAAGGGAAAAAGGGGGAGGCAUUUUAAGUGGUGAAUAUGUUAGUUUAACCGACGCAUUUCAAGAGCAUGUAAAUCGCCAUUUUAAAUUUCAAAUGUGUGGUAUAGAAAAAAGGCCACGUCAUAAGCAUGUAAAGUGAGGUGACAAGGGGUUAGAUCGAUAUAAAAUGGCCAAAGGACAUAAGUGUCUAUCUGAUAACUCUAUGAAAUGAGAGUUAUUACGGCAAUUCUAGACUGAAAAUAAGAUCACUUAGAGAGCAAAGAAUGUGUUUUUAUUGCAUUUUUGUUAUAUUUUGCAUAAACAUUCAUUUUAGUUUAGUCUUAAUAAGUUUUGCUUGAUUUAGAUUAAUUUGUGAUCAAAUUGUGUGCAAAAUUGUAGGUUACCAGAAGCUUAUGAUUCGGGAAAGAAUGCAGAAGUAAUGGGCUAACUUAAAAGAUGAAGAAGAUGGCCACAAAAAAAGUGAAACAAAAUCUGAAGUAGUACAAUGCUAGAGUCAUUGCUGGAGCAGCCAUUACUGUAGCAAUUCUGGAACAACGAUAGAGAAAACUUAGCACGGGAAAGCUGCAAGAUUGCGAUUUGCAGUUUCCUAAUCUAACUCUCGCGUACCCUAUGCCUUUGCUUACCUUAAUUUUCAGUUAUAAAAGGAGGCGCACAUCAUAUAAAACGGCAGCAAGGAAUUAUCAUUGGAGAAACUCUAUUUAAGGAGUUUAUUUGGAAUUGAAUGGGAACGUGAAGAAUUUUGCUCAAAGCUGUGGUUGACUUUCACCCAAAGAAAGCCAAAUUUAUUCAGUUUUCAUUGUAAUCUGACUGGUACCUAUCACCUAGAAAGUUACAUUCAUUAAAUCUAUCAGUUGCUUGUUGAAUACCAUGAUAGGAUAUUCUUCUCCAUGUAGUCAGAGAGAACAAAUCUUCCUAAGCCGGAGUUCUUGUUUUCCUAUUUCGACAUGUUAUGAAGAUUAUCAUAACAAUCGUUAUUAGUACACUCAAUAUAAUCGAAGGAAAAGUUUAUUUCAAACCAGCAGAGUAGCAUUCUUGGAUCCUUUGCUAUUGUCUUCGUUGCAAGUGGGACUUGGAGUCUUGCUGGACUGCAGAGUGCGUAAUUUUGGAAAAACGAUUGAGCUGAAAAGUUUUUAAAAGGUCCCAUGAGAUAUGAGAGUGCCUCCAAUGAUUUUGGAAUUUCUCCAAAGAGAGAGAGAUCUAAAAAUUCCAAGCUUAUCAAACUACCAAAUGAUUCAGGAUCGGAACGUAAAAGUGGUUUCUAGACAAGGAUAAAGUUGCUAAAUCUUUGAGGCCACCAAUAUUUACUGGUAUAUCACCUGAUAAUUGAUUUUUUGAUAAAUCUAACUUUACUAAGACCUUUAAGCAUUGUAUAUUUGAAGGUAGAGGACCACUUAGACAAUUUGUUGACAAGUUUACAUACAAGAUGAACUCAUAACUCCACAAGGAUGAUGGGAUACUAGAAGAGAGCGUGUUGGAGCUUAAAAAGAGUGUUCUUAGAGAAGUCAAGACUUCCCAAGCAUUGCGGUAUAUGUUCGAAGAGCGUAUUUUCAUUUAAAAAUAAACCAAUCAACCGCUCUAAGGGGCAAAGAUCAUUGGGAAUGUAUCCUUGCAAAAUAUUGGCAUCGAGAUAUAAAACUUGUAAUGUCUUUAACGUUCCCACUGGUGUUGGAAUAGUUCCAUUCAAGUCGUUGUUGAAGAGGCUUAAAAGUAUGAAGCCACUUAAAUUACCAAUCUCUUGAGGAAUGCUGCCCUUAAGUUUGCAAUCAUGAGCAAAACGUUUUUUAACAGACUUAGAGAAUUUCUCAAUUAAUGGUGGAAGGUAUGCCCCGCAAUGGAUUAAAGCCUAAGCCUAAAAAUGCCAGCAUCCUACAAGAAUUCAAAGAAGGGAGAAAACUCAACCCACCAGUAGAUGAUUCCGUCGUCAAGUAAUUAUACGCUAGGUUGAGUAGGCCAAGGAAUUUCAAGCUGCCAAAAGUGUUUAGAAUAAGGCCAAAGAAAGAGUUAUAGCUCAAGUCUAGGACACUGAGUUUAGAAGCAUUGGUUAUCGAGUUGGGAGUUGUCCCCCUAAGUUUAUUUAUUUUUCGCCAAAAGUGACCACUCCAUGUUUGGAAGCGAGUGGCCAAUCGUUGAUGGAAAAUGGCCUGAGAAUUGUUGUUCAGCUAGAGUAAUUCUUUUUAUGGUUGAAAUAUUGAAGAUUGUGGGUGGGAUAGAACAAGUUAAGUUAUUGGAAUUAAGAGCUAAAUAGUCCAGAUUUUGUAGGUUGCCCAUCCCAGUUGGAAUUUCACCUACCAGAAUUAAAGCCCACGUUAUGUUAAGACUUAUUUAGCUGAAAGCACAAGCGGGGUAAUAUACGUUCAAAUGCAUCAAAGUUGGCAGUUUCGUUUGACAAUAAGCAUAUGAAUUAUGAUCUUUCUUGUUCAGCGAUUUUGAGAUUUUACUAAUCAAUUUAUAUAUAUAUACAAUAUGUGGAGAAUGUUUAAAUUGGGCCUUUUAUUUUAAUUAUAGACUAAAUUAUGAGAAAAAUACUUAUAUCCAUAAUAUUAUUCAAGCUUUUAAAAAGAUUCAGAAUUAAAAAUCAAACUUUUGUACUCUAAUAAUUCUGCUGGUACGUUCAAUUAGUAGAUUAUUUUAGGAAAGAAGGUUAGAAUAGGCUAUAGGUUAUGGUAGUUAUGGUCACUUAAUCACAACUUUUAACCUUAGUAUAGUAAAAGUUUGACUUUUUCAGACGACCCAUCCCAAACUCCCAGGGCGAGUCUAUUUAAUCCCGUCAAAACUUAAUUAAUAAUAAUCUAAUAAAUAAAGAUUUUGUAGACAAUUCGGCAAAGUCUUCCUUAUAAAUAUAACACACCCAACUUGCAAAUGUGUAAAACAAGCACUCUCAAAAUAAUCAAAUAAACAACCAACUCCAACGCUCAACAUCCUCAACCAUAAUACUAAACUUUACCGAAGAUAUCUCCAAAGUAUCAAAAGAUUAUAUUAUAGCUAAUAUUAACAUACAUUGGUUUGUUCUUAAUCUCAAAAGAAUAAUACAACAAAAUUAUACAAUCCCAAAAAAAAUGAGAUGACCAAAAUGCCCUAACAAAAAUCAUCUAUAUCUUCUAACACCAUCACAUGGCCAAAAUUCAAAAUAUCUAAAGUUGCUGGGUCGAUUUGGUGUGCCGACAUCCUCAUGUGGAGGGAAAAAUAUAAUAAAACGGGAUGAGUAUAAAACUUAGCUUAGCGAGUGGAUAAUAAUUUUUUUUUGAAAAUAAACUUACUUCAAAAUUAUUAUAUCAUCUCAGUUAAUAAUUUCACCAAAUUACCACAAGAAACUUAAAUAACUUAUUUAAUUAUAAAUCAUAAACUAGCAUAAAUAUAACAUUUAUAAUACCAUAUAAAAUCAAGGAAAUUAUAAACACACUGUAAUCUCAAAUACUGAAUUCUGAAAACUGUCACUAAACAAGUACCCACGGGAAAUAAUCUUGUCAUAUCCAGAUCUCAACGGACGAACAACGACGUACUAUUAGGAUACCGUCAUACCCUGGAGCUACAACGGGUAGACAGGAAAAUUCCAUCUUACAUGUCUCCUAUAUCUCAUCAUAUCUCUACAUGCAUAAACUAGUUCCCAAAGGACAAAGGUGCCCAAGCACACGGCCCAAAGCCUUUGUGUGUAUUCAGACAGACCCCAAAGGCCUGUAUCUCAUAUAUAUUUCAGUAAUUAUAUCUUUGUUAUUAUUAUACUACAUACAUAAGCCCCCAAAAGGCAAAAGCGCCCAAAUAUACAGCCCAAAGCCUCUAUGCGUGUUCAUACGGGCCUUAAAGCCCUCUCUUCAUAUAUGUAUCAUUGUAACUGGAUAGGAAGGGCAAUAGCCAAUGAUUGUGCGAACGAUCUUUUAUGCAUAUUUACAUGAGCAUAUAAUUAUAUCAUACUAUAAAACUCAUUUCCUUUCUAUUUAAAAUACUUUAUAUCUAUUUUCUUUUCUUUAAAAUACUAUCAUUCAUUACUCAAAAAUCAAUAAGGGAACUGAUAAUCACACACUUUUUAAUAAUACAACAAUACAUAAAUAAAACUCAUUUCUAAGAAAACAUUAAAUCGGAGCAUUAAAUAUUUAUUCACAAACAUGCUUUACUAUACUUUAAAAACCAUAAUAUUAUGAAAAUGGAUUUUGUAUAUUCCACUCACAGCGACGAUGCUUAGACUCGGUUAUUGUCUAUGCCUGCAGACUAAUUCUCGCUUGCGAUUCCUCCUAGAUCAAGGAAACGACAUAAUUACUUUUUGUAAAUCUGAAUUAGGACUAAAUUUAUGCAAUAAACUCAAAACGAACAUCUAUCCAUAAUUUACAACUCUCGCACUGAUAAAAUUACCAAAUUACCCUUGCAUUCGUAAAUUAUUACAAUACUAUGAAAUCGUAAAUUCCUGAAUUAUCCUCGAAAUCAUAAUUACUUACCUAUCCUCAAUUUUAGAAAUUACUAAAACAUCUACGGGGUCGAAAAUUACAAAAUUGCCCUCAAAAUGUAAAAUUACCGGAAUGCCCUCAUGGGUCAAUGACGACCGUAAUUCAAGCGACAGUGAGUGGGAAGGUUGGGUUAGACACUUCUGGCCGACCUAAGUUCAAUGGUACCGGCAGUGAGCUUCACCCGUGGCGACGGCGCCAGAAGCUAGCUCAACAAUUGUGAAACUCCAAUGGCUGAACAACGACAAAUUGACAACUUUUGGUGGCUGUGGAUGGCAGAAAAAUCAAAAGGGACUCGUGGAGAACACAAUUGAGAUGGUGGCAUGGUCUAAUUCUGGCAGAAUCGACAGCGGUAGUGACGGGUUUCGGCUGCAACUUUUCGUUGCCACACACAGUGGCAUUUCGGUCAACAUUUGGCGAUGGUGAUGGCAAGGAAGUGAUGGCCGGCUCAAGAGAUUUAGUUUGCUAACUUUCACAGUUGGUGAGGUGGCCGAAAAUUGAAGAUAUGGAUGGGUUGGUUUCGCAGGAUACGGGUCGGGUUUGACAAUUUCCUCUCCUUCUCACGUGUGAAUAUGCUUCUCCUUCAAAAAAAUUGUUAGGUUUACUUUUUUUUCCUCUUUAACCGCCUUUCUUUUUCCUCCUUUUUUUUAUGUUUUUUCACAUACGUUACACUUUUUUACUAGAAAAUAUACCAUUAACAAUUUUGUUCACUAAUUAAUGGUUAACAAUAACUAGGGAAGCACAAUUUUAACCUUAUGAGUACUUUUGGGUGGUCAUAUUUGUGAAUAUUCUAUGCUGAAUUUGUGUUAUCAAAUGUUGAUGGAGAAACACAAUUUUUUUCUUAGAAAAAAUUAUCUAAACAUUAACACACGUUAUAAGAGAUUUGAACUAAGACCCAAGUCUUAUUAGUUCGUGGGAAAAACAAUGUUAAUGAAGCUAGGUCAUGGUCUCAUAGAGAAAAACAAUUUGUUUAUUAUACAAAUUGAAAGAACCAGCAUGCAUUCUCUUUAUUCGUGGGAUCUAGCUUCUUUAAUUUUGUUCUCAUUCUUUAUUUUGUUAUAUGCUGAGGAUACACAAAAACAAUGUAGGUAGAAUUUGAUUAUUUAUUGUUAUGCUGAGGAUUCACACGCUAUUGCUGAAUUCAAUCCAAUUUAGCGGACAUUUGACAAUUCUCCUUAGGUGAGAUUGGACUUUCUAGUUUCAUGUAUUUGUUUAUCUUCUUCCGAUGUUUUCAGGCAUACCCAUUUGGCAAUAUAUAAAAAUCUGCGAUAUCUUCUAUGAACAUACAAAUAGAUCAUUGGCUUCACUCAUUUGUGAACAUAUUGUAGAUAUUAGAUUUAUUGUUAUGAUAUCUCUAGUGGAAUCCAAAGUUUGAUGUAACGACAAAAGAAGAAUGAGCGGUGAUGGACCAGAGAGGGGAAAAAAUGUUGGGGGUGGGGGUUGGGGGGAGGGGGGUGUUGGGUGGGGUUGUGCAGCAAUGGGAAUGAUAGGGGUGAAAGUUCAGGCUAUUAACAAGCUGUAAAAUGGGGACAUUAGAGAUUGUGAGGUCCUUAAGAUUGCUGACUUGUGCUCAAAAUGGAAUUCUUGACAACUUCAAAUGUUAACCGUUCUUGGUGAAAUUCUGUACUUUCUUUUCUUUCAGAUUCUUGUGCCUAUUGCGAAUGGUUCAGAGGAGAUGGAAGCUGUUAUAAUAAUUGAUAUUCUGCGAUGAGCUAAAGCAAAUGUUGUGGCUGCAUUAAUUGAGGAUAAACUAGAAGUUCCGGCUUCUCGUAGAGUUAAAUUAGUUGCUGGUAUGCUCAUUGAUGAGGCAGCUAAACUUUCGUAUGAUUUAAUUUUCCUGCCAGUAAGUGUGGGGGGGGGGGGGGGGGGGGGGGGUUAUUCUUGCUUCAUAGUCUUUACCGCAUUAUUGACUUAUUAACUACAAUUUAUCUAUGCACAGGGUGGACUUGGUAGUGCUAAGGCAUUUGCAAAGUCAGAUAAAUUCGUAAAUAUGCUGAAGAGCGCAAAAGGAAUCAAAUAGACCUUACGGUGCUAUAUGUGCAUC
rnacentral:lncRNA from 1 species